rnacentral:lncRNA from 1 species
ACAGGAUCAUGGCAAGAACUGAAAGGGCUGUUGCUAUUUCUCCAGAUCAUAAGAUUUGAUCCCACAAACAAAGGUUACAAGACGACAGAGUCUGAACCAACAAUUACACAGCAACAUCGAUGCAACGGGAAGAAACUGUUUAGGCAGAGGUGAACUUGGUGACGGCCUUGGUGCCCUCGGAGACGGCGUGCUUGGCGAGCUCGCCGGGGAGGACGAGGCGGACGGAGGUUUGGAUCUCCCGGGACGUGAUGGUGGGCUUCUUGUUGUACCGCGCCAGCUUGGCAGACUCGCCGGCGAGCUUCUCGAAGAUGUCGUUGAUGAAGGAGUUCAUGAUGGACAUGGCCUUGGAGGAGAUGCCGAUGUCAGGGUGCACCUGCUUGAGCACCUUGAAGAUGUAGAUCUUGUACGUCUCCACGCUCUUCUUGGACUUCUUCUUGCCCUUCUUGUCGCCGCCGCCAUCCUUGGACGCCGGCACCUUCUUCUCCGCCUUGGGCUUCUUGCCCGCCGGAGUCUUCUCCACCGGCUUCUUCUCCGCUGCCUUCGGGGCCAUGGAUGAUGAUGAUGCUGCUUCGACGGGGAGAGGGAGAGGUGGUCUGGUGUGUUUGUGUGUGGCUUCGCUGGAUGGUGGGAGGAUUGACGGCGGGGAGGGAGGCGGGUUUAUAGGAGAGGGAAGGCGGCUCUGAUUGGUGGACGGGUAGGUGCCGCGGAUCGGUAGGAUAUCUGCCGUCCGCUCUGGUGCGGGAUGGACGACCCAGAUGCGCCUUGACGCAGAUCGAUGACGUGAACGAAAGAAAGUGGGCGGGGACCACACGGGUUUCGCCCUACGCGCGCGUACUGGAGUUUCUCCAUGGCGGGAAUCUGAAUUCACCUAGCAAAAGACAAUUGCGAUGGAUGAAAAAAAAAUCACAAUUUCCUAAUUCAGUAAUCAUGACUUCGGACUUUAAUAGGUUCAUGCCUUUUAUUUCAACACAUGGCAUCUCAUAUGUAUUGCCACUUCCAGCAAUUUUAAUGGAACGAUCCAUUUCGUCCGAUCGAGUCUGUUUGGAUCGUCGCGGACACAAAAAUCGGCUCAAUGCACGGACCCAAGCGUCAGUUUUUCGUUCGCCCGCAACCCGUUUUAGGCCUAAAUUUGAGCGUCAUUUGCGUUGUCGCGGAUACGAAGCGGAUGCCCGUGUCGCCCGCCCUUCUCUUCCCCCUAGCCCGCUGGUCGGUGGCACGUACGCCAACCUCCUCUUCCUCCUUCGCCUCCAAAUCACCCACCCGCUCCCCGCCUCCCACCCCCGCCGCUAACUUUCAUCGUCGACGACGGCCAUCCGCCCGUGAACUCACCCUUCCGGCACCCUCGUCUUCCGUCGCCGCCGCCCAGCUCCGCCACUUUCUCUCGAUGGGACAUGAGGCUCCUCUCCGGCCGGAAUCUUCCACAACGCCCGCAAGGUGUUCAACGCUUUGCCCAAGGUACAAAUGGACUCCAAUGAUGAGUAUUUUUUUUCUACAACGUUUUUUUGGAGUCAGAUGAUUCUUCGUGUGAUGAUGAGAAGACGAAGGCGGAUGCAUUGGUUGUCCAUGACCACGUAACUUUAUAUAGAAUUUGGCUUACACUCGCCACAGGCUACAUCAGAGUCACAGCAGUACAAUACAUAAUCGUCAUGAAGAAGAGCAGGGUCCGACUACGAACGAAAACAAACGAUAAAAGAAGAACGACGUCCAUCGUAGCUAUCCUAAGCUGUUGGCCUGGAACCCAUCCUAGAUCGACGAAGAAGAAGAAGAAGAAGCAACUCCAAAUGAACAAUCAACGCGCUUGCGUCAAGUAACCUUUACAUGUACCUGCAACUGGUGUUGUAGUAAUCUGUGAGCCACAUGGGACUCAACAAUCUCAUUUCCAAAGGUAUCAAGACUAGCAAAGCUUAAUAGGUGAGGUAUGGGUAAGUGGUGGGGGUGCAACAGCGGCUAAGCAUAUAUUUCGUAGCUAAACUUACGAGUACAAGAAAUAAGAGGGGAAGAUCUACGCAUAGCGGACGAAACUACUGAUGAUCAAAUGAAUGAUCCUGAACACCUACCUACGUCAGACAUAACCCCACUGUGUCCUCGAUCGGAGAAGGAACUCACGAAACAGACAGUCACGGUUACGCACUCAGUUGGCAAGUUUUAGUUAAGUUAACUUCAAGUUAUCUAGAACCAGUGUUAAACAAAGUUUCCACAUUGCCACCUAACCGCGGGCACGGCUUUUCGAAAGAUUUAACCCUCAGGGGUGCUCCAACUAAUCCAUCACAAAUUACCACAACCCGCAUAGAAAUCCUCGAUCACGAAACUCGCGAUCUCGUCGGACUCCUUAGUGGAAAACCUCAACUCUGAGAUUACACAAAGCAUCACCGGAAUCCCGAUGCACAAGAUAUCUCGUCAAAGGUAAAACUAAUCCAGCAAGGCAGCCCGACGUGUCGACAAUCCCGAUAGGAGCCGCGUAUCUCGUUCUCAGGACACGACGGAUAAGCGAAGCAUACAGUGGCCUGAUAGACAUCUCCCGAGUUGCCGCGGGUUGGCCCCGCACGGUGCUCUGUUUUGGACCAGCACCAUCAGCACUGGCCCUCCCUAUAUUAUGUAAAAAUACUCAUGGGGUUCAUGACGCCCUAUGCUUUCAGUAUUAACAAAGUUAUUAUGUUGGGCAAAUGUAGUACCAAUGUUGUGCCUUGCCAGACCAUCUUUAAGCUAAAACGAAUUAUCAAGGGGGUCCCCAUAACACCCCCGAUCGUGUUAGGAGCGCUCAAUUAUGGAACAUAACACCGGUAGCCGAAACUAAGGGGGGCAAAGGUGGAACAAAACACCAGGCUAGAAAGGUCAAGCCUUCCACCUUUUACCAAGUAUAUAGGUGCAUUAAAUUAAAUAGCAUUAAUAUGGUGAUAUAACAAGGAACCCAUGUUUUCACAUGGAAGCAACUGCACCUGCAACUAGCAACGCUAACACAAGGUUAAGCAAGCGGUAACAUAGCCAUUCAGUGGUUUGCUAGGUUGUGAACAGGUUGGAGGUUUUCAUGGCAAUGUUGAGAGGUUGUUAUUUAACAAAUGGUAGGCAGCGAGACAAUGACGAUAGCAUCAAAAUAACUAGCAUGGCAAUGAUAGUAAUGUUAUCUAGGGAAAUGGUCAUCUUGCCUGAGAUCCCGCUUGGAAGAAGAAUGACUCCGCGAAGCAGACGAACCGAUGUAGUCAAACGGGUCCUCACAAUCCGACACGCUUGCGGAACUCUAUCGAGACGAAGGAAACCGGAAACAAGCAUCAACACAAGAUAUUCUCCACGACAUAUGCACGACACGAUGCAAUCCACAUAUGAUGCAUGAGCAGCUGAGUACAUGCAAGUCACGGCAUGACAAAUCUCACAAUCAACCACUACACAUUAAGUGAAGUUCAAUAUGCAACAAGUUGCAUAUUGACGAAACUCCAUAUACGAAUUAUUUAGUUCUAUCCCGAUUAGGUACUCGGCACUAUUAAAUGUUAUUAAACAUGGCAAGAGGUGAAGCUCAAUUAAACUACCUAUCUAGGCAUUUUAAAUGAGGUCGGAAAUGACAUAUAGCACCUCCGAAACGACCUCACAUGUUAAUUUACAAUGCUGUCCAGACCUGAACUAACACAUUUAAAUAGUUGUUAAACAGCAAAACAAAUAGGUUCACCUGUUUCUACGCGUCGUUACAAUCAAUUUACACAUAGAGAACAUCUCCAACGGAGCUACGGAUCAAAAGAUACGGACACCGCAAGAUAAGAUGGCAUGAAUGCAAUAUGUGUGCAACGACAUUCACAAGCUCCUCAAAACACACAAGCAGAAAGAUAAAAUGAAUCUACAUGAGAUUCUAAGCAAGUUCCAUAUAGGACACGAUCAAAACGGAGCAACGGAGCAACAACUACGAGCUAAACAAGAAAUCACUACAAUCUGACAAAAUCAGCCACAUAACAUUUUCUACACCCCACAACUACGAGCUACUCAACUCCAAUAUACUCAACCAAGGCAUGAGACGAUAGAGGGCAAGAAGCACUACAACAUACAACUAAUAACUCCUAGCAUGGAAGCAUAGAUCACUAGGAAAAGAAGUCACAAAAUGGCUUCUCACACACAGUUUCAGACUUAGUGAAAAUAACACUUCAUGAAAGUGCAGUUUUCGAUCUGAAGGCAUAUUGACAGCAGCAAAACCAUAAGCUAGAGGACUUCAAAUGGCAUGAAAAUUGACAGCAUGCUAGAGAAUCCUAAAGUCUACAACUAACUACAUUGCACCAACCUCAAAAGAGCUACAGAUCACCAGAUAAACUCAUGCAAAGACAGUAACAAAAUAUAACAGAUUCAGACUUAGAAAUAUUUCAGCAUCUCUAAAACCACACUAUUUCCUAACGACUUGAGAACAAGCAAAUCACACAUAAACAUGGAUUUCUAUUGCAACCAAAAAUACCAGGGGCUAGACUAAACAUCCAAGAGCAUAUGUCUAGUUGACAACUCCACCAAAUCACGCACGGAUUAAACCCCACAAAAUAGACAAGAGGGCAACAUGGCAAAAUAUCACGUGAACUAACUUGCUCAAAAAUCUAAAACUAAAUGCACCGUUAAAUCCUAUGGAUUUUCUACCCCGAAAACAUAUAUAACAUGAAGGGUUGCAAAGUAAAAACAACCCCACACGUAUAUGCGGUAAUAAGUCCUAAACACGGUAAAAUAAACUAGCGACGGAAUCCUACAUGCAAAAAUACCAAUGACUACUCUAAAAUACAUGGCAAAGGGGUUCUAAAACAUGAACAUUUUAUCUGCAGCAUUCGAGCAACCCGGACACGCACGAGAAAAUAAAUACGAGACGGAUCCUAUUCGAACAACACGUAAAACUAUGCGUUCGGCAACAUCAAACUACCUCAAACAAUUAUGCAAUUUGCAAAAUCGUAUUCUACGCGAAAUUCUACACAAAACCCAUAUCUAAUUCAUCGCGAUCCGACUUACGGUUAAAAAGUUACGGGCAUAUUAAUAUUUAGCUAAUUCCUGAAAUUAUCUAAAUCGAGAAAAUUCUAAUAAACCCUAUCGGGCCGAAUCUGUCUAACGGGCCUAAGCAGGCAGCGCAGUUUAGUAACAAAGCGCUCGGGAGGGGAAUAGAUCUCACCUCGGGGGGCCUCGUUGGGCCGGACUGAUGGAGCUGGUGGAGAUGGGCCGGCGGUUGGGGGCGGAGGUAGACUCGGCCGGCUGCGGGGUGGGCCUCGGGGCGGAUCGGCCGGCCUGGGCGCUGGUUGGGCGAGGCCCAGGAGCGCGGUCAACGCCAGGGAGGGGUUCCCCUCGUCUCCCUCCCGUCGCCUCCUGGGAGCGAGGCCAGGGCGGCGCUACCCCACGAGGCCACAUAGACCGAUGGAGGGGGAGUCCAGGGGCGCGAGGGCGGCGGAUCCACGCCGCGCGGUGUAGAUCCGGGCACAGUCCGGCGGCUGGCUCGGGAGGCGGCGCUCGGGAGGAGCUGCAAACCGGCGGCUUGGGGCUGAAUCGGCUGCUCUGGAUCGGGGCUCCUCCCCGAUCUGGAGCUCGGGCACGAGGCUACGGGAGGACGAGCAUCUCGGCCUCUGUUGGCUCUGUGGUCGCCGGACGUGUCCGGUUUGACCACGGACAUGUCGUGUAGGUGGAGAUUUAGGGCAAUCUGAGCCGUUAGAUGUAAAUCCAAUGGCCAGAUUUGGUCAGAGGGUUUGGGUUGUGGGAUUUAGAGGGUUAGGCCUAGAAGGUGGAGUUUUCCUAGGGGGGUGGCUGCAAAAAUGACUAGGGGGAACCCUAGUGAAGUGAGAGAGACCUCUCCAUGGGGUGGAGCUUAUAUAGGGUUGGUCUAUGGUGGGGUGGACCUCGUCCGUCCGAUCGCGAUCCGACGACCACAAACGGAGGAAGUGGCUAGGUGGCACUACUCACGUGUGUAGAUCGGCUAUGUAGGGGUGAGAGGGAAAUAGCGCGGUGAUACGUCUCAAACGUAUCUAUAAUUUUUUAUGGUUUCACGCUGUUAUCUUGUCUUCUUUGUAUGUUUUAUGUAUCGUUUUAUAUCUUUUUGAGACUAACUUAUUAAUCCAGUGCCAAGUGCGAGUUCCUGUUUUUUCCGUGUUUUUGACUCUUUUCAGAUCUGAUUUUGGAACGGAGUCCAAACGGAAUAAAAACCCCAAAAUGAUUAUUUCGAGAACGAAAGAAGACCAGGGAGCCUUUGGGCCAAGCCAGGUGGGCCCCAGGGAGCCCAAAAGCUCCCACCAUGCCACCAGGGGGGAGGCGGCGGUGGGCAAGCUUGUGGCUUCCCUGGCCGCCCCCUGACCUAGGUCUUGCGCCUAUAUAUUCCCAAAUAUUCCGCAAAAAAUCAAGGGAGCCUCGAAAAUACUUUUCCGCCGCCGCAAGCUUCCGUUUCCGCGAGAUCUCAUCUGGAGACCCUUCCCGGCGCCCUGCCGGAGGGGACUUUGGAGGUGGAGGGCUUCUUCAUCAUCAUCAUCGCCCCUCCAAUGACUCGUGAGUAGUUCACUUCAGACCUAUGGGUCCAUAGUUAGUAGCUAGAUGGCUUCUUCUCUCUCUUGGAUCUUCAACACAAAGUUCUCCAUGAUCUUCAUGGAGAUCUAUCCGAUGUAAUCUUCUUUGGCGGUGUGUUUGUUGAGAUCCGAUGAAUUGUGGACUUGUGAUCAGAUUAUCUAUGAUAUAUAUUUGAGUCUUUGUUGAUUUCUUAUAUGCAUGAUUUGAUAUCCUUGUAAGUCUCUUCGAGUCUUGGGUUUUGUUUGGCCAACUAGAUCUAUGAUUCUUGCAAUGGGAGAAGUGCUUGGUUUUGGGUUCUGCCAUGUGGUGACCUUUCCACUUAACCUUACCUCACCCAUUAAGCUUCGCUAGUCUUGAUACCUUUGGAAAUGAGAUUGCUGAGUCCCCUGUGGUUCACAGAUUACUACAACACCAGUUGCAGGUACAGGUAAAGGUUACUUGACGCGAGCGCGUUGAUUGUUCAUUUGGAGUUGCUUCUUCUUAUUCUUCUUCAUCGAUCUAGGAAGGGUUCCAGGCUGGCAGCCUGGGAUAGCAAGGAUGGACGUCGUUCUUCUUUCUCGUUUGUUUUCGUCCGUAGUCGGACCCUGCUCUUCUUCAUGAUUUUAUGUAUUGUACUAAUGUGACUCUGAUGUAGCUUGUGGCGAGUGUAAGCCAAAUCUAUAUAUAUAUAUAUAUAUCUUCUUUUCAGUACAUGUACUAGUAAUGAUAUCCAUUCUUGCGACACGACGAGAUGCGCUUCUAUCUCUGAUGAGGCCCUCGUGCCAAAUUGAGGAUAUGGUCGCAUCUUGGGCGUGACACGCACCCAAUACAAUGGUAAGUUGUAUAGGUGCACUAGUUCGGCGAAGAGAUGGUGAUACAAGUGCAAUAUGGAUGGUAGAUAUAGGUUUUUGUAAUCUGAAAUUACAAAAACAGCAAGGUAACUAGUAACAAAAGUGAGCACGAACGGUAUUGCAAUGCGUGGAAACAAGGCCUAGGGUUCAUACUUUCACUAGUGAAGUUCUCUCAAUAAUGAUAACAUAAUUGGAUCAUAUAAGUAGCCCUCAACAUGCAACAAAGAGUCACUCCAAAGUCACUAAUAUAGGAGAACAAACGAAGAGAUUAUUGUUGGGUACGAAACCACCACAAAGUUAUUCUUUCUGAUCGAUCUAUUCAAGAGUCCGUAGUAAAAUAGCACGAAGCUAUUCUUUCCGUUCAGUCUUUCAUAGAGUUCAUACUAGAAUAACACCUUAAGAUACAUAUCAACCAAGACCCUAAUGUCACCUAGAUACUCCAUUGUCACCUCAAGUAUCCGUGGGCAUGAUUAUACGAUAUGCAUCACGUAAUCUCAGAAUCAUCUAUUCAACCAACACAUAGAACUUCAAAGAGUGCCCCAAAGUUUCUACUGGAGAGUCAAAACGUGUGCCAACCCCUAUGCAUAGGUUCCCAAUGUCACGAACCCGCAAGUUGAUCACUAAAACAUACAUCGAGUACUCACAUGAAUCAAACGUGUGCCAACCCAUAUGCAUAGGUUCCCAAUGUCACAAACCAGCAAGUUGAUCACCGCAGAUAGACACGUGCAAGACAUACAUCAAGUGUUCUCAAAGACUCAAUCCGAUAAGAUAACUUCAAAGGGGAAACUCAAUUCGUUACAAGAAGGGAGAGGGGGAAGAACAUCAUAAGAUCCAACUAUAGUAGCAAAGUCCACGAUACAUCCAGAUCAAGACAUCUCAAGAACACGAGAGAGAGAGAGAUCAAACACAUAGCUACUGGUACAUACCCUCAGCCCCGAGGGAGAACUACUCCCUCCUCGUCAUGGAGAUCGCCGGGAUGAUGAAGAUGGCCACCGGAGAUGGAUUCCCCCUCCGGCAGGGUGCCGGAACGGGCUCCAGAUUGGUUUUUGGUGGGUACACAGGCUUGCGGCGGCGAAACUCCCGAUCUAGGUUUCUUUUUGGGGGUUUCUGUAUUUAUAGGAAUUUAUGGCGGUGGAAUUAUGUCGGUUGGGCCCACGAGGAGGUCACAAGCCUGGUAGGUGCGGCCUAGGGGGGUGGUCGCGCCUCCCGGGAUUGUGACUCCCUCGUGGCUCUUCUGUCCUUCUUCCAAACCUUCGGGGGUCUCUUUUGGUAAAAAAGAAAUCAUCGUAAAGUUUUAUUCCAUUUGGACUCCAUCUGAAAAAGGGUCAAAAACACGGAAAAAACAGAAACUGGCACUCGGCACUGAGUUAAUAGUUAAGUCCCAAAAAAGAUAUAAAAUAGCAUAUUCAUGCAUAUAAAACAUCCAAAGUUGACAAGAUAAUAGCAUGGAACCAUAAAAAAUUAUAGAUACGUUGGAGACGUAUCACUGGAUACUGAUCGGGAUCUUGUCCCUAAUAAGAACCCCGCACUGAUUAGCAAAUGCUUCCUUUGUCCGGUAUGGUUCAAUCGGCUUGCCAUCGCGCGCGAUUGCUAUGAUCUCAAUGAUGGGGAACGUCGCAUGGGAAACAAAAAAUUUCCUACGCGCACGAAGACCUAUCAUGGUGAUGUCCAUCUACGAGAGGGGAUGAGUGAUCUACGUACCCUUGUAGAUCGUACAGCAGAAGCGUUAGUGAACGCGGUUGAUGUAGUGGAACGUCCUCACGUCCCUCGAUCCGCCCCGCGAACAAUCCCGCGAUCAGUCCCAUGAUCUAGUACCGAACGGACGGCACCUCCGCGUUCAGCACACGUACAGCUCGACGAUGAUCUCGGCCUUCUUGAUCCAGCAAGAGAGACGGAGAGGUAGAAGAGUUCUCUGGCAGCGUGACGGCGCUCCAGAGGUUGGUGAUGACCUUGUCUCAGCAGGGCUCCGCCCGAGCUCCGCAGAAACGCGAUCUAGAGGAAAAACCGUGGAGGUAUGUGGUCGGGCUGCCGUGGAAAAGUCGUCUCAAAUCAGCCCUAAAACCUCCGUAUAUAUAGGUGGGAGGGAGGGGACCUUGCCUUGGGGCUCAAGGAGCCCCAAGGGGGUCGGCCGAGUCCAAGGGGGGAGGACUCCCCCCCCAAACCGAGUUGGACUUGGUUUGGUGGGAGGGAGUCCCCCUUCGUUCCCACCUCCUUCCCUUUUUUUUUUCCUUUUCUCUUGAUUUUAUCUUCUUGGCGCAUAGAGCCCUUUUGGGCUGUCCCACCAUCCCACUAAGGGCUGGUGUGCCACCCUCAAGGCCUAUGGGCUUCCCCGGGGUGGGUUGCCCCCCCGGAGAACUCCCGGAACCUAUUCGUCAUUCCCGGUGCAUUCCCGGUAACUCCGAAAACCUUCCGGUAAUCAAAUGAGGUCAUCCUAUAUAUCAAUCUUCAUUUCCGGACUAUUCUGGAAACCCUCGUGACGUCCGUGAUCUCAUCCGGGACUCCGAACAACAUUCGGUAACCAACCAUAUAACUCAAAUACGCAUAAAACAACGUCGAACCUUAAGUGUGCAGACCCUGCGGGUUCGAGAACUAUGCAGACAUGACCCGAGAGACUCCUCGGUCAAUAUCCAAUAGCAGGACCUGGAUGCCCAUAUUGGAUCCUACAUAUUCUACGAAGAUCUUAUCGUUUGAACCUCAGUGCCAAGGAUUCAUAUAAUCCCGUAUGUCAUUCCCUUUGUCCUUCGGUAUGUUACUUGCCCGAGAUUCGAUCGUCAGUAUCCGUAUACCUAUUUCAAUCUCGUUUACCGACAAGUCUCUUUACUCGUUCCGCAAUACAAGAUCCCGCAACUUACACUAAGUUAUAUUGCUUGCAAGGCUUGUGUGUGAUGUUGUAUUACCGAGUGGGCCCCGAGAUACCUCUUCGUCACACGGAGUGACAAACCCCAGUCUUGAUCCAUACUAACUCAGCUAACACCUUCGGAGAUACCUGUAGAGCAUCUUUAUAGUCACCCAGUUACGUUGCGACGUUUGAUACACACAAAGCAUUCCUCCGGUGUCAGUGAGUUAUAUGAUCUCAUGGUCAUAGGAAUAAAUACUUGACAAGCAGAAAACAGUAGCAACAAAAUGACACGAUCAACAUGCUACGUCUAUUAGUUUGGGUCUAGUCCAUCACGUGAUUCUCCUAAUGACGUGAUCCAGUUAUCAAGCAACAACACCUUGUUCAUAAUCAGAAGACACUGACUAUCUUUGAUCAACUGGCUAGCCAACUAGAGGCUUGCUAGGGACGGUGUUUUGUCUAUGUAUCCACACAUGUAAAUGAGUCUUCAUUCAAUACAAUUAUAGCAUGGAUAAUAAACGAUUAUCUUGAUACAGGAAUAAUAAUAAUAAAUAUAUUUAUUAUUGCCUCUAGGGCAUAAUUCCAACAGUCUCCCACUUGCACUAGAGUCAAUAAUCUAGCCCUCACAUCACCAUGUGAAUUACAUUGUAAUAAAUCUAACACCCAUACAGUUCUGGUGUUGAUCAUGCUUUGGCCGUGGAAGAGGUUUAGUCAGCGGGUCCGCUACAUUCAGAUCCGUGUGCACUUUGCAUAUAUUCACGUCCUCUGCCUCGACGUAGUCGCGGAUGAGGUUGAAGCGUCGUUUGAUGUGUCUGGUCUUCUUGUGAAACCGUGGUUCCUUUGCUAAGGCAAUGGCACCAGUGUUGUCACAGAACAAGGUUAUUGGAUUCAGUGCGCUUGGCACCACUCCAAGAUCCGUCAUGAACUGCUUCAUCCAGACACCCUCCUUAGCCGCCUCCGAGGCAGCCAUGUACUCCGCUUCACAUGUAGAAUCUGCUACGACGCUUUGCUUGGAACUGCACCAGCUUACUGCACCCCCAUUAAGAAUAAAUACGUAUCCGGUUUGCGACUUAGAGUCGUUCGGAUCUGUGUCAAAGCUUGCAUCGACGUAACCUUUUACGGCGAGCUCUUCGUCACCUCCAUACACGAGUAACAUCUCCUUAGUCCUUUUCAGGUACUUCAGGAUAUUCUUGACCGCUGUCCAGUGAUCCACUCCUGGAUUACUCUGGAACCUACCUGCCAUACUUAUGGCCAGGCUAACAUCCGGUCUAGUGCACAACAUCGCAUACAUGAUAGAACCUAUGGCUGAAGCAUAGGGGACGGAGCGCAUAUGCUCUCUAUCUUCAUCAGUUGCUGGGCACUGAGUCUUACUCAAUCUCGUACCUUGUAGAACUGGCAAGAACCCUUUCUUGGACUGUUCCAUUUUGAACCUCUUCAAAACUUUAUCAAGGUAUGUGCUUUGUGAAAGUCCUAUCAGGCGUUUUGAUCUAUCCCUAUAGAUCUUAAUGCCUAGAAUGUAAGCAGCUUCUCCUAGGUCCUUCAUAGAGAAAAUUUUAUUCAAGUAAUCCUUUAUGCUCUCUAAAAACUCUACGUUGUUUCCAAUCAGUAAUAUGUCAUCCACAUAUAAUAUUAGAAACGCCACAGAGCUCCCACUCACUUUCUUGUAAAUACAAGAUUCUCCAACCACUUGUAUAAACCCAAAUGCUUUGAUCACCUCAUCAAAGCGUUUGUUCCAACUCCGAGAUGCUUGCACCAGUCCAUAAAUGGAUCGCUGGAGCUUGCACACCUUGUUAGCAUUCUUAGGAUCGACAAAACCUUCGGGUUGUAUCAUAUACAACUCUUCCUUAAGGAAACCGUUAAGGAACGCCGUUUUGACAUCCAUCUGCCAGAUUUCAUAAUCGAAAAAUGCAGCUAUUGCUAACAUGAUUCUGACGGACUUAAGCAUCGCUACGGGUGAGAAUGUCUCAUCGUAGUCAACUCCUUGAACUUGUGAAAAACCCUUUGCCACAAGUCGAGCUUUAUAAAUGGUCACAUUGCCGUCAGCGUCCGUCUUCUUCUUAAAGAUCCAUUUGUUCUGAAUAGCCUUGCGGCCCUCAGGUAGUACCUCCAAAGUCCACACUUUGUUCUCAUACAUGGAUCCUAUCUCGGACUUCAUGGCUUCCAGCCAUUUGUUGGAAUCUGGGCCCACCAUUGCUUCUUCAUAAUUCGCAGGUUCAUUGUUGUCUAACAACAUGAUUGAUAAGACGGGAUUACCGUACUACUCUGGAGCAGCACGUGGUCUCGUCGACCUGCGUGGUUGACAGAAACUUGAACUGGAGUUUCAUGAUCAUCAUCAUUAACUUCCUCCUCAACUGGCGUCACAAUGACAGAGGUUUCCCCUUGCCCUGCGCCACCAUCCAGAGGGAUGAGAGGUUCUACAACCUCGUCAAGUUCUAUCUUCCUCCCACUCAAUUCUCUCGAGAGAAACUCCUUCUCGAGAAAAGCUCCGUUUUUAGCAACAAACACUUUGCCCUCGGAUUUGAGAUAGAAGGUGUACCCAACUGUCUCUUUUGGGUAACCUAUGAAGACGCACUUUUCCGCUUUGGGUUCCAGCUUUUCAGGCUGAAGCUUUUUGACAUAAGCAUCACAUCCCCAAACUUUAAGAAACGACAACCUUGGCCUUUUGCCAUACCACAGUUCGUAUGGUGUCGUCUCAACGGAUUUUGAUGGUGCCCUAUUUAAAGUGAAUGCAGCUGUUUCUAAUGCAUAGACUCAAAAUGAUAACGGCAAAUCAGUAAGAGACAUCAUAGAUCGCACCAUCUCUAAUAGAGUACGAUUACGACGUUCGGACACACCAUUACGCUGUGGUGUUCAAUUCCACAUUGUCUUAAGUGAGAACCAAACUCGAAACUCAGAUAUUCACCCCCACGAUCAGACCGUAGGAACUUGAUCUUCUUGUUACGAUGAUUUUACACUUCACUCUGAAACUGCUUGAACUUUUCAAAUGUUUCAGACUUGUGUUUCAUCAAGUAGACAUAACCAUAUCUACUUAAAUCGUCAGUGAAGGUGAGAAAAUAACGAUAUCCGCCGCGUGCCUCCACGCUCAUCGGACCACACACAUCAGUAUGUAUGAUUUCCAACAAGUCACUUGCACGCUCCAUUGUUCCUGAGAACGGAGUCUUAGUCAUCUUGCCCAUGAGGCAUGGUUCGCACGUGUCAAGUGAAUCAAAGUCAAGUGACUCCAAAAGUCCAUCAGCAUGGAGUUUCUUCAUGCGCUUUACACCAAUAUGAUGUAAGCGGCAGUGCCACAAAAAUAUGGCGCUAUCAUUGUUAACUCUAACUCUUUUGGUCUCAGUGUUAUGUAUAUGCGUAUCACUAUCAAGAUUCAAUAUGAAAAAUCCUCUCACAUUCGGUGCAUGACCAUAAAAGAUGUUACUCAUAGAAAUAGAACAACCAUUAUUCUCUGACUUAAAAGAGUAACCGUCUCGCAAUAAACAAGAUCCAGAUAUAAUGUUCAUGCUCAACGCAGGCACUAAAUAACAAUGAUUUAAGUUCAUCACUAAUCCUGAUGGUAACUGAAGUGACACUAUGCCGACGGCGAUUGCAUCAACCUUGGAACCAUUUCCUACGCGCAUCGUCACUUCAUCUUUCGCCAGCCUUCGCCUAUUCCGCAGUUCCUGUUUCGAGUUGUAAAUAUGAGCAACAAAACCGGUAUCGAAUACCCAGGCACUACUACGAGAGCCGGUUAAGUACACAUCAAUAACAUGUAUAUCAAAUAUACCUGAUUUUUCUUUGCCCGCCUUCUUAUCUGCCAGAUACUUGGGGCAAUUGCGCUUCCAGUGACCCAUACCCUUGCAAUAGUAACACUCUGUUUCCGGCUUAGGUCCAGCUUUGGGUUUCUUCGUCGGAUUGGCAACAGGCUUGCCGCUCUUCUUCGAAUUGCCCUUCUUGCCUUUGCCGUUUCUCUUGAAACUAGUGGUCUUAUUCACCAUCAACACUUGAUGCUCUUUACGGAGUUCAGACUCUGCGACUUUCAGCAUCGCAAACAACUCGCCGGGAGACUUGUUCAUCCCUUGCAUGUUGUAGUUCAACACAAAGCCUUUAUAGCUUGGCGGCAGUGAUUGAAGGAUUCUGUCAGUGAUAGCUUCUUGCGGGAGUUCAAUCCCCAGCUCAGCUAGACGGUUUGAGUACCCAGACAUUUUGAUCACAUGUUCACUGACAGAUGAGUUUUCCUCCAUCUUGCAAGCAUAGAAUUUAUCGGAGGUCUCAUACCUCUCGAUCCGGGCGUUCUUCUGAAAGAUAAACUCCAACUCCUGGAACAUCUCAAAUGCUCCAUGACGCUCAAAGCGACGUUGAAGUCACGGUUCUAAGCCAUACAAGACUGCACAUUGAACUAUUGAGUAGUCCUCCUUACGUGCUAACCAAGCGUUCUUAACAUCCUGAUCAGCCGUAGCGGGUGUUCAUCUCCUAACGCAUCAUUAAGGACAUAAUCCUUCUUCCCAGCUUGUAAGAUUAGCUUAAGAUUACGAGCCCAGUCUACAAAGUUGCUUCCAUCAUCUUUCAACUUAGCUUUCUCUAGGAACGUAUUAAAAUUCAGGAUGACUGUCGCGUGAGCCAUGAUCUACAACACAAAUAUAUUCAAAGUGGACUUAGACUAUGUUCAAGAUAAUUAGAGUUUAACUUAAUCAAACUAUUCGCUAAACUCCCACUCAAAAAGUACAUCUCUCUAGUCAUUUGAGUGGUUCAUGAUCCACUUACACUAGCUCAAGUCCGAUCAUCACGUGAGUUGAGUAUAGUUUCAGUGGUAAGCAUCCCUAUGCUAAUCAUAUCAUCUAUAUGAUUCAUGAUCGACCUUUCGGUCUCAUGUGUUCCGAGGCCAUGUCUGCACAUGCUAGGCUCGUCAAGCUUAACCCGAGUGUUCCACGUGCGCAACUGUUUUGCACCCGUUGUAUGUGAACGUUGAGUCUAUCACACCCGAUCAUCACGUGGUGUCUCGAAACGACGAACUGUAGCAACGGUGCACAUUCGGGGAGAACACAAUUUCGUCUUGAAAUUUUAGUGAGAGAUCACCUCAUAAUGCUACCGUCGUUCUAAGCAAAAUAAGGUGCAUAAAAGGAUUAACAUCACAUGCAAUUCAUAAGUGACAUGAUAUGGCCAUCAUCACGUGCUUCUUGAUCUCCAUCACCAAAGCACCGACACGAUCUUCUUGUCACCGGCGCCACACCAUGAUCUCCAUCUACGUGUUGACAUCGGGGUUGUCGUGCUACUCACGCUAUUACUACUAAAGCUACUUCCUAGCAAAAUAGUAAACGCAUCUGCAAGCACACACGUUAGUAUAAAGACAACCCUAUGGCUCCUGCCGGUUGCCGUACCAUCGACGUGCAAGUCGAUAUUUCUAUUACAACAUGAUCAUCUCAUACAUCCAAUAUAUCACAUCACAUCAUUGGCCAUAUCACAUCACAAGCAUACCCUGCAAAAACAAGUUAGACGUCCUCUAAUUUUGUUGUUGCAUGUUUUACGUGGUGACCAUGGGUAUCUAGUAGGAUCGCAUCUUACUUACGCAAACACCACAACGGAGAUAUAUGAGUUGCUAUUUAAUCUCAUCCAAGGACCUCCUCGGUCAAAUCCGAUUCAACUAAAGUUGGAGAAACCGACACUUGCCAGUCAUCUUUGAGCAAUGGAGUUACUCGUAACGAUGAAACCAGUCUCUCGUAAGCGUACGAGUAAUGUCGGUCCAAGCCGCUUCAAUCCAACAAUACCGCGGAAUCAAGAAAAGACUAAGGAGGGCAGCAAAACGCACAUCACCGCCCACAAAAACUUUUGUGUUCUACUCGAGAAGACAUCUACGCAUGAACCUAGCUCAUGAUGCCACUGAUGGGGAACGUCGCAUGGGAAACAAAAAUUUUCCUACGCGCACGAAGACCUAUCAUGGUGAUGUCCAUCUACGAGACGGGAUGAGUGAUCUACGUACCCUUGUAGAUCGUACAGCAGAAGCGUUAGUGAACGCGGUUGAUGUAGUGGAACGUCCUCACGUCCCUCGAUCCGCCCCGCGAACAAUCCCGCGAUCAGUCCCACGAUCUAGUACCGAACGGACGGCACCUCCGCGUUCAGCACACGUACAGCUCGACGAUGAUCUCGGCCUUCUUGAUCCAGUAAGAGAGACGGAGAGGUAGAAGAGUUCUCCGGCAGCGUGACGGCGCUCCGGAGGUUGGUGAUGACCUUGUCUCAGCAGGGCUCCGCCCGAGCUCCGCAGAAACGCGAUCUAGAGGAAAAACCGUGGAGGUAUGUGGUCGGGCUGCCGUGGAAAAGUCGUCUCAAAUCAGCCCUAAAACCUCCGUAUAUAUAGGUGGGAGGGAGGGGACCUUGCCUUGGGGCUCAAGGAGCCCCAAGGGGGUCGGCCGAGUCCAAGGGGGGAGGACUCCCCCCCCAAACCGAGUUGGACUUGGUUUGGUGGGAGGGAAUCCCCCUUCCUUCCCACCUCCUCCUUUUUUUUUCCUUUUCUCUUGAUUUUCUCUUCUUGGCGCAUAGAGCCCUUUUGGGCUGUCCCACCAGCCCACUAAGGGCUGGUGUGCCACCCUCAAGGCCUAUGGGCUUCCUCGGGGUGGGUUGCCCCCCCGGUGAACUCCCGGAACCUAUUCGUCAUUCCCGGUACAUUCCCGGUAACUCCGAAAACCUUCCGGUAAUCAAAUGAGGUCAUCCUAUAUAUCAAUCUUUGUUUCCGGACUAUUCCGGAAACCCUCGCGACGUCCGUGAUCUCAUCCGGGACUCCGAACAACAUUCAGUAACCAAAUAUAUAACUCAAAUACGCAUAAAACAACGUCGAACCUUAAGUGUGCAGACCCUGCGGGUUCGAGAACUAUGCAGACAUGACCCGACAGACUCCUCGGUCAAUAUCCAAUAGCGGGACCUGGAUGCCCAUAUUGGAUCCUACAUAUUCUACGAAGAUCUUAUCGUUUGAACCUCAGUGCGAAGGAUUCAUAUAAUCCCGUAUGUCAUUCCCUUUGUCCUUCGGUAUGUUACUUGCCCGAGAUUCGAUCGUCAGUAUCCGUAUACCUAUUUCAAUCUCGUUUACCGGCAAGUCUCUUUACUCGUUACGCAAUACAAGAUCCCGCAACUUACACUAAGUUAUAUUGCUUGCAAGGCUUGUGUGUGAUGUUGUAUUACCGAGUGGGCCCCGAGAUACCUCUCCGUCACACGGAGUGACAAAUCCAAGUCUUGAUCCAUACUAACUCAACUAACACCUUCGGAGAUACCUGUAGAGCAUCUUUAUAGUCACCCAGUUACGUUGCGACGUUUGAUACACACAAAGCAUUCCUCCGGUGUCAGUGAGUUAUAUGAUCUCAUGGUCAUAGGAAUAAAUACUUGACAUGCAGAAAACAGUAGCAACAAAAUGACACGACCAACAUGCUAUGUCUAUUAGUUUGGGUCUAGUCCAUCACGUGAUUCUCCUAACGACGUGAUCCAGUUAUCAAGCAACAACACCUUGUUCAUAAUCAGAAGACACUGACUAUCUUUGAUCAACUGGCUAGCCAACUAGAGGCUUGCUAGGGACGGUGUUUUGUCUAUGUAUCCACACAUGUAAAUGAGUCUUCAUUCAAUACAAUUAUAGCAUGGAUAAUAAACGAUUAUCUUGAUACAUGAAUUAUAAUAAUAAAUAUAUUUAUUAUUGCCUCUAGGGCAUAAUUCCAACACUCAAACCUUUCAUCCGAGCGCAACUUUUUCUUCGGGCCUCGUCUCUUUACCGAAGUUGUGCUCGAUCCAGAGGGCUAGAAAAAGAAGAAAGACGAGAGUUAAUUAAUAUGUGUACAUACGAAAACAAUGAAUGCAUCAAUUAGCUAGUCAGCACAGGCUUAACUAAUAUAUAUACCUGGCCGAACUCGGUUCGGUCACCGGAGCCAUCAUAAUCAUAACCUUCUUCUUGUGCCGGCAUUAAUGGGUCACCUGAGCCAUCAUAAUCGUAGCCUUCUUAUUCACCCUGUCCUUCUAGACCAUCGGUGUCUUUGAGAAACGACAAGACGACAUCACUUCCUUUUGCGAUUAUUUCCCCCAACAUCUCUUCUGUUGCUUCGUCUCGGGGGUGCUCCAAAGUUUCUGCAAAUAUUUACAACAUGGCAAUUAUUAUUCAAACAUGAAAGAUGGAUAUAUUAGUGGCAAACGUAGAACUAGCUAGCUAAUCACAAUAAGGAAUCAUAUUAGUGGCCUUGACGCUGCUUCUCUAGGGUUUGGGGUGGCCUUGGCAACGCUUCAAGGGUUUGGGUUGGCCUCGAGAACACUUCAAGGGUUUGGGGUGGCCUCGACGACAAUGCUCUUUUAACUUGGUUAAUUUUGGUGGCCUCAAGAGAGUUUGUCGGGUAGGGGCGCGAUGGGAGGGGUUAGGAAACCAACAUCGUUUUUUCRAGGGUUUGGGUAUAUCGGGAGGGGGUAUAUCGACCCCCCCCGUGUUGAAGUUAUCGGGAGGGGGUAUAUCGACAACGACAUACCCGAUAAAAAAUAAGAAGACAAAAGAAGAAAUAAAAAGAGGAGAAGAAGAAAGGAAUAGAAGAGAAGCGAUCGAAGAAAAAAAAGAAGAAGAAAAGGAGAAGAAGAAAGGAAUAGAGAAGAAGAAGNNNNNNNNNNNNNNNNNNNNNNNNNNNNNNNNNNNNNNNNNNNNNNNNNNNNNNNNNNNNNNNNNNNNNNNNNNNNNNNNNNNNNNNNNNNNNNNNNNNNNNNNNNNNNNNNNNNNNNNNNNNNNNNNNNNNNNNNNNNNNNNNNNNNNNNNNNNNNNNNNNNNNNNNNNNNNNNNNNNNNNNNNNNNNNNNNNNNNNNNNNNNNNNNNNNNNNNNNNNNNNNNNNNNNNNNNNNNNNNNNNNNNNNNNNNNNNNNNNNNNNNNNNNNNNNNNNNNNNNNNNNNNNNNNNNNNNNNNNNNNNNNNNNNNNNNNNNNNNNNNNNNNNNNNNNNNNNNNNNNNNNNNNNNNNNNNNNNNNNNNNNNNNNNNNNNNNNNNNNNNNNNNNNNNNNNNNNNNNNNNNNNNNNNNNNNNNNNNNNNNNNNNNNNNNNNNNNNNNNNNNNNNNNNNNNNNNNNNNNNNNNNNNNNNNNNNNNNNNNNNNNNNNNNNNNNNNNNNNNNNNNNNNNNNNNNNNNNNNNNNNNNNNNNNNNNNNNNNNNNNNNNNNNNNNNNNNNNNNNNNNNNNNNNNNNNNNNNNNNNNNNNNNNNNNNNNNNNNNNNNNNNNNNNNNNNNNNNNNNNNNNNNNNNNNNNNNNNNNNNNNNNNNNNNNNNNNNNNNNNNNNNNNNNNNNNNNNNNNNNNNNNNNNNNNNNNNNNNNNNNNNNNNNNNNNNNNNNNNNNNNNNNNNNNNNNNNNNNNNNNNNNNNNNNNNNNNNNNNNNNNNNNNNNNNNNNNNNNNNNNNNNNNNNNNNNNNNNNNNNNNNNNNNNNNNNNNNNNNNNNNNNNNNNNNNNNNNNNNNNNNNNNNNNNNNNNNNNNNNNNNNNNNNNNNNNNNNNNNNNNNNNNNNNNNNNNNNNNNNNNNNNNNNNNNNNNNNNNNNNNNNNNNNNNNNNNNNNNNNNNNNNNNNNNNNNNNNNNNNNNNNNNNNNNNNNNNNNNNNNNNNNNNNNNNNNNNNNNNNNNNNNNNNNNNNNNNNNNNNNNNNNNNNNNNNNNNNNNNNNNNNNNNNNNNNNNNNNNNNNNNNNNNNNNNNNNNNNNNNNNNNNNNNNNNNNNNNNNNNNNNNNNNNNNNNNNNNNNNNNNNNNNNNNNNNNNNNNNNNNNNNNNNNNNNNNNNNNNNNNNNNNNNNNNNNNNNNNNNNNNNNNNNNNNNNNNNNNNNNNNNNNNNNNNNNNNNNNNNNNNNNNNNNNNNNNNNNNNNNNNNNNNNNNNNNNNNNNNNNNNNNNNNNNNNNNNNNNNNNNNNNNNNNNNNNNNNNNNNNNNNNNNNNNNNNNNNNNNNNNNNNNNNNNNNNNNNNNNNNNNNNNNNNNNNNNNNNNNNNNNNNNNNNNNNNNNNNNNNNNNNNNNNNNNNNNNNNNNNNNNNNNNNNNNNNNNNNNNNNNNNNNNNNNNNNNNNNNNNNNNNNNNNNNNNNNNNNNNNNNNNNNNNNNNNNNNNNNNNNNNNNNNNNNNNNNNNNNNNNNNNNNNNNNNNNNNNNNNNNNNNNNNNNNNNNNNNNNNNNNNNNNNNNNNNNNNNNNNNNNNNNNNNNNNNNNNNNNNNNNNNNNNNNNNNNNNNNNNNNNNNNNNNNNNNNNNNNNNNNNNNNNNNNNNNNNNNNNNNNNNNNNNNNNNNNNNNNNNNNNNNNNNNNNNNNNNNNNNNNNNNNNNNNNNNNNNNNNNNNNNNNNNNNNNNNNNNNNNNNNNNNNNNNNGUUGCCAUCAAGGGUAAAAAGAUGGGGUUUUUAUCAUUGGUUUGAGAUUAUCCCUCUACAUCAUGUCAUCUUGCCUAAGGCGUUACUCUGUUCUUAUGGACUUAAUACACUAGAUGCAUGCUGGAUAGCGGUCGACGUGUGGAGUAAUAGUAGUAGAUGCAGACAGUAUCGGUCUACUUGUUUCGGACGUGAUGCCUAUAGAAAUAAUCAUUGCAUAGAUAUCAUCACGACUCUGCACAGUUCUAUCAAUUGCUCGAUAGUAAUUUGUUCACCCAUCGUCUACUUGCUUUCAUGAGAGAAGCCACUAGUAAACACUACGGCCCCCGGGUCUAUUCACAUCCAUCGUUUACAACUCUGCUUUUACUUUGCUUUGUUACUUUGUUGCUUUCAGUUCUCACUUGGCAAACAAUCUAUAAGGGAUUGACAACCCCUUCAUAGUGUUGGGUGCAAGCUUUUGUGUUUGUGCAGGAUCUUGAGAUACUCUUCCGCCGGAUUGAUGCCUUGGUUCUCAAACUGAGGGAAAUACUUACCACCGCUACACUAAAUCACCCUUUCUGCUUCGAGGGAACACCAACUCAAGGCUCCAAGGCCACGGGGGAAAUCCUUUGCAUACUUGCCUAGGAAGUCCCUUAAGGCGUAGCCGCAACAGAAAGAUCAAGCCAAGUAUUCUCCCGUCGACGUGCCUAUUUCUGGCGCCAUUGCCAGGGAUACCCAACAAACGUCAGAAGUAUUUCUGGCGCCAUUGGAAGGUCUUUUGUUGCAGUAGCACGCGGCGCGGCAACAUGAUUUAAAACACCGAAACACGUCCGACGAUAGACCGAAUACGGUGCCACUAUGGUCGACCGUUCGGGUACCAGACGGACUCCGAUUGCGACGAAAUUCGACAGGCGGCCUAGCUAUAUUAAAAUAAGACCGCAUGUCAAAUUCCAACCCAAUUAGAGAAUGUUUUUAACACACUUUUAAAAACAAGAUUUAAACGAUGCCGCGGGCGUGUGCGUGUGUGGUCGGGCUCAGAACGGACAACGACGAGAACCGACAACUACCAACGGAUGCAAGUUUGAAAACUGGCGGCAACGGAGAUGCCUAUGCAAUGCUGAUGAUGCGCAUGAUGCGACAAAUAAAAAUAAACACACGACGAAAACGGAAUAGAAGGGGGGAAUCUUCUGGAACGUCGGUCUCGGGCUGUCACAGUGGGACCUGAGGCUCCUCUCGAGCCGGAGUCUUCCACAACGACCGCAAGGUGUUCAACGCUUUGCCCAAGGUACAAAUGGACUCCAAUGAUGAGUAUUUUUUUCUACCACGUUCUUUUGGAGUCGAAUGAUUCUUUAUUUGAUGAUGAGGAGAUGGUGGCGGCCGCAUUGGUUGUCCAUGACCACGUAAGUAUGGAGCGCUCACAGUUUAAGGGCUCUAUAUAUGCCGAUGCACAUGCCGACACAGAGUUGCAACCGGGAGAAUGGCCAUUUCCUACUGUGGAAAGACUAUUUCGAGACCCAAAAUCCGCUCAUCAAACAUCACUUGUUCCACCAUCAUUUUCGGAUGGCCAGACAUGUUUUCAACCGUAUUCGAGAGGGGGUGGUUGAGUAAGAUAACUAUUUCGAGUGCAAGACGGAUGCCCUUGGAAAGAUUGGCUUUUCUCUUGUCAGAAUGCACUACUGUCAUUCGGAUGCUUGCAUAUGGAGUCCCCGACAAUCUCAUUGAUGAGUAUGUCCGGAUGAGUGAGUCCACCUGACUUUAGUCCAUGUAUAGAUUUUGCAGGGCUGUCAUAGCUGUGUUUGGGCCGGAGAAAUUGAGAGAGCCAACAUUUGUCGAUACCGCCCGGUUCUUGUCCAUGAAUGCCACUAGAGUGGUCCACGGGAUGCUUGGUAGCAUAGAUUGUAUGCACUAGAAGUGGAAAAACUGUUCUUCUGCUUGGCAAGGGGAGUAUAAGGGUCAUGUUUGAGCUUGCACUGUCAUACUUGAGUGUUGGAAAUAUGCCCUAGAGGCAAUAAUAAAUAGUUAUUAUUAUAUUUCUUGUUUUAAGAUAAUCGUUUAUUAUUCAUGAUAUAAUUGUAUUGAGCGGAAACACAAAUACAUGUGUGGAUACAUAGACAAAAUACUGCCCCUAGUAAGCCUCUAGUUGACUAGUUUGUUGAUCAAAGAUGGUUAGUGCUUCAUAGCCAUGGACAAGUGUUGUCACUUGAUAACGGGAUCACAUCAUUAGGAGAAUGAUGUCAUGGACAAGACCCAAACUAUGAACGUAGCAUAUGAUUGUGUUAUUUUGUUGCUAUUGUUUUCUGCAUGUCAAGUAUACAUUCCUAUGACCAUGAGAUCAUGUAACUCACUAACACCGGAGGAAUGCUUUGUGUGUAUCAAACGUCGCAACGUAACUGGGUGACUAUAAAGGUGCACUAUAGGUAUCUGCGAAGGUGUCCAUUGAGUUAGCAUGGAUCAGACUGGGAUUUGUCACUCCGUAUGACAGAGAGGUAUCUUGGGGCCCACUCGGUAAUACAACAUCACAAACAAGCCUUGCAAGCAAUGUGACUAAAGAGUUAGCCACGGGAUCUUGUAUUGUGGAACAAGUAAAGAGACUUGCCGAUCAUGAGAUUGAAACAGGUAUUGGGAUACCGACGAUCGAAUCUCAGACAAGUAACAUACCGAAGGACAAAGGGAAUGAUAUACGAGAUUAUGUGAAUCCUUGACAUAGAGGUUCAACCGAUGAGAUCAUCGUAGAAUAUGUAGGAUCCGAUAUGGGCAUCUAGGUCCAGCUAUUGGAUAUUGACCGGAGAGUGUCUCAGGUCAUGUCUACAUAGUUCUUGAACCCACAGGGUCUGCACGCUUAAGGUUCGGUGAUGUUUUUGUAUAGUUGAGUUAUGUGUGCUGGUGACCGAAGUUUUGUUCGAAGUCCCGGAUGACAUCCCGGACGUCACGAGGAGUUCCGGAAUGGUUCGGAGACAAAGACUGAUAUAUAGGGAGUUGGUGUUUGUAUUCCGGAAGGAUUUCGGGCAUUACCGGUAGUGUACCGAGAGUGACGAAUGGGUUCCGGGUGCCCACCUAGUGGGCCCACCACUCCCCAAGAGGGCCACGUGGACUUGAUGGUGGCGAAUAGCUCUUAGUGGGCUGUAUAGUCAACCAAAGAAAGCCUGUGAGGUAAAAGUGGUAAAACCAAAAGAGGUGGACAACUUGGGGAAGAGUCCUACUCCAAGUAGGAUUGGAGGAGGACUCCUCCUCUCUAGCUUCGGUCGAGCCCAAGGGGGUUUCCCUUGGUGCUCAAGGCUAGCCCCUCCUUCCUCCUAUAUAUACAAGAGGUUUUGGGGGGUUUUGAGACACAAUUUCAGCCACGUGCAACCCUAUCCUCUAGUUCGUAGUUCUUCCUCUAGAUUGGAUUUCUGCAGUGCUUAGGCGAAGCCCUACAGGAAUAGAUCACCACCACCACUGGAGCGUCGUCACGCUGCUGGGGAACUCAUCUACAUCCCCGUCUCUCUUGCUGGAUCAAGAAGGCGGAGAUUGUCAUCGAGCUGUACGUGUGCGGAACGCGGAGGUGUCGUCUGUUCGGUACUUGAUCAGGACGGAUCGUGGGACGACGUUUUGCAUCGCGAAGACGUACCACUACAUCAACCACGUUUAUUAAUGCUUCCCACUUAGCGAUCUACAAGGUUAUGUGGAUCCGAUGUCCCUCUCAUAGAUGAUCAUCACCAUGAUAGGUCGUCGUGUGCGUAGGAAAUUUUUUGUUUCCCAUGCAACGUUCACCAACAUUGAGGCCAUGGCUUUCCAAGAUCUCUGGAUUUGGCACGCUUUCUUCAGCAUGGCCGGAUCUCACAACGAUAUUAAUGUGCUCCAGUGCUCUCCGGUGUUUGCUAGAAUGGCAGAAGGCAAUUGCCCAGAGGUUAAUGUUGAGAUCAACGGGCACUAGUACACCAACGGACACUAUCUAGCUGGUCGUAUCUAUCCACAUUGGUCUACUCUUGUGAAAACAAUCUCCAACCCUGUAGGAGAGAAUAGUACGAGAUUUUCCCAAGAGCAAGAGAGUGUUAGAAAGGAUGUAGAGCAUACUUUUGGCGUUCUUCAAUCUUGAUGGGGCAUCGUUCAAUAUCCUGCUAGAACUUGGAGCAUGAAAAAGUUGUGGAAGGUGAUGACAAGUUGUGUGAUCAUGCACAACAUGAUUGUAGAGGAUGAGCGCCCAAAACGUCUCUGUGAUCAAGGUUUUGAGUUUCCGGAUGACAAUGUUGUGCCUGAACUUGCAGGAGAGGCAACGUUUGCAUAGUUCGUCAAGUUUCAUCAUAAAAUGCGUGAUUGGGAUACUCACAUGCAGCUGUAAAAUGAUUUGGUUGAGCAUAUGUGGAUUCAUGUCGGCAACCAGUAGAUGUACCGACAACCAUUUUUAAAAAUGUAUUUGAGACAAUUUUGUGUUAAACAAUGAUAUAUUUUUUGUAGUUCUCGAACUAUGCAAUGUUUUGUAUUGAACAUUUAUUAAUCUAGAAACAAUUUUUAUUAAUCAAAGCGACCAAAAAAUGACCGCAAGCCAGCCGCGCGGACAAAAAAUGGGUCGCCCCGUUGGGCGCAUGGCCGACCCAUUUGCAAAAGAGGCGGACGAGCCAACCCAAUUGUAGAAAUGGCGGACAAAGCAUGUGUCCGUCUGGGUCGCGCGGUUGGAGUUGCUUUUAUCCUCCUUUCCACUCUCGCUGACGGUGGCCUCAAUGUUCAAACAAUCAUAACACAUUUGAAUGUUGUUAAUUCUAAGACGUCUCUCUUUCUCGGCAUGACAAAUAUGCUUUUUUGUGAUAUUUUGACUAGGCAUGCAUGAUUAUAGUACCUUUUCCGUCUCCCAUACCGGUUUUGUUGGAGUAUUCAAUUUUAAUUCGGAUCGACGCCGAUAUGAGAAAAAGAUGGAUCAUGCGUUAUGGUUAAGGUUGCACCUUAAAUAGCAUUUUUAAAUGGUUAACGGGUAAAAUAUCAUCGUAUUUAGAUUCUACAUAUUCUUUUAAUUAAAUUUCAUAUAUAAUACUUUCCCUAUUGUUACAGAAGCUGCAUCUUAGAUUUCCUUUCCAAUUCCGUUUUGCCAGAUUGUCUUUUGUUAGAAUAACACCUUUGUGGACAAACCAUAUGAAGAUCUUUAUUCUGAGAGGCACUUUAACUUUCCAAAUACGCACGGAUUUUGGAAUAGGCACCACUUUUGGGGAACGUUGCAUGGGAAACAAAAAAUUUUCUAUGCAAACGAAGACCUAUCAUGGUGAUGUCCAUUUACGAGUGGAGAUUAGAUCUACGUACCCUUGUAGAUCGCACAACGGGAAGCGUUAAGAAACGCGGUUGAUGUAGUGGAACGUCUUCACGUCCCUCGAACCGUCCCACGAACCGUCCCUCGAUCUGCCCCACGAACCGUCUCGCGAUCCGUCCCACGAUCCAUCCCGAUCUAGCGCCGAACGGACGGCACCUCCGUGUUCAUGUGACAGCUCGAUGCCGACGUUCCAGAAGAUUCCCCCCUUUAUUCCGUUUUCGUCGUGUGACUUAUUUUAUUUGUCGCAUCAUCACCGCAUCAUGCACAUCAUCAGCAUUGCAUCGACAUCCGUUGCCGUCCGUUUUCAAAACUUGCAUCCGUUGUUAGUUGCUGGUACCCGUCGUUGUCCGUUCUGAGCCCGACCUCACACGCCCGCGCCCGCGGCAUCGUCAAAACCCUGUUUUAAAAGUGUGCGUAAAACUUUCUCUGAUUGGGUUGAGAUUUGACGUGCGGUGUUAUUUUAAUAUAGGUAGGCCGCCUGUCGAAUUUCGUCGCGAUCGGAGUCCGUCUGGUACCCGAACGGUCGACUGUAGCGGCACCGUAUUCGGACUACCGUCGGACGUUUGUCGGUGUUUUAAAUCGCGUUGCCGCGCCGCCCGUUUUCCCUCUCGUCUCUGGAUAACCACUCUUCACAGCCCACUAGUUCCACCUAGCCACUUCCUCCGUUCGUGGUCAUCAGAUCGCGAUCGGACGGACGAGGUCCACCCCACGAGAGACCAACCCUAUAUAAGUAACACCCCCCCAGAGAGAGCCCUCUCACUUCACUAGUGUUUCCCCUAGUCAUUUUUGCAGCCACCCCCUCAAAAACUCCACCUUCUAGCCCUCACCCUUCUAAAUCCUGCAGCCCAAACCCUCUGACCAAAUCUGGCCAUUGGAUUUGCAUCUAAUGGCUCACAUAGCCCCUAAUCUCACCUACCGGACAAUGUCCACCCAAGUGGACAAUGUCCGGGCGACCACAUGAGCCUCUCGUGCAGCCCGCAGCCUCCCGUUCUCCUCCUACACGCCUGCCUCAGCCAUCUCCCUCUCCUCCCACUGGUUCUCGUCGUCCGCAGCCGCCGGAUCGGUUCCCCGGCCAGGUCCGGCUCAUCCCCGCUACCCGCCGACCUCCUGGCAGCAGGUCACCGCCGGCCCCGUUCCCCUGCGCCGCCCCGCAGCCAGAUCUGGAGCUCGCAUCCCUGCAGCCGCCCGGAUCCAUCUUUCCCGACCGGCUCCUGGUCAGAUCCCGCGGAGAAGGUCUCAGGUCGUCGCCGCGCCGGGUCCCUGGGACGGCUCGAGUCGACGCAGAGGCGAGGCAGCGCUCGCUGGCCUCCCGCCGCCCCGCUCGCGUUGACCAGCGUCUGGUCGCGCGUGGCGCCAGCGCCACCAACCGCCGCGGCCCAGGCUCCUCCGCCCCGGCCCAGGUCGACGCCCCGCAGGCCGGCCUAGCUCGGCCUGCCUGCCUCCAGCUCCACCAGACCGACCCCAGGCCCACCUCAAGCCGGCCCAAGUGGCCUUGCCCAGGUGAGAAACCCCCCUGUUGAGUCCCUCUAUUCCUCGCCCCAGAUGUGUGAUUGCCAUUUUGCGCCCUAGUUCGGCCCAUUAGGUAAUUUAGGAUAUUUUAGAAUUUAUUUAAAAUUCCAGAAAUAGACGAAUAUUAUUUUGCCCGUAGAUUUUAUUCCGUAAGUCGGAUCACGACGUGUAGCAUAUGGAUUUCGCGUAGUUUUGCGCGUAGAAUACGUUGGUGCAACUUGCAUAUUUGUUUUACAUGACGUCCAGGCAUGAAAGUCGUUUGAGUAGAUUGCACUACCGAAUGAGCAACCUUAGUCAACCUAUUAGUUCCCACCUUUGUGAAAAUCUUGAAGCUAACAUUCAACAGUCAAAUAGGACGAAAUUUUUCAAUACGCACUGCCCCUUCCUUCUUUGGUAACAACGUAAUGGUACCAAAAUUCAGGUGAAAGAGUUUUAGUCUUCCACAGAACAAGUCAUGAAACAUUGGCAUAAAGUCAUUCUUAAUUAUAUGCCAACUCUUCUUAUAAAACUCAGCUGGAAACCCAUCCGGACCAGGAGCUUUGUUGUUCUUCAUUUUUCCUAUAGCCUCAAGCACCUCUUUCUCCGUGAAAGGAGCGGAUAAAAUCUCAUUAUCAACGUCUCUGAUUUGAGGAAUAUCCGCCACCCUUUGCUCAUCCAUAGAGACAAAACUAUGGUCUCGAGCUCCAAACAGCUGUUUGUAAUAUGAUGAAAUGUAUAAUUUUAGGUUCUCAUGACCUACUAUCAUACCUUCAUCUUGUUCUAGCUGCAAAAUUUUAUUUUCCUAUGCUUGCCAUUUUCAAUUAAAUGGGAAUUUUUUGUGUUAUUGUCCCCAUGGACAAUGGCCCUUACUUUGGCUCUAAGUGCCCAUUUCAUUUCCUCCUCUCUAAGGAGUAAUCACACUCUCUAUUCAACCUCGUUUUUCGAUGCCCGUUCAUUUGCAUCUAAUAAACAAGACUCGGCUUUGCGGUCAAGAUCAUCUAUAAGUUUGAGAAGCAUGUCUUGCUCCUCCUUAUAUAAUCCAAAUUCAUUCUUAGCCCAUCCCCGUAGGAACUGUCUAAGAUGUCUGAUCUUGUUUUGCCACCUUUCAACGUUUGAUGUCCCACCUAACUCCUGGUUCCACUCCCUAGCAAUCAGAUCCAUGAAACCUUCUCUCAAGGACCAACUUGAUUCAAAAGAGAAACUGUUCUUUUUACCGUUCACCGGAAUCAAGCAAUAGCGGAGUAUGGUCAGAAAUCGCCCGUUGGAGAGCUCGUACUGUUACUAGUGGGAACUUUUGCUCCCAUUCGAUGCUAGUCAGUACCCGGUCUAGCUUUUCGAAAGUCUGGUUCUGUAAAGAAUUAGCCCAAGUAAACUUCCUCCAUGUGAGCUCAAUCUCCGUGAGGUCGAGGCUCUCGAUAAUUGUGUUAAACAUAAAUGGCCAUCUGCCAUCAAAAUUAUCGUUAUUCUUUUCAACAGACCUCCGAAUGAUAUUAACAUCACCCCAACUAAUAGAGGUAAUUUUUCAUCACAAAUCCGGACCAGAUCAGCCAGAAAAUCAGGUUUUAACUCUGUUUGGGCUGCACCAUACACAACAACUAGAGCCCAUUGAAAACCAUCAUUCUUAGUUCUAAUCCUAAAUUUUACCGCAAAAUCCCCCAACACCACUUCCCGCACCUGCAAUGAUUCACACUGAACUCCAAGUAAAAUCCCACCGGAUCUUCCUCUUGGAGGGAGACAGUGCCAAUCAAACUCCAUGCCAGCUGAAAGAGUAUUUAGGAACUGGGAAGUGAAAUUAUCUCUCCCUGUCUCCAUGAGGGCGAUAAAAUCAAGUUUGUGCUCUACCGUAGCCUCCGCUAGGAAUCUAAUUUUAGCCAAGUCUUUUAGACCUCUGCUAUUCCAAAAGAUCCCUCUCAUAUUUCAUCAUAGAAUUUUUUAGCAGUCUUAAAUCUGGCACUCGUACGCACUGCAGAAACCGGAUAUAUUUUCUGUUUCCAAGUUCGUUUUGUUUUUUCAGCACCAAACUCCUUGUCCAUAUAACCGGGUAGUUGAGUGCCCAUAUCAAUAUUUUACCCAACAGUGAAACACUCAUCCGAGACCUGAUUAUCUUCCUCCUCCUGGUCCUCUAUAGGGGCAAGAUUCUCACAAAGAGCAUUCAAACCCCCGAGAUCAUUAAUCUCAUCGUCAUUCAUUGGCUUGGCAGCAGCCAUAUUUCGUAUUUAUAUUAAGAUAUAAAGAGAAAAUUUUCUUUAUUAAUCAUUGAUCAAUUCUGUGUACAAAGGAUGCUCUCCUAUUUAUAUAGCUAGAGGUAGGGGAUAAUUGCCCGCAUUAACGUUAAGUGGGGGAAAUGAUCGGUCAAAGGAGGAUGUUGGCCGAGUCAGGCCGCAUCUGGUCCUAGGUGCCGUUGGUUUCCCAACACUCCUUUUUGGGCAGUUAUCCGUAUAACCAUGUCUCAAAACUCCGAAAAACCUAAUAAAGAAAAAUACAAAGAAAGAACACAUAGUAUACGUUGUUGUAUUGCACGAAUUGCCUCAUCAAAAACCUCAUGUGAGAAACAUCAUGAAAACUCACUCAAGGGAAAAAGACUACAAUCCACUCAACCAUCAGGUUGAGUACUCAAUCAUCGGGAUCGAGAUUUUAACGAUGAGUUUGUGAAGUUUCUUCCUCGGAACCUUACAUCUCUCUAAGUCACAUCAUACCGAUUCCACGCACACACCCCUCAAAGUAUGUUGUCGGUAAUGAUUUAGUGAAUAUAUCAACAAGAUUGCCACAUGACUUAGUAUGCAAAAUUCUCACCUCGUUCAUCUGUUGCAGCUCAUGUGCCUAGAAGAACUUGGGACUAAUAUGCUUUAUGAGGUUACUCUUCACAUAACCCAUCUGAACUUUCCCGUAGGCAUAGUCCUCGGCCAGGAGGUACGGACUAUGCCUACGGCUUUACCAUGGACAUAGAUGCAAAACUAUCCCGACGGCUUUACCAUAGGCAUAGUUCCACCAUAUGUCUCUUUGUGGUUGGUCGGACCUCGCGAUGGUGCCGUUAGCUCCCGUCUAGCGUUUUUUGUUGCCAACGGUGAAAUUAUACCGAUGGCUGUACGGAAUCCGUAGGCAUAGGCCGCUAUACCGACGACAAAACUAUGUCAACGGCCUGACAGGAAUACGCCGACGUACGAGAUGCCGACGAGGCUAUACCGACUAUUUUCCUCUCUCGUAUUGUCCUCAUUAACAUCAACAUCGAUAUCUGCAUUUAAAUACAACAAUAUAUAGUAAUUACCAAUGGUGGAUAUACAGUAAAUCAUAUGUUUGAAUCUAGCUAGUACUUAACAAAGCAAAGAUCUACUUUUGGCUGUUCUGUUCCAUUAUCGCAUCGACAACAAGUUCAACCUCUUAUAGAUGACAUCACUUUAUUUUUGAAAAAUACAUUUUUGUUUAGAAACGAAAAUGCUGAUAUGUUUUUAGCUGAUUUGCAUUGUUUUCAUGUAUGUUUUAAAAAAAUAGAGAAAGAAAGCAUUUUACAUUGUUUUUUCUGGAACAUAUCAAGAAUGUUAUAAUUUUUUACUUUUAUUUUGUGGGUGAAGAGUGUUAGAGAUUUAUACUACUGUAUAGUUUUGAAACCUCUAUGCUAUAUGUUGAAAAGAAAAUGUUCCUUUCCGUUUUCCAAUUGAUUAAGUCGCGUGACUUAACUAAUCUUAAACUUUACCAAUAGCUGAGUAGAAAAAGAAAUGUGCUUUAACAGAACAUUUUAUUUACACACACCCAUACAUACGUACAUACACUUCUUACCAUGAAAGCACACGCAUUCUACUUCUAUGAGCAUCUCUCAGAGACUGAGCUGACAUAUCAUCAUGAGAUUAACGAAGUCCAUUUCUAGUCGACGGAAACAUCUCGUCUCACUGAUCGCACAUCACGAGUAGGCCUAAAAUUGAAAAACACGAAACACCGAUGUCUUGUCUAAAACAUGAAUCAUGACGGGCUGGGAAUGUUAGAUGGGCAGCGAAUGUUAGUGUCGUUCUAACCAUUCAAAUACAGAUUUGUUCGCUCAAAACUGUUUUAGUUAUUGUCGAUUUCUCGAUGUUCGUCAUGUAUUCAUUCAGAGAGUGGAUUUUCAGCACCCGGGUGCCUAGGCAUCAUUUAUAAACAGUAACACCAAAAUAAAUAAAUAAAUAAUAAAUUUUUUUAAAACUUUGCAAGAUCAAAGAUGAUCAAACUUUCUAGGUGCUUGCAGCUUUUUAUGUCAAAAAAAAUAUUUGAGUAGCUCUACACAGGAAAAAUAUUUUUGUACUUCAAAUUUUGAUCAUUUUUAGCACUGAAAUCUGAAACUAGUUUGUACACCUUUCUCUACAUGAGAUUUUGGCAUAAAAACUUGUUAGAACCUACAAAGUUUGACCAUCUUAUAUGUGAUAGAUCCCGUGGAUCGACAAGGCUAGAUGUGUUCGGUGUGAUGUGGAGAUGUUACCUUGUGAUGAACUCGAUGAGCUCCCUCCGGUCGUCCAUCGUGAGGUGGUGACGACGGUGGGGAAGGAGAGAGAGAUCCAGUGGCGGAGGUGAUGGACUUCCCAUCACUUCAGUGCUGCCCUCUGGAUCGGAUUAGGGUUAGGAGUGAGGAACCAGUGGCGGCGGCGAACCUCGUAACCCGUGCCAUGGUCCCCACCUCCACUACAUAUAGCACUGCGCGACAGGGGUCCAUCAGCCUUACUUGGGCUGGACGCCCCCGAUCAGGGCGUGAGUCAAGGUCCAAUGGGCCGUUGGGCCCAUUGGGUAAAGAGAUCAACCUAACAUUCUCCCCCUUGAUCUCAUCAUAUACUUUUAACUUUACCCGUUUCGUAACAGAUCAAUACAUAGGGCAUGUUUCAUCGUCACGACUCAAUUGCCGAUGGAAUCAGACAGCCACAAUGUACCUCUCUAUUUUUGAGACAGGUUUUUUUAACAUUGGGCCCUUUAUUGUCCGGGAAUAUUAGACUAUACCAUAAAACCCAUGUCGACUAUGUGUUCUCCGAACACACUGGGCGGUAAGCCUUUGACAAGGAGAUCUGCAAACACUUGUUUGUUGCUUUUAUGCUUCAAGCAUUUUUCCAUAAUUCCGGACUUUCUCCUUCACAACACGUAACUCUUUGCCAGUGUGUUUGGCAUCAACACUUGACUCGUUGUGACAGGAGCGAAAGAAUUUAAAAUGGUUAUCGUUGUUGUCAACCAUUAUCAACUCCGGGUACAGGUAGCCUUAACCAUGUUGUCCGUCCCUCAACCUCAUAUCAAGCUGUAACAUAUCAUUGCAUCACAUUGAUGACAAUCGUUUUACUCAUUUUGAGAUUUUCCACACAAAACUCCGAGUAUGAAAGUUAGCGACAAUUGUGGAUUUUGCUAUACAUUUCACAAGUCCUCCUUUGUACUCACAAUGUUUUGAGAGCACUUAUUUCUUUCAGCACGAGGCCGAUAUCUUUGAAUCCAUUCCAUUGAUUUAUCUAUGGACUGGACAUUGCCAAAACAACCCGGAUAUAUACGUGAAGUGUGUCAGGGUAAUUUCUUGAGCUUCCAACAACUGAAGCAUAUGGUACCAUAUCCGUUUACAAUCUUUUCUUAUUAACUUUUGGAACACCAUAGUUUCCACUUCCAUUACCCUUGACUAUAAGAACAGGCAUAGGUUUUCUCGUAUGCAUACUUUAGAGAUCUUUCUUAGCAUGUCCAUGCGACAUUCCUAAUACCCCCUUUUAUUCUUUUGAACUUUGAGGACAAGAACUUCUUUUCUCCUCCUGCAGUAGAUUGACAUCACCACUAGCAAGUAGGACAUCAUCCACAUGCAUAGGAAUUGGGAAACGAUUUUCCCAUUCUAUAACUUUGCAAGAAUGCAAUUGUCCUCUCAUUUUCUUUGCACAAAAUAUUUCGAUUUAUGUCAUGUUUCACACAUUUACAUAUUUCCUUUGGAGUCACAUUUGCCUUGUAGACCCUUCAUAAAGUCUAUGUUAGUGAAAUUCAAAUGAUGGAAUUCCACUAACAUAGACUUUAUAGUAGUCACAAGUAUCUGAUUUUCUCAUGCCUAGAGACCAUCAAAAUCUCAGGUACUGGCACUUAUUUCAUAUGGGGUUGUCGUUGCUCUGUCAUUGCUAAGAGGCAAAUUCAUUCUAUAGUCAUCCAUUUCCAAAAGGCAAUGGGUUUUACACGGACCUGUAUCACAAGAUCCCUUGUAGAGCUAACAACAGGUGUUGUAUAGGUCAUACAACAUGCUCCCCCAGAUUACUCCGUCUUCACUCAAGAAAUGGCGUAUCUUUAAACUUUCUUCUUUAUGGCAUUUUAAGCACCAUAGUUGUAUUCCUUAGUCUGCUUUCGGAACUAUAAAAGAUUCGAAAAUACAACUGUUUCUUUUCUUUAGGGGUAUCAUAAUGUCGGUAUUCAGAUGACUGUCAUACUUCCCUUGACAAUCACAUUCUUCAUUAAUGGAUCACUUUAGAUGCAUAAUGUGCAUCACAUCAUCUAAAGUACAGAGGAGUCAUGAAAUACACUACAAUGUAUUUCAUGUCUCUAUCUCCCCCUCGAAAUGUGGCAAGAACUUUUCUACCACAAUUUCGAAACCCAUUCAUAGCUCUUGUGAUAAUGAGGAAACUUCGAUUAUCUAGCUCAUUCAUCUUAUCACUUCAUGUAAAAUGAAGUUAUAAGUUAACUAGUAUGGGAGUACUUUUUCCUCAUUUCAUUUCAGAAACUCAACAGAGUUCUUUAUCAUUGUCUCUUUUGCAAGUCACACUUGCAUAUCAUUCUUGUCUUUAGGUUCGUCUGUUACUUUUAUCCUUUCUCGAUUUAGUGAUUACAUAAUGACCGUUACACAUAAAGUGUACGGUCGAUAAUAGGUAAGCUUAAUAGCUACUCCAUACUUUUCUCCCAUAGUGGGACACAUUAACCGCACAUGAGUCAUCAUAACUUUCUCCUGUCAUACAGGAUAAGACCUUUGCCAUAAUUUCUCCCGCCAUACACGGAUUGUUGACAUAAUACAAUGUCAACUUUACCCGGUUACGCAUGCAUUCUUCUCAGACUUUUCCCGCCAUGCGGGUAAUUCCCUUUAAGGGACAUCAUAAAUGCCAUAAUUGGCUCUUUUGACUGCAUCAAAUUCAGAAAUAAAUCUGAAUUAUCUUUGACACACAUGUUUGAUCCGACGUUGGUCAAAUUAAACAUGCAUGUUGCUUCUUUCAUUUCAAUCAUGUUGACUGAAAAAGAAGACUCCAUCAUAGAGAGUACAUAAAGACAUUCGUCAACCAAGACCCUCAAUGAUCUGUCUCUUUUCUUUUCUUGAAUUAAUAUCCAAGAGUUCUUUUCUUUUGAAGCCAUUCUUUACAGAGAAUUUAUUCCCUCAAGUUAUGACCUUUCUUUUCCAUCUUUCGGGUCACUAGUACCCAAACAUUCGCUUUCAUGAGUGAAAGCUUGAAUAACUUUUAGUCUGAGAAAACUUUAGCCAAUAAACAACGGUAAUGAGCAUAAAAAUAACCCUACGUUGGUCUGAUUAAAAUCAUGCACAUUAAACCUUUUAAAACUUUCUGGAAUAUUCUAAAUCACCGUUGGGCAGAAUUAGAAUAAAACAUCAUCCUACUAUAUUAAUUCCAUAUCACCGUUGGGCAGAAAUGGAAAUAAUGCAUAUAACUUAUAAACAAUGUGAUGAUGGUAUUCUUAUUGAACAACUUUGCUAAGAAAUAACAAUCAUCAUCAUUAAUCAUAUGCGUUUCUUUAUCUGUGCUCCGAAAAUUGAUCACUUUGAUACAAAAUUUAUCAGAGAUUUAAGCUUUAAACAUAAGAUGACUCAUACAAAUAUAGUAUUGUUAUCAUCAACGUUGGUCAGAAAACAACAAUACCAUAUUUUAACUUUAAAACAAACUUCAUUCUUUUGUCAUAGCGGAAACAGUUUGAAUCUUAUUUCACCCACAAGGGAAAAACUUUGCUAAUAACAUUUCUUCCAAUUAAAUUUUUCCGUUGGUUCCAAUUUAAUUGGAGGACUAAACCUUUUUACUUUGCAGCGGAAAUACGUGAGUAUGAAAAUUCAUACACCUUUACAGAAAAUUAUUCUGUAAAAAAUAAAAAAUUCAUGAACUUUAUUUUCCUUUUAUAAAAUCCAUGAACUUUUCUCUUUCUGAAAAUAUUGUAUUUUCAAAAACUUUUAUUUUUCUUUGCAGAAAAAUUAUGUCACUAUUACAGAAAAAUAUAUUCUGUCAUAAUUUAAAAAUUCAUGAACAUUAUUAAUGCUUUUAUAAAGGUCAUGAACUUUUCCUUUUCUGAGAAAACUAUUUUGUUCUCAGAAAUCCUUUUACUUUUCUUUUCAGAGAAAUACUAUUAUAUUUCUGUUGAUUUAAACAGAAAAUUAGCAACAUUUUUAUUUCCUGUUAUCUAGACAUAAUUUCGUAAAAAAAAAGUCUAGAAGUGCCUUUUAUUUCUUUUCAAAAACUUUUCAUUUUUCUUUACAGAAAAAUGUCUAUUACUUGCAGAAACUUGGAACAUUUCUUUAAUCUCUAUUUUUCUAAAUAUUGCCCUGCCUUCGGCCUGAGCCGGCAUUCGGCCUCGGCCCAUCUUGCUAGCACCGGCCUGUGGCCUUGCCACAGCCAGGGUCGGCCUCUGGCGCGCUGCUGGCCUGGCAGGCCCAGCCGCCAGCCUCGGCCCGAGUGGCCCAUUGCGGCGCUAGGGUUUCCUCUAGGGCCGUCGGAUCUAAUCCGACGGCCGGGCGCGAUUUUCUCUCCGACAAAACAGGUCUGCGACCGGCCCGAGUCGAAACCCUAGCCAUUUUCCCCAGCGCCGCUCUCUCUGUCGUUCUUCUCGUCCCCGUCGCCCUGCCUAACCGAGCACGUCACCACCCCGCUCGCGGGAUGAGCCGCAGCUCCGGUUGCCGGCGUCGGCAACGACAGCGGCCGUGCAUCUCGCGCUCGCCCUUCUUGCCUGCUCGCCUCGGCCUCUUUGGUCCCACACGCUCUCCUCUGACCGUGGUUGGUCGGGCGGUGGCCGCCGGCCGUGGCGGUCGAAAGCCCCACACCGCGCGCGCUCUCCUCUGGCCGUGGUUGGCCGGGCGGUGGCCGUCGGCCGUGGCGGCCGUAAGCCCCACGCCGCACGCGCUCUCCUCUGGUCGUGGUUGGCCGGGCGGUGGCCGCCGGCCGUGGCGGCNGCGCUCUCCUGCUGCGUGGCCGAGCCACUGUCUCGCGUGGCGGCCCUUGAGCCCCGCCGAGCGCAUGCCAUGGCCGUUUUAUUCCUACGCCUCUUUUACUUCUCAGAGAGAGACAUGGGGCCGGCAGAGCAUCAAAUUGCGGCGCCGUGGCCUCCCCUUACGUCGGUUGCGCGUUCCCUUGCGAUGAGCGCGCCGCCGUCGAGUGGGUUGGCCAUGGUGCCACUUUUCCUUUUCCUUUUCGUGCAGGGGUGUCCUGCAGUGACAUGAUACGGUGGCUCCAUCUCCGUUCCUUUGCCGGCGUGCGCGAGCACCUUCAAGGUGAACACGCCACCGUCAAGGGUGCGGUGGUGGUGCCCUUGGCCCCGGUUGGGGUGUUGGCUUUUCCUUUGCUUUGUCUUUGCGUGUUCCCCUACUCCCCUUUUUUUUGUUUUCUUUUUCGGAUUCAAUCCGACCUUUUCUUUGCCUCUGAAGAGGUGGUACCUUCGUCCGACGCCUCGGCUUGCCGAUGCGCGUCGAGAACGACAGGGUUGGCGCGGCCUUGCGGCGGCGCUUCUUUGCCGGAUGGAAAUCCGGUGACUUUCUUUUUCUUUUGCUUUUCAGCUCGAUCUUUGCCCUCUUCUAGGGAUCAUAUCGGGGAGGGAAAACUUUUCUUGUACAUGUUUUUACCGAAACUCAUCUAAAGCCUCGUGGCUCUGAUACCAAUGAUAGAUCCCGUGGAUCGACAAGGCUAGAUGUGUUCGGUGUGAUGUGGAGAUGUUACCUUGUGAUGAACUCGAUGAGCUCCCUCCGGUCGUCCAUCGUGAGGUGGUGACGACGGUGGGGAAGGAGAGAGAGAUCCAGUGGCGGAGGUGAUGGACUUCCCAUCGCUUCAGUGCUGCCCUCUGGAUCGGAUUAGGGUUAGGAGUGGGGAACCAGUGGCGGCGGCGAACCUCGUAACCCGUGCCAUGGUCCCCACCUCCACUACAUAUAGCAUUGCGCGACAGGGGUCCAUCAGCCUUACUUGGGCUGGACGCCCCCGAUCAGGGCGUGAGUCAAGGUCCAAUGGGCCGUUGGGCCCAUUGAGUAAAGAGAUCAACCUAACAAUAUGUUGUAAAGUUUCAGUAUUUUUUUAAACUUUUUUUUAUUUUACUGUUUAUAGAGGGUGCGUAGGCACCAGGUGGUGUUAUCUUGUACGGUCCAAUACUUAUAUGUAGGCAUCGUUGUUGAAUUUGGUCUAUUUUUCUUAGAACCAGCGUGGUUGUUAAUUUGCUUCCGAAGUUUCCGCCUCCUGUAAAUGACGUGUCCUGCAUGCAUUUUUUUUGGCAAGUUUUGCAAUCAUGCUAAAUCAAAUCAGCAUCUAUAUAUACGGGUUUGUUUCUGCUGGGCGUCUCCCGACUCCCGAGCGGCUGCAUCGAUCUCUAGCCGGCCAUGGCGUCCGCGCCGCAACGCACGGCGUCGACGCACAGGUCGGUGGUCGUCCGUGGCACGCACCAGUUUCACAUCGUCGGCUACAGCGAGCGUAAGCUUUCCGACGACGCCCCUUCAUCAAGCUACCUCUACGCCAGCGCCCGCUUCAGGGACCCCUUCAUCAAGUCGGCCGCCUUUCAGGUCGGCAACUACACCUGGCACCUCGUCUGCAGCUUCGGUGAUCGGGGACAGGGUCACCUCGCAUCUAUCACCCUCGAGCUGCUCACCAAAGACAUAGCCAAGGACGUCGUCGCCACGGCCAGCCUCCAGAUCGACGACCCGCUUGGCCAGUUGCCGCCCGCCGUGUGGCGAAGCGCCGCCGCCAACAGAUUCUGCAAGAAAAUGGCCGGUAUGAGCUGGACGAUGUCGCUACCAGAUGUCUUCUCUGGGCACGAGGAGCGCUACGUGAGCGGCGAUGACGACUCCCUCACCAUCCUCUGCACCAUCGACAUUCUCCAAGAGGAUGCCCAGACCACCGCGGAGACCAGGGAGUGUUUGGUCUCCGUGGUGCCCAAGCCGACCAUCCCUCGGGAUCUUCAGCGGCUUCUACUACUUCUCGACAAGUACCCCAAGUCAUCGGACGCCACCUUCCUCGUCGGCGAUACCGAGUUUCAUGCACACAGGCUUGUGCUUGCUAUGCGGUCGCCGGUCUUUGCCACGGAACUCACUGUCACUACUGGUGAUGUGACGGGAAGCACCACGCACCCCAUAAGGAUCCAAGACAUGGAUGCCUCCACAUUUAGGGCCAUGCUUUGGUUCAUCUACACCGACGAGAUUCCCAUCGACGUUGCCCUUGAUAAUUUCAAAGGGGAACACAUGGCGAGGGGACGCGAAUCCAUGGCUCGCAAACUCCUUGUGGCGGCGGAUCGGUAUCAUCUCGAGAGGCUGAGGCUCAUGUGCGAGAACAUACUGUCAGAGUGCAUUGAUGUGACGACUGUCAUGAAGACGUUACUCCUAGUGCAAGGCCGCCAAAGGUGCUCUCAGCUCGAGGAUUCCUGCAUCAAGUAUAUAUCGUCUCAUCCUGAUGUGUACAACGCGGUGACGGCGACAAAGGACUAUGAGGAGCUCAAGGAAACAUGCAGCUCUAUUAUAAUUGAGGUCAACGAAAGAGUAGCCACACACAACAUGGCUCGCCAUACUAGCCACCCUUCUUCAUUGAGUAGCACUCGACCACCGGCACCAGAGAAGAGCACAUCCAGCUAUAAUUUGUUGGAUGUAGUCCGUGGCACGCAUGAGUUCAGAAUCCCCAUCUUUAGCUCUUUGCAAAGUAGCUAUCGUGCUGGUCAAAUAAUCACUUCCGACAUAUUCAAGGUAGGUGGUUACGAGUGGAAGAUAAAUGUGUACCCGUCUGGGAAUGACGUGGAUGAGCACAUAUCCGUCUACCUCUGUCUAUGCACUGAUCCUGGAACUGCUAGAGUCAAAACGUCUAAGAGAUUCCGGGUCGAUGACCCUAAUGGCAAGUCACCGUCGAUGGUGCUUGGUUCACAAGACACUUUUACCAAGUUGCAUGAAAGCUGGGGGUUUCAGAAGUUCAUCACCGUGGAUUCUGCAAAGUCACGAUACAUAGGAUACGAUGGCUCCCUUACCAUACAUUGUGACAUUGACGUCCACAAAGAGGCCUGCACCACUAUCCCUAAACCCAUGAUCGUUGUGCCGCCGUCCAACAUUGCAUGGCACCUGGAGCAACUGAUGAUGAGUGGGCUAUGGUCGAACAUGACGUUCCUGGUUGAGGAGAACGAGAUUCACGCACACUGGCUCAUCAUUGCCGUCCGGUCACCGGUUCUGUUCGAAACGGUAGCGGUGGAGACGUGCAAGUGGGUUGUACGGAUCAAUGGCAUGAAGGCCGAUGUCUUGAGGGCAGUGCUCCACUUUGUCUAUACCGAUGAGCUGCUUCCUGUGGAUGAUGCAGUGGCAGCCGGAGAAAUGCUCGCGGCGGCAUGCCGGUUCCGCCUAGAGAGGAUGAGAGCCAUGUGCGAGAACCUGCUCGCCCAUCUCAUUUCCAAAGACAACGUGUUGAUGGUGCUGGAGCUGGCGUGGCGUCACCAAUGCGAGGACCUCAAGCUUUACUGCCUCGACUUCACCUCGCUUGCAAUGAAGUGAUGAUGCAUGGAAACACUCCCCUAUUCUUUGGCGUUUCAUGUUUAGAAAAUGUUUCGUCAUCGAAUCGCUGCACCACCAUAGAUGUACUUUUUUUCCUUCAGAUUUUUGCGCGUCUUUUUUCAAGUCCUUCUCUCGUCUAUUUGUUCCUUGCAUUGUCUAGGACGUGAUUGAUUAAUUAGUAGAUGAGGAAAGCUGAGAAAUUACGCUCGUUGGUGUUUCCUUUGGGUCUAUAUAGACCUGAACGCAGCAGAUUUCACAUCACGUGGGCAAAAUGUUAGUUGCCUAGUAAAUUGGAUUUACUUUUAGCAAAUUGGUGUCAGUCAUUUUUUUAUUUUUUUGACCUGUUUUGUUUGCAUCAACACAUAUGUCCGUGCGUUGCAACGUAAGACAAAAUUUGUGUGUAUUAAAUUUUAACAAUAAAUUGUAUGGACAAAGCGUAAUGGCUCACGAAUAAUUUAGCGUCUAAGAAGAUGUAUGGACGUGCAUUGUCACAAAAUAACUUCUAUAUGGAUUCCACUUUGACUUAAAUGUGGUUAAAGUAAAGCUAUAAUUCGACAUCGUAUGCAAGUAAAAAAUAACAAAUUAUCUUUGAUUCAAUAUACAUACCUUCAAAAAUAGAAAAUAAUAUUGAUUUUUCCACAAACAAAAUAAAUUGAUAGACUGUGAUUUAAUUUGUAUUUCAAUAACAGUUAGUUACCCCUAAAAAGGUUAGUUAUUAUCGAGCAAAAGCAUGAAUGGAUCAAAGUAACAAAUCAUAUAGACCAGGUUUAAUUUGACAAUCUCUCUAUCAAUGGGAUGAUACGGUCCCGCGUUUUUGUAAAAAAAAAGUAACAAGACGGAAAUACAAAUCAUAUAGUUACUAGCACAAGAAUCUAAACCAGAUUGUCAAGCAAUAGUACAAUAGCAAAAUUCCAUGUUGAGAAUUACAACAACAAGGGAUGUGUUAAUUCAAGGCUAUAUAUUCCUGAUAUGAUCAUGAAGAAUUUAGCACUCAUGUUGUACGACGGCAUACAAUUACAGGUACUGAAAUCCUACUUUAACUUUUUUGAAAAACAAUAAUAAUUGUUAGCCACUAAACCAUGAUCGCGUGUGUGUGAGUCUGCACUUGUGUUUGUUCUGGCUGAGGUCGGAGCUGGUGUGUGGCCGUUGGCGAGAGUAGCGGAGAGCCAGGCAAUCUGUUAGAACUAGCCUUGUAGUGCACGUAGUGGCGCGCCAUGCGCGCAGCCGAGCGAGCAGAUCAUGCAUGCGCAGUGGAGCACAUGGUGGGCGUGCGUGGGCAGGAGUGGAUCGUGGCGUGCGUGCUCCGCCUAUACAACCACCCCGUGUACUGCUUGUAUAUGAGUGAGUUAAGAAAAUGAUUCGUGUGUUCGAGCGCCCGCAGGCGGCGCUCCGUGCGCCGGUCGGCAAAAAAACUUCCCGUGUCUCUACUCGAGUCGUCGUCUCCCACCUCAUGUCCUUGUUCGUGCGAGAGCAGAGGUCGAAGAGACAGAGGGUGCAGCCUAGGGCUGCACCAACAUUUGGUAUCAUGAGCUUGAUGGUCUUGGGCAUGUUCGCCGUACCGGAGGUGUGCCGGCGAUGGCGGUGGUCGCCGGUGGCUGCGCGGAGCUCCGGGCUGUAUGUCGGCCUGUUGAGGUGCGCGGCGUGGCGGCUGUCAUGGCGGACGCGAAGUCCUCGCACAGUGAGGCCGUGGAGCAUGGCCAUGCCGUGCGUGCGGGGAGCGUGGCGGCCGCGACGGACCUGCGUGGUGGCGCAGAGGCUGUGGUGGCAUGGCGUGGCUCGGUGGCGUGGAGAAGAAGCCGUUCGUGCGGCGGGUGAGGCAGCUCGAGCGGCCAUGUUGCUUGCGUGAGGGCGCGGCAUGUGCGUGAGCCGAGGGCGUGCGGAUCACCGGAGGAGAACACGUCCAGCGGAGCGCAGGCCGGCCGCGUUGAUCAUGUCAGUGCGUGAUCGUGUGCGCGAGCCGAGGCGUGCAGGGCGUGGCGUCAUCAAGGAGCUUGGCGUGCGUCGCCGAGGAGCUCGACGUGUGUCACCGGCGGAGAAGGAGCUCGACCUGUGUCGCCAAGGAAGAAGAUGGAGGCUGCAUCAAGCUCGGGCCGUGUGUCAGUCAAUGGAGGUGCUCGGCAGUGGAUCGUGUGUCGGUCUUGCUCGGCGUGAUGCGCUCAGUGGCGUGUGUCGCCGGAGACGAAGAAGAUGGAGUUCCCUGCGACAGUCGACGAGGAGCCAGUGUCUUGUAAGUCAGGAUGGGCAACGGUGUCAUGGUUUAGGGGGAGAUUGUUAGCCACUAAACCAUGAUCGCGCGUGUGUGUGUGUGAGUCUGCACUUGUGUCUGUUCUGGCUGAGGUCGGAGCUGGUGUGUGGCCGUUGGCGAGAGUAGCGGAGAGCCAGGCAAUCUGUUGGAACUGGCUUUGUAGUGCGCGUAGUGGCGCGCCAUGCGCACGGCCGGGAGAGCAGAUCAUGCAUGCACAGUGGAGCACAUGGUGGGCGUGCGUGGGCAGGAGUAGAUCGUGGCGUGCGUGCUCCGCCUAUACAACCACCCGUGUACUGCUUGUAUAUGAGUGAGUUAAGAAAAGGAUUCGUGUGUUCGAGCGCCCGCAGGCGGCGCUCCGUGCGCCGGUCGGUAAAAAAACUUCCCGUGUCUCUACUCCAGUCGUCGUCUCCCACCUCAUGUCCAUGUUCGUGCGAGAGCAGAGGUCGAAGAGACAGAGGGUGCAGCCUAGGGCUGCACCAACAAUAAUAUCUUCUAUGCAAUUGAAAGAUACAAAUAUAAGUCUAAAAAUUGUAAGGCAAAGGGACUAUUGAAUCAAUAAGGCGUUGGAGGGUCCCAUGAUAUUUAUUGAACACUUUUUAUAUAUUGAGCAAUUUUGCAAUAGAGAGCACAAAAGAAAUACUGAUCUUACUCGUAAAGAAAGCAGAUUCUGAUUAUUAUUAUUAUUAUUGUGAAAGGAACAAUAUCAUUGCUUAAACAGAGCUAUUACACUCAAGUUGACAUAGAGUCUCAACUUCCUCAGGCACACAACGCAACCAGACUGUUUUUUUGGGGAGAGUUCUGCCCAUGCGAGCUAGGACAUGACUAGUUUUGUUCUGGGCACGUCGUACGAGCUUUAUUUCAUGUGUUCUAGAAUUUAGUAACUGCUUUAUGUCAUUCACCAAUCACCAUAGCAGCAGCCGGGGAUCUAUUGGGAACUUGGAAAGUAAUCAUGAGUGUUACCGCCAUGCAGUCUGUCUCGAUCAACAACUGGUCAGUGCUCCUAUCCGCGAGAGAAACCCCUUCCAUGAUGGCUGCAAUUUCAGCUUCAAGCCCACUUCCACAGCGAGGGAUGAAACGGCAUGACGCAAGGACGAUGGCCCCUGUACUAUCUCAAAGAAUCAUGCAAUGUCCACAUGUACUCUCCUCUUCAAAUCAUGACCCAUUAGUGUUAAGUUUCACUGGUCCCAGUGGAGGUGAUGUCCAUCGCUCAGGGGGUUUGUGUCGUAACAACAUUUCAUGUGAUUUUGCUUUCUGUCCUCUCCAACAUAGGAGACCACCGUCUUCCCCUUCUCCAUAUCAGCAUUUGGAUGCUACCGUAUGUGCAGUAAUGUACUGAUGUAGCCACAAAGGAAUCGACAGGACGCGUCGAGCGGUGCUAUUUUUUUUUAAAUAUUGCUUUUUUAUUGAAUUUGAAAAUGUUAUGAAGAAGAAGAAGAAAAACCAAGAAAAGGAACUUCGGCUGGCGGAGGUUUAUAGAGAGCGACAGGAGGCCCAUGAUGUUGAGAGGCAGAGAAAGAAAGAAAGGGUUCGUGCGGCCAAGGCAGCAGAAGAAGCUAGAAAGGGAAGCAGAAGGUGCUAUCCUAAAAUUGUUAAAUACUUUCGGAAAAUUGUAUCUUAAUUUCAACAAGUUGUAUCUUAAUUUCAGCAAGGUGUAUCUUAGUUUGAACAUGUUAAGUUUUCCAGCCAUAUCUUCCUCGUCAUUUCUUUCGCGCCAUAUCUUUCCUGUCAUAUCUUUCCCGCAUCGCUCCCAGGCACCUAUAAAACCACCCUCCACACUAAGGUGAGAUAUCAGUGUAGUCCAGUAGCUAACUUUUGUCAAGAUGUCCCAUUAUCUUUUUGAUCGUAGUUUUCACUCUGGUAUGUCCGAAUGUCUUUUGUGCUUAGCUAGCAAUUUCAAGAUAGACAAUAUAAUAGUUUUACGGGACGAACUCAUCAGUAGUGACACGCUACUUAAUGAGGUUGCCCAUGCAUUAGCUAGAAAGGGGUGGCCUCCAAGGAUAUUUAAAAAAAUGAAACUCCAUGGGCACUAGCACCCACGGUUUAUUGAUAUAGAAGAAGCAUCCCUCAUGAGAAUUCCAGAAAUUCGUCUCUGACAGAGAAUCGAACUCUGGUCGUUAGGUUUACAAUCAUGCGCCCCCAACCACUGGGCUAUGCCCACGUCCUCCUCCAAGGAUAUUUGAGGAGAUACGGAAAGAACUUAUCAGGUUGAAUGAAAGAUGAAAGAAGAAAGGUUCUGCUCUAUAUGCUUCAAAUAAAAGUAAAUAUUUGAACUUGACCGGAUCCAUAAUGUAUGAACACCGUCGGUGUGCGUUUUAAUAUUAAAACCUAAACAUACGGCCAACCAUUAUGUCAACUGACUAAUAGACCAUGUUUAAGAGGAGGUCACUAUCACCUUAAUGUACUGAAAUUCACUUAGAUCAACUCCCAUCUCAUUUGUUUGGACAGUACCAGGACCAUAGUGAAAACCUAACUUCCUUAUCAGACAUAUCUGCUGACCUAAAAAAUUAUUCAACAAGGACAAAUUUUAGAAAAAGGACAAAGCUAAAUUAUUUCCGAAUCAACUGAAAAUUCAAAGACCUAAAUAUAUUUCCCAAAGCUACCGGAGCACCUAAAAAUAUUUAAACAACUUAAUUCACAGACCUAAAUAUAUCCAAAUCUAUGUGAGCAGCAAGAAAUAAAUAAACACAAUAUUUCGCACACCUAAAUUUAUUACACAACGCUACGAGAACGAAUAUUGAAUUUUACCCUUCAAGCGUGCGAAGAAAUGACGAACGACGAACGACGAACACCGAAAAAAACGACGAACACAACAACCACCACCACCACCUCCACCUCCAUCCACAACUCCACCACCACCUCCACCUCAACCUCCACCACCACCACCAAAAAAAUGUUCAACACCACCACCACGAACUACCCCAUCGCGAGUGAGAUGAAUGGCUUGGCUGCCCUAACCCUCUAUAAUACAACUACGGUAGAAAAAUGGGGGAGGGAUGGGUCAGAUUUAGUGUAGAGAUGAGAGAAUUUUCGGGCGGGGAAAGAAGGAAAGAGGAGAAGGAGAGAAAGAAAGAGAUAAGGAGGAGAAGAAGGGCCGAAAGGAGCGGGCUGACUGAGGCAGACCAGCCUCGUAUAGGCUGCGCCAGGACCGAAAGGCCUGUCGGCUGCGCCGAAGCCGACUGACUCCCCUCCAAGCCGAGUGGGUGCGAGCGACGUGGCCCAGCCAAUCGUCGGCUACCACGUGGCCGACGACUGGUCACUUAUCGGUCGCACCAACGUCGGACAGGAGCUACUCGGCUCCGACAAGGCCGACUGAAGCCAAUCGGCUUCGGUCAGGCCGAGGCCGUUAUAUUUUUGGAAGUUUUUAAAACGACGCAAUAUUUUUCAAAUUUUAUAAAAACAAUAUUAAAAAAAUAGCUCGAGCGGUGGUGCUUCUCUACAAUGAUAUAGAGAGGACAUAACAAAUAUCCAGUUCAGUUUGCAAGAAUUUAAUAAAUAUGCAGAUCAUCUUUCUAUCUACCUAUUGUAUAAAUGAUAUAUCGCGCGCGCAUGUGUUUUUUUAUUUUUGUUGAAGAGAAAAGAAAAAAAAAAGAUAUGCAUGCGUACGUGCUAAAUAAUGGAAAAUCAAAACAGCAUAUUCUACUACGAGCGCUGGAACUGCUGACUCCAUCACGCGCAAGGAAAGAAGGAAGGGAGUUUAAUUUAAUUUAAAAAGGAAAUAGAAAAAGAAGGAAUUAAUUGUACGCUGAAAGGAAAGGAAGGACCUGCCGUCCGUAGGUGCCAAGAAGAAAAAUGGAAAAGAAGGAAUUAAUUGCACACCCCAAAGGUGGAAUUGCAAUUGCACGUGCCAAAGUAGGUUGCAACUCCAAGUUUUCUAGGUUUAUCGCAACCCCAAGUUCCUAAGGGCGGGAACGGAAUUGCAAAUUUUUAAGGCAUGUCGUAAUUGCAAGUUUUCUAUGGUUUGUCUCAACUCCAUACUCCCAAGGGGAAUCGCAACAACAUGUUCUCCAUGGCAGGUCACAAUUGCAUGUUUUCUAGAUUUUUCGCAACUACAAGUUCCCAAGGGUGGAAUGUGAAUUGCAUGUUUCACAGGGGAGUCGCAAUUGCAUGUUUUCCAAGACAUGUCGCAACUCCAUGUUCUCUAACUAAGUCACAAUUUACGAAGUUUUUUAUUUUUUAUUUUUAAAAACAUUCCCCGUAAUUUUCAACGAAUUUUCUGUUGGUUUCCCCAUAUGUUUUUUGAGUAAAAAAAGAGAUUUCCCGUGUUUUUCGUUCUAAUUAUGUUUUUCUGUUCUUUUCCCUUUUAAAUUUAAAUGACAUAAAAAUAGGCAAGCUCGAGGGUCCCACUACAUGUUCUCAAGGGGAACCGCAACCGCAAUUUUUCAAAGGUAGGUACCUAGCUGAGUUUGAACAAAACCGUUUCGAAUAAGUGAAAAAAAAAUCAUCUAUGCAGUAAGCAGUUUUUUAGAAGAUGUAAAAUUUUCGUCUUAUGCAUUAUAAAUGUUCCAUUUUGCUGUUUAUCAUUUUAAAAUAUUUUGAUGGAUUUAAAAAAUGUGUGGAACAAAACUGGGAUUGACCCUGCGCUAGAGGCACCAUGCGGCCGAUUACUACCGAACAGAGUAAAAAACUGGCAAAGCAAAAAAGAAAACACUUGAAAACUGGGCUACAGCAAAUAAAAAAAUAUUGUACAAACCAGCCACUAAGACGUACCUGCAACAAGAGAGAAACAAAAGACAAGCUACAAGAAAUAGGACAUACACAAAAAUCCCAAAAAGAACAAAUAUAUGUGCUGAUGUCAUAUGAACGAGAUCAUAGAUAAAUCUUAGCUAGAUGAGUUUAAGGUGCAUCCUAAUAAGAAAAAGAAAAAGGAAAAGAAGGAAGGGAUUGUACGCUGAUAGGAAAGGAAGGGCCUAAGGGCGAAGAGGAGGAUGGCAAGACGGAGCGCCGCGCCAUCGAUCAAAACAGUACGUAUCCUGUGGUGGAGCGGUUUCAUCCUCAUCGAUCGAUCUCUAGCCAUAGCCAUGGCGUCCGCGCCGCCGCCGCCGCCGCCGCAAAACACAGCGUCGACACACGGGUCGGCGGUCAUCCGCGGCUCGCACGAGUUUUAUAUUGUAGGCUACAGCGAGCCUAAGCCUAAGUUGGUGCACCUGACCAACGACGACACGACCAACCCCCUCUACGACAUAAUCAACGCCAGCGACGGCUUCGUCAUCAAGUCCGCCGCCUUCCAGGUCGGCAACUACACCUGGGACCUCGUCUGCACCUUCGCCGGUGAUCAAGGGCAAGGCCACCUCACAUCCAUCACCCUCGAGCUGCUCACCACCGACGACAUAACAAGCACAACCACAACGGAGGAGGACGCGAUAGUCACGACCAGCCUUCAGAUCGACGACCCGCGAGGGCAGUGGCCGCCUGCCGUGUGGCGAAGCGACGCCGCCAAUACAUUCUCCUACGACUACGAUGAUGUGAUCUGGGAGCUGUCGAUCCCAAGUGCUUUCCGUGGGCACGAGGAGCGCUACGUCAGCGACGACGACUGCCUCGCCAUCCUCUGCACCCUCGACAUUCACCGAGAGACCGUCGCCGAGAUAAGCAAGCGCUUGGUCACCGUGGUGCCGGAGCCCACCAUCCCCCGGGAUUUCCAGCAGCUUCUACUACGUUCCACAAAGCAGGUCGUCCCCCUGUCGUCGUCAGAAUCACAAGUGAUGACCUUCGUCGUCGAGGAUACCGAGUUCCGCGCGCACAGGCUUGUGCUUGCUAUGCGGUCGCCGGUCUUUGCCGCCGAGCUCUUUGGUCACAUGAGCGAGAGCACCAUGCAACGUGUCAGGAUCGAGGACAUGCGUGCCUCCACAUUCAGGAACAUGCUCCACUUCAUCUAUACCGACGAGCUUCCCAUCCAGCCAAAUAACUAUGUCGUGGAAUCUGCAGGAAGCAGUCAUCAUAAUUUCAAAAAGGAAUUCAUGACGAGGGGAUGCGAAUCCAUGGCUCGCAAACUCCUUGUGGCGGCGGAUAGGUAUGAUCUCAAGAGGCUAAGGCUCAUGUGCGAGAACAUACUAUGUGAAAGCAUCGGUGUGGCAACUGUCUUGACUACUUUGCUGCUGGUGCGGGGCCGCCAAAGGUGCUGUCUGCUCGAGGAUUCCUGCAUCAGGUUCAUAUCGUCUGGUCCUCAUGUGUACGACGCCGUGAGGGCCACCAAGGAGUAUGAGGAGCUCAAGGAAGCAUGCAGCUCUUUUAUAAUUGAGGUCAACGAGAGAGUAGCCACACACAGCAUGGCAUGCCAAACUAGCUCUCCUUCUUCCUCCUCCAAUAUCCGUUGGCCAACACCAGAGAAGAGCACGUCCGUGUACAAGCCGUAGGUGGUCCGCGGCACGCACGAGUUUAAGAUCCCCAACUUUACAUCUAUUCAAAGGAGCCAUGGUGUUGGUCAAGUAAUCACUUCAGACAUAUUCAAGGUAGGCGGUUAUCACUGGACCAUCAAUGUGUACCCGUCCGGGUACUCCGCGGUGGCCGAGGGUCACAUAUCUCUCUACCUCCGUUUAUGGACUGAUCCUCAAACUGCUAGUGUCAAGUUGUCCAAAACAUUCCGGAUCGAUGACCCUAGUGACAAAUCACCAUCAAUUGUGCUUGGUUCAGAAGACAUUUUUACCAAGGUACGUGAAACCUGGGGAUUUCAAAAGUUCAUCCCGGUGAAUUCUGCAAAGUCGGGAUACAUAGGGCACAAUGGCUCCCUUACAAUACAUUGCGACCUUCAAGUCCACACCAAUGCGUGCACUACUAGUGCUAGCACCACCAUCGCCAAACCUAUGAUUGUCGUGCCGCCGUCCAACAUUGUCAGGCAUCUCGAGCAGCUGAUGCUGAGCAAGCAAUGGUCAGACGUGACACUCCUUGUCGAGGACAGCGAGAUUCGCGCCCAUUGGCUCAUUAUCGCUGUGCGUUCGCCGCUUUUCUAUGAAUCUUUAGUGUCGUCAACAACCAACAGUGUCGUGCGGAUCGACGAUAUGAAAACCGUUGUGCUGAGGGCCGUACUACACUUUCUCUAUACCGACGAGCUCCUUCCUGUUGAUGACAUGGUGGUAGCCGGAGAAAUGUUGGCGGCUGCAUGCCGGUACCACCUAGAAAGGAUGAAGGCCAUGUGUGAGAAUUUGCUCGCUCAUCACCUGUUGAAAGACAACGCAUUGAGCACUCUGCAGCUGGCAUUGCGACACCACUGCAAGGACCUAAAGAUUUACUGCAAUGAGUUCAUCUCACGUGUACUGAAGUGAUGAGAAAACAUUUUAAUUUUCAACAUUUACUGUAUAGAAAAGGUUUCAUCAUGAGUAGCAUAUCUAUAUAUACAUUCCACACAGCUUUAAUAUUUCCAGAAAAUUAAGGGUCAUUAUAUUUGUCAUUUGAAGUUGUAGAACUGAAGCUUGCAGAUUCCACGUUGUACACCCCAGAAUUCUUAACUAGCUAGUUUCUUCCAUGCAUCUAUUGACAUGUUUAAAUGUUAUAUAUACUCCUCCUUGUCUUCUCGGUAUUUUAGCAGGCCCUGCUCAUCAAAUAGAGGCCACACUUUUUGAUUUCAGCAUCUUAUCAAAUUGUUGCAAACGAUUAACUAUCUAUAGCACAUACAGAUCCAUUCUGUUAAUCAACUCAUAUAAGUACACCAUUCACUUCAUAUAAGUACACCAUUCACUACGAGAAUAACGGUCAAUGCCGACGGAACCCUCCGUCGGCAUAGGGCCAAAGGCCGUCGGCAUAGGGCUAUGGGGCCGUUGGCGUAUCUCCAUCGGCGUAACCCCAGGCGGCUGUCGGCAUAGGCAUGUAAGCCGACGGCCCCCUCACGUCCGUCGGCGUAGAUAACCCCUCGGCAACGAAUCGGGACUGACGGCCAUUAUCGGCGUACGCAUCCACUCAGACCCCGCCACAUGGCAGCUCCUGGCGCACACUAUGCCGACGGUUAGGCUGAUGGCGUAACUCCAUCUAUGCUGACGGCCUAACCGUCGACGUAGUGGGACACGUGGCCGCGCCUGGCAGUUCCUGCCGCACACUACGCCGAUAGUUAGGCCGUCGGCGUAUCUCCAUCUAUGCCGAUGUCCUAACCGUCGGCGUAGUGUGCGCCAGGAGCUGCCAGGUGCGGCCACGCGUCGCCACCUGGUGCCUCGUGCCAUCUAUGCCGACAACAUAACCGUCGACGUAGUUACCACAUUUUAUUUUUAUUUUGUUUUUGUAUUUCCAUUUAAAUACACACUAUAUACAUCAUAUAUACACAGGAUAUACAUCAUAUAGUUCAACACAGGAUAUACACAUAUAUGUCAUCAACUAUAGUUCAACAUAAUGACAAGUCCGACAGAGCCAACAACAUAAUGACAAUUUCAACGGAACAUAAAGGCGAGCACCACCACUAGCAUAGUUCAAAACAGGCAUAAAAGAUUAAGCGUCAUCACUUCCACCGCCAAAGUCAAGGUCGUCACCGGUAACGCUACCACCACCGCCACCGCUACCGCUACCGCCACCGCCACCGCUGCUACGACAAGAAAAGACAUUCCCCAGCAACGGCGUCAGAGGUCCUUCUGCUGCUGGCUACGCCUACAGGGACUUCCUUGGCAAAUAUGCAAAGGAUUCCCCCGUGGCCUUGGAGCCUUGUGUUGGUGUUCCCUUGAAGAGGAAAGGGUGAUGUAGCACAGAAGCAGUAAGUAUUUCCCUAAGUUUGAGAACCAAUAUAUCAAUCCAGUAGGAGGAGCGUUCACGUCACAAGUACCUGCACAAACACAAAGAGCUGGCACCCAACGCUAUGAAGGGGUUGUCAAUCCCUUAUAGAUUGUUUGCAAAGUGAGAACUGAAAGCAAAAAGGAAACAAAGCAAAGUAAAAGUAAAAGUGGAGACGAUAGCUGUGAAUAGACCCGGGGGCCGUAGUGUUCACUAGUGGCUUCGCUCAUUAAAGCAAGUAGACGGUGGGUGAACGAAUUUCUGUCGAGCAAUUGAUAGAACCGCGCAAAGUCAAGAUGUUAUAUAUGGCAAUGAUCAUAUCUAUAGGCAUCAUGUCCAAAACAAGUAGACCGAUACUUUUUGCAUCUACUAUUAUUACUCCACACGUCGACCGCUAUCCAACAUGCAUCUAGUGUAUUGAGUUCAUAAGAACAGAGUAACGCCUUAAGAAAGAUGACAUGAUGUAGAUGGACAAUAUCAAAUCUAUGAUGAAAGCCCAUCUUAUUAUCCUUGAUGGCAACAACACGAUGCGUGUCUUGCUGCCCCUUCUGUUACUGGGAAAGGUCACCGCACGGUAUGAACCCAAAACCAAGCACUUCUCCCAUUGCAAGAAUCAUAGAUCUAGUUGACCAAACAAAACCCAAGACUCGGAGAGACUUACGAGGAUAUCAAAUCAUGCAUAUAAGAAAUUAACAAAGACUCCAAUAUAAUUCAUAGAUAAUCUGAUCACAAAUCGACAAUUCAUCGGAUCUCGACAAACACACCGCCAAAGAGGAUUACAUCGGAUAGAUCUCCAUGAAGAUCAUGGAGAACUUUGUAUUGAAGAUCCAAGAGAGAGAAGAAGCCAUCUAGCUACUAACUACGGGCCCGUAGGUCUGAAGUGGACUACUCACGAGUCAUUGGAGGGGCGAUGAUGUUGAUGUAGAAGCCCUCCAGCUCCAAAGUCCCCUCCGGCACGGCACCGGGAAGGGUCUCCAGAUGAGAUCUUGCGGAAACGGAAGCUUGCGGCGGCGGAAAAGUGGUUUCGUGGACGCCCUGAUUUUUUCUGGGAUUUUAGGGAAUUUAUAGGCCAAAGAGCUAGGGCAGGGGAGCGCUAGGGAGGCCACAAGCCUGGUUGCCGCGGGCCCCCUGGCCGUGGCAACAGGGCUUGUGGGCUCCCUGUGGGCCUCUUACCUUGGCCCUCAAGUCCCCCGAUCUUCUUCUGUUCUGGAAAAAUUUAUUUCGGGGAUUUUAUUCCGUUUGGACUCCGUUCCAAAAUCAGAUCUGAAAAGAGUCAAAAACACAGAAAAAACAGGAACUAGCACUUGUCACUGAAUUAAUAAGUUAGUCCCAAAAAAAGAUGUAAAAGGUAUAUAAAACAUCUAAAGUUGACAAGAUAACAACAUGAAACUAUCAAAAAUUAUAGAUACGUAUCAAGCAUCCCCAAGCUUAACUCCUGCUCGUCCUCGAGUAGGGAAGUGAUAAAUAAUGAAUUUUUGAUGCUCUCAUGCUACCUAGCAUAGAUGUCCUUUGUAACUCCUCUUAUCUGACGUGAAUGUUCAUAUCCAUUAGAUUCAAAAUAAUAGUUUUCUAUUGACGUGGAGACAAUAAUACUUCAAGCAAACUAGCAAGGUAAUCAUGAACUUCCAAAAUAACAAGGCCAAAAGAAAGUUAUGCCUACAAAAUCAUAUAGUUUGGCUAUGCUCUAUCAUCCUUGCACAACGAAUUUAAAUCAUGCACAACCUCGGUAUUGGCCAAGUAAUUGUUUUCACACCUUUACUUUCUCAAACUUUUUCAACUCUCACGCAAUACAUGAGCGUGAGCCAUGGUUUUAGCACUAUAAGUGGAAUGGACUGUGGUGGAGGUUGCAAGGUAAACAAGGAGAAGAUGGUCACAUUGACUAGGCAUAUCAACGAGCUAUGGAGAUGCUCAUCAAUAGAUAUCAACGUGAAUGAGUAGGGAUUGCCAUACAAAUGAUGCACUAGAGCUAAGAGUAUGUGAAAGCUCUUAAAGGAAACUAGUGGGUGUGCAUCCAACUUGCUUGCUCACGAAGACCUAACACAAUUUUGAGGAAGCCUAUCAUUGGAAUAUACAAGCCAAGUUAUAUCACUAGUAGAAAACAGGGCUACCGUUCGGCCCUGGCUAGCCCAUUAGUCCCGGUUCUUCAAGAACCGGGACCAAUGGGGGGGGGGGGUAUUAGACCCGGUUCGUGAGCCCAGGGGGCCGGCCGGGGCCUCGUGGGCAUUGGUCCUGGUUCGUGUGGAACCAUUUGUCCCGGUUCGAGCCACGAACCGGGACCAAUGGUCCUCGCUGCUGGUCCACAACCUUUAGUCCCGGUUCAUGCCACGAACCGGGACAAAUAACUUGCCUACAUAUAUACCCACCGCCGUGGUAGAGCACUCCACAAUGCUCUGUUUUUGUCGAGCCGGUGAGGAGAGGGCAUUUGGGUGCUCUAGUUCACCUCCUAUGCACAUGAGGUGUUCGAUGAAAUGCCCGAGCCACACUAGUUAAGCUUUCUCCUCUCGAAACACGACCUCCGAGCUCCAUUUUCAACGAGACUUGUCUAGAUUUAGCGGUCCGUCACGCCCCGUCUUCACCGCCGUCGAUCGCCGGCGCCGAUCUCGUCGCCGGCGCCACCGUGGUGAGCCUCUUGUUCUUAUCUUCUUUCUGAAAGAAAAAAAAUUCUGACUUCAGAUAGAUACUUGUCUAAUUUUCUUACUUUUAUUAUUCCUUGUUAUUAUAUAGUGCCAUGGUUUUGGCAUCCACCCCCGUCGGCCCUCGUCCUGUCUAUGAUUCAGAUGUGGUAAAUAUUAUCUUUUCAUAACUAUUUGGUUCAUUUAUUGUUUAUGACAAUUAUGAUGACCAACGUGACAUAUAUUUUUAAUCUAGGAGGUAUGUGAACCGGAAAUUCCAACCCACCUAGAAAUGCUUCUUGAGAAGUUAACUUUGGUUGAAAAAGAAAACAAAUACUUGAAGGAAAAAUUGAAAAUAAUUGAGGAUAAGAAUAUGGAAAUGGAGUUGCAUGUUGCCUAGGUCAUUGACGAUCGCAAGAUGAAGAUCGAUGCGAUGCGGUUGAAGAUGGAUGCAAUGCGCUUGAAGAUGGAUGAAAUGCGCUUGAAGAUUAGGAAUAUUAGAAAAUAUGCCAUUGAUAAAGAGGCUUGGUAUCAUUAUGCUGUUGGGUCAAUUGUUACCUUACUUGCGAUUUUGAUCGCGUUUGUUGUUGCAUUUAAAUGUUUUACAUAGUUGUAUGUUGUUUUAUUAGAGAACUUUAUGUAUUUAUUUUUCAAUAAUAACAUUUGAUCACUAUUGUGCUUUGGUUUUAAUGUGAUGAUGACCUUGUAUUAAUUUGAUCAUUUCUUUAUUCAUUUUGUUCUACAAUGGUUUUUUGAUAUAUACUUAAUUUUAUAAUAGAGAUGAACCGCCAAUGGAUGUACGGUGACCGACGCACUUUGGAGUACAUUACGAACCGAGACUAAUGCCCGAAUCGAAAAGGGUUGUAAAUUGAUGACGUGGCUUUGAAUGGUGCAUUUUGAACACAGAAAAACUAUGGAGUUCAAAUAAGUUCAAAAAAAUGAAGUACCUUUGUAACAAACGAGUUUCCGUAUGAAACCCUGAUACUUCGAAAGAGAUUGUCCGUUUUGUACACGAAGUGCAUCCAGUUUUUGCCGUAACCCUCUCAACUUUCUCGCACAUGGUAUGUGGGUGAAAUGAUGAUACCAUGCCAACUUGGAACCUUUUCAGAGUUCAUUUCAAAUGCUUUUCAAUUUCAUGGUCUUAUAGCUCAUAAUAAUCAGUAAAUGCAUGAAAAAUAACAAAUGAAGUCAGAAAGGGUUGUAAAUUGAUGAUGUGGCUUUGAAUGGUGCAUUUUGAACACAGAAAAACUAUGGAGUUCAAAUAAGUUCAAAAAAAUGAAAUCCCUUUGUAACAGACGAGUUUCCGUAUGAAACCCUGAUACUUCAAAAGAGAUUGUCCGUUUUGUACACGAAGUGCAUCCAGUUUUUGCCGUAACCCUCUCAACUUUCUCACACAUGCUAUGUGCGUGAAAUGAUGAUACCAUGCCAACUUGGAACCUUUUCAGAGUUCAUUUCAAAUGCUUUUCAAUUUCAUGGUCUUAUAGCUCAAAAUAAUCAUUAAACUGCAUGAAAAAUAACAAAUGUAGUCAGAAAGGGUUGUAAAUUGAUGAUGUGGCUUUGAAUGGUGCAUUUUGAACAUAGAAAAACUAUGGAGUUCAAAUAAGUUCAAAAAAAUUGAAAUCCCUUUGUAACAGACGAGUUUUCGGGACUAAAGAUCGAGCGAAACCACGUGGCGUGACGCGCAAACACGUGGCGUGCCACAUAUGUUAUUAGUCCCGGUUCAGGACAAAAACUGGGACUAAAGCUCCAGCGAAACCAUGUGGCGUGCCGCGCAAACAUGUGGCAUGCCGCAUAUGUUAUUAGUCCCGGUUUUAGAUACGAACCGGGACUAAAGGAUUGUCUAUAUAAACCCCUCCCCCCUCCCACCCCUCUCCUGUGUUUUUGGGAGUUGAGGUGUGAGCAUGCAUGCCAUGCUCUUGCCACUCUAGCUCAUGCAUAUGAGAGAAGAAGAAUGCCGGCUGUUGUUAUGGGGGUCCCUCUUCCUUUUUCUCCUUGUGCUAGAUAUUUGUUAUGCAUUAGGGGAAGAAGGAAUAGCGGCCAUCAUCGACGGUCGAAAAAUCACGUGAGGGAGUGUCCACCAUAUAUGAGAGAAACUUUAAUAGCAAAAAGAAUUAUCAUAAAAUAAAAUUAAUAAGUAAUUAUAAACAAAAUAAAAUAAAAUAAAUAAGUAUUUUGUUGUAAGUAGAAACAAAACAAAAUAAGCUAACUAGCACUUUGAAUUUAAGUAGAAACAAAACAAAAAAUAAAAGAAAAAAUAAUCAGUAAAUGCAACUAAAAUUAUCAAAGUAUUUUCUGUUAAAAAUCAUUAAAAGCAAAAAGAAUUUUCAUAAAGAACUUUUUUUGUUAGAAACUUUAAUGGCAAAAAGAAUUAUCAUAAAAUAAAAUAAAUAAGUAAUUAGAAAUAAAAAAUAAGUAUUUUGUUGUAAGGAGAAACAAAACAAAAUAAGCUAACUAAAAAAAUAAAAAACAAAAAUAAAGCAAAAAAAUAAAAAAUAAGAUGCGAAUUUAUAGAGAAAAUUCAACCUAAAUUCAAAGUAUUAGUUAGCGCUAACUAAUACUUUGAAUNCUUCUUCUUCUCUAUUCCUUUCUUCUUCUCCUCUUCUUUUCUUCUUUUCCUCUUCUUAUUUGUUUCUCCUCUUCUUCCUCUCCUCUUCUUCUCCUUUCUUCCUCUUCUUAUUUUCCUUUUUCCUCUCAUUCUUUUUCUUCUUCUUCCUUAUCUUCCUAGCUAGAUAUAUAAUACUUUUCUAAAAAUGUAACUUUUGCAUAUAUAAAACUUUUUCUUCUUCCUAGCUAGAUAUAUAAAACGGAACUAAUACAUGAUUCCACCUUUGUUUGUAAUUAUAUUAUUUAUAUUUCCGUUCGUGCUAUAAAAAUUUAAAAAUAUGUUUCCGUUCAUUGAAGAAUUUGGUUCUCUCAUGUAUGAAAUCUGCUUAGAUUUAUUUGAAAUGUAUGCCUUGUGUAACUAAUGUGAUAUUUUGUUUCAAAAGAAUCACGAUAUUGCAUCGGUCGACUAGACGGCUAGAGAACUGAUUCGUAUCGCUUCAUCAAGAAAUAUAAUUAUUUCACAUGUUACAGCAACAUCCCGAUCUUGCUUCCAUCCACUAGGCAACUAGAUUACUAGAAAGCUGCUUCACACAUGCUUCCGUCAAUAACAAAAUAGUCCAUAUGUUUCAGAAGCUUCAUGAUCUUGUUUACAUUGACUAGACGCUUGCUUCCAAGGAUAUACGGUUUUGCUUUCAUCAAAAAUAAAAAUAUUUCCAGUCAUAACUACACAUGGUUCACACAAAUUAUUAAAUUGUUCGGAAAGAAAAGAAAAUGCUACUAGGCUCGACAACCGCCAAGCCCUUGCCAUGGCUAGACACUCCGGCUAGCACAUCCACCCUCUACGCCAAAAAACUGCAGUGGUACACACUACACAAAGCAGAAAGCAACCAAAUCUGCGUUUCAUCAGCAUGAACAGCUCUUGAAAUUUACUACCCCGAGAGUAUCUGAGGAUUUUGUUGUGCCAUUGCAAGCUAAUGGCACGAUCUGUCUAAGCUUUUUGAAGUACCUGAGGAGGCGGUGGAGCAAGGGAGGGCGGAGAGGAGGGCCUCGCAGUAGACGCUGGCGGGCUUGUCCACCACGGCGAGCCACUCGUCCUCGAACACGACGGCGGUGGAGGAGUAGGCACCGGAGGGGAAGAAGAAGAUAGGGGCAGGGGCGACGACGGCUUUGACGGGGCAGGUCGGGGGCGCGCGGCGUUGGUGUAGAGGACGGCGGCGUGGUCGGUGUAGAGGAUGGCGGCGUGGUCGGGGCAGGGGCGACGACGGCGUCGACGGGGCACAGGGCGGCGACAGGGCGGGUCGGGGGCGCGGCAGAGGCACGGCGAGGGCGCGCGGCGUGGUCGGGGCGGGGCAACGAUGGCGUGGUUGGGGGCGCGACAGAGGCACGGCGAGCUCGGGCAGCGUGGCGGCGUCGUCAGAUGGAUCGAUCCAAGAAACUGAUGAAAUUUUUACAAGUCUGGCUUAUAUAGCAAAGCCAUUGGUACCGGUUGGUGCCACGAAUCGGUACCAAUGGCUUUGAUAUAUAAGCCCGUGCUUCUGAAAUUUUCGUCAGUUUAUUCGAUCCCUCCGACGACACCGGCAGGCUGCCCGAGAUCCCGACCAUGCCUCUGCCCCCCGACCACGCACCGUUGCCCCCUUCCCGACCACGCCGUCGUCGCCGUGCCUCUGCCCCCCGACCACGCCACCGUCGCCGCCGUCGCUGUGCCUCUGCCCCCCGACCACGUCGCCGUUGCCGCCGUCGCCGUGCUUCUGCCGCGCCCCCGACCCGCCCCGUCGACGCCCUCUGCCCCGUCGACACCGUUACCGUCCUCUGCCCCGACCACGCCGUCGUCGCCCUGCCCCGACCACGCCGUCGUCGCCCUGCCCCGACCACGCCGUCGUCGCCGGCCUCUACACCGAUGCCGACGCCGUGCCUCUGCCCCUGCCCCGACCAACCUCUCCCUCCUUGGUUAGGCCGGUGGCGCCGCCCCCUUGUCCUCUCCUCUGUUUUUUUCAUUAUAUGAUGUUUUUUUUUCAUAUUAUGUGUAUAUGUGUGAGUAUAUGUAUGUAUAUGUUCUUUUCAUUAUUAGAUUUUUUGUUCAUAUAUAUGAUGAUUUGUUUUUUGCAUUUUUAUAAAAAUUGAUAUAUGUAUAUGUUCUGUGUGCAUAUAAAAGUUAGAUUUUUAGUAUAUUUGGGUACAUUUUAUGUUAGUUUUAUCUAUAUAUGUUCUCUGAUUUAGUACAUUUUAGGUUGGUUUUAUCUAUAUAUAUUUAGGAAGAAGGAAGAAGGAAGAAGAAGAAAAAGUUUUAUAUAUGCAAAAGUUACAUUUUUAGAAAAGUAUUAUAUAUCUAGCUAGGAAGAUAAGGAAGAAGAAGAAAAUGAAUGAGAGGAAAAAGGAAAAUAAGAAGAGGAAGAAAGGAGAAGAAGAGGAGAGAAAGAAGAGGAGAAAUAAAUAAGAAGAGGAAAAAAGAAGAAAAAGAAGAGGAGAAGAAGAAAAGAAUAGAGGAGAAAAAAAGAAAAAAAUAGAAAUUUUCUAUUUUUUCUUCUUUCUCCUCUAUUCCUUUCUUAUUCUCCUUUUUUUUCUUUUUUUUCUUCGAUUGCUUCUCUUCUAUUCCUUUCUUCUUCUCCUCUUUUUAUUUCUUGUUUUGUCUUCUUAUUUUUUAUCGGGUAUGUCGUUGUCGAUAUAUACCCCCUCCCAAAUUUACCAAGUUAAAAGAGCGUUGUCGCCGAGGCCACCCCAAACCCUUGAAGCGUUGUGUCCAGGCCACCCCAAACCCUUGAAGCGUUGUGUCGAGGCCACACCAAACCCUUGAAGCGUUGUCUAGGCCACCCCAAACCCUAGAGAAGCAGCGUCGAGGCCACUAACAUGAUUCCUUAUUGUGAUUAGCUAGCUAGUUCUACGUUUGCCACUAAUAUAUAUCCAUCUGUACCAUGUUUGAAUAAUAAUUGACAUGUUGUAAAUAUUUGCAGAAACUAUGGAUCACUCCAAAGACGAAGAGGAAGAAGCGAUGUUGGGGGAGAUAAUCGCACAAGGAAGUGAUGUCAUUGCGUCGUUUCUCAGAGACACCGAUGGUCUGGAAAGACCGGGUGAAGAAGAGGGCUAUGUUCAUGAUGAUCUGGAAGGACCGGGUGAAGAAGAGGGCAUUCAUGAUGAUCUGGAAGGACCGGGUGAAGAAGAGGGCGUUCAUGACGGCUCCGUUGACCGAACCGAGUCCGACCAAGUAUAUAUAUAUAUAUUAGUUAAGCCCGUGCUGACUAGUUAAUUGAUGCAUUCAUUGUUUUCAUAUGUACACAUAUUAAUUAACUCUCGUCUUUCUUGUUUUUUCUCUAGACCUCCGGAUCGACCUCAACUUCGGUAAAGAAACGAGGCCCGAAGAAAAAGUUGCGCUCGGAUGAAAGGUUUGAGAUCACAGCAAUCACGCGCGAUGGCAAGCCGAUUGAACCCAUUCGGACAAGGGAUGCAUUUCGUGCUCAGUGCGGGGUUCUUGUUAGGGACAAGAUCCCGAUCAGUAUCCAACAAUGGUUAAAGCCAAAGAAGGAAGACCCUGAGGUGCCGACGUCUUAUGUCUCCGAUAAAAAGAAAGAAGAUCUUUGGACAACGCUUAAGGAAAAUUUCACCCUACCGCCAGAGAAGGAUCCAGAGAAGCCAGUUAAAGAGGAAUUGAUCAAGUCUCAUGCUCUUAAGAAGAUGGCAGAACUAUUCAGGAGGUGGAAGAAUGAGCUGAAAACGUUUGUCGACAAAGAAGAGACACCAGAAUUCACCGGCCGGUUUGAGAAGAUCAAAGAUCAAUGGCCCGCAUUUGUGGCCCACAAGACAUCGGAAAAGAGUAAGAAGAUGUCAGCGACAAACAAGAAAAAUGCUGCGAAGAAGAAGCAUCACCAUCGCACGGGGUCAGGUGGUUACCUCAAAGCCCGACCUUUGUGGGACAAGGCUGAGAAUGACCUGAUUGCUAAAGGGGUCGAACCAGAGACAUUGAGACGGCCAGACCGUUGCCGGACUUGGUUCUUAGGGGUUGGCGGAACCUUGGACCCUGUAUCAGGGGAGUGCCUUUGGACGGAAGAGCAACUGCGAAUACCCGUUAGGAAGCUUCAACACUAUAUCGCCGCAGCACAGGAAGGGGCGUUCAUUCCAGACAGAGAGAAUGAUGAGCUCACAAUGGCCCUCGGGAAUCCUGAGCACCCUGGACGGACAUGAGGCACGCUAGAUUCCCUUCCGUGGAAGGCAGGGUUUUCGGACGCAGGGGUUACAAAACCCAGGUCAGGAGGAAGAAAGCGGAGCAUAGCCAACUGCAGGCGCUGCACGAAAGGGUACAAGGGCUAGAGGAACGAGAAGCAGAUCGUAGCAAACGACCUGCCGAAGCUUCCCCUGAAGCUACCCCACCAUCUCAGCGGAGAAGCACCAUGGCUUCCACCGAGCAGACUCAGCAGCUGGAGCCUGUCUUCACGUGCUACCCCGUGGAUGCUAUCACAGAGUCUCAACAUUGCUACCUUAUGACGCAAUGGAUGACAUUCAAAGUCAAGGCGACUGUUGGCUCUGUUAUACCUAAUGAACCUGGCUCAACCUACCACGGCCAGCCGAUUCCAGAAGGAUAUGCUAGGGUGAUGGUGGAUCAAAUAACGGAAGGAUUUGAGGACCUUGAGCUUGACCACCCUACGGGUGAAGGGGAGAUUCGGCUGGGUUCUUCUCUGAAGACUCCAUGCCUAUGGCGGAAGGAGCUCAUCCACCUUCCGAACUGGACGCCUCCGCCUCCUCCUCCUCCUCCGGCGAGUCAGGGCCCGCCUCCUCCUUCGCCUCCUCCGGCGAGUGAUCAGGGCACUCAGCCUCCUUCUCCAGCACGUGACGGCACUCCGCCUCCUUCUCUGCCUGCGCCCGCGCGCCCGAGCAGCCAGCUGCCUCCUCCUUCUCCGCCUCGUCAACAAGAGCUGAAGAGACCCGCCGCCGCUCCGGCUCCUCCGGCGCGUAGUCCUUCUCCUCCGCCUCAUAAGAAAGGAAAGACAGUCGCAGCCGCUCCGUCUGCUCCGACGUGUAGCAGUACAGCCAGAGGCAGGCAAUACAAAUACGGUCCUUCUCUGAAGCCUCUAGAGAAGUUACCAUACGAGAGGAGCCCGGAGGAAAACGAGAAGCUCGUGCGAGCUGAAGUGGCCAACUUCUUUGAAGGGGUCAAAGCAAAGAAAAAUCCACCUCCGGAGGAGAAGAUAGAUCCGGUAAAAGCGAAGCGUACUCUGGCUGCCCUGACGAAACCACCAAAGUCUCCGGUGAAAGACAACUAUCAGCGCAUUCUUACAAAGUCAUUUAUCGCAGCGGAGCGGUCGGGAAGUACGGUCAGUGAUCAAAGGUUAGUAGGACGACGAGCUGGGAAAAAAGUUGCCCAGCUCGGCGAACACGCGAACCAAUCGUUGCCCCCGCUCCAGGUGUCUAGCGUCGUCGCGAAUCAUCCGGGCGGGAUGGUGCACUGUUAUAACGAUCUUGGAGAUUACCUGCCCGACUCUGCACAUUUUGAUUUCUUGGAGGUGGACGAACACAGAUACGUGUACGGGAAGCCUCUCGUCAAAGAUGAAAAAUCUCUAACAACGAUGAUUCGAAGAUUCCAUGAUUGGUAUAUGAAAACCUGUAGAGAGUCUCGGGGAGGAAUAGUUUGAUGCUCAGAGUUAAAGAGGAGCAUGACCUCGUUGGAAUUGAUCUGUUGAAUGUUCCAUUUGACGAGUUCUUCGAGUUUUUCAAUCUAAAGGCCCUCGAUAAGUCAAUUAUCACUUGCUACUGCCUGUAAGUAGUACUACUUCUGUCAUUAAGUCUCUAUAUAUAGGUCAUCUCUUUCAUUGCAUGUAUCUUUAAUUAUUCUCACUAUAUUAUGCAGAUUGAAGAUCGCCGAAUUGAAGAAAAGACAAAUUGGUGAUAUUGGGUUCAUUAACACAAAUCUCAUUGAUGAAUAUAUGGUUAAAUAUCAUGCCAAAGAUACCGAGACAAACCUGCUACAAUCGUUUAUAUUAAAUCAAAACAAAGCUAUAAUGCUCUUCCCUUACAACUUCGAGUGAGUGUUACUGUCUUGUGCAUAUUCGGUUUCCCUUAUUAGUCGAGGUUAUAGUAAUGUAAUUGAUGAGUUAUGCAUGCGUGCGCAGUUUCCACUAUAUUCUCCUAGAGAUUAAGCUUGAGGAGGGACUAGUAACCGUCUUAGACUCGAGACGAAAAGAUCCCAAGAAGUACACAUACAUGACUGAAAUUCUAGAGAAGUAAGUUAAAUCUAUCAUUAUCGCACCAUAUCGACAACUUCAAUUUGUUCAUUUCCUGAUGUCAAGUAAUUGUUUUCUUUGUCUGGCAGAGUUUGGAUUAAAUUCACCUUAAAAACUCCGAGACUGCCAAAGAAGCUGCAGUUUAGACACCCGAAAGUAAGUACUAUAGUAGCAUAUAUGUUCCACGCAUCUCCUAGUGAUCCAAGCGCUAGUUUCACCAAUACCAUUUAGCAUGCUUGCUAAUUAUCAGUUUGAUUGACCUCUAUUUCUUGUAAAGUGGUUGUGGCAGGAAGAGGGGACUAAUUACUGUGGAUACUACAUUUGCGAGUCCAUCCGCAACGCGACCUGUGAGCGGGACUACUCCGAGAAACAAUAUGAAGUGCGUAAAUAAUUAUAUUCGCAAUUUUAUUUUAUUACCAUAAUUUGUGUUCAGUUUCAUUUAUUCAUAUAUAUGUAUUGACCCCCUUCUUCAAAUUAGAUAUUUCGGAUGCGAAAUGAACUCCUAGCACCAGAUUGUAUGCGAGCAAUUCAAGAGGAAUUGGCGGCAUUCUUUCUUGACCACGUGAUCGCUAAAGACGGAGAAGACUAUGUGGACCCUGAUGCGUUCAAUUUUAAUUAGGAGAUUAUAUUGUAAAAGAUACUUAUAUUGUAUAUAUGUAGCGAGUAGCGUCGGAUAGAUAUACGAGAACUUGUUGUUCGACCAAUCUCUCAGAGAAGGAGAGGUGGUCGAUAUCACUUCCCUUUGUAUGCAUCUGUUCAUGACGAUCUUCUGUUUCCUUCAUUUGCUUAACUAGCUAGCGUGUCUAGUCCUCUAUACGUAUAGUACGUAGCAUCGACCAAGCACGGAGAUAAGAAAGGACACUUCGCUCUAUUAAUUAGCAUGCUAACACAAUAUAUGAAACACCUAAAUUAACCCUCCAAAACCCCCAAACCCUCCGACCCUUUCAAAAAAAAACAAAAACCCGAGCACCUGAGAUGUUGACGCGUGGAUGCCUAUUGGUCCCGGUUGGUGCCACCAACCGGGACCAAAGGGCCUCCUGCCUGGGCUCGCCGCACCGGCCACGUGGAGGCCCAUCUGUCCCGGUUUAUGCAAGAACCGAGACUAAAGGUUUAGGGCAUUAGUACCGACACUUUAGUCCCGGUUCAAAAACCGGGACAAAUGGCCCUCACGAACCGGGACAAUAGGUCCUUUUUCUACUAGUGUAUAAUGAAAAUUUCCCACUAGCUAUAUGGUGGUGACAAAACGAGAGACUCUCAAUCAUGAAGAUCAUGGUGCUUAAUAAGCACAAGUGUGGAAAGAUAGUAGCAUUGUCCCUUCUCUGUUUUUCUCUCAUUUUUUGGUGGGCUCUUUGGCCUCUCUUUUUUUGGGUGGGCAUCUUUGGCCUCUUUUAUUUCCUCACAUGGGACAAUGCUCCAUCAAUGAUGAUCAUCACACUUACAACUCAAAACUUAGAGCAAUGAUGACUCUAUAAGGAAUGCCUUCGGUAGUGUACCGUGAUAAUGAUCUAGCAUGGCAUAGACAUCAAUGGAAACAUCAUGCUAGCUAUCUUAUGAUCAUGCAAUGGCAAUGUAGAAGUGGUGGCACAUGUCAUGGUGGUAGUUGCAUGGCAAUAUAUCUCGGAAUGGCUUUAAAAAAGCCAUAGUAGGUAGGUAUGGUGGCUGUUUUGAGGGAGGCUAUAUGGUGGGUUUUGUGCACCGGCGAAAGUUGCACGACACUAAAGAAGAUAGUGAUGGUGGAAGGUGAAAGUGCAUCUAAACCAUGGACUCAACAUUAGUCAUGAAUAACUCAUAUAAUUGUUGCAAAAGUUUUAGUAGUAAUCGAAACAAAGCAUUCAAUGCAUACUCCUAGGGGAAGGGUUGGUAGGUAUAAACCAUGGCGCGAUCCCGACCAUCACACAAAGGAUGACAAUCAAUAGACUAAUCAUGCUCAGACUUCAUCACAUAGCGGUUCACGAUACGUGCAUGCUACGGGAAUCACUAACUUCAACACAAGUAUUUCUAGAUCCACAACACCUUACUAGUAUAACUUCAAUAUUACCACAACCACAACUCAAAACUAAUUGAGAUGAAUCAAACUUCUCUAAUUAUUCAAUGCACAUGAAGGUGGAAGUUUUCAUAUCCCUAUGGAUAACUACCCCUUUUGAGACUACUUUCAUAGCAUAAGCCAACUAUCAAGCCACGCGCUUCCGUGCUCUAAAAGAUAUAAGUGAAGCACACAGAGCAAAAUCAACUAGCUCAAAAUAUAAAAGUGAAGCACAUGUGAGUUUAAUUGUCUAACCAAAGGAUAUAAGUGAAGCUCGACAAAAUCAUGGUGAGUGCAUGUCUCUCUCUCUAGGUGUGAAUCAAGGAAGAUUGUGACACAACAAAAAUAAAAGACUCCUACGAUACAAGAUGCUCCAAGCAAAACACAUAACAUGUGGUGAAUAAAAAUAUAGCCCCAAGUAACUUUACCGAUGGAUUGAAGACGAAAGAGGGGAUGCCUUCCCGGGGCAUCCCCAAGCUUAGGCUUUUACGACAUCCUUGAAUCAACUUGGGGUGCCUUGGGCAUCCCCAAGCUUGAGCUCUUGCCACUCUUUAUGUCUUUGUCCAUAAGAACUUCACCCCAAACUUGAAAACUUCACAACACGAAACUUAAACAGAAACUUGUGAUAACAUUAGUAUAAGAAAGCAAACCACCACUUCCUUAGGUAGUGUAGCAAACUUAAAUUCCACUUAUGUUGAUGUUGGGUUACUGUAUUUUCAAUCUUCCAUGGCUAAUACCCCCCGACACUAUCCAUAGUUUCAUCAAAAUAAGCAACCAACUCAACGAAAACAAAAUCUGUUAACAGCAGACCAGUCUGUAGCAAUCUAUAUACUUCGUAUACUUCUGGUACUUCAAAAAUUCUGAGAAAUUACGACAGUGUGAAGAAUUUGUGUAGAAAUCAGUAGAAAAAAUAAUCAACUCAAAAGCUCUUACAGAAAAAUGGAAAAUUCUUUUCGUGAGCAGAAAGUUUCUGUCUUUUCCAGCAUGACCAAACGAUCAUCCCCAAGACUAACCAUAACGGUUUUACUUGGCACAAACGCAAAAGAAAAACAAAAAACACAAUCAUAACAGAAUUAUGAAAGUGUGGAAAACACAAAACAGAAAGAAAAAUGAUAGAUUCGUUGGGUUGCCUCCCAACAAGCGCUAUUGUUUAACGCCCUUAGCUAGGCAUAAGGUGAUGGAAUCACGUAUAGCAUCUUUGGUGCUCAAACCAUAAGUAGCCCUCAUCAUAGAUUCAUAAGGCAAUCUUAUUUUCUUUCUAGGAAAAUGCUCCAUGCCCUUCUUUAGAGGAUAUUGAAAUCUAAUAUUCCCUUCCUUCAUAUCGAUGAUAACACCAAUAGUCCUUAGGAAAGGUCUACCAAGAAUAAUGGGACAUGAAGGAUUGCAAUCUAUGUCAAGUACAAUGAAAUCCACGGGUACAUAGUUCUUAUUUGCAAAAAUAAGAACAUCAUUGAUCCUUCCCAUGGGUUUCUUGAUAGUAGAAUCCGCAAGAUGCAAAUUAAGAGAACACUCUUCAAUCUCAUGACAACCAAGAAUAUCACAUAAAGACUUUGGAAUAUUCGCGGAAACACUAGCACCCAAAUCACACAAAGCAUUGCAUUCAUAGUUUUUGUUUUUGAUUUUGAUAGUAGGUUCCCACUCAUCAUGAAGUUUUCUAGGUAUAGAGACUUCUGAUUCGAGUUUCUCUUCAAGAGAUUUCAUCAUAGCAUCUACGAUAUGCUUUGCUUUAGCUAUAAGCAUGUGGAGAGUUUGCAAUGGAUUGCAUCAAAGAAAUGCAUUCAAACAAGGAGCAACUAUCAUAAUUGAAUUCNNNNNNNNNNNNNNNNNNNNNNNNNNNNNNNNNNNNNNNNNNNNNNNNNNNNNNNNNNNNNNNNNNNNNNNNNNNNNNNNNNNNNNNNNNNNNNNNNNNNCAGAGGCCGUUGGUCCCGGUUGGUGGCACCAACCAGGACUAAUGGUGGCAUUGGUAUCGGUUGGUGUCACCAACAGGGACCAAGGUCUCUUUCAGCAGCCCGAAGGGCGGGAAGCAAAGGCAUUUGGUCCCGGUUGGUAGCACCAACUGGUACCAAUGCCCCCCUUUAGUCUCGGUUGGUGCCACCAACCGGGACCAAAGGCCUUGCACUGGCGCGGUGUGGUGCUAUGUUUAGUCCCACCUCGCUAGCCGAGAGGGGCUCGGAGUGGUUUAUAAGCCCUGCCGAACAAACCACUUCGAGCUCCUCUCUAUUGCAGGCUUACAGGCCUAAAAUCACUAUAUGUGCUUGUGGGCCUAUUGGGCCUACUGCGGGCCUGCAUCCUGGCCCUAAUAAUGGGUUUCUAGUCGUAUGCACGCCGUGGUGGCCGUGUAGGUGGCUACUUUUUUUUAAAAAAAUCCAGUUUUUUGCUUUCUUUUUUGUUUCUAAUUACUUAUUUAUUUUCUUUUAUGAUAAUUCUUUUUGCUAUUAAAGUUUGUAACAAAAUUUUAAUUACUUACUUAUUUCCUUUUAUGAUAAUUCUUUUUUCUUUUAAUGUUUUGAACAGAAAAUACUUUGAUAAUUUUAGUUGCAUAAAUUCUAUAUAAUUUUAGUUUCAAUAAUACUAGAGGUUUAUAAAAGCUUUUUAGUUGAUUCUUUUAGUACCAGUUCUAAGGCUGUUACAAAGGCAUUUUAUUUGGUACAGGUUCUAAGGCUGGGGCCCNNNNNNNNNNNNNNNNNNNNNNNNNNNNNNNNNNNNNNNNNNNNNNNNNNNNNNNNNNNNNNNNNNNNNNNNNNNNNNNNNNNNNNNNNNNNNNNNNNNNCAGCAGCCCGUGGCACGAUGCAGGCCACAUGCAAAAAGUGAUGCCCACAUGAAGCAAAAAUUAUUAAUAGAGGAUUCAAAGAUCACUCACACCUCUUCAUCUUACAACAAAUGGCGCAUUACAUGUCUGUCAUUUGUCAAAAUCUGGGAUUUUUACUUUUUUCAUAGAACCAUUAUUUUUUAAAUGUUUUAUCACUUAAACCGUGUGUCCAAAUCUCGAACCAUUUUUAUUGUUGUAUUCCACGUGUUGAGAUAUUCAAAACUAAAUUCCAUGUUGAUAAAUUUUGUCAAACUUAUUUUUUAUUAAAAUACCGGACGAAAAAACCGUGUCUCAAAAGAAAAAAAAUAUGGUUUUUUGUUUCACAAAUGCACUGCCGUGCCUCUCAUGAAAGAAAAAAAAACAGAAAACGCAUUUUUUUUUGUUCCCAGAGGCACGGUCGUGAAAGCGAAUCCGUGCAUCUCGCAGAAACGUCUUGUGAAAAAAAUUAGAAAAUGCUUUUUUCAUCUCCAAGAGGCACGAUCGUGCCUCUCACGAAAUCAAAUCAGUGUCUCUCGCGGAAACCAAUUCAUGCCUCUCGUGAAAGGAAAAAUAGAAAACACAUUUGUUUCGUCGUGCCUCUCGCGAAAGCAAAACAGUGCCUCCCGCGAAAGAAAGAAAAAUAUUUUUUUUUANGAGAAGCAUGGGUGUGCCUCUCGCAAAAAUAAAGAAAAWAUCGAAAAAAAAAACGUUUCCAAGAGGCAACGACUGUAGCUCUCGACAAAAUCAAAUCCCUGUCUUUUAUGAAAGCAAAUCAUGCUUUUCGAGAAAGACUAAAAAAAGNNNNNNNNNNNNNNNNNNNNNNNNNNNNNNNNNNNNNNNNNNNNNNNNNNNNNNNNNNNNNNNNNNNNNNNNNNNNNNNNNNNNNNNNNNNNNNNNNNNNAAAAGCGUGAGUUCAAUGUAGGUGAUUAUGUCUUGCUAUAUAAUUCUCGUUUAAGAUUCUUUGCAGGCAAGCUUCUCUCUAAAUGGGAAGGUCCCUAUAUUGUUGAGGAAGUAUAUCGUUCUGGUGCUAUCAAGAUCAACAACACGGAAGGUAAUUGUCCGAGAGUUGUAAAUGAGGAGAGAAUCAAGCAUUAUAUCUCAGGUACUCCCAUAAAUGUUGAAAGCAAUAUCAUCAAUACCAUAACUCCGGAAGAAUACCUAAGGGACAUUUAUCAGCCUGUUUCAGACUCCGAAAAUGAAGAGGUGUGUGAUUCGGUAAGAAAACAGAUUCCAAAAACUUUUCCAAUAGGAAUUUUUCACCGUUUUGGAAUAUUUGAAAAAAAUAGAAAAAUUGGAAGUAGUCCGAAAAGUGCGCGAGGAGGCGACAAGCCUGCCCGGCGCGGGCCCACCCCAUGGCCGCACCGGGGGGGGGUGUUGUGGCCACCUCGUGCGCCUCCCGGACUCCGUUUUCGUGCGGAGUACUCCUCCUGGUCUGGAAAAAAUCAAUAUAUAUUCUCCCGUAAGGUCUGACCCCUGUAUCACGCAGAUUUCCUCUGUUUUCGUUUCGAGCCUGUUUUCUGCCGCAGAUUUAGAGCAAGAUGUCUUCUCAGGAUUCAGAGGGGGANAGCUAUGUGGCUGAUUACCUNACUAACUCCAAGGUCUAUGGGGACUUGGAUCCUUAUGGCUGGACCACUGAUGAGGAAGAAGAUUAUGAUCCCAAGGGGAAGAACAAACAAGUUCCGAUGAAGAGGAGGCUCCUCUACCUCAACCUGGACACACGCNNNNNNNNNNNNNNNNNNNNNNNNNNNNNNNNNNNNNNNNNNNNNNNNNNNNNNNNNNNNNNNNNNNNNNNNNNNNNNNNNNNNNNNNNNNNNNNNNNNNUCAGGGCAUCAGACAUCAUGAGCUAGGUUCAUGCGUAGAUGUCUUCUCGAGUAGAACACAAAAGUUUUUGUGGGCGGUGAUGUGCGUUUUGCUGCCCUCCUUAGUCUUUUCUUGAUUCCGCGGUAUUGUUGGAUUGAAGCAGCUUGGACCGACAUUACUCGUACGCUUACGAGAGACUGGUUUCAUCGUUACGAGUAACCCCCUUUGCUCAAAGAUGACUGGCAAGUGACGGUUUCUCCAAAUUUAGUUGAAUCGGAUUUGACCGAGGAGGUCCUUGGAUGAGGUUAAAUAGCAACUCAUAUAUCUCCGUUGUAGUGUUUGCGUAAGUAAGAUGCGAUCCUACUAGAUGCCCUUGGUCACCACGUAAAACAUGCAACAACAAAAUUAGAGGACGUCUAACUUGUUUUUGCAGGGUAUGCUUGUGAUGUGAUAUGGCCAACGAUGUGAUGUGAUAUAUUGGAUGUAUGAGAUGAUCAUGUUGUAAUAGAAAUAUCGACUUGCACGUCGAUGGUACGGCAACUGGCAGGAGCCAUAGGGUUGUCUUUAUACUAACGUUUGUGCUUUCAGAUGCGUUUACUAUUUUGCUAGGAUGUAGCUUUNNNNNNNNNNNNNNNNNNNNNNNNNNNNNNNNNNNNNNNNNNNNNNNNNNNNNNNNNNNNNNNNNNNNNNNNNNNNNNNNNNNNNNNNNNNNNNNNNNNNCAAUGACUUACAGAUCAUAGCACCGUGUGACAGCCCGUAUGCCGACGUUCCAGAAGAUWUYCCCCCUUUAUUUUCCGUUUCCUUCAUGUGUUUAGUUUAAUUGGUUGCAUCAUCAUUUAGUUUUGCAUCAUGGCAUCUUGCAUCAUCUGUUGCGUGUGUGUGUUCUGAGUUGUGAGUGCUUCAAGUGCUCUUAGAGUCUUUAGUGCAAUAGGAAACUCCCCUCUCCUCUCCUAAUUCUUUUGAGGCAAUUCCAGUUUCUGGUUUUGCCUAAAUAAAAUGUUCCUCCUCUUUUAAAAAUACUCCCUCUUAUUUGGGCAACCCUCUGGUUUAACUUUAUUUUCCUUUUGUUUAUUUAAAAUCAGCGCCUAAUUUAUCUAAAAGGGUUUAUUUUGUUCUUAAAAUGCCCAAUCUAUUUCUUAUAGUUGGAGCAUGUUUUAAGGAGCCCAAAGGUAUUUUGUUUUAGUUAAAUUCUUCUUAUUUUGGUUGUGGUAUUUUCUUUUUAUAGCGGCUAUUUUAUUUUGUGCUAGGCAUUUUUUAUUAGUGGGAGAGAGAGAAGCCCAGCCUGUAGCCAGCUGGGCCAAGGCCCAGACGGCCCGCCGAACCCUAGCGCCAGGGAGCGAGCCCCCUCGCUCGUUUCCCUCCUGCCGCCGCCAACCCCUUCCUUCCCCCGUCUCGUUCUCCUCGUUCCUCUCCUCCCCAUCGUUCCCUCCAGCGCCGCCAUGCAUGGUAGCCAGGAGCUCAUGCCCGAAGCACUCCAGCGCCGUCACCCGAAGCCAUGCGUCACCCUGCUCAUCCUCUGCCGACCCCCCCCCCUUUUCUCUCUUUUCCAUCUCAUCUCUCUUCUCAUCCCGUUAUGUAGGUCGCCGUGGUGCCCCGAGCUCCGCCCGUCGCCGGGAACCAGCUCCCUCGACCGGGUUCGCCCGAGCCCCCGCUCGUCCUCGCCCCCUCCUCCUACGCGCAGCUGCCCUUAGGUCAGGUUCGCCCGAGAGCAGUGCUUCGACCCUCCUGCUGCCNNNNNNNNNNNNNNNNNNNNNNNNNNNNNNNNNNNNNNNNNNNNNNNNNNNNNNNNNNNNNNNNNNNNNNNNNNNNNNNNNNNNNNNNNNNNNNNNNNNNUCAGGGGCAUCAGACAUUGACCGAGGAGUCUCUCGGGUCAUGUCUACAUAGUUCUCGAACCCGCAGGGUGUGCACACUUAAGGUUCGACGUUGUUUUAUGUGUAUUUGAGUUAUAUGGUUGGUUACCGAAUGUUGUUACGGAGUCCCGGAUGAGAUCUACGGACGUCACGAGGGUUUCCGGAAUGGUCCGGAAACGAAGAUUGAUAUAUAGGAUGACCUCAUUUGAUUACCGGAAGGUUUUCGGAGUUACCGGGAAUGUACCGGGAAUGACGAAUGGGUUCCGGGAGUUCACCGGGGGGGCAACCCACCCCGGGGAAGCCCAUAGGCCUUGGGGGAGACACACCAGCCCUUAGUGGGCUGGUGGGACAGCCCAAAAAGGGCUCUAUGCGCCAAGAAGAGAAAAUCAAGAGAAAAGAAAAAAAGGAGGAGGUGGGAAGGAAGGGGGACUCCCUCCCACCAAACCAAGUCCAACUCGGUUUGGGGGGGAGUCCUCCCCCCUUGGACUCGGCCGACCCCCUUGGGGCUCCUUGAGCCCCAAGGUAAGGUCCCCUCCCUCCCACCUAUAUAUACGGAGGUUUUAGGGCUGAUUUGAGACGACUUUUCCACGGCAGCCCGACCACAUACCUCCACAGUUUUUUCCUCUAGAUCGCGUUUCUGCGGAGCUCGGGCGGAGCCCUGCUGAGACAAGGUCAUCACCAACCUUCGGAGCGCCGUCACGCUGCCGGAGAACUCUUCUACCUCUCCGUCUCUCUUGCUGGAUCAAGAAGGCCGAGAUCAUCGUCGAGCUGUACGUGUGCUGAACGCGGAGGUGCCGUCCGUUCGGUACUAGAUCGUGGACUGAUCGCGGGAUUGUUCGCGGGGCGGANNNNNNNNNNNNNNNNNNNNNNNNNNNNNNNNNNNNNNNNNNNNNNNNNNNNNNNNNNNNNNNNNNNNNNNNNNNNNNNNNNNNNNNNNNNNNNNNNNNNGCAUGCAAGCUUGCAUCGACGUAACCUUUUACGGCGAGCUCUUCGUCACCUCCAUACACGAGAAACAUCUCCUUAGUCCUUUUCAGGUACUUCAGGAUAUUCUUGACCGCUGUCCAGUGAUCCACUCCUGGAUUACUCUGGAACCUACCUGCCAUACUUAUGGCCAGGCUAACAUCCGGUCUAGUGCACAACAUCGCAUACAUGAUAGAACCUAUGGCUGAAGCAUAGGGGACGGAGCUUAUAUGCUCUCUAUCUUCAUCAGUUGCUGGGCACUGAGUCUUACUCAAUCUCGUACCUUGUAGAACUGGCAAGAACCCUUUCUUGGACUGUUCCAUUUUGAACCUCUUCAAAACUUUAUCAAGGUAUGUGCUUUGUGAAAGUCCUAUCAGGCGUUUUGAUCUAUCCCUAUAGAUCUUAAUGCCUAGAAUGUAAGCAGCUUCUCCUAGGUCCUUCAUAGAGAAACUUUUAUUCAAGUAAUCCUUUAUGCUCUCUAAAAACUCUACGUUGUUUCCAAUCAGUAAUAUGUCAUCCACAUAUAAUAUUAGAAACGCCACAGAGUUCCCACUCACUUUCUUGUAAAUACAAGAUUCUCCAACCACUUGUAUAAACCCAAAUGCUUUGAUCACCUCAUCAAAGCGUUUGUUCCAACUCCGAGAUGCUUGCACCAGUCCAUAAAUGGAUCGCUGGAGCUUGCACACCUUGUUAGCAUUCUUAGGAUCGACAAAACCUUCGGGUUGUAUCAUAUACAAUUCUUCCUUAAGGAAACCGUUAAGGAACGCCGUUUUGACAUCCAUCUGCCAGAUUUCAUAAUCGAAAAAAUGCAGCUAUUGCUAACAUGAUUCUGACGGACUUAAGCAUCGCUACGGGUGAGAAAGUCUCAUCGUAGUCAACUCCUUGAACUUGUGCAAAACCCUUUGCCACAAGUCGAGCUUUAUAAACGGUCACAUUACCGUCAGCGUCCGUCUUCCUCUUAAAGAUCCAUUUGUUCUGAAUGGCCUUGCGGCCCUCAGGCAGUACCUCCAAAGUCCACACUUUGUUCUCAUACAUGGAUCCUAUCUCGGACUUCAUGGCUUCCAGCCAUUUGUUGGAAUCUGGGCCCACCAUUGCUUCUUCAUAAUUCACAGGUUCAUUGUUGUCUAACAACAUGAUUGAUAAGACGGGAUUACCGUACCACUCUGGAGCAGCACGUGGUCUCGUCGACCUGCGUGGUUCGACAGAAACUUGAACUGGAGUUUCAUGAUCAUCAUCAUUAACUUCCUCCUCAACCGGCAUCGCAAUGACAGAGGUUUCCCCUUGCCCUGCGCCACCAUCCAGAGUGAUGAGAGGUUCGACAACCUCGUCAACUUCUAUCUUCCUCCCACUCAAUUCUCUCGAGAGAAACUCCUUCUCGAGAAAAACUCCGUUUUUAGCAACAAACACUUUGCCCUCGGAUUUGAGAUAGAAGGUGUACCCAACUGUCUCUUUUGGGUAAUCUAUGAAGACGCACUUUUCCGCUUUGGGUUCCAGCUUUUCAGGCUGAAGCUUUUUGACAUAAGCAUCACAUCCCCAAACUUUAAGAAACGACAACUUUGGCCUUUUGCCAUACCACAGUUCGUAUGGUGUCGUCUCAACGGAUUUUGAUGGUGCCCUAUUUAAAGUGAAUGCAGCUGAUUCUAAUGCAUAGCCCCAAAAUGAUAAUGGCAAAUGAGUAAGAGACAUCAUAGAUCGCACCAUCUCUAAUAGAGUACGAUUACGAUGUUCGGACACACCAUUACGCUGUGGUGUUCCAGGCGGUGUUAACUGUGAAACAAUUCCACAUUGUCUUAAGUGAGCACCAAACUCGAAACUCAGAUAUUCACCCCCACGAUCAGACCGUAGGAACUUGAUCUUCUUGUUACGAUGAUUUUCCACUUCACUCUGAAAUUGCUUGAACUUUUCAAAUGUUUCAGACUUGUGCUUCAUCAAGUAGACAUAACCAUAUCUACUUAAAUCGUCAGUGAAGGUGAGAAAAUAACGAUAUCCGCCGCGUGCCUCCACGCUCAUCGGACCACACACAUCGGUAUGUAUGAUUUCCAACAAGUCACUUGCACGCUCCAUUGUUCCUGAGAACGGAGUUUUAGUCAUCUUGCCCAUGAGGCAUGGUUCGCACGUGUCAAGUGAAUCAAAGUCAAGUGACUCCAAAAGUCCAUCAGCAUGGAGUUUCUUCAUGCGCUUUACACCAAUAUGACCUAAGCGGCAGUGCCACAAAAAUAUGGCGCUAUCAUUGUUAACUCUAACUCUUUUGGUCUCAAUGUUAUGUAUAUGCGUAUCGCUAUCAAGAUUCAAUAUGAACAAUCCUCUCACAUUCGGUGCAUGACCAUAAAAGAUGUUACUCAUAGAAAUAGAACAACCAUUAUUCUCUGACUUAAAAGAGUAACCGUCUCGCAAUAAACAAGAUCCAGAUAUAAUGUUCAUGCUCAACGCAGGCACUAAGUACCAAUGAUUUAAGUUCAUCACUAAUCCUGACGGUAACUGAAGUGACACUGUGCCGACGGCGAUUGCAUCAACCUUGGAACCAUUUCCUACGCGCAUCGUCACUUCAUCUUUCGCCAGCCUUCGUCUAUUCUGCAGUUCCUGUUUCGAGUUGCAAAUAUGAGCAACAGAACCGGUAUCGAAUACCCAGGCACUACUACGAGAGCCGGUUAAGUACACAUCAAUAACAUGUAUAUCAAAUAUACCUGAUUUUUCUUUGGCCGCCUUCUUAUUUGCCAGAUACUUGGGGCAAUUGCGCUUCCAGUGACCCAUACCCUUGCAAUAGUAACACUCCGUUUCAGGCUUAGGUCCAGCUUUGGGUUUCUUCGUCGGAUUGGCAACAGGCUUGCCGCUCUUCUUCAAAUUGCCCUUCUUGCCUUUGCCGUUUCUCUUGAAACUAGUGGUCUUAUUCACCAUCAACACUUGAUGCUCUUUACGGAGUUCAGACUCUGCGACUUUCAGCAUCGCAAACAACUCGCCGGGAGACUUGUUCAUCCCUUGCAUGUUGUAGUUCAACACAAAGCCUUUAUAGCUUGGCGGCAGUGAUUGAAGGAUUCUGUCAGUGAUAGCUUCUUGCGGGAGUUCAAUCCCCAGCUCAGCUAGACGGUUUGAGUACCCAGACAUUUUGAGCACAUGUUCACUGACAGAUGAGUUUUCCUCCAUCUUGCAAGCAUAGAAUUUAUCGGAGGUCUCAUACCUCUCGAUCCGGGCGUUCUUCUGAAAGAUAAACUCCAACUCGUGGAACAUCUCAAAUGCUCCAUGACGCUCAAAGCGACGUUGAAGUCCCGGUUCUAAGCCAUACAAGACUGCACAUUGAACUAUUGAGUAGUCCUCCUUACGUGCUAACCAAGCGUUCUUAACAUCCUGAUCAGCCGUAGCGGGUGGUUCAUCUCCUAACGCAUCAUUAAGGACAUAAUCCUUCUUCCCAGCUUGUAAGAUUAGCUUAAGAUUACGAGCCCAGUCUACAAAGUUGCUACCAUCAUCUUUCAACUUAGCUUUCUCUAGGAACGUAUUAAAAUUCAGGAUGACUGUCGCGUGAGCCAUGAUCUACAAAACAAAUAUAUUCAAAGUCGACUUAGACUAUGUUCAAGAUAAUUAGAGUUUAACUUAAUCAAAUUAUUCGCUAAACUCCCACUCAAAAAGUACAUCUCUCUAGUCAUUUGAGUGGUUCAUGAUCCACUUACACUAGCUCAAGUCCAAUCAUCACGUGAGUUGAGUAUAGUUUCAGUGGUAAGCAUCCCUAUGCUAAUCAUAUCAUCUAUAUGAUUCAUGAUCGACCUUUCGGUCUCAUGUGUUCCGAGGCCAUGUCUGCACAUGCUAGGCUCGUCAAGCCUAACCCGAGUGUUCCGCGUGCGCAACUGUUUUGCACCCGUUGUAUGUGAACGUUGAGUCUAUCACACCCGAUCAUCACGUGGUGUCUCGAAACGACGAACUGUAGCAACGGUGCACAGUCGGGGAGAACACAAUUUCGUCUUGAAAUUUUAGUGAGAGAUCACCUCAUAAUUCUACCGUCGUUCUAAGCAAAAUAAGGUGCAAAAAAGGAUUAACAUCACAUGCAAUUCAUAAGUGACAUGAUAUGGCCAUCAUCACGUGCUUCUUGAUCUCCAUCACCAAAGCACCGACACGAUCUUCUUGUCACCGGCGCCACACCAUGAUCUCCAUCAACGUGUUGCCAUCGGGGUCGUCAUGCUACUCAUGCUAUUACUACUAAAGCUACAUCCUAGCAAAAUAGUAAACGCAUCUGCAAGCACACACGUUAGUAUAAAGACAACCCUAUGGCUCCUGCCGGUUGCCGUACCAUCGACGUGCAAGUCGAUAUUUCUAUUACAACAUGAUCAUCUCAUACAUCCAAUAUAUCACAUCACAUCAUUGGCCAUAUCACAUCACAAGCAUACCCUGCAAAAACAAGUUAGACGUGCUCUAAUUUUGUUGUUGCAUGUUUUACGUGGUGACCAUGGGUAUCUAGUAGGAUCGCAUCUUACUUACGCAAACACCACAAUGGAGAUAUAUGAGUUGCUAUUUAACCUCAUCCAAGGACCUCCUCGGUCAAAUCCGAUUCAGCUAAAGUUGGAGAAACCGACACUUGCCAGUCAUCUUUGAGCAACGGAGUUACUCGUAACGAUGAAACCAGUCUCUCGUAAGCGUACGAGUAAUGUCGGUCCAAGCCGCUUCAAUCCAACAAUACCGCGGAAUCAAGAAAAGACUAAGGAGGGCAGCAAAACGCACCUCACCGCCCACAAAAACUUUUGUGUUCUACUCGAGAAGACAUCUACGCAUGAACCUAGCUCAUGAUGCCACUGUUGGGGAAUGUCGCAUGGGAAACAAAAAUUUUCCUACGCACACGAAGACCUAUCAUGGUGAUGUCCAUCUACGAGAGGGGAUGAGUGAUCUACGUACCCUUGUAGACCGUACAGCAGAAGCGUUAGUGAACGCGGUUGAUGUAGUGGAACGUCCUCACGUCCCUCGAUCCGCCCCGCGAACAAUCCCGCGAUCAGUCCCACGAUCUAGUACCGAACGGACGGCACCUCCGCGUUCAGCACACGUACAGCUCGACGAUGAUCUCGGCCUUCUUGAUCCAGCAAGAGAGACGGAGAGGUAGAAGAGUUCUCCGGCAGCAUGACGGCGCUCCGGAGGUUGGUGAUGACCUUGUCUCAGCAGGGCUCCGCCCGAGCUCCGCAGAAACGCGAUCUAGAGGAAAAACCGUGGAGGUAUGUGGUCAGGCUGCUGUGGAAAAGUCGUCUCAAAUCAGCCCUAAAACCUCCGUAUAUAUAGGUGGGAGGGAGGGGACCUUACCUUGGGGCUCAAGGAGCCCCAAGGGGGUCGGCCGAGUCCAAGGGGGGAGGACUCCCCCCCCCAAACCGAGUUGGACUUGGUUUGGUGGGAGGGAGUCCCCCUUCCUUCCCACCUCCUCCUUUUUUUUUCUUUUCUCUUGAUUUUCUCUUCUUGGCGCAUAGAGCCCUUUUGGGCUGUCCCACCAGCCCACUAAGGGCUGGUGCGCCACCCUCAAGGCCUAUGGGCUUCCCCGGGGUGGGUUGCCCCCCCGGUGAACUCCCGGAACCCAUUCGUCAUUCCCGGUACAUUCCCGGUAACUCCGAAAACCUUCUGGUAAUCAAAUGAGGUCAUCCUAUAUAUCAAUCUUCGUUUCCGGACUAUUCCGGAAACCCUCGUGACCUCCGUGAUCUCAUCCGGGACUCCGAACAACAUUCGGUAACCAACCAUAUAACUCAAAUACGCAUAAAACAACGUCGAACCUUAAGUGUGCAGACCCUGCGGGUUCGAGAACUAUGUAGACAUGACCCGAGAGACUCCUCGGUCAAUAUCCAAUAGGGGGACCUGGAUGCCCAUAUUGGAUCCUACAUAUUCUACGAAGAUCUUAUCGUUUGAACCUCAGUGCCAAGGAUUCAUAUAAUCCCGUAUGUUAUUCCCUUUGUCCUUCGGUAUGUUACUUGCCCGAGAUUCGAUCGUCAGUAUCCGUAUACCUAUUUCAAUCUCGUUUACCGGUAAGUCUCUUUACUCGUUCUGUAAUACAAGAUUCCGCAACUUACACUAAGUUACAUUGCUUGCAAGGCUUGUGUGUGAUGUUGUAUUACCGAGUGGGCCCCGAGAUACCUCUCCAUUCACACGGAGUGACAAAUCCCAGUCUUGAUCCAUACUAACUCAACUAACACCUUCGGAGAUACCUGUAGAGCAUAUUUAUAGUCACCCAGUUACGUUGCGACGUUUGAUACACACAAGGCAUUCCUCCGGUGUCAGUGAGUUAUAUGAUCUCAUGGUCAUAGGAAUAAAUACUUGACAUGCAGAAAACAAUAGCAACAAAAUGACAUGAUCAACAUGCUACGUCUAUUAGUUUGGGUCUAGUCCAUCACGUGAUUAUCCUAAUGACGUGAUCCAGUUAUCAAACAACAACACCUUGUUCAUAAUCAGAAGACACUGACUAUCUUUGAUCAACUGGCUAGCCAACUAGAGGCUUGCUAGGGACGGUGUUUUGUCUAUGUAUCCACACAUGUAAAUGAGUCUUCAUUCAAUACAAUUAUAGCAUGGAUAAUAAACGAUUAUCUUGAUACAGGAAUUAUAAUAAUAACUAUAUUUAUUAUUGCCUCUAGGGCAUAAUUCCAACACUGUGGCGGCAGCGGGCAUGGCGCUCGGGCGCGGUGGGCUGGGGCUAAGGCCGAUCUGGCCCAGUUGCGGCGGCGGGCAGGCUGCUCUGGCGCGGUGAGACGGAUUCCAGGUGGGUAGUUUUGGCCGGCGACCUCCUGGGCGCGGCCCGAGGGCGUGAUGUGAAAAGUGCUUGUGCGCCAUGGAUUUGGUUUGCUGGAAGGCUGGUCCGGUCUCUAGUUUGGGUGGGUGGGCUGCCGGUGAAAGCCGAGCUCCGACUGUGGCCGGAGCAGUCGAUGGCGGCGCCUUUGGACAUCGUCCCCUUGUUGGAGGCAUCGACGCUGCAGCCCAUCCCUAUCCAUGCCCGACAUCCUUCGGGGGAAACCCUUGAUCUGCUCUUGCGGAUCGGGCGAUGAUGACACUAUUGGCUUUGCUCGGCGUCAUAUCUCCUCUUGAGGACAAUGUCUUGAAGGUAGACUCGGCCAGAGGGACCCGAUGCUCAUGUUGGUGGUUGGCGACGACUUGUAUAGCAUUACCGUCAGAACAUCAGAAGCACCCUUCACAUGCAAGUUUCAUCAGGCAAGUUAUGGCCGCCAACCUCACGAGAUUGAAGCGGCAUAUGUUUGCUCUAUCGGACAUAGCGUUCCUCUUGGAUGUCAGUUGAGUUUCACGGAUAUGCUUGUGGCAGCUCGGAUUGAUACAACGGUUUUUGGUUUGCACUUUGGUAGCAGCGAAAGCGCUCGAGUGCCCGGCCGGGUGUGUUGUGGGGUGUUAGCCUUCUGAGGUGUUGUAUGUGUGGUGGUGUUUUAGGCCUGGUUGUUAGUCGUUGUUUUAGGUUUUCGCCCGGUUUUCCUUAUAAACUGAGCACCCUUUUUUCAUUCUUCUUCUUUUGUCACUCGCCUUAUGCGGUCCAUUCCUCCUUUGAGGGUGUUGCUCGUAAUACCUCUUCUGAUCAACGAAUUUGGCAGCUCUCCUGCCAACAUUUAAAUAAAAGAUCUGGCCAAUCUACAUGAUGAUUUGAAAGAGCUCUAUAUAAGGAUCAGUUAUAUAUAUACUUGUACGGUAUUCCACGACUUAUGUCCUGUGUAAACCUAUUUAACGCUCUUUGCGACAAAUUGUCACGCAAAUAGGACAUGGAGCAUUGAUGCUUUUUACAUUAUUUCCGGAAAAUAGAAAAAAGUAAACUAAGACAAAUCUGAUUUUUUGGCAAGAAAAAACGGUGCUUUAUAACAUGAAUGCUAAAAUUUGCUAUGAAAUCACAAUCGUGGUUGAGUAAAAAACAACUCAAUGCUCCAAAAAGAGUGUUUUCGAAGCAUUAAUUGUUUUCACACCUCCAUGAAUGUGAUUUCAUUGCCAAAUUUACACGCGUGCGAGAAAAAUAUCAGCAUUUCUUGCGAGAGAUAUCAGGAUUUUGUUUGAAAAAAAUCGGCAUUCACCGUUCGCCAAGAUCAAGCUCACAAUAGCAUUCUGGGCGCAAAUGUGAGCUUUGUUGUGUUGGCCCAAGUGCAACCCAUGCUUAUUUUCCCCGGUUUGGGUCUGGUUUUGCCGGUUGUACGAAGGUUCUCGCUCGAUUUUCAUUUUUGUUUCUUUUCUAUUGUUUUAUGUACCACUUCUAUUUAUGUUUUCGAACUUCUUUCCUGUCCAUUUUUCCUUCCAAAAAUUGAACAACGUUCACGUUCUUUAUAAAAAAUUAAAAAAAUUAAAAUGUGUAUAUUGUUUUUGAAGAAAUCAGACAUUUCUUCGUGUGGGGAGUAACUAAUUUGCGAGCGCUCCUUUGAAAGUCUCCCCACGAUCAUUUUCAGGCGUCAUCAUUUGACGCGUUCUCAGUCGUCGUCACGUGUCGCAUUCUAAGCGUUUUCAUUUGUCGUCUCUUUUGUUAGUUUUUUCCUUCUUUUUUUAUUGUUUUGGUUUCUACUUGUCUUUCUUAGCUUUUGGACCAAAUUUUUUCAUGAAAAAAACUUUUUUUGCUUUCUCGAAAAGCAUGAUUUGCUUUCAUAAAAGACAGGGAUUUGAUUUUGCGAGAGCACAGUCGUGCCUCUUGGAAACGUUUUUUUUUCGUAUUUUUCUUUAUUUUGCGAGAGGCACACCCAUGCUUCUCAUAAAAAAAAUAUUUUUCUUUCUUUCGCGGGAGGCACUGUUUUGCUUUCGCGAGAGGCACGACGAAACAAAUGUGUUUUCUAUUUUUCCUUUCACGAGAGGCAUGAAUUGGUUUCCGCGAGAGACACUGAUUUGAUUUCGUGAGAGGCACGAUCGUGCCUCUUGGAGAUGAAAAAAGCAUUUUCUAAUUUUUUUCACAAGACGUUUCUGCGAGAUGCACGGAUUCGCUUUCACGACCGUGCCUCUGGGAAACAAAAAAAAAUGCGUUUUCUGUUUUUUUUUCUUUCAUGAGAGGCACGGCAGUGCAUUUGUGAAACAAAAAACCAUAUUUUUUUUCUUUUGAGACACGGUUUUUUCGUCCGGUAUUUUAAUAAAAAAUAAGUUUGACAAAAUUUAUCAACAUGGAAUUUAGUUUUGAAUAUCUCAACACGUGGAAUACAACAAUAAAAAUGGUUCGAGAUUUGGACACACGGUUUAAGUGAUAAAACAUUUAAAAAAUAAUGGUUCUAUGAAAAAAGUAAAAAUCCCAGAUUUUGACAAAUGACAGACAUGUAAUGCGCCAUUUGUUGUAAGAUGAAGAGGUGUGAGUGAUCUUUGAAUCCUCUAUUAAUAAUUUUGCUUCAUGUGGGCAUCACUUUUGCAUGUGGCCUGCAUCGUGCCACGGGCUGCUGGGCUAGCCUGAUACUUCCACAAAAAUCCCACACCCAGUGCAACUCCACUAUGGACUAUGGAGACUAAAAAAACAAAAUCCACUGUGGACUGUGGAGGCUCCCACCCCGGUGACGGCGACCUCCUCUCCUUGUAGGCUCGUCGGCGGGGACGAGGGCCAUCGCCCCCGGCAACUUAAUGUUUGUACUCCUGAUGGUUCGACCGCCCGCCGUUCCUCCCCGCCUGCUUCCCGUGCCUUGCGUUGAAGGCCGUGGCCCGGUUCGCCAGGACGACCUAGCCCCUUUUGGAGUUCCCCUCCCCUCCCUGACGCAUACGGGGAGGCUAAUUCCAAAUCGGCGGAGGAGGGUCGAGCAUCUUCUCCGACUCCGACCGACCAUCGGCCCCCUUCCGAGGCGUCGUCGUGUGUGCUUAUACUAACCACCACAUUCACAUGGCCAUUUUUCCAUAGGAUACCCACAAGGUGCCCCGUCCGGCCAUCCCCAUGUGGCCAUCACUGUCACUGUCACUGUCAGCUCCCAUCUCUUCCAUUUCCCGAGAUCCGUAUGAAAAUGAGACAAUAGCCAAACUACCACUAUGAGAAACCAAACAUGCCAAAAUACCACUGAUAAAAGCCAACUUGCCAAAAUAGCACCCAACCCAGUUUUGUCUAGCCAAAAUACCACUAAUUCAUAACUCAGACUAACAUCAUCCAAAAAAGACUUGCAUGCCUUUACCUCUUCAACACAGAAUCAAGUUGCUGCAGGCAGAGGAGUCGGGCACUGCCGAGCAGAGGGGCGGACGAGCAAGUUGGGGCUCCUGCAAACCGUCGCGGGCCGGUUGCUGCAGGCAGGCGAGCAUGACAGGAUGAUGAGGCAGAGCUGCGACAGAUCAGGGAGGCAGAGGAGGGAGGAGAGCUGCGGCUGCGGGCGCUGGUCAGGGGCCGGGCGCCUGUUAGGAUCAAGCUUCAGACUUGAGCCAGACACGCGCUAGUGAUCAACUUCAGAGAAAGAAAUAGGGCGAACUGGGGUUUCUAUUGAUGGGAUCUCGCAGAAAAUGGAUAAAGCACGCCACUGGCGGCUAGGGUUUGUACCCAUAUAAUCUUUACAUGCCUCGAUGGGCUGGUGUGAGGGGCAAUAUAUAGCCAGCUCACAGCAAAAAGCAGAGUAAAGGAGAGGAGAACAGUAGUGGAGCUUGUCUGAUCUUGAACAACGACGCGGGGAAGGCUCCGAGCCGUUGGAUGCUCGAUCAGUGGUAGCGCCAGCUUCACUUAUCGAACCGUUACCCUUUCAUCUCAGCCGUCCGUUUAUCCAUCUACCCCUCCAGAUGUAACCGGCACGCAGGAACAGGGGAGGAGCCCGACAAUUCCCCCCUGUUAAGCUGCAGCUUGACCCCGAGCUCCAAAAGCAGGGAAAACCUUCUAUAUGAAUGCUGCAUCCUCCCAAGUAGCUUCCUCCACUGGCAGGUUCACCCAUUUGAUCAGCCAUCUCACAACAGGAGCACUAAUAUCACCCUGCACCCUUGGAACCAGCUUUCUUUCCAACAAUAUCUCAGGCUCUAUUUUGAUCAACCCAUCAGGUCCCACUAGAGGCAAAUCCUUGGAAGGCACCACUGCUGGCCCCACAUGUUUCUUCAACUGGGUGACAUGAAAGGUGGGAUGCAGUUUACACCCCUCAUGCAGCAACAACUUAUAAGCAUGGAAUCCCACUUUGUGCAAAAUUCUGAAGGGUCCAUAGAACUUUGAAUGCAACUUAAGAUUCCUAUGGAUGCUCAAGGAUGUGUGCCUAUAAGGCUGUAGCUUCAAAUAAACCAUGUCCCCAACCUCAAAUUCUCUCUCUUUCCUUUUCUUGUCAGCAAACCAUUUCAUUCUAGCUUGUGCCUUGAUCAAGUUUGCUUUAAUGACUUCCAAUUCUAGUUCUCUGUUCUGCAGCAAAUUCUCUGAAUCCACAUAAAUAGUGUCAGGUAAGGCAGACUCAGCUACCAUAGGAGGAGGAAACCCAUACAAGGCUUGGAAUGGUGUCAUUUGCAGUGAAGUGUGAAAGCUUGUGUUAUACCACCACUCAGCGAGAGCGAGCCAUCCAUGCCACUUCUUUGGUUGUUGAAAACACAUGCACCUUAAAUAGUUUCCAAACACUUAUUAACUCUUUCAGUCUAGCCAUUAGAUUAUGGGUGAUAGCUUGUACUCAUGUGUAAUUUGAUUUUCAAGGAUUUGAACAAUUGCUGCCAUAAGUUGCUAGUGAAUAUCCUGUCCCUAUCAGUAACAAUCACCACUGGCAUGCCAAACACUGUUUCAGAAAAAGCUCUAGCCACAGAUUCCACUGAAAUAGGGUGCAUCAUUGCUAUGAAAUGGGCAUACUUUGUAUACCUGUCCACUACCACCAGAAUGAGGUCUUUGUUUUCAGAUAAGGGCAGUCCUUUCACAAAAUCCAUGCUCACAUGUGCCCAGGCAAAAUCAGGUACAGGAAGUGGCUCCAACAACCCACGGUAAGGGCAAUGCUCUGCUUUGUUAAUCUGACACACAUGGCAUGCUUUCACAAAAGCAGUAACAUCCUGCUUCAAUCCUAGCCAAUGGAACACCAGUUUUACUCUCUGAUAUGUAGCCCUCUCUCCUGAGUGACCACCCAAUUCGGAGUUGUGGAAUGUUUUCAAGAGUUCUUGCCUUAAAGCAGUUGUGCUCCCAACCACAACUUUGUUUUUGAAUCUUAGGAUACCAUUCUUGUAAGUGUAAGCAUUAGCUGAGCUUGUAUCCACAGAGCUCUGAGCAAUCCACUCUUUAACUUUCUCAUCUUGACUAUAGCUUUUAGCCACUUCCAUUAUCCAGGUAGGAGUAGUGCUACUAGCAACUAACAUGGCAGCUAAGUGUUUCACUCUGGAUAAGGCAUCAGAUGCCCUGUUCUCUUUGCCCUUUUUAUAUUCAAUAGUGAAGUUGUAUCCCAGCAACUUGAGCAAGAGCUUAUGUUGGAUCCCUUUAGUAAGUUUCUGCUUCUGAAUAUAUUUGAGGCUCUCCUGGUCUGUUCUGAUGAUUAGUGCAAUGGCCAGGAAAUAGUGCUUCCACUUCUUAACAGCUUCAAUAAUUUCCAUAGCUUCCUUGUCAUAUGUGGACAUAGCAGCAGCUCUAGGUCCUAUAGUUUUGCUGAGAAAAUAAAUGGGCCUGCUCUCCUGCAUUAAAACAACUCCUAGACCAUAUCCACAAGCAUCUGCUUCUAGAACAAAAGGCUUGGAAAAGUCAGGUAGGAUUAAUACUGGAGAGUGUGUUAGCUUCUCCUUAAUUGCAGCAAAUGCUCUCUCUUGAUCAGCUCCCCAUUGAAAGGAAUCUUUCUUCAGGCAAUCAAACAGUGGCCUACAUGUGAGUCCAUACUCCUGAAUGAACCUCCUAUAGUAUCCACUUAAUCCCAGAAAACUCCUUAAUUCAGUAACAUUGGUAGGAGCAGGCCAUCCUUUAAUUGCUCUAAUUUUAGAAGGAUCAGUAGCCACUUUUCACGCCCAAGAUGCGACCCUAUCCUCAAUUUGGCACGAAGGCCUCGUCAGGGAUAGAAGCGCAUCUCGUCGUAUCGCAAGAAUGGAUAUCGUUACAAGUACAUGUACUAAAAAAGAUAUAUAAUAGAAUUGGCUUACACUCGCCACAAGCUACAUGAGAGUCACAUCCGUACAUUACAUAAUCAUCAAGAGUAAGAGCAGGGUCCGACUACGGACGAAAACAAACGAGAAAAUAAGAACGACGUCCAUCCUUGCUAUCCCAGGCUGCCGGCCUGGAACCCAUCCUAGAUCGAUGAAGAAGAAGAAGACGCAACUCCAAAUGAACAAUCAACGCGCUCGCCUCAAGUAACCUUUACAUGUACGUGCAACUGGUGUUGUAGUAAUCUGUGAGCCACAAGGGACUCAUCAAUCUCAUUUCCAAAGGUAUCAAGACUAGCAAAGCUUAUUAGGUGAGGCAAGGUUAAGUGGUGAGGUUGCAGCAGCGGAUAAGCAUAUAUUUGGUGGCUAACUUACGAGUACAAGAAAUAAGAGGGGGAAGAUCUAUGCAUAACGGACGUGAACUACUCAUGAUCAAAUGAAUGAUCCUGAACACCUACCUACGUCAGACAUAACCCCACCGUGUCCUCAAUCGGAGAAGGAACUCACGAAAGAGACAGUCACGGUUACGCACACGGUUGGCAUAUUUGAAUUAAGUUAACUUUAAGUUAUCUAGAACCAGUGUUAAACAAAGUUUCCACGUUGCCACAUAACCGCGGGCACGACUUUCCGAAAAGAUUUAACCCUGCAGGGGUGCUCCAACUAGUCCAUCACAAAUUACCAUAAGACGCAUAGAAAUCCUCAAUCACGAAGCUCGCGAUCUCGUCGGAUUCCCUAGUGGAAAACCUCAACGCUGAGAUUACCCAAAGCAUCACCGGAACUCCGAUGCACAAGAUAUCUCGUCGAAGGUAAAACUAAUCCAGCAAGGCCACCCGAUGUGUCGACGAACCCGAUAGGAGCCGCGUAUCUCGUUCUCAGGACACACCGUCUAUGCAUAGUGGACGGUAGCCAAACCUCGAGUUGCCCCGAGGUGGCACCGCCGACUGCUAGGUGGGUGGACCAACACUCAUGCGGAGCACUGGCCCCGGUGGGGGUUGAUUAAAUUAUCCUCGGGGUCCGGAAAGUCCCUAUGCAAUUUUAUUAGGUGAUUAGGCAAAUGUAGUACCAAUGUUGGGCCUUGCCAGACCAGCUUUAAUCUAAAACAAAUUAUCAAGGGGGUCCCCAUAACAACCCGAUCGUGUUAGGAGCGCUCAAUUAUGGAACAUAACACCGGUAGCCGGAAACUAAGGGGGCAAAGGUGGAACAAAACACCAUGCUAGAAAGACCGAGCCUUCCACCUUUUACAAAGUAUAUAGGUGCAUUAAAUUAAAUAGCAUUUAAUAGGGUGAUAUAACAAGGAACCAUGCUUUCACAUGGAAGCAAAGCACCUGCAACUAGCAACGCUAACACAGGGUUAAGCAAGCAGUAACAUAGCAAAUCAGUGGUUUGCUAGGUUGAACAGGUUGAAGGUGAUCAUGGCAUUGUUGAGAGGCUGAUAUUUAACAUGUGGUAGGCAACAAGACAUAAUCGAUAGAAGCGAUAAAACUAGAAUCGCAAUGAUAGUAAUGGUAUCUGGGGAAAUGGUCAUCUUGCCUGAGAUCCCGCUUGGAAGAAGAUCGACUCUGUGAAGCAAGCGAACCGAUAUAGUCGAACGGGKUUUUCACUUUUCCGACACGCUUGCGGAACUCUAUCGAGACGAAGGAAACCGAAAACAAGAAAUCAACACACGAUAUCAUCGCAGCACAAGCACGAGAUGAUGCACACUCUAAUAUGAUGCAUGUCCAGUUUAAAUAUGCAAGGCAUAGCAUGGCAAUUCACCUCACGCAAACACUACACAUUAAGUGAAGCUCGAUAUGCAACGAGUUGCAUAUCGACGAAACUCCAUGUUUAAUUAUUUAAUUCACUCCCGUUUAUUUACACGGCAAUAUUAAAAUGUUGUUAACAUGGCACGGGGUGAAGCACAAAUUAAACUACCUAUCUAGGCAUUUUAAAUGAGGCCGGGAACGCACGGGGUGAAGCACAAAUUAAACUACCUAUCUAGGCACAAAUUAAACUACCUAUCUAGGCAAUAUUAAAAUGCUGCUGCUCGGGUGCAGGGGAGACGCACGACGCUAUUGAUGAAGUCCGGUGGCUCACUGGUCAAUAGAGCAGCUGGCUCCUGACGGGAACAACGAGGGGAGGUGGAGCUGGUGGAGGCUAGAGGUUGCUGGAUUGGAUCUGGGACGAUCCCGAGGAGGGAGAUGGGGCAAGGGGUGGCGGCGGCUGGGUGGUUGGAUGGGACAAUCCUCCUAGAUUUUAGGGUUGGGUCUAUGUAUAGCUAGUGGGUUAGGUAUAGGGGCAUCUGGACCCUCCGAUUUAGAUCGGGUGGCUGAGAAGAUUAGGCUAGGGAUUCCAAUGGACAAACCGAUGACGGUUUGCGGUAAAACGGGGUUGAUCCGGACCCAACGGUCACGAGCACCCGAUUCGGGUUUUCGGGAGGUUUUCGGUCUAGGCUACGCGUAGGGUCGGUGCACUGUGCAGAGGGGCUAGGCGGGGAUGAGAGGGAGAACGGGCACCCGACAACGUAUUUUAGAACACCGAUAAAUCGUCCGACGAUAGAGCGGAGACGGCGCCGCUACGGUCGACCUUUCGGGUAUCAGACGGACUCCGAUCGCGACGAAAAUUGAUAGGCGGCCUACCUAUAUCUAAAUAAGACCGCAUGUCAAAUCUCAACCCAAACAGAGAAAGUUUUACGCACACUUUUGAAAACAAGAUUUAAACGAUGCCGUGGGCGCGUGCGAGUGCGGUCGGGCUCAGAACGGACAACGACGAGAACCGGCAACUAAUAACGGAUGCAAGUUUUGAAAACCGGCGGCAACGGUGUGCCGAUGCAAAGCUGAUGAUGCACAUGAUGCGAUGAUGAUGCGACAAAUAAAAAUAGACACACAGCGGAAACGGAAAGAAAAGGGGAAUCUUCUGGAACGUCGGCAUCGGGUUGUCACAACUCUCCUACACUACAAGAGGAUCUCGCCCCGAGAUCCAGGAAUGAAAGGGGGAUGAGAAAGAACAAGAGGUAAAAAAUUAGUCGCUUCUUUGACAAACGAGUGAAACCAACGAUCCUUGAAGGUUGCAAAGCGAUGAGGAAUGAUAUGAGAAACAAGCGAGAAUUCACGGAAAAUUUCGGCAGCACUUCGGUAGGAAAAUGGGACAACAAAUUCGAUAAGAUGGAAGAAAUAGACAAUAUACAUAACAAACAACUAAAUAGAACAAGGGAACACCAUGAUAUUGAUAGAACAACACAAUAGAACCAAAAGAGCAACAUCACAAUGCCUCCGGAACAAUAGAAUAGGAUCUAGCUCAAGCGGAAGAAGAGAAUGCAGAAAAGAAUGACGACUACUAUCUCAAAUGAGCUUGACAAGCACCCUUGCAAGAAGAAUUGGACGGAGUUGUUGGAAAAACAACAACGAGAAGAACAAGAUAGUAGUGGGAUUAUGGAAAUAUUUCAAACUAAUGAAGUGACAACCAACCACUAACAGAAACAAGGAUUGAUUGGGAGAAACAAGAUAUGAACAAUUUCUUACACCAAGAGGAUACAUUGAGAACUUGGAUUAAUGACAAGCACCAUGAUAGCAACAAUCCAUUGGAAAAGCUUUAGGUGAAAUGCAAACCAAGAUAACUCAAGGAAGAAAUAAUGGGUUGAAAAUAUCUCAUGAUCAUAGAAUUGGUGGGUUUAAUUAUCUCAUACUUGAAAUACAAUCUCUUCGAGACUCCUACACUAACAAGAAUGAUAUAAUACCACCUCAAGGGAUAAAGGAAGAACAAUUGCACAUAGAAAUGCAAGAGAAAGGAUACUUGAGGUACUCCAACAGGAAUCUUGAAGAACACUUUGAGAAAAAUCACAUCCUUGAAGAACCACCAAGACGAGCCUCCGUAUACAAAUGAAUGAUGUAACGAUAUGAAGGUAGAAAAGAAUAAGAUUAUGACCUUGACAUGAUUUAGAUGAAGCCUCACAAAGAGAUACUUGAGAAAACUUGGAACUCCGGAAAAGAAAAGAUAAGCACACUUGAGAAAAAGGAAUUGAUAUUGUGAGACAUUCCGGAAGAAGAAUUGAAACCACUAUGGAGAAGAAUAAGAAUUAUGUUAUGCCUAUCCUUCAUCAAGUUUAAUUGAUGACAAGCAACGGAUUUAGCAUAUCACUUAUUCUUCUAGAAAUGAAUCUUGAAGAGGCACAUAGAUAAGCAUCACUUGAAGUAUGAUUGAAGAAAGCACCGGUAAGAAUUCACAAAUAAAUGGGAACACCACGAAUUAAUGGUGAUACAAGAGAACGAAGAGAUCAUGAGCCACCUGAGAGAAAAACUAGAACAAGGCACCGGAAUAACCAAGAGACGAACGAAGAGACAACAAUUGAGAAGAAUUAAGGAUGAAAGCUGAAAGCUGAGAACGAAGAAUCUUCUGAAAUGAUGGCCUUCGGAGGAUCGAGAAUGAAAACAACUCAGAAAAGCACCGGAUAGCAAGAAAGGGAUUACUCAUGAUUGGAACAAAUAAGAUGACGACACCAAGCUAAAAUGAUGAAUCUGCAAGAGAAUGAACCAAGAUUUGAGAGAAACACUCCUUCGAAUUGCAAGCUGAGAAUGAUGACGAGAACAACACCAAGAAUACCGAGACACUCCGGAAUAAAGAAGAAUGAAAGGUUGAGCCAAAUCUGCGAAUUAAUUCAAAUAGAUCUUGAAGAAGGAAUAAGACUGACGAAAUACAUACUUACGUCAUAGUUGGAAUAAUUAGAGAUCUCCGGGAAAAGAUUAAAAGAGCGAGGAAAGAUCCUGGGAAAACCUGUGGGUUAUGGGCCCACUCAACGAACCACCGUUAGAAAAGAUUGCUAGAAAGAUUGAUAUUGCACCGGUAUAAAUAAAACUAGAUGAGGUUGAGCACCUCGAAAUAAUUGAAAAGAUUAAAAACAAAAAAUACUGAGAUAACUUCAACGCUCCGGAUGGAAUAGAGAGAAAUGACAAUAAGAAGACUGAUGAGAAUUUCCAACAUGGGAAAAUUACAAGGAUGAAUAGGAUACAAUGAACACGGAUAAUUAAAUUAAAUUCACCGGAAAAGAUGACAAGAAUGAACAAAGAUGAACAUGAAGCUCCUGAGAAUCUUCACAACGAAUCACCGGGUACAAAAGGAAGAAGAGAUAGUGGAAGCAUCACUGAAAGAAAACUCUUCGAUGAAAAUUGAAUCACUCAGAAAAAGGGCGAGAGGGUGGGGGAAAACAAAGACAACUUGAGACAGAUGAGACAACUCCGGAAAUAAUUGAGAGAAUGAUCUGCAAUUUUUUUAGAGGAUUGAAUACACUGAAGAGAAGCACACCGGUUGAAAAGACUUGAUACGACGACUUUGGUUGAAAAGGAAAUAACAUGACAACUCCGGUUGACAAGAAUUGAUACGACAAUAGAUUAAGCAAAAGGAUUAGCAUUCACAUAAAAAUAUGAGAACACCUCUUGGAAAGGUCUGAAAUCACCACUUGACAUCGAAGCAACACAAAUUACCACAGUCAACAAAACAAAGGGAGAGGCUUAUGAAACAAGCCAGAACAAACUCAUGAGAGAGAUUUCGUCCGAUAUUUUCGUGGAUAGGAAUCCACUAGAUGUCGAACCCCAACCUAACAUCAUGCAUUUGUUGGAAGAUUGUCCUAUAAGCAACUACUUGAAUUCCCACCUAUGCAUUUCUGAAAUAUCUGGUCAUGCAAUCUGGUUCACGGAUACAAGGAGUAAUAUCACACAACUCCUAUACUAACCCGUCACCUGUAUCACAUCCGUCAACACACAACCAGAAUCUCGGACCUUCAUCUACAACAGACCCUCGUGAUCACAACGAUACAAAGUAUGGCAGUACUCCAGAACAAUCUGCACCAGUAUUGGGGACAUCGGGGUUAUCUCGCCACUACUAGUAUUGAAGCAAUUACGAACAUCCUUCGUUCUGAGAUACUAAGAAAUCUGAAUGAUAACGAUGUGCUCAAGAAUCCCCUGGAGCUCAACUCCCCUGAAACUUAAAGCAGAUAGGAGGCACCAAGACAGAACUCCGUCACAUCGGCAUCAUAUAGAUUCCAAAAAUAUCCGCGUGAUCCUAAAAUAUUUUUGAGUGAGAAGAGGAGUAGAAUUAAAUAUUACGUCAAGAUUCCUCAUCAGAGCAUAGAGGAGGAGAAAAAAGAAUCCUACUCUCCGAUAUAUAACUAGACUCAAAGUAGUUUUUUACUAGACUCGACUCAGCCAAGUUCGAUCAAUCAAGGGGGCUCCUAGGUCGGUACUGCUCUAAUACCAACUUGUCACGCCCAAGAUGCGACCCUAUCCUCAAUUUGGCACGAAGGCCUCGUCAGGGAUAGAAGCGCAUCUCGUCGUAUCACAAGAAUGGAUAUCGUUACAAGUACAUGUACUAAAAAAAGAGAUAUAUAAUAGAAUUGGCUUACACUCGCCACAAGCUACAUCAGAGUCACAUCAGUACAUUACAUAAUCAUCAAGAGUAAGAGCAGGGUCCGACUAUGGACGAAAACAAACGAGAAAAUAAGAACGACGUCCAUCCUUGCUAUCCUAGGCUGCCGGCCUAGAACCCAUCCUAGAUCGAUGAUGAAGAAGAAGAAGACGCAACUCCAAAUGAACAAUCAACGCGCUCGCGUCAAGUAACCUUUACAUGUACCUGCAACUGGUGCUGUAGUAAUCUGUGAGCCACAGGGGACUCAGCAAUCUCAUUUCCAAAGGUAUCAAGAGUAGCAAAGCUUAUUAGGUGAGGCAAUGUUAAGUGGUAAGGUUGCAGCAGCGGAUAAGCAUAUAUUUGGUGUCUAACUUACGAGUACAAGAAAUAAGAGGGAGAACAUCUAUGCAUAACGGACGUGAACUACUCAUGAUCAAAUGAAUGAUCCUGAACACCUACCUACGUCAGACAUAACCCCACCGUGUCCUCAAUCGGAGAAGGAACUCACGAAAGAGACAGUCACGGUUACGCACACGGUUGGCAUAUUUUAAUUAAGUUAACUUUAAGUUAUCUAGAACGAGUGUUAAACAAAGUUUUCACGUUUCCACAUAACCGCGGGCACGGCUUUCCAAAAAGAUUUAACCCUGCAGGGGUGCUCCAACUAGUCCAUCACAAAUUACCACAGGCCGCAUAGAAAUCCUCAAUCACGAAGCUCGCGAUCUCGUCGGAUUCCCUAGUGGAAAACCUCAACUCUGAGAUUACCCAAAGCAUAACCGGAAUCCCGAUGCACAAGAUAUCUCGUCGAAGGUAAAACUAAUCCAGCAAGGCCACCCGGUGUGUCGACGAACCCGAUAGGAGCCGCGUAUCUCGUUCUCAGGACACACCGUCUAUGCAUAGUGGACGGUAGCCAAACCUCGAGUUGCCCCGAGGUGGCACCGCCGACUGCUAGGUGGGUGGACCAACACUCAUGCGCAGCACUGGCCCAGGGGGUUGAUUAAAUUAUCCUCGGGGUCCGGAAAGUCCCUAUGCAAUUUUAUUAGGUGAUUAGGCAAAUGUAGUACCAAUGUUGGGCCUUGCCAGACCAGCUUUAAUCUAAAACGAAUUAUCAAGGGGGUCCCCAUAACAACCCCGAUCGUGUUAGGAGCGCUCAAUUAUGGAACAUAACACCGGUAGCCGGAAACUAAGGGGGCAAAGGUGGAACAAAACACCAUGCUAGAAAGACCGAGCCUUCCACCUUUUACAAAGUAUAUAGGUGCAUUAAAUUAAAUAGCAUUUAAUAGGGUGAUAUAACAAGGAACCAUGCUUUCACAUGGAAGCAAAGCACCUGCAACUAGCAACGCUAACACAGGGUUAAGCAAGCAGUAACAUAGCCAAUCAGUGGUUUGCUAGGUUGAACAGGUUGAAGGUGAUCAUGUCAUUGUUGAGAGGCUGAUAUUUAACAUGUGGUAGGCAACGAGACAUAAUCGAUAGAAGCGAUAAAACUAGCAUCGCAAUGAUAGUAAUGGCAUAUGGGGAAAUGGUCAUCUUGCCUGAGAUCCCGCUUGGAAGAAGAUCGACUCUGUGAAGCAGACGAACCGAUGUAGUCGAACGUGUCCUCACUUUUCCGACAUGCUUGCGGAACUCUAUCGAGACGAAGGAAACCGAAAACAAGAAUCAACACACGAUAUCAUCGCAGCACAAGCACGAGAUGAUGCACACUCUAAUAUGAUGCAUGUCCAGUUUAAAUAUGCAAGGCAUAGCAUGGCAAUUCACCUCACACAAACACUACACAUUAAGUGAAGCUCGAUAUGCAACGAGUUGCAUAUCGACGAAACUCCAUGUUUAAUUAUUUAAUUCACUCCCGUUUAUUUACACGGCAAUAUUAAAAUGUUGUUAACAUGGCACGGGGUGAAGCACAAAUUAAACUACCUAUCUAGGCAUUUUAAAUGAGGCCGGAAACGACAAAUGGCAUCUCCGAAAUGACCCCACGAGUUAAAUCUUAAUUCUGUCCAGAUUUGUCCUAAUCACAUUUUAGGUUUGUUAAACGGCGAAACAAAGUGGUUCACGUGAUUCUAUUCGUUGUUCUGGUCCAUUUACAUAUAUGGCACAACUCCAACGGAGCUACGGACAAAUAGUUACGGCCUAAACCGUUUUCAACACGUCGACAUGUGAACCGAAGCAAACAGCACACUAAACAGUUCUAAUUAUGCAUGAGAGUUGGAAAUUAUUAACCUACGCGAAAUUCUGAUCAAGCUACAAAUUUGAAUCACUCCGAUCCGAUGCACGGUUAGAAACUACGCUCGUUUGAAAAACAAAGCUUUCCUGAAAUUAACAAAGGCCCUCGAAAUUGGAAAAAAAAACACGACGUAAAAAAAAGAACAAUGGACCAAAUUGCACUAUUGUGCAGUGGCCUAGGGCUGAAAUCAGCCCAUGUGGUGCUAUGGUCAAGAGAAAAAAAAACUCAGCAACACAAGAAUUGAGGCCUCCAUGGGAUUUUAUCCCUGGACCUCUCUGGUGGAGACUAAGGCACCAACCAGUCCAACUACGACACAACUAUGAUAACAUAUGGGUUUAGCCAAUAUGAAGGUGCAUAAAGGGCCGAUCUGAACCAAAACAAACAAAACAGAAAUAGAGGUGCCUGGGAUUCGAACCCCAGACCCCUCGAACCACUGCGCGCGGCAAUGACCAGCUGAGCUGAGAUGUGCUUUGUGCUAAAAAAGGGAUUCCUCUUCUAUAUGAACAUACGCACCCGAUUAAUCUGAACCUAACAAAUCUGAAUCUAAAACUGGGCUGAACUGAACCUGGUAACCGGUUCGGCCGUGGCUGUGCUUGGGGCGUCGCUAGGUGGCCGGGGAUGGCGUGGGCAGAGGGGGUGAAGGUCCGACAGGGCCAUGGAGGCGCUAGGUCAUGGAUCCAUCCGAGGGAAGCCGAUUCCCGACAGCGGCAAGAUGGACUCGAGCUCACCAGGCUCCCAUGGCUGUUGCUGCUCCUGCAAAAGAGAGGAAGAGCAGGGGAAAAGAGGAAGGAGAUAAGAGAGAGGGAACGAGGAGAGGAGCACAGGGCAGAGGGGCUCGUCGGGGCCCGGUUCCUGCUGGAUCCAGGCGCUGUUGGGUCGCAUUGGGUCCUUGCUUGACUGAAACUCCAUGCGCUGCUACCACUUUCUAACUACAGAGAACACAGAGAGAGAGAGUUACGGUAGAGGAAGAGAGAGGAGGAAGAGGAAGGGAGAGGGGAGCAGGGCAUGGGGACGACCAGCUGCUGCUUGGGUGCAGGGGAGACGCACGACGCUGUUGAUGGAGUCCGGUGGCUCGCUGGUCAAUAGAGGAGCUGGCUCCUGACGGGAACAGCGAGGGGAGGUGGAGAUGGUGGAGGCUGGAGGUUGAUGGAUUGGAUCUGGGACGAUCCUGAGGAGGGAGGUGGGGGUAGGGGUGGCGGCAGCUGGGUGGUUGGAUCGGACAAUCCUCCUAGAUUUUAGGGUUGGGUCUAUGUAUAGCUAGUGGGUUAGGAAUAGGGGCAUCUGGACCCUCCGAUUUAGAUCGGGUGGCUGAGAAGAUUAGGCUAGGGAUUCCAAUGGACAAACCGAUGACGGUUUGCGGUAAAACGGGGUUGAUCCGGACCCAACGGUCACGAGCACCCGAUUCGGGUUUUCGGGAGGUUUUCGGUCUAGGCUACGCGUAGGGUCGGUGCACUGUGCAGAGGGGCUAGGCGGGGAUGAGAGGAGAACGUGCACCCGACAACGUAUUUUAGAACACCGAUAAAACGUCCGACGAUAGACCGGAGACGGCGCCGCUACGGUCGACCGUUCGGGUAUCAGACGAACUCCGAUCGCGACGAAAAUUGAUAGGCGGCCUACCUAUAUCUAAAUAAGACCGCAUGUCAAAUCUCAACCCAAACAGAGAAAGUUUUAUGCACACUUUUGAAAACAAGAUUUAAACGAUGCCGUGGGCGCGUGCGAGUGCGGUCGGGCUCAGAACGGACAACGACGAGAACCGGCAACUAAUAAUGGAUGCAAGUUUUGAAAACCGGCGGCAACGGAGUGCCGAUGCAAAGCUGAUGAUGCGGAUGAUGCGAUGAUGAUGCGACAAAUAAAAGUAGACACACGGCGGAAACGGAAAGAAAAGGGGAAUCUUCUGGAACAUCGGCAUCGGGUUGUCACACCACUCCCUCCUGAUUAAUGAUGUGGCCCAAGUACUCUACCUUAGUCUGACCAAAAGAGCAUUUCUCCAACCUUGCAUAUAAUUUAUUCUUUUGCAAUAUAUCAAACACUUGAGUCAAAUGACUUUUAUGCUCAACCAUAGAAGUGCUGAAAACUAGAAUGUCAUCAAAGAAGGUCACCACAAAUUUGAGCAUACCAAAUAAUAGGUUCAUGAGGGCUUGGAAACUUGGAGGUCCAUUAGUUAGUCCAAAGGACAUCACUAAGUAUUCAAAUAAACCCAUAUGAGUGACAAAAGCUGUUUUAUGAAUGUCUUCCUAUGCCAUUCUGAUCUGGUGAUAUCCAUUCCUCAGAUCAAUUUUUGAGAAAUAUUUAGCCCCUUUCAGCUGGUCCAACAAAUCCCCAAUGAUAGGAAUAGGGUAUUUGUUCUUCACUGUAAUAGCAUUCAAUUUUCUGUAGUCAGUGCACAACCUCCAGGACCCAUCCUUCUUUUUCACCAACAACACAGGGGAAGAAAAUGGACUAGUUCUUGGUCUGAUCACUCCAGAUUUUAAUAAUUCCUUGAUGAUCUUCUCUAGUAUUUCCUUUUGAUGAUGUGGCAUUCUAUAAGGCCUUUGGUUUACCACUUUAGCCCCUUCCAUCAAAGGAAUUCUGUGGUCACAUGGCCUACUAGGAGGUAGUUCUGUAGGUUCCUGGAAUAACUGCUCAUAAUCCUGCAACAGGCCCUAUAGCUCAUCAGGCAAAACCUUGACAGUGUCCACUACUUCCACAUCACAUGCAUUAAACAACACAAACCCACAAACUGCCUGUUCCAUUAACUUAUCAGUGCAAUCUCUAGCUUCAUCAGGUUGUAUCUUAGGCACUGUCUCAUCAGCAAAAGUAAUGAUCUGACCCUCAAUCCCAGAUACCUUCAUUUCCAUUUUAAUGAAAUCCAUGUGCACUGGACUGUACCUUUUCAACCAGUCCACUCCAAGAAUCAUAUCAUAGCCUUUCAACUGGAGUACUCUAAAACAAUCAAUAAAUUGUGUACCUUGGAUCUCAUACUCACAAUCCUGCACCAUGAACUCACUCCAUAAUACUUCACCACUAGCAACAACUACCUUCACUUUUUGGGUAGGCCUGGCCUUCACUUGCAUUUUAGCUGCCAUCUCUGGAGAAAUAAAUGUAGAAGUGCUGCUACUGUCCACCAAAGCAACUGCAGCAGUAUUUCCCACCUUAAUGGUGAGCACAAAGGUGUUUCUAAUAGCUCCAAUGCCCAUAGCAGCAUGCAUAGACAACUGCAAAAUAGUCUCAGCUUGGCACUGUUCCAUGUUAUCUAGCUCUGGAUCAGCAAAAUCAGUUACAAAUAUGGUUUCAUGUACUUCUUCUUCUUGUAAUGCUUGAAUUUGAGCUCUCUGACUCAUUUUGCACACCUGCCUGUGCCUUGGAACCCAAGGUUCCCUACAUUUGUAACACACCUGAUUCUGCUUGGCCUGUUGGAUAAUAGCAUUUUUGUUUUGUGUUGCGGGAUUUCCCUCAAUCUUGGUCUGCUCAAAAGUGACCUGUCUCCUAGGCCAUGUCACAUAUUGCUUAGCAGGUAAUACUUGCACCGGUGGUUGAGCCUUCUCCAUCCUUCUAGAGUACCACAUAGCAGUCUGCAAGUCCUUAGGUUUAAAACAUUCCACAUGACUCCUUGUGUAAUUGUUCAGGCCAGCAACAAAACUAGUUACAUAGUAACUAUCUGGUAUCCCGGGGUUUUCUCUCCUCAUCACAUUCAUCACGUGCUCAAACUGCUCAAUAUAAGAUGACAAGGUGGAAGUUUGAUGGAUAGCAUGAAAUGAACUAACAAUAUCACAAGCAGAUUCUACAGCAAAUGUGUCACACAAGUAAGAACAGAACUUAUGCCAAGGCACAUUGUUAGGAGAAUACUCUGUUCCUCUCCACCACUGCACAGCUAGCCCUUUUAAAUAAGACACAUCCAAUUAUGUUCUAUGCUCAAUAGGAGUCCUAGCAGCAGCAAAGUACUGGUCCAGAUUCUGAAUCCAAGCUUCAGGGUCCAAUCCCUCAAAUUCAGAAAUGUUCAACUUUGCAGGUUUGACUGUUAACACCUGUCUUCUACCAUCAGAUGGUGAGUAUUGUCUCUGUCUCUGUCCAUCAGGCCAUUCUUCCAUCACCCCUGUCUCUACUUGUUGCAAUUGAAAGUUCUGUUGAUUCCCAACAACUUGUUGUCCCUCAUUUUUGUUGCUAGCAAAAUUUGGAUGUUUGUAAGGUGCUUUUGUUGACCCAUCUAGAUUAAUUUCCUUCCCAGUAUGGUCUCUUAACACAGCAGUGCCCCCUACCAUCACCGGAACUUCCUUCUCAUGGCCUUGAACUGAAGGUGGAGUAUAGUUAACUAACUGUUUGGGUCUGCCUGCAGGAAUUCCAGGAGAGUGUACCUCCUCAACUCUUUUCUGUGCACUACCCUGCUCAGAACGCUCAUGUUGUUCUUCUUCAGCCCCCUAAUUCACCAACAGUUUCCUAAAAUUUUCCUGGAUCUUAUCAAAAUUUCCUUGCAUGGUAACAAAAUUCUUGUUAACCAUCGAUCUAAACUCUUGAAACUCUCUUCUAUCCUCUUCUCUACUGCUCUGCAGGGUCUUAAUGUCUAAUUCCAACGAUGCUAACUGCAAAUCAGCUGUCACCAUCGACUCUUCUUGGCCAGCCAUGACCCUCUCUCACACAGGGUGGGUGGUGGGAUUUGAGAAGCUUACCUUCCGCUGGAUCUAGAUCUGCCACCUGCUUGAAGCUGUGCUCCCCUGGUGCCUCCCCGGCCGGAAGAUCGAGUGGCUCUGAAUACCAAUUGUCACGAUCAAGCUUCAGACUUGAGCCAGACACGCGCUAGUGAUCAACUUCAGAGAAAGAAAUAGGGCGAAUUGGGGUUUCUAUUGAUGGGAUCUCGCAGAAAAUGGAUAAAGCACGCCACUGGCGGCUAGGGUUUGUACCCAUAUAAUCUUUACAUGCCUCGAUGGGCUAGUGUGAGGGGCAAUAUAUAGCCAGCUCACAGCAAAAAGCAGAGUAAAGGAGAGGAGAACGGUAGUGGAGCUUGUCUGAUCUUGAACAGCGACGCGGGGAAGGCUCCGAGCCGUUGGAUGCUCGAUCAGUGGUAGCGCCAGCUUCACUUAUCGAACCGUUACCCUUUCAUCUCAGCCGUCCGUUGAUCCAUCUACCCCUCCAGAUGUAACCGGCACGCAGGAACAGGGGAGGAGCCCGACAGCACCGGGGUGCCCAUGCACGCGACAGCGGAGGAGAAGGUCGGGCAGCAGAGGAUGCUAUGGUCAGCCGUCGGCGAGGGUUAGAGGGAGGGGGCAAUGCGAUCAGCCAUCAGCGAGGGAUGCUGGUUCCCUUGCUGCCAUGAUUUCUGGUUGCGGGAGGGUUGGAAAGGAAAGGAUAGGGUUGGCCUCCUAGGGUAAUUUUGAAAUAAGCAAAAAUAUGACAGGUCCCUAACAGUUUGACUAACGGGAAAACAUUGACAACUAACAUGAGUGUUAUUUUGCCAAUGAAAACAAGGAAGGUAGUGCUAUAUUGGCAAGUUUGUUUUUUUAUAACUAGUCAUAAACCCGUGCACCUGCACGACCUAGAUAUUAUAGGGAUAUAUAAUAAUCAAUAAAAAGUUAUUAAGAUAUAAAUUUAAUAGGGUACAUUGUGUUGAAAAGAAAACUCAUGUAGCUACAACUUAGGUGAAUAGUAUUGCAUUUAGUGUUGGAUCUCAUUAUUUAAGGAUAUAUUACUUUUGAGUUUAGUAUAUAUAUGUACCUCACAUAUAAUACGACUCAUACCAUUCACAUAUUUUCUAUUUGUUCUAAAUGCAAUGGAAUGUGCUCCUUCCUUAGCAUUGGAAAGAACAAAACAACAGAUAAUCUCAUAAUAUUUAGCUUAGGAUGUAUCUAUAUAGCAUAAUAUUAAAACAAUAGAGAAUCUCAAAAUACUUUAAUGAUUAUUUUACCCCAUGUAAUUUGAAAUCUAAUUGACCUGGUUGUGAAAUAUGCCUAUUUCAAAUACUUGAGAGUAUGCCUUUCCAACCUUAGCACAAAAGGCAAUGGUAUUCUUUCUGUUAAUAUUCAUUGCAAGUUUCGUGUUAAUAUAUGAUUUUUCAUGUGUGGUAAUUCCUCCAUAUUUCCGUACUUGUGUUAUACUUAGGUUAUUAGACAUACUAAAUUAAUAACCUUUGUAGUGGUGAUAUCAGUGAGCCCUAGAGGUUAGAUUUUUAUCUGUUUGUGUCUGAUAUAUUUGAUGUUCGAUAAGUCUUCUCUUUUUAAGUUGGAGCUGCAAUUUUAUUUUCAAUCAGGCAUAUGCGCUUUUUUAGUGUGACGGUUGAUGGCACCUUAUUUGCAUGUGCAAUUUUCCUCUAUCCAAGAGUACAUGCAAAGCAUUUUUGUUUUUGUGGGAAUUGCGACGUGGAUGUUGUUUUUAGCAUCGGAACUAAUAAUAUAUCCUAGCAUCAAUUUAAAUAUUAGAGUAUAUCUUAAUAAUUGAAAAUUAUUUUAUUUGUAGAAGUAUAUGGAUGUGGUUUGGAAAUAUUCCUAUUUGAAAUACACAAUCAUCUGCGUGGCAAACCCUAUUAGAAAAAGUAUAUUCUGGAAGAAUAGUUUAUGUUUGUAUAUGAAUUUUCCAUGCAUGCAGUUUAUGCAAAUUUCUCCAAAUGUAUUAAAACUCUGUUGACCUAGGAGUGGUAUUAUCUGGAAGCUAUUAGGGAGUGAUUUUUGUAUUUUCAUUCGUUUGUCCAAAAUUCUUUUUUUCAUGGUGGGUAUGAAAUUUAUUAUUAAUUCAAUUAGACAUAUGCUCAUUUUUUAGCGUGAAGCAUCAAGACUCUUUAGAUUUCCCAAAAGAAGCUUCAAUACUUUAUUUUUACGUGUCAUCUUUUUUGAGCGACAUGCAUGUGUUUUGUGUAUUUCUGACCAUGGUUUUCUUUCUUUUAUAUGCAUGGUAUAAAUUGUAUUUAAUUGUAUUGUUAUUCAUCUAGCUGUACGUAAAGACAAAUGUUCUUUUAACUUUUUAAGACAAACAUAUUCUUUUAACUUUUUAAGACAAACAUGUUGGUGUUGUUGAUGGGACGAUUUCCUUAUUAUCAACAGGUUAGGACAACUUGUGCUCCCCUGAUUUUUUUUGGCGGUUUUAAUAUUUCUAAAUCUCAUCAUCUUUGUCCUGAGAAAUGGAAGAAGAAGAGUCAAAUAAGUCAAAUAGUUCCUAUUAAUCCUAGGAUAUGGGAUAGAGCCACAUCGUUGUGCCUAGUAGUAGUGGACGCCACGAUAUGGCUCUAUCCCAUAUCUUGAAAGAUUCGAAUGAACGGCCCAGAUAAUAAGAGUACAUGGACCUACAACCCAUAUCAAAAUUUUGUGGCAUAAUGGUGUGAAAGAAUGAAAGUGACUGGAAAACUAAAAUUAAAUAUGUGUUUCAUGUGUGCUGCUGUAGAUCGUAAGGGGAAAAUGUUACUAAGUGACAAAUAAUAUUGUAUGAUUAAACUGAAAAACAGUUUAACCGGUCUACAUCGGGCUUAAUUACUCUUUCAGAUCCAAAUUAAUUGAAGCAACUUUAGUACAACUUUGUAACAUAAAACUGCAUCUUGCCCGCUCAUCUAAAAAAGAUUCAUGUGUAGACUGUAGCCACGUGAUGUAUUUGUUUGAUUGAAAGCACACAUGUUUAUCUAUUUGUAUCCACACAUUUUUUUUAACACCCACAUCCAUAUAUUGAUCAAGAAACAAGAAUCUUACACUCGUUCAUUACGUAACUAGAACACUAUUACAAAGCACUACAUCGAACCUGCUAUCAAAACUAAAUUCAGCUAUCUCAUGCGCUACUUUGUUAGCCUGCCUAUUAAUAUUCACAAUCUUGAGACCCUCAAUAAACUUAGAGUAUCUACAGUCGGACACCUAUAUUAUUCUCAAAUGCCCGAAACACCUCUCCCCUUCGGUCAGUGUCCGGUCAAAAAAAAUUGCUCGAACCGGACCCCACUUCUUUUCUAAACGCUCGGACUGACCGACAUCCUUCAUAUCCAUCUCAAAUGUAGGAAGAAUAUGAGGGCUCGAGGAAGUGACCGGUCAGUUCGCCACGUAGAACACGACCCCAACCCGGAUCAUCUUUUCUCUUUCCUCAUUCAUUCUUUUCUUUCUGUCUCUUUUUCUUCACAAAUCACGUGCAAGUGGCCAGACAUAUGAGAAAAUAAAUAAAAAGUGCGGCUAUGCAGACGAAAAAUAGGGGCUUAAAAUAGACACGCCUAGUAACUCACACUAUUAGAAAAAACAUUAUAGGCAGGACCUCAGUAGUAGCGCUGAAAAACAAAAAACACUGCUGCUAAUUAGCAGUAGCGCGUCUCCAGCUAACCGCUACUACUAACACCUUAGCAGUAGCGCUUCUUUGCAAAAACACGCUACUACUAUGUGAGACCAGACUAUGCCACCGACGGUAGCUGUAGUAGCAGCGUUGCCCAAAAUCCAGCGCUACUGCUAAGUGUUUAGCGGUAGCGCUUUGUUUUGUAGCACCGCUGCUGCUAGUUGACCGCACUUAGUAGUAGCGCUCUCUCCGACGCAGCGCUACUACUAAUAGAAUAUCAACAACGCUCACUGAUAUCCAGCGCUAUUGCUAGUUGCGGCUGCCACCUUUUUACCCCCCUCCCCUCCUCCUCCUCUCCCCCACUUUCACCUCUCUCCCCCUCCCCUCCCCUCUCCACACUCUCCACACCAUUGUUGCUCUUCUUCUCUCUUCCUCCUACCUCUCUUCUCUCCUCAUUAAUGUCCCCCUCCACCAUAACUCUCCUUCAUAAAUGACUUCUCUCACAUCUCCUCCCCACCAUAACUCCCUCUCCAUUAUAUUAAUUCCCCCCCUUCACCAUAACUCCCUCUCCAUUAGUUAGAUAGCUAGCUAGAUUCACCUCUCCUCCCCAACAACUAGAUCUUGCUAGCUAUUUAGCCAUCCACGCGUGCUCUUUCGAUCGGUCUCUCUCACCAUCUCACUCGAUCGGUCUCUCUCGGGAGAUAUAUAUAGGUGAGUAAAAAGUUGUUUACAUAAAGAAUGGGAAUAUGUGUGUGAAUGAGAAUAUGUGUAUUUGGGAUAUAUAUAUGGAGAGAUUUGUGCGAGUGUGACAUGGCAUCCGAUCGAGUUGCUUAUGUUUUGCUGAAAUGUCGAUUUAUUUCCGUUUCGGUGAAUUUCGAGCAAACUCAGUAUGUCCUAUUUUUAGGCAAGGUCAUGCCAAAAUUUUAUAUGACUUUGAAGAAUGCAUGCAUUAUUUAUUUUAUAACCCUUUUGCUUGUUAUACCGUGCAGUCGGUCAUGAAGGUUAGUGGAUGGCAGGUGGAGCGGUACAUGCAAUCCGCGGUGAUGGACAUGCAUGCAAAUAAUCGGACUAGGAUUAGAUGUCCGUGUGCAAGAUGCAAGGAAGGAGUCCUUUUUGACCCUUUUGAUCGUGGCACUUUGAAGGCGCACCUGCUGAUGAAUGGUUUCAUGGAUGGCUAUGCUCGGUGGAUAAGUGAAGAUGGUGAUGAUGAUGAUGAGGACGUCCAAAUGGCAGGGAAUAACGACAUGGGGCUAGACAAAGAGAUGACCGAUCGACACGAAGACGAUGGUGUCGGACAUGGCGGCGGGGAAGAGUCCGGAAAUGACGGCGGCGGAAAAGAUUCCGGACACGGCAAAGAAUAGUCCGGACAUAGCGGAUAAGAGGUGGUGGUCACGCCGCAGUCUUCGACGCUACUAAGUGCAGUCGUGCAAGACCCUCAUGUUCAAGACCUCCUUCGCAAGAGUACGACUAUCGAGAGAGCUGCUUCUAGAGAGGAGGCCAAGCUCGCUCAACUUGAAGUGGACUCGAGGACUCCAUUGUAUGACGGUUGCAAUCCCGAGGUGACCCGCUUGAGUUUCACGCUCGAACUUCUAAAGACGAAGGCCAAAAACAAAUGGACAACCAAAAGCCUCGAUGAGCAUUUGAAGUAUCUACAUAAUAAAGUUCUUCCCGCGGGGAACCUGUUUCCUAGUAGUGUCGAGGAGGCCAAGAAAAUGGUUUGCCCUUUUGAUUUGCCGCACAUUAGGUACCACGCAUGCAUCAACGAUUGCAUCAUUUAUCGGGGGGAGCACGCAGAAAAAUUUGAUGGAGGAGACGGAGACCAAGACAGAGGAGGAGGAAAGGGGCAGAAAAGUCAAGAAGAAGGAGGAGAAUUAUUGCCCCUUUCCUUCUUCACCUUAAGUCCGAAGGAGAUCGAUCAAUUCAUCAAGUGCCUUAUGGGAAUCAAAGUCAGUUCCGGCUACUAUGGGAAGAUAAGCACAUUUCUAGACCCCAAGAAGAAAAGGUUCAGCGGGAUGAAGUCUCAUGACUGUCACGUGAUGAUGACGCAGAUACUCCCGGUUGCCAUUAGAGGGAUAAUUGUCAAGCAUGUCCGUGACACUCUUAUUGGUCUCUGGAACUUCUUCGACGUUAUCUCUCGAAAGUCCAUAAGCGUGAAGCAACUCCGAAGGCUACAGGAAGAGAUCGUUGUCAUACUAUGUGAGCUUGAGAUGUACUUCCCGUCCGCGUUCUUUGACGUCAUGGUGCAUCCGAGUGUCCACCUCGUGGACGACAUCAUCGACCUCGGGCCGACAUUCCUUCACAGCAUGAUACCGUUCGAGAGGAUGAAUGGGGUCAUCAAAGGAUUCAUUCGUAACAAGUCCCGUCCUGAAGGGAGCAUCGUCCAGGGGUAUCUGAUGCAUGAGUGUGUCUCCUUCUGCGAGAAUUAUAUAAGUGUCGGAGACCCUGUUGUUGGUUUGCCCAUCAAGAAGCACGAUGGGAAGCUCGAAGGAGAUGGUCACAACAACGGCCGGAGGGAACUGCACGUGGACUACUUGGAACGACGGAACGACUUUGACAUGGCUAACUUAGUAGUGCUACAACACCUAGAUGUGGUAGAUGAUUAUGUGGCACGACACAAAGGAAGCAUCGCAAAGAAGUACCGUGAUAAGGGGAUGCUCAAGACGGACGAUGAAGUUACUGUAGAGCACAACGCUACUUUCUUGUGUUGGUUCAAAGAUCAAGUUCUUGAAAAUCCCCCGGAAGAGGGCAGUUCGGACGGAUUGCUCAUACAUGCCUUAGCACAUGGCCCUGCGCCCAAGCUUGCGACCUAUUAGUACUACGAUAUCAAUGGGUACACGUUCAACACGGAAGCCAAAGACAUGGACAUUGAUUACCAGAACUCCGGGGUGACAAUUCAAUGCGUGACCGACGCCAACGGCACAACUGAAAGAUUCUACGGAAGGGUCGAAGAGAUCUGGGAGCUUGACUAUGCUGGAAUGCACGAUGCGACGAUGUUCCGUGUCAAAUGGGCCAAGGACGUCGUAAGAGAAAACAAGUAUUUCACCAUCAUGUCUAUACCCGACGGGAAGAGAACUCCCGUGAACGUUAACAUCAUCGCCAAAAAUGAGCCAUGGGUACACGCUAAGCACGUGACGCAAUGCUUCUUCAUAACCGACCCGGCCAAUCCCAGCCAUGUUGUCGUGAGGAGAUCCAAAAGGAUCAUCGUCAGAAUGGAUGGAGUCGCUAACGAGGAAGACUAAGACCAAUACGGCAACCCGAUGAGGGAAGAUGACGAUGACGAUGAAGCAUACGUGAAAAGAAGAAUCAAGACUACAUGGCGGCGGAAAGAUCGUACUCCAUGGCUCCGGAAAAGUCACAAGGAGGGGCUCAAUUACUCGGCAACGAACAAGAAAGGGAAGAAGCUCAAUGUGAAACGUCGUCAACGCAGCUGUUCAGAAACCUACAUUUAUAUAUUUGUAUCAAUUUUGUGUACGCACUUAAGUAACCGUUAUCAGUCAACUGAUAUGUUACCACAUGCAUGGUUCCGGUGAUAUUCGUGCAUUGGGGGAGAGGGAGACGCCGUCGUCGUCGAUCGGGAGAAAAACAAAUAAUAAAGAGAAAAGUAAACAGGAAAGGAAAGAAAAAUGAUAAAAAUGAAAAGAAAAGUAAAGUAAACAGAAAAGGAAAGAAAAAUGAUAAAAAGAAAAGAAAAUUAAUAAAAAGAAAAUAAUAAAGAAACAUAAAAAAAGAAAACAAUGAAGUUAGCAGUAGCGCUGGUACUAAACCAGCGCUACGGCUAACUACUAUAGCCAUAGCCGUGGAACUAAACCAGCGCUACUGCUAGUUUGAGUUAACCGUCGCGCACGCUAAGUCACCAAAUCUCCUGCCGCCCGUGUUUCUUCCCCAAUUCCCCCCUGCCGUGUCCACCAGCGUCGCCGUCACCCCCCUCGCCGCCCGUGACUCCUCCCCGCGCCGCCCCUGACUCCUCUCCACGCCGCCCAUGACUCCACCCAGCGUCGUCGUCACCCCCAGCGCCGUGCCCUUCAUUAGCAAACCUGCCCUGAGCUCGCCCAUCGGCGUCGUCGCCCCUCCCUGUCGGCUAGGGUUGAGGAGGCCCCGGCAGGUACCCGACCCUCACCUCUCUCUCUCUCUCUCUCUGUGUGUGUGUGUGUGUGUGUGACAUUGCUCUUCGACAGCAGGUACCCAACCCCACCCCCUCCGGCAAGGUGCUCUUCGGCAGCAGGCUUUGGUAUGCAUGCAUAUGGCUGAUGUGUAGCAUUUCUUAUCUAGUUAUAGUUUGUACAAAUUUAUUUCAGCACGCAUGUGUUUUGGUAGAAACCGUAGUUUAAUACACUAAUUUUCAACUAGUGGGCAAAAAGUUUGAUGUUUUGAACUAGUGGCAAGAAAAUGUGACAAGAAAAUGUUUUUAUCCUCAGAUUCGGCGUAGGUCAUUGCAUCCCUUUGCCUUUCUCAGAUUCGGCGUAGGUCAUUGCAUACAUUUAUUAUUUUCUGUUUAUAUUUGUAUAAUUAAUCUUGUGAUGGUGUCAAGAGAAUUCCAUUUAUUAUCCUCAUGGUAUCCGAGUGGCCUAUGUUUUGCCGGAAUGUUGAUUCAUUUCCGUUCCGACAAAUUUCACACGCUCCAUAUGUCCAGCUUUUAGCAAAGGUCAUGCCGAAAUUUUCGGCAUGACUUGUACUAGAAACUAGGACAUAUGGAGUACCCGGGAUUUGCCGGAAGGGGAAUGAAUCAACAUUCCGACCAAAUAUAGGCCCCUUUUUUCUCUUCAUUAUAUAUUUUAUUUACAAUUGUUGCAUAGGAAACAUGUCUACCGACGCCGAAGUCAUGGGUGGUUCUGCUCACUCCGCAGACCCCAUGGUGGCAGCAAAUCACUAUUUCGAAUACCUGGACGAACACCGGAUGGGGUUGCAUGGUGGCGGCAGUGGUCCCAAUCCCGACCCCGGCGCCGACACCGGCACCAGCACCGACACCGCCCCCGAGACCGGCAACGAUGAUGUCGUAGCCGGUAAAGCACCGAAGAAGAAGAGGACAUGAAAACCAAACGAGCUUGGCAUCGGACAAAUUGUGGUCACGGAGAUUCACCCCUUGAAGUUAGAGCCAAGGGCGCCAGAGGAAGCACGCAAGUGCUGGGGCAAUCAACUUGGAUGCAUCCUCAGGGAAACAGCCAACAUCAACGACGAGAGGUUGAAGCAGAUACCACAUAUGGAGCACAUGCUCCUAAAGAAGUUGCACAAUAGGUUCAUGUUCCCCGACCGGAAUGAAAAAGGAAUAUAAAGGCCCGUGGAACGACCCCGCCAUGACAAAGAUAAACAAGAAGGCGAUGGUGACGUUAACCAACGACUUGUCCUCCUGGAAAGUUCGGGUGAAAAAAGCGGUUGGGAAGAAUGAACCAUGGUCCAAGAUUCAUGCUGAUAAUCCGACAAUAACGGAAGAGGACUUUGCAAAAUUCCUUUUGAAUUGCGAAAAAGAAGAGGUCAAGGCAAAUUCGGAGAAAAUGAAGGCGCUCCAGGCCAGGAACACGCCUCCACACCGCCUCGGAAGUCGUGGUUACGAGGGGAAGAGGCACAUAUGGGCCAAGGAGAAUGCCGAACAUGAAAGUCUCGGAAUCCCAGACCCCUUGGCGGAGUUCAUCGACCCACUGGAGCAUGACUGGAUCAGGGCCGGGUACAAGUUGGACAAAGUCAAAAAGAUCCUUUACACAGACCCGAACACGAGGGAGUUCAUGAGACUUCUGGUAAUUGUUAUAUUACCACAUUAUCAUAUUAGCUUCCAAUCAAUUUGACUGCAAGUUUUGUCACAUUAGUAAACCAUCCACGUUCCUUUUGCAGAAAGAGCAGCACCAAAAGGCAGCCGAAAGCGAUGAGUCGUCACAAUCGUCGGCGAGGCCCAAGUGGAACACCCCAUUCAACCGGGCCCUGAACAUACUAAAAAAUGUCCUGGUGGACAAGCCGUCGUCCUAUGGACGUGUGCACGGCGUCGGAUAUGGCGCCUCGUGGAAGACAUACUACCCCGAGGGGCCAGAGGAUAGAAGGAAGAAACGGUUGGUCGUUGAUACGUCCAUUUUGCAUCAUGCUUUCAUGUUGAUAUUUAUCGCUUCUUGGGCUAUUAUUUCACUUCACGGUACAAUACUUAUGCCUUUUCUCUCUUAUUUUGCAAGGUUUAUAUGAAGAGGGAGAAUGCCGGCAGCUGGAAUUCUGGCCUGAAAGCGGAGCAAGUUUGCGAUACCUAUUCUACGCAACUCCAAACGCCGUAAAAAUCAACGAUGAUUUUUUCUGGAUUUAUAAAAAAUACUGGGCCGAAGAAGCGCCAGAGGGGCGCCAGCAGGUGGCCACAAGCCUGCUUGGCGCGGCCACCCCCUGGGCGCGCCAAGGGGGCUUGUGGGUAGCCUGCUAGCCCACUGGCCCCCCUCUUCUGCUAUAUGAAGGGUUUCGUCUGGAAAAAAAUCAGGGAGGAGCUUUUUCAUGGAUUCGCCGCCGCCACGAGGCGGAACUUGAGCAGAACCAAUCUAGAGCUCCGAUAGGACAAUCCUGCCGGGGAAACUUCCCUCCCGGAGGGGAAAAUCGUCACCAUCGUCAUCACCAACAUUCCUCUCAUCAGAGGGGACUCAUCACCAUCAACAUCUUCAUUAGCACCAUCUCAUCUCCAAACCCUAGUUCAUCACUUGUAACCAAUCUCCGUCUCACGACUCCGAUUGGUACUUGUAAGGUUGCUAGUAGUGUUAAUUACUCUUUGUAGUUGAUGCUAGUUGGAUUACUUGGUGGAAGAGUUUAUGUUCAGAUCCUUGAUGCUACUCAUUACCUCUCUGGUCAUGAAUAUGAUUAUGCUUUGUGAGUAGUUACUUUUGUUCAUGAGGACAUGGGAUAAGUCAUGCUAAUAGUAGUCAUGUGAAUUUGGUAUUCGUUGUUUGAUGUGUUGUAUGUUGUUUUCCCUCUAGUGGUGUUAUGUGAACGUCGACUACAUAACACUUCACCAUUAUUUGGGAAGUAGUAAGUAGAUGAUGGGUUUCUAGAGUGACAAAAGCUUAAACCCUAGUUUAUGCGUUGCUUCGUAAGGGGCUGAUUUGGAUCCACUAGUUUAAUGCUAUGGUUAGACUUUGUCUUAAUUCUUCUUUCGUAGUUGCGGAUGCUUGCGAGAGGGGUUAAUCGUAAGUGGGAUGCUUGUCCAAGUAAGGGCAGUACCCAAGCGCUGGUCCACCCACAUAUCAAACUAUCAAAGUAACAAACGCGAAUCAUAUGAACAUGAUGAAAACUAGCAUGACAGAAAUUCCCGUGUGUCCUCGGGAGCGUUUUUCCUCCUAUAAGACUUUAUCCAGGCUUGUCCCUUGCUACAAAACGGAUUGGGCCACUUUGGUGCACCGUUGCUACUUUUGUUACUUGUUGCUCGCUACGAAUUAUGUCACCACACAAUCAUUUGUUACCGAUAAUUUCAGUGCUUGCAGAUUUUACCUUGCUGAAAACCACUUGUGAGAUCCUUCUGCCCCUCGUUGGGUUCGACACUCUUACUUAUCUAAAGGACUAUGAUUGAUCCCCUAUACUUGUGGGUCAUCAAGACUCUUUUCUGGCGCCGUUUACGGGGAGUGAAGCGCCUUUGGUAAGUGGAACUUGGUAAGGAAACAUUCAUAUAGUGUGCUGAAAUUUAUUGUCACUUGUCACUAUGGAUACUAAUCCUUUGAGGGGCUUGUUCGGGAUAUCUUCACCUCGAACGGAAGCACAAAUAGUUGCUCCUCAACCUGCUGCACCUACUGAAAAUAUUUGCUUUGAAUUUCCUUUGGGUAUGGUUGAGAAACUGCUGGCUAAUCCUUUUAAAGGAGAUGGAACAUCACAUCCAGACUUGCAUCUAAUCUAUGUAGAUGAAGUUUGUGGUUUAUUUAAGCUUGAAGGUUUGCCCGAGGAUUAGGUCAAGAAGAGGGUCUUUCCUUUAUAUUUUAAGGGUAAUGCAUUGACAUGGUAUAGGCUAUGUGAUGAUACUGGAUCAUGGGACUACAAUCGGUUGAAAUUGGAAUUUCAUCAAAAGUUUUAUCCUAUGCAUUUAGUACAUCGUGAUCGGAAUUAUAUAUAUAUUUUUUGGCCUCGUGACAGAGAAAGCAUCGCCCAAGCUUGGGGGAGGCUUAAAUCAAUGUUAUAUUCAUGCCCCAAUCAUGAGCUCUCGAGAGAAAUCAUCAUCCAGAACUUCUAUGCUCGGCUUUCUCAUGAUGAUCGCACCAUGCUUGACACUUCUUGUACCAGUUCUUUUAUGAAGAGAGAUAUUGACUUCAGAUGGAAUUUAUUGGAGAGAAUUAAACGCAACUCUGAAGAUUGGCAGCUUGAAGAAGGUAAGGAGUCAGGUAUGAAUUUCAAGUUUGAUGGCGUUAAAUCCUUUGUUGAAACAAAUACCUUUAGUGAUUUUAGCGCUAAGUAUGGACUUGACUCUGAGAUAGUAGCUUCAUUGUGUGAAUCUUUUGCUGCUCAUAUUGAUCUCCCCAAAGAGAAGUGGUUUAAAUAUCAUCCUCCUGUAGAAGUCAAUGUAGUUAAACCCAAUCUAGUUGAAGAGAAAGUCAUUGCCUAUAAUGAUCCUAUUGUUCCUAGUGCUUACAUUGAGAAACCACCUUUCCCUGUUAGGAUAAAGGAUCAUUCUAAAGCUUCAACUAUGAUACGUAGAGGCUACAUUAGAACACCUACACCCCGAGCAAAUUAGAGUUGAACCUAGCAUUGCUAUUAUCAAAGAUCUUCUGUCCGACGAUGUUGAGGGACAUAAUAUUCACUUUAGUGAAGAUGCUGCUAGAAUUGCUAAACCUCACGCUAGAGACAAACAUAUGCCUCUUGUUGGCAUGCAUGUUGUUUCUGUUAAGAUAGGAGAUCAUUGUUAUCAUGGCUUAUGUGACGUGGGUGCUAGUGUUAGUGCAAUACCUCAAUCCUUAUAUGAUGAAAUCAAAGAUGAGAUUACACCUGUUGAGAUAGAGCCUAUUGAUGUCACUAUUCAGCUUGCCAAUAGAGAUACUAUCUGCCCUGUGGGAAUUGUUAGGGAUGUUGAAGUCUUGUGUGGCUAAACGAAGUAUCCGGCUAAUUUCCUCGUUCUUGCUACCGCACAAGAUAGCUUUUGUCCCAUCAUAUUUGGCAGACCUUUUCUCAAUACCGUCAAUGCUCAUAUUGACUGUGAGAAGCAAACUGUCACUGUUGGCUUUGAAGGUGUGCCACAUGAGUUCAAUUUCUCCAAGUUUGGUAGACAACCUCAUGAAAAAGAGUUGCCUAGUAGGGAUGAAACUAUUGCCUUAGCUUCUAUUGCCGUGCCUCCUACAGAUCCCUUAGAGCAAUACUUGCUUGAGCAUGAAAAUGAUAUGCAUAUGGAUGAAAGGGAUGAGAUAGAUAGAGUUGUCUUAGAACAAUAUCCUAUCCUUAAGAAUAACUUGCAUGUUGAACUGCUUGGGGAUCCUCCCCCACCAAAGGGAGAUCCUGUGUUUGAGCUUAAACAGUUGCCAGAUACUCUUAAGUAUGCGUAUCUUGAUGAAAAAGAGAUAUAUCCUGUCAUAAUUAGUGCUAGCCUCUCAGAGCAUGAAGAAAAGAAGUUACUAAAAAUUCCGAGGAAGCAUCGUGCUGCUAUUGGAUACACUCUUGAUUAUCUUAAGGGCAUUAGUCCCACUCUAUGCCAGCACAAGAUUAAGACUGAUCCUGAUUUCAAACCAGUUGCUGAUCAUCAAAGGAGAUUAAAUCCUAAGAUGAAAGAAGUAGUAAGAAAAGAAAUACUAAAGCUCCUGGAAGCAGGUAUUAUCUAUCAUGUUGCUCACAGCAACUGGGUGAGUCCGGUACAUUGCGUCCCUAAGAAGGGAGGCAUUACCGUUGUCCCAAAUGAUAAGGAUGAAUUGAUCCCACAGAGGAUUAUUACUGGCUAUAGGAUGGUGAUCGAUUUUAGGAAAUUGAAUAAAGCCACUAGGAAAGAUCAUUACCCUUUACCUUUUAUCGACCAAAUGCUAGAAAGCCUGUCUAAACACACACACUUCUGCUUUCUAGAUGGUUAUUCUGGUUUCUCCCAAAUACCAGUUGCACAAUCUGAUCAGGAGAAGACCACUUUCACCUGCCCUUUCGGUACCUUUGCUUAUAGACGUAUGCCUUUUGGUUAUGUAAUGCACAUGCCACCUUUCAAAGAUGCAUGAUGGCUAUAUUCUCCGACUUUUGUGAAAAGAUUGUUGAGGUUUUCAUGGAUGACUUCUCUGUUUACGGGUCUUCCUUUGAUGAUUGCCUCAACAACCUUGAUUGAGUCUUGCAGAUAUGUAAAGACACCAAUCUUGUCUUGAAUUGGGAGAAGUGCCACUUUAUGGUUAAUGAAGGCAUUGUUUUAGGACAUAAAAUUUCUGAAAGAGGUAUUGAAGUCGAUAAGACUAAGGUUGAUGCAAUCGAGAAAAUGCCAUACCCCACAUAUAUCAAAGGUAUAAGAAGUUUCCUUGGUCAUGCUGGUUUCUAUAGAAGGUUCACUAAAGACUUCUCUAAGAUUUCUAGGCCUCUUACCAAUCUCUUGCAAAAGGAUAUUCCUUUUGUAUUUGACGAUGAUUGUGAGGGAGCCUUUGAAAUACUUAAGAGGGCUUUGAUAACUGCACCUAUUGUUCAACCACCUGAUUGGAACUUACCUUUUGAAAUCAUGUGUGAUGCUAGUGAUUAUGCUGUUGGUGCUGUUCUAGGAAAAAGAGUUGAUAAGAAGUUGAAUGUUAUUCACUAUGCUAGUAAAACUCUAGACAGUGCCCAAAGAAACUAUGCCACUACGGAAAAGGAGUUUUUAGCAGUCAUGUUUGCAUGUGAAAAGUUCAGGUCUUACAUAGUUGAUUCCAAAGUCAUUAUUCACACUGAUCACGCUGCUAUUAAGUACCUCAUGGAGAAGAAGGACGCUAAACCUAGACUUGUCAGAUGGGUUCUCUUGCUACAAGAGUUUGAUUUGCACGUUGUCGACAGGAAGGGUGCCGAUAACCCCGUAGCAGAUAACUUGUCUAGGCUGGAGAACAUUCUUGAUGACCCACAACGUAUUGAUGACAGCUUUCCCGAUGAGCAACUGAAUGUCAUCAGUACUUCCCAUAGUGCACCGUGGUAUGCUGAUUAUGCAAACUAUAUCGUUGCCAAAUAUAUACCACCUAGUUUCACAUACCAGCAAAAGAAGAAAUUCUUCUUUGACUUGAGACAUUACUUUUGGGAUGAUCCUCACCUUUAUAAGGAAGGAGUAGAUGGUGUUAUUAGACGUUGUGUACCUGAACAUGAACAGGGACAGAUCCUACAGAAGUGUCACUCCGAGGCCUACGGAGGACACCAUGCGGGAGAUAGAACUACCCACAAGGUAUUGCAAUCAGGUUUCUAUUGGCCCACUCUUUUCAAGGAUGCCCGUAAGUUUGUCUUGUCUUGUGACAAAUGUCAAAGAGUAGGUAAUAUCGGUAAACGUCAGGAAAUGCCUAUGAACUAUUCACUUGUCAUUGAACCAUUUUAUGUUUGGGGCUUUGAUUAUAUGGGACCUUUUCCAAAAUCCAACGGGUAUACUCAUAUCCUAGUUGGUGUUGAUUACGUCACUAAGUGGGUAGAAGCUAUCCCCACUAGUAGUGCUGAUCACAACACCUCUAUCAAGAUGCUGAAAGAAGUUAUCUUCCCUAGAUUUGGAGUCCCUAGAUAUCUAAUGACCGACGGUGGUUCACAUUUCAUUCAUGGUGCUUUCCGUAAAACGCUUGCUAAGUACGAUAUCAACCAUAGAAUUGUGUCUCCCUAUCACCCUCAAUCCAGUGGUCAAGUAGAGCUAAGCAAUAGAGAAAUUAAACUAAUUCUGCAAAAGACUGUCAACAGGUCUAGAAAUAAUUGGUCUAAGAAGCUCGAUGAUGCACUGUGGGCUUAUAGGACUGCCUAUAAGAAUCCCAUGGGCAUGUCUGCGUACAAAAUGGUGUAUGGUAAAGCAUGUCAUUUACCUCUUGAGCUAGAGCAAAGCUUAUUGGGCAAUCAAAGAGCUCAACUUUGAUUUCAAACUUGCCGAUGAGAAGAGGUUAUUUGACAUUAGCUCGCUUAAUGAAUGGAGAACCCAGGCAUAUGAGAGUGCCAAGUUGUUCAAAGAGAAGGUUAAGAGGUGGCAUGAUAAGAGAAUACAAAAGCGUGAGUUCAAUGUAGGUGAUUAUGUCUUGCUAUAUAAUUCUCGUUUAAGAUUCUUUGCAGGCAAGCUUCUCUCUAAAUGGGAAGGUCCCUAUAUUGUUGAGGAAGUAUAUCGUUCUGGUGCUAUCAAGAUCAACAACACGGAAGGUAAUUGUCCGAGAGUUGUAAAUGAGGAGAGAAUCAAGCAUUAUAUCUCAGGUACUCCCAUAAAUGUUGAAAGCAAUAUCAUCAAUACCAUAACUCCGGAAGAAUACCUAAGGGACAUUUAUCAGCCUGUUUCAGACUCCGAAAAUGAAGAGGUGUGUGAUUCGGUAAGAAAACAGAUUCCAAAACUUUUCCAAUAGGAAUUUUUCACCGUUUUGGAAUAUUUGAAAAAAUAGAAAAAUUGGAAGUAGUCCGAAAAGUGCGCGAGGAGGCGACAAGCCUGCCCGGCGCGGGCCCACCCCAUGGCCGCACCGGGGGGGGUGUUGUGGCCACCUCGUGCGCCUCCCGGACUCCGUUUUCGUGCGGAGUACUCCUCCUGGUCUGGAAAAAAUCAAUAUAUAUUCUCCCGUAAGGUCUGACCCCUGUAUCACGCAGAUUUCCUCUGUUUUCGUUUCGAGCCUGUUUUCUGCCGCAGAUUUAGAGCAAGAUGUCUUCUCAGGAUUCAGAGGGGGAGAGCUAUGUGGCUGAUUACCUCACUAACUCCAAGGUCUAUGGGGACUUGGAUCCUUAUGGCUGGACCACUGAUGAGGAAGAAGAUUAUGAUCCCAAGGGGAAGGAACAAACAAGUUCCGAUGAAGAGGAGGCUCCUCUACCUCAACCUGGACACACGCAUGUGGAGUUCAAGAAGUCGAGCCUCCCUGACUCAAGGAAGAAGCUUAAGAGUUUGUUUAUACCUUCUAGUUUCUUGCAGGAGAGUAAGUAGGAAUUAUGCCAAAGGGUGUUGAAGCUUGAAGAGGAAAAUGAUGAUCCGAGGGAGCAGAAUUUUAUGCUCAGGUGGAAAUUAAACAAGCUCAAGACCUCUGCAGCAAAUCCACCACCAUCACCUCCAAAGGAAGACAACUGAACAUGGGUAUGGGCAAUCCCCUUGGCUUGUGCCAUGCUUGGGGGAGUUGCCCCGGUAUCGUAUCACCAUCACAUCUUUUGCCUUUACCUUUGUUUUAGUUUGUUCCUUUUCAGUUUUCUUUUUCUCUAGUAGAUUAAAAGUCUUGAGUUUUGCCUUGUGUCUUUUUCUCUAGUAGAUUAAAAGUCUUGAGUUUUGCCUUGUGUCACCCCCGAUUUAUUCGAGCUCGUGAGCCAUAUAAUAAAGGGUGUCUUAGUUGAAGGGCUUUGCCUCUUGCCAUGAUCAAUAGAUUGAGAAAAGAACAAAAGCAUGAAAAAUCAUGUAAUGAACUUACGGGAAGUGAUAGCUUCACAUAUAAAAAGAAUGAUGAUUGAGACUUGUUGAGGGUAGACAAACGUAGACCUUGGUCAUUGUUGCAAUUAAUAGGAAGUGAUAAGGAAGGAGAGGUUCACAUAUAAAUAUAUCAUCUCUGACACCAUCUAUGAUUGUGAACACUCACUAAACUAUUACAUGCCUAGAAGUAGAUGUUGGACAAGGAAGACAACAUAAUGAAUUGUGUUUGCUUGGUUCCGAACAAUGUUAUAUGAUUAGAGAUCCCUUAGCAUGUGACGAUUGCUUCCACCUCAUAUUAGCCAAAACUCCCGCACCAAGUAGAGAUACUACUUGUGCAUCCAUAAACCUUCAACCCAGUUUUGCCAUGAGAGUCCAUCAUACCUACCUAUGGAUUGAAUAAGAUCCCCCAAGUAAGUUGUCAUCGAUGCAAGAAAUAAAAAUUGCUCCCUAAUAUGUAUGAUCUAUUAGUGUGUGGAAAAUAAGCUUUGUACGAACCUGUGAUGAGGAAGACAUAAAAGCGACAGGCUGCAUAAUAAAGUUCUUUAUCACAGGAGGCAAUAUAAAGUGACGUUCCUCCGCACUAAGAGGACACGCAUCCAAACCUCAAAAGCGCAUGACAACCUCUGCUUCCCUCUGCGAAGGGACUAUCUUGUACCUUUACUUUUUGCCCUUGAAAGAGUCAUGGUGAUCUUCACCAAUUCCUUGUUUCGCCUUUAUCUUGGCUAACGUCAUAUGCUAGGGAAAUAUCUAUAUUCAUAUGUCAACUUGGAGGUAAGCAUUCAUGAAGUAUUAUUGUUGACAUUACCCUUGAGGUAAGCAGUUGGGAGGCAAAACUAUAAGCCCCUAUCUUUCUCUAUGUCCAGCUGAAACUUUGAUCUCAUGAGUACCACGUGAGUUGUAGCAAUUGUAGAGAAGGAAAAGAUGAUUGAGUAUGUGGAUUUGCUUUACAACCUCUUAUUUGACUCUUUUUGAUGUUGUGAUAAAUUGCAAUUGCUUCCAUGACUAAAGGUUAUCGGUUGUUACUUCUCGGUAAGGUUCUUGAUCCAUGCUUUACUCUGUGAAGGAAUUGUCACUUUAGCAUGAGAGAUUAUAUGUUGGUAUUGCUGUUCUGAUCAUGAUCAUGAUCAUGAUGCAUGCAUGUUCGUAUUCUACUUUGUCGACACCUCUCUCCCAAAACAUGUGGACAUAUUUAUUGAGCUCGGCUUUCGCUUGAGGACAAGCGAGGUCUAAGCUUGGGGGAGUUGAUACGUCUAUUUUGCAUCAUGCUUUCAUGUUGAUAUUUAUCGCUUCUUGGGCUGUUAUUUCACUUCACGGUACAAUACUUAUGCCUUUUCUCUCUUAUUUUGCAAGGUUUAUAUGAAGAGGGAGAAUGCCGGCAGCUGGAAUUCUGGCCUGAAAGCAGAGCAAGUUUGAGAUACCUAUUCUGCGCAACUCCAAAUGCCGUAAAAAUCAAUGAUGAUUUUUUCUAGAUUUAUAAAAAAUACUGGGCCGAAGAAGCGCCAGAGGGGUGCCAGCAGGUGGCCACAAGCCUGCUUGGCGCGGCCACCCCCUGGCCACGCCAAGGGGGCUUGAGGGCAGCCUGCUGGCCCACUGCCCCCCUAUAUGAAGGGUUUCGUCUGGAAAAAAAUCAGGGAGGAGCUUUUUCGUGGAUUCGUCGCCGCCACGAGGCGGAACUUGAGCAGAACCAAUCUAGAGCUCCGGCACGACGAUCCUGCCGGGGAAACUUUCCUCCCGGAGGGGGAAAUCGUCGCCAUCGUCAUCACCAACACUCCUCUCAUCGGAGGGGACUCAUCACCAUCAACAUCUUCAUCAGCACCAUCUCAUCUCCAAACCCUAGUUCGUCACUUGUAACCAAUAUACGUCUCGCGACUCCGAUUGGUACUUGUAAGGUUGCUAGUAGUGUUAAUUACUCUUUGUAGUUGAUGCUAGUUGGAUUACUCGGUGGAAGAUUAUAUGUUCAGAUCCUUAAUGCUAUUCAAUACCUCUCUGGUCAUGAACAUAAUUAUGCUUUGUGAGUAGUCACUUUUGUUCCUGAGGACAUGGGAUAAGUCUUGCUAUAAGUAGUCUUGUGAAUUUGGUAUCCGUUCGAUAUUUUGAUGUGUUGUAUGUUGUCUUUCCUCUAGUGGUGUUAUAUGAACGUCGACUACAUAACACUUCACCAUUAUUUGGGCCUAGAGGAAGGCAUUGGUAAGUAGUAAGUAGAUGAUGGGUUGCUAGAGUGACACAAGCUUAAACCCUAGUUUAUGCGUUGCUUCGUAAGGGGCUGAUUUGGAUCCACUAGUUUAAUGCUAUGGUUAGACUUUGUCUUAAUUCUUCUUUCGUAGUUGCGGAUGCUUGUGAGAGGGGUUAAUCAUAUGUGGGAUGCUUGUCCAAGUAAGGGAAGUACCCAAGCGUUGUCCACCCACAUAUCAAACUAUCAAAGUAACGAACGCGAAUCAUAUGAACAUGAUGAAAACUAGCAUGACAGAAAUUCCCGUGUGUCCUCGGGAGCGUUUUUCCUCCUAUAAGACUUUGUCCAGGCUUGUCCCUUGCUACAACAGGGAUUGGGCCACUUUGCUGCACCGUUGCUACUUUUGUUACUUGUUGCUCGCUACGAAUCAUCUCACCACACAAUCACUUGUUACCGAUAAUUUCAGUGCUUGCUCAUUUUACCUUGCUGAAAAUCACUUGUCAGAUCCUUCUGCUCCUCAUUGGGUUCGACACUCUUACUUAUCAAAAGGACUACGAUUGUUCCCCUAUACUUGUGGGUCAUCAGUCAUCACGCAGGAGAGCAUCGACAAGAAAGUCGCGAUUGCGGUCAAUAAGACCAAAGCUGAGACCAAAGAAGAGUUGGUCGACUUAGUAAGUGGGUUGGUCACUGACGCGGUGGCCAGCUUGAUUCCGGCAAUUUUCAGUUGGUCAAAGAGCAAUCCAAAUGCACGGUCGGAGGACUACCCAAUUCCCAGCUUUGGCGCAAGCAACUCGGCGAACACCAAAGCACCAACACCUGGCCAAGCAACCGCAAAAGGUCCCGUUCCUGUUCAUAGCAGCCCGACCUCCGUCUCUGGCAUGCUCGGCGGGCCUUCCUCGCUGGCUGAGCUCGACGCCCUCACGAUAAUUACGCGUCAUACCCUUUUCCCCAGCAUGUCUAUAGUCUUACAUUUCAGUUGCCUUUCAGAUGUUUGAUGUCGCAGACAUGUCUCCUUCAUAGGCCGACGACACCCCGUGCACCCUACUCUACGACAUCAAGGGCGAGAAGGUGGCUGUGGGAAAGGCAACCAUCGUGAAGCCGAAGGACCGCAUGUUCCACAACCGACAGAUGCCCGAUGGCGUCUUCAAGGUUAACGUGGCCAGUGUCUUAGCGGGCUUCGAGGAUUUGCCUCCUCCGAUACCAGCCGGUGACGACGAGACCCCUACGCUUAUUGGCGGAUGCAAGAACUGGUUCCUGACUUGGCCGAAGUCUCUUAUUCGUCUCAAGGAGCCCAGUAUCACGCCAACGCCAAGUUCUCAAGAAGGUAUGAACACCACCCACCUACCAAAUUACCUGCACAUGUUGUGGCGGAUGAUGGUAGCGUACGACGCGAGGGAGAGCAUCCAUUAGUGCCAGAUCAUGUCACCCCCGCUGUCGAAGAAGCAAAUGUUGAUGAUGUCACGGAGGAUGAUGAUGAGGACCCGAACCAGUAUUUCAAUACUGCCUAUGAUGGAUUGAUGGCUCAGGACGCCGAAGACUCAGGCUAUGACCGAGGAGAUGAUGACUUGAUGCUGCCUGAUUUGCCGGAGCCGGAACGUCCUAAGGCGGAAUGCAAAAAGUCUCUCUUCAAGCCAUCCUCGCAGGAGACGCCUCCAUAUGCCGCCUCUACCCAACAACCCCCCGAGGCCCGUCCAGUGUUUAGCCCGAGGACACUUGGGGUGGUGGUUAGGAAAGGUAUGAUGGGCUCACUACCGCCAUCCCCCAAGAAGCAAAGGAAGAGACCGACCAAGAGACCUAAAGGCCCCAUAGGUGCUUCAAGUAGCCAGCCGCCUCUGAAACCCCUGGUGGUAGACAUAAUACCUGUCGAAGGUAAGACGCGUGUCCACAUCGCCGGUGAGACGAUCCUACCUGCCAAAGCGCUAGAUCACAUACUGAACAAUGAUCUAAAGAGACUCCAUGAAGAUGUGCUAGCCAGAGAGAAAAACCUUCUCGCCACGAAACAUCCAGGAUACCCGCUUUACGCGACUCAUGUGCCGGGUGGGAAGAUGUAUGUCGAUACCUGACCCGCGAAUCAGUUCCUCCUGCGAUUUGACUACAUCUACAACAUGUUCCACAUGACCAAGCUGGAUUUCCAGUUCAUCCGCAUGUAUGCGCUGUAUCUCAACUCCAUCAUCAAUAUGGAGAGCAUCAAAUAUAUCUGCGUUGCGGACCCAUACUAUAUGCACGAGGACUUCUUGGGAGUUUGCAAAGAGCACCAUGACUAUGCGAGCAAGUACCUCGGCGAUUUCAUGAUCCCUAAUAAGGACAAGGAAGCGAUUCUCCUACCUUAUCAUCCCUCGUAAGUCAUCCGCGCAUAUCCUUUCGUACAUGUUUCAUUCCUUUGCAAGCAUGGGGGCUAAUUUGAGGUGUACUUAAUUUGCGCAGCGGGGGCGGCGCCGUCCUCAUCGUUCCGUACCCGGAAUACUCCCAUGCUAUCUACUUGGACUCGUCGAAGAACCUCAAGAAAAAGGAUUACACGCGCGUAAAGAGUGUUCUCGACUCUGCCCUGUGGACCUUCAGCCUGACUGGUGGAUAUAUCAAGGUGAAAAAGACCAGGAAUAAAGCACCGGCUUUCGGCCAUAAGACCGACUUCUGCUGCAUCCAGCAACCGAACAACAGUACGACUGAUGGAUUCUACCUCAUGCAUCACCUGAUGGAGUUCAGAACGUAUAAUGAACGCCUUCGCAUGUCAGCUACUACCGAAGAUGCCGAGAUUGUCAGUUGGGCCACAAGCAUAGGAACGACACCGGAUUAUCGAAUCCGAGCUAAGUUUUAUCACGUACAGGGUGAACUAGCCCAAGUGAUCAUGAAGCAAGUCCUCGAACCAACGGGGAUGUUCUAUAAUGGGGCAAUCACGCGGGUUGAUGUCCGAGCACUGCUAGUCCCUCAGCGUCUGGACAUGAACCCUUUCAUGAAGCUCGGGUGCGUCCUCGCUAACUAUGAAGAUUGGGACAAGGACCUGAACGACUGAUUGUCAAUGACAAUGUGAUGUAACUAAACCGUGGUCCUGAACUAGCGUGCCUUAUCACUACUGUCUUUCUAUGACAAAACUUUGAAACUAUGUGAUGUAACUAAACCGCGUUCCUGAACUAGCGUAGAUCGUUCUAGUUAAUUAGUUUGGGUAUGAGUAACUUUGUCAUUUAUGUUUACUAUUGGUUGCUUUUAUUUUGCUAAUCAUGCCUCUUUGUUUUCUUAAGUACAUUAUGUUGCAUAUUAUCGGUCAAAUCAACAACUCACGAUGCAGGUACCUAGAUCAGAGAUGGCGAAGCACUACUACGUCGUGUACGUUGGGAGGGUUCCAGGAGUCUACGACCACUGGCCAGCCGCUCAGGCCCAAGUGCACAGGUACCCGGGUGCUACCCACAGAGGGUUCGACACCAGAGCCGAAGCGGAAAGUAGUUACUUCAGGUCGACACUCCAGCAAGAGCAGGGGCGGGACCGUCGGUACUACAUAGUCGCGCUCUUCCUCAUGCUGAUCGCUCUUCUCUUGUACAUCAUGUUGUAGAUAGAGAUGAUGAAACUUGUGGGUGUGCCAUGACCAUGCAGUUGCACUUAUUCGAGACAUGACAUGAUCGCACUUAUGUAUCGCUAUUUUCGAGAUUAUGUGAUGAUAUUUUGUGUUGAAUGGUGAUGAUGAUGAUGGUAUGACGAGACUAUUGUAUGUCUAUGAUAUGUGAGAAUGGUGUUUGUUCAAUAUGAUGUGAUGAAACUAUUGUAUAGAAUCUGUAUAAAUACAUUAGAAAUACGUAGAGGGUAUAAAGCUGUGAAAGCAGCAAAAUCUAGCAGUAGCGGUGGUAAAUACUUAUCAGUAGCGCUACUUAGCAGCAACGCUUUAUAGGGGCAAACGCUACUACGAUAGUUAGCAGCAGCGCUGGGCAGGCAAGCGCUACUGCUAAUACUACUUAUGAGUAGCGCUGCCCAUACCUGCGCUACUACUAGGAUUUAGCUGUAGCGCGAUAACAGUAGCGCUCGACCCAGCGCUAUUGAUACACAUAUUUCCAGCGCUACUGGUAGGGUUUUCCCUAAUAGUGUGACCAAGUGCGUCCGUAGACGUUUAGGGGGUCAUAUUUGCUAAGUCCUGCUGUAGAUGCUCUUAAAGAGGCCGAUCACUUCCUUUUUAGAUCCACAAAAGGAGACAUGUCAAUGGUUUCUUUUGUUAAAAAAGAUGUAACAAAGGAACAACCAAUUUCCAAAAUAAUUGGUUUGUGAAGAAUAUACCAAUGUAUGGCCCGACGAGGCAUGCACGAAGUUUCGCUUCAUCCACUCAGGAACACACUUAAUUAAAUCCCAUGAUGAAACCAGAACUUCUCCCAAAUGAUUCCUAGCGACAAUCCCAGGAUCUCAUGCGCUCCACAAAACUAGCAUCAACAUUUAUUUUAGGAACAUUUACAUAUUUCCCCCAAAUUUCGUCCCGACCUCAUCUUUACCCCUAAAUAAAAACAGUGCUCAACUAUACCCCUCUUCCGUUAAGUACGUUUAUAAAAAUACUUUUCCGUACAUUUUCCGUCCAGUCAAAGGCCUUUGACCGUUAAGUGCGCGUAUAGAAAAAUAUAAUGGUCAAAGGCCUUUGACUGGACGGAAAAUGUACAGAAGGGCAUUUCUAUAAGUUCACUUAACGGAAGAGGGCAAAGUUUAGCACUGUUUUUAUUUAGGGGUAAAGAUGAGGUCGGGCCAAAAUUAGGGGGAAAAUGGAAUUGGCCCUUUAUUUUAAUAUACUCCGGAUCCGGAUGUUUCCACAGAGCGCGAUCCUUCUUUGGUGGACUAAGAGCAACUCUAGCAAACCCCACAAAAACUUGACACGCAAAACGCGUUUGCGGUUUCACGAAAAUCACGUUUGCGGGUCGAAAACUAGCGCGGCCGAACAAAAACCGUAUCUAGAACUACAUAAUUUGAAAAAACACUUUCACGGGAGAAAUUGCACCUCGUUGACGCGAGUAGUUCAUCACAUACUACAUAGAUCAUGAUCAACACACUACAAACAUAGUUCAUACUACAUACUACGUUAAUACUAGUACUAGAGGGGGUCGGAUCUCACGGCGGCGAGGUCGCGGCAAAUGGACGACGUCGUGGAGAAGAAGGACGCUCAAUCCUCCUCGCCGGAGCUGUAGAGGUCGAUGUACUUCGCCCUCUGCUCCUCGCGGAUGCGGCACCACUCCUUGUACUUCUCCUUGGCGGCGAGGUUGGUACCGACCGCCUGCCGCCACUCGAGGUCUUCGAGCUCCUCGACGUGACGCCGGCGCUCCGCCUCCUCGCGCACGAUCCACUCGACGAUGGCGGCCGCAAUGGCGUCGACGUCGGCGACGUAGUCUUCCGGCCCGACGACUCCGUGGCAGCCGAGCGGAGCGGGCUCCUCGGGCUCCUCCUUGACGGGGACGAAGUCGAACUCUUCCGGCUCCUCCUCGUCCUCUAACCACUCCCUUUUCUCGGGUAGAAGGCCCCGCACCCGGAGGAGGAGGAGCUCCCYSCGCGUAUGAACAUCUCGUGGAGGAGAAGGACGCGCGCCGACGGUCGUACUCCUCAGUCUCGCUCCGUCGGAAGCUCGCCGGCGGCGACAUGCCGCGGUUGGUCCACCUCCAGGCCCCGCACUUCCUCGCGCCGUCCGAGCGGACGCGUCACUCGCGCUCCGGGUCGCUUCCGCCGUCGGAUCUGCCGCUGGAGCCGCGUUUGGAGCUCCACAUGCGGCCCCACAUGGCGGCUGGAGGAGGGGAGGUGGUCGCCGGCGGCGAGAAAUGUGGAGAAGGGGGUGGGGAAUCGCUAGGGCUCGGCGGCGGCGGGGGAUAGGGUUUCGACCCGCAAACGAGCCGCAGAACCGUAGAUAUAGUGGUGAGGGCGUGCGGUUUGCGGGCCGCGGCAAAUUUUUUUGCGGGCCGGGCAAGUAUGCGGGCUCUGUUCUGGCCGAAAAAUUGAAUCAAACCCGCAUACUCGCCGGAAUUUUACGGGUCUGCGUGUUUUAUGGGGUCUGCUAGAGUUGCUCUAAUAAACUUCGUGUUACUUAUCACCCCCUUACCUUUGUCACUUAAAUCCACUUGCACACAAGCAUCGACAGUCGUGAAUGUUUUCCAGUAAUUUUUCAUGAAGAUAACAAAAGCGUUUAGAGAUACUUUCCCUCUUCCAAAAAUCUUAACCGUUCAUUAGAUGACAAGCUCUCUAGAACAUAAUAAAACUUGCUCACUUACCAGAGACCCCGGUUGGUCUAGCAGGAUGGCAUUUCGUAUUUGUAGUUUUAUCAUUUUCUUGCCGACAAUAGUGUUAGAAUUUAAUUAAUUAGUCCAUCGCAUCCGAAUACAACGGACAGGUUGUUUUGAGCGUGGCUGUUGUAACCAUCGUGUCUGUGCGAUGCGCCUCUUCAGGAGGUAUAUAUAUGUACAUCAUCGUUGUCAAUAAUCAUCUGUCAUUACUGUUUCUUUACACUGUUUCUUUACACGUUAUCACGCACUCCUAUCCAGCGAGAGCACUAGGCCACAAAACUCGUCGGAGAAGAAAGCAAACCGGUGAGGAUGUCGUCCCUCGCCUCCCUUCUCCUUGGUCUUCUCUGGGAAGAACGGCGCCAUCACUUCCUUGCCGAGCAGCGCCGCCGGUUCGUCCGCCAUCGAUGGGGGGCACCACCGGCAGUUUCUGGCCUUGGCAUUAACCGCCGCCAGAACUUCGCUGGACGACGCCGCCAUGUCGCGGCCGCUGGACGCCGCCGCCACGCCACAUCGGUGAACCGACGUCUGGCCACGCCGGUGGACAACAACCAGGGACUGGACCCAGGGCUGGUAGCCGGACCGAGUGCACCACCGCCGCUGAACUCUGACAUGGGUGCGCCAGAGCCUGGACUCGCUGCUCCCUCCCCUCCACGGUGGUGCCGUGUGCACGGGUAUGGCCCGUGCCCCACUCGCUCCAUUGGCACACGCCUGCCGUCACCAACGCCAGCAGAGGAGGAGGAGCGGGACAUCGUCGCUGACAUACCUGCACGUGGCUACAGCCCGACUCCGACGCGUCUCGCCGGUGAUGGGGGCGACGACCCCAUCUUCGUCCUGACUCCAGGACGCGAGAUGGCCACCGCGGGGACAAACAGCGCGCCAUGGGCGUUCGGUCGCUCCCCUGCUCCUCCCGGCGAGCAGCCAGUCUUCCUCUUCGGGACUGGAGGGACACGGCCCGCCACGGACGUCGCCGGCACAAGCAGCAACGCGGGUCCACCUGUCAGCAGCGCGAGCCGCCUUCUCCUCUUCGGGCGCUCCGUCGCCGCCGUCGACCGUCGUCCUGGGCGCCGUCGGGGAGCUUGGAAUCCGGCGUCGCUCGGACUUGCCAAUGGACUCCCGAACGGAGGCGGCAUCCCGGACUACACCCCCUCAUCGGACGAGGAGGAGGGCCCCAUUCCUUCACUGCCGGCGUCUCGCCGGUGAGCACGCAUCGGGCGCGGCGGCCGGAACAAAGGAGGGGUCGCGCCGCCUGGAAAGAGGAUUGUGGGCGGUAGGGGAACCCUAACCGUCAUCCUCUUUUAUGCGAUGGCCAAAGCGGCGACGGGCCUGCUGGGCCGAAAAGCCGGAUGGGCUGUGACCCAUGCCUCGUUCUGAGCCAGGAAAAGGAAGGAAAAUUGAAAAAAACUGUAGCAGUACUGUAAAAGUGGUUUGGGUCUAUUUGUUGCAGCCCAGGACCAUUUUUUUCGUUUCUCUUUUUCUGUUAAGUUAUUUGACUAGCAGUUUGAGAGUUGUGACUAGUGAUUUAGUAAUUUGUGUAAAUUACUUUAUAUUGUAUUGUUCAGUAAUUAGUGUAUAUUACUGUAUUGUACAAGUAUAAUGUAUGUCAACAUAUAUGUUCGGGCAAUUUGAGAAUUGCUAUAUGUUGAUAAAUAUACAUGCAUUGUUUUAUUUACAACACAAUUAAUUUGCUAUGAAAGUAAAUUAAUAAGCAUGAUGAUUACAUGCAGGAUAUGGCUGACAUAUCGAAAAAAGAGUUUGCUGAACUUGCCGUCGAUGGUUCUAACUAUUUGACAUGGGCAAUGGAUGUCAAAAUAAAUUUGACGGCCAAGGGACUCAAUUCCGCAAUAACCACACCUGCCCAAGGGACUUCAUCUAUAACAGACAUAACAAGAUAUUCAACGUUGCACUUCAUUCGAUAUCAUCUUCACCCUGACCUAAAAACAGAGUAUCUGAUGGAGGAGAACCCUCUGACACUCUGGAACUCCUUAAAAGAGAGGUAUGAUCAACAAAGGGCGGUGAUGUUGCUUGAAGCGCAACGGGAAUGGGCGCUAGUCCGAUUCCAAGACUUUAAGUCUGUAGCUGCAUACAAUUCUGUUGUUCAUAAGAUCAACUCCAAGUUGAGAUUCUGCAAUAAUGCAGUUUCUGAUGCUGAUCUUAUUGAAAAGAUGCUUUCUACUUUCCAUCCUUCGAUGAGGAUACUUGCUGAACAAUACCGUCAGCAAAAGUAUAAGAAGUAUUCUCAGUUGAUUUACUCGCUGCUUCAGGCAGAGAAGCACAAUGAGCUUCUUGAGAAGAACAAUUUGGCUCGUCCAACAGGAACGAUGCCUCUGCCUGAAUCACACUUCAACUCUAAGAAUACUCAAAAUUUCAAUGGUUCCAACAAGAACCGUAGAACGUUCAAUGGAAAGUGGAAGCGUAAUGAGAAGCGGAAUAAGAAUGGAGUCCAAAAGGGCAAAGGUUCUUUCAAGAAAAAUGAAAGGACUAGCAACACUGGUUGUUUUAGGUGUGGUUGUAAAGGACAUAUUGCAAAGAAGUGUGACACUUCGAACCAUUUGGUGGAAUUGUACCAACAGUCAGUUGGAAAGGGCAAGAAGGCUCAGGGGAACCAGUAUGAAGCACACUUCACUGGAAAUGAAGAUGGUACCCCUACGGUUGAUGGUUCUCAAGAUGAUUCUCUGAACAUGGACAACCAGGAGCAGAAUCAGCAAGUGGAAGAUCCAAUACUAGAUGUCGAUGACAUGCUAGUGGAAUUUGGUUCUAGUGACAUAUUUGGAGACCAGAUUUAGUCUCAUUUGUCUAAGUAUUGUAACAAUGUUAUUAGACAUAUUAUAUGUGUUGUAAAAUAAGUUAUGUCCUUAGACAUAAUGUGUUAGCUAUGUCGUGUGACAUAGGGCUUGUAAUAAGUACAAGACAUAUAUAAGUUUGUAAUGUAUGUAUUGAUUCUAUAUGAGUUUGAUUAUAUACUGAACUUUGUUCUUUUACUCUAUAGAACUUCAAGGAAUAAUACAAUGGAGGAGGAAAUGUGUUUAGUGGAUAGUGGAUCUACUAACACGAUACUUAGGGAGAUAAAGUAUUUCCAGACACUCAAGAAGAGUAAUGGAAGUGUCAUGACAAUUGCUGGUCGAGACACGGUAAUUGUUGGUUCUGGACAAGCUACAAUUACACUCCCUAUGGGUACUAAAUUGAUAAUCCAGGAUGCUCUACUGUAUCCAGUAUUGUACCUUGCUGAGUUUUAAGGAUAUUCGCAAAAAUGGUUUUCAUGUGGAAACUAAUGAAGAGAGUGGGGCUGAAUGACUACUCAUAACUCAGCAAAAGGGACUUCGAAAGGAAAUCCUUGAGAAUCUGCCUUCUCUAUCUUCUGGGUUGUAUUAUACAUACAUUAAACCAGAGACGCAUUUGGCGUACAAGAUAGUUUUUCAGAAUCUUGAUAAGUUCAAGAUUUGGCAUGGUCGCCUGGGUCAUCCUGCUAUUGGGAUGAUGAGAAAAAUUAUUGAUGGUUCUGUUGGACACAACAUAACGGAUAGAAAGUUCCCAAAAUCAUCUAAUUUUGUAUGCACUGCAUGUGCAACUGGGAAAUUGAUCACAAGGCCAUCUUAUGUGAAAUUAAAGAAUGAGCCACUUGAUUUCCUUGAACGUAUUCAAGGAGAUAUUUGUGGUCCAAUACAACCGUUAUCUGGACCAUUCAGAUAUUUCAUGGUCCUAAUUGAUGCAUCAACAAGAUGGUCAAAUGUGUGUCUACUGUCAACAAGGAACCAUGCUUUUGCAAAGCUAAUUGCUCAGAUCAUUAAAUUGAGAGCAAAUCAUCCUGAGCAUAGGAUAAAAACCAUUAGAAUGGAUAAUGCCGCAGAAUUCAGUUCUCGAGCAUUUAAUGAUUACUGCCUAGCUUUGGGCAUUUCUGUGGAGCACUCGGUACCUUAUGUACAUACCCAGAAUGGUCUUGCGGAAUCACUUAUCAAGAGGAUAAAGUUGAUAGCAAGACCGCUCCUGCAGAAUAGUAAUCUUCCAGCUUCAUGUUGGGGUCAUGCAGUUUUACAUGCUGCAGAAUUGAUACAAAUUCUACCAACUGCAUAUCAUACGGUCUCCCCGUUGCAGUUAGUGCGUGGGAACCAGCCAAGUAUUUCCCAUCUGCGACAAUUCGGUUGCGUGGUAUAUGUACCGAUAUCACCACCACAGCGUACAUCAAUGGGCCCUCAUAGAAGAAUGGGGAUCUAUGUGGGGUACAAUUCUCCGUCGAUCAUUAAGUACCUGGAACCCCUGACAGGGGAUUUGUUUACAGCCCGGUACGCUGAUUGCAUUUUUGAUGAGGACAAUUUCCCGGCAUUAGGGGGAGAGAAUAACCAUAAAGAAUGACGAGAAAUAGAUUGGGAUGUGAAAGGCAUCCAGUCCUUAGAUCCACGUACGAAUGAGUCUGAACUGGAGGUUCACAAGAUUAUAAAUUUGCAAAAUAUUGCAAAUAAUCUGCGAGAUGCAUUUACUGAUUAUAAAGGUGUCACAAAACCAAAUGUUCCCGCUAUGAAUGUGCAAGAGAGAAUAGAUGUGACCCAUAGAUCUACUCAGCCACCUAAGAGGGGGAGGAAUCUGGACACAAAGGACAAGGCUUUGCAGAAGCGUCCAAGGGGAAUGAGGAAUCCUCAAAAGGUAAAUGCAAAUCAACAAAAUGUUGAUAUUCAACCUAGGGUUGAAGGACACCUCAAGGAUGUUGGACAUCCAGAACCCAGCACGAGUGUGCACACAAAUUUUGGUGUUGGGACAUCGGAAGACCUUGAUCCAAUUGUUGAGGGAAAUCAUGAAGGAUCAAAAGGUAUUGAUGAAAUAUCCAUUAACUAUAUUGAUUCAGGAGAAUCAUACAAUAGAAAGACUACAAUUGUCGACAUUUAUUUCGCCUCUAGAAUUGCAGAAGGCCUUGAUUUGGAUUGCGAACCUAAGUCCAUGGCAGAGUGCAUGAAGCGCUCAGACUGGUCCAAAUGGAAGGCAGCAAUUGAGGAUGAAUUGCGCUCGCUCAUAAAAAGAGGGGUAUUUACUGCAGUAAUACCUACUCCUCAGCAUGUGUUCCCUGUGGGAGCAAAAUGGGUUUUCGUUCGUAAGAGGAACGAGAACAAUGAGGUGGUGAGAUACAAGGAGAGGCUUGUAGCACAGGGAUUCACGCAGAGACCCGGCAUCGAUUAUGAUGAAACAUAUUCUCCUGUUAUGAGUGGAACAACGUUCCGAUAUUUAACAUCACUGGCAGUGAAAAUGAAUUUGUCUAUCCAACUAGUGGAUGUUGUGACUGCAUAUCUAUAUGGGUCACUGGAUUCGGAUAUUUAUAUGAAAGUUCCUGAAGGAAUGAAGCUUUCGAAUCCAAAGGCUAACCGCAACAUCUAUUGCGUAAAGCUUCAGAAGUCAUUGUAUGGCUUGAAGCAGUCGGGAAGAAUGUGGUAUAACCGACUGAGUAUAUUUCUUCUUCAGAAGGGUUACUCAAACAACAAUGAUUGCCCAUGUGUGUUUAUUAAGAAAUCUAAGAAUGGAUUUUGCAUUAUUUCUGUGUAUGUGGAUGAUCUGAAUAUCAAUGGGACUACACAAGAAAUACAUGAGGCAAGUAAUCAUCUUAAGACGGAGUUUGAGAUGAAAGAUCUCGGUAAGACUAAAUUUUGUUUGGGCUUACAACUUGAACAUCUUCCUUCGGAAAUACUAGUUCAUCAGUCUGCUUAUAUCCAAAAGAUUCUUGAGAAAUUUAAUAUGGAUAAAGCAUAUCCAUCGAAAACACCAAUGGUUGUUAGAUCUCUUGAUAGAGAUAAAGACCCAUUUAGACCUAAGGGUGAUGAUGAAGAGGUAUUAGGACCUGAGUUUCCUUACCUCAAUGCUAUUGGAGCACUAAUGUAUCUAGCAAACUGCACCAGGCCUGAUAUAUCAUUUGCAGUAAAUUUAUUAGCUAGAUUCAGUGCAUCACCAAGAAAGAGGCAUUGGGUUGGUGUGAAGAACGUUUUCAGAUAUCUUCAAGGCACCAAAGAUCUUGGUUUGUUCUAUCGAAAAAAUCAAGAUAAAACUAUGGGGGGAUAUUGUGAUGCUGGAUACCUAUCGGAUCCCCAUAAUGCCAGAUCACAGACUGGCUUUGUCUUCUUGAGUGGAGGUACGGCCUUCUCUUGGAAGUCGACAAAACAAACUCUAGUGGCUACGUCCACGAAUCAUUCUGAAAUUAUUGCUUUAUUUGAAGCAUCACGUGAAUGUGCAUGGCUUCGCAGAAUGAUAAACUUUAUCGAAAGUGCAAGUGGGAUUGGAUCAUUAGAAUCACCCACCAUUAUCUAGGAAGAUAAUGCUGCAUGCAUUACACAAAUGCAAACAGGUUAUAUAAAGAGUAAUAUUACAAAGCAUAUUUCUCCUAAGUUAUUUUAUCCCCAUGAGUUACAGGAAACUCGGGAGAUAAAUAAUUUGCAAACAAAGUCAUGUGAUAAUCUUGCUGAUUUGUUUACAAAGUCAUUACCAAGUUCUUUAUUUGAGAAGUACAUAAAUGGGAUUGGUAUGAAACGACUUCGUGACUUGCAAAGUUCAGGGGGAGUGUAUCCCUAAAUAAUAAUCUGUUUGUGAUCCUCGAAUCUUUGAUAUUGCACUCUUUUCCUUUAUAAGUUUUCCUUGGAUGGUUUCUUAUGGAAGUUUUUUUUAAUGAGGCAAUAGUAAUGCAGGCAUUGUGAUAUGUCAGUUUCUUCUUAUUUUCUCACUGGGUUUUUGGAAGGAGUUCUUGAUGGCAUAUUGUACAUAUCUACUCAUAUUUUUUCUACAGGGUUUUUUGAAGGAGACUAAUCAAGUUGAUUAUGAUGAUGAUGAUGAUGUUACAAGAAUAAUUGAAGCAGAGAUUAGGGGGAGUGUUAGAAUUUAAUUAAUUAGUUUAAUUAAAUGGAAUCUCUGCCCAUGGAACCAUCGCAUCCGAAUCCAACGGACGCGUUGUUUUGAGCGUGACUGUUGUAACCAUCGCGUUUGUGCGAUGCGCCUCUUCAGAAGGUAUAUAUAUGUACAUCAUCGCUGUCAAUAAUCAUCGAUCAUUACUGUUCAUCGCACUGUUUCUUUAAAAAUAGCACAUAAGUCAUUUCGUCACAAAGCUUUACAUUUUACUAAUACACUGACAAUGUUUUCUGUAAAAAAAAGUUUCAAACAUAUUUGACUUUUUUUUACCAUUUUAAUUAAUUCGUUCUUGCUAAAUCGGGUACACGUGCACCCAGGUUCCAAAAAUCCACACCUUAUCCUCUUCCUUCUUCCCUUGGCGACUGGACGGCCUCCCCGCCAAACAUCCUCCCGCCCCAGGCACUGACAUCACCUGCAAGAGCUUCUUCCUCCUCCGUGACCGUGGCACCCAUCGAUUUCUCAUUCUUCCAGCUCUAGGUGACGAAUUGAUCAUAGCUUUGCUUGGACUAUCAUCAUUUUUGUUAUUAUCAACGACGAUCUGUUCUGUUCCGGCCGUUGCUUGUUCCGUUCUAAUCCAAAUCUUUCCCCGAACCAUCCAGUCGUUUCUGCGGAUUCGUUCCAGGCGCGAGCCGGCGAGCAUGGAGGGGCUGACGGAGAGCGAGGUCGCCGGCUUCGCGGUGGGCGCCUUUCUGCUCGGCGCCAGCAUCGCCGCGCAGAGGGUCGACGGCUUCGUCGCCGCUUCGCAGAGAAGGUCCUGUCCCUGCUCCUCCUCGCCAGCUUCUUGCUUGCUUGCUUGCUUGUUUGCCCGCUUCAGUGCCAUCUUUAGUUAUGUCCUGAAGAUUGAACGUAAUUAUACAGUAUUAAACAGCAUUGUGACCGAGAAAAGGCUGAAUUACUACGCAUUGUUUCGUGCCAUCAGGAUCACAAGAAUGAAUCAAUGAAUAGCACGGGUGUGACUGGGAAGCCAAUGCUGCAAAAUGACGUAUACACGAACUAUAUAAUCUACUGUAGAUGUUGAUGGCUGGAGCAGAGCAAUGCUCAUGGAUUUGUUCUGUUCAGCCUCAGCGCUUCUGAAGAGUGGCAAUACUCGAUUACCAUAACCUAAAGCUGCAUAUAUGUGGCUCAGAAUUUUCUGGUAGCAGUCAAUAGCAAAAGAAUUUCUGGGAAAUAGUAGCUGAAAGAUGGCACUGUAUUUCCUUCAGAUCUCAAAUAGAUGGACCCCUUUGAGUUUAGGUACACCAACAUACUGCCUUUUCUCUUGUAUGCUGUGCUUAAGUAUUAUUGUUUUCCUUUGGCAACACAACACCUGUAUGCUGUGUUUUAAGCUUAAGUAAAGUGAAAAGUCAAGUGCAUGGAUCCGAGGAUUGAACUUAAAUAAAUAGACUUGCCGAAAAUCACUUGGGGAAUUUUUAUUUCUCGUUGGGAGACCUUUGAGGCUCUUGUUUGGAGACUUUUGAGGCAUUACGCGCUUAAGAUACCACAGCAUACUUUUCGCAAAAAAGAAAGAAAGAAGAUACUAGGGCGUAAAUUACGUUGUCACCGUGCGGUUCAUUUUGAGCUUCUACUUGUGUUUGCUUUUUGCGGUUGUCAUGUCCACCUAUUUUGUCUCUCGGUUACCGUUAAAUUUUAUUCUUUCGUAAUGAUCAGUUUAUGCAAAGUUACAAACCAGUUACUCCAAUUGUUACUUUAGUUCAAAGCUGAGACACUUUCCGAUUGGAGGGUAUAUCAAACUAAAAGCGAGAGCAUAUGUGACCACAAAAAACAGAACUAUGAAAAGUGGAAGCAAAGAUGAAUUACGUCUUGGGGAAAUUUAUUCUGAAAAAAUGGACCAAGUGGGCUAAUUUGUUAUCAAAUGGGUAUGAACAUGCCUCUAAACUAUAUUGUACUGCAUUGCAGGUCUUUAAACAUGUGUAACCGUUGUGGUGAUCUUCGAAUGGUAGCAUGUUCACAAUGCAAAGGAGUAGGUUCUGUUAGAAAAGGUGGAACCUUCACAUUCGGCAUGCUGGAGGAUAUCUAUGAAUCACUUGGAGCUGAAACUAAGGCAGCUGAUUUGGUCCCUUGCUCUAAGUGUCGUUCUAAGGGCCGCCUCCCGUGUGCAGAGUGCGCCAAGGUCAGAUGACCCUUUGAUAAUGAUUGUUGAUCAGAACAUGAUACCCAGUACUAUAAACGUUCAUAUCUAUGGACUGAUUGAACCGUGGGCGAGUGCUUUUACAGUUACUCCUUAUCAACUAGUACUUGAUUAUGGUUACCAAAGAAAAGAUAAACUGACUAGAAACUCUUGCAAAAAAUCAAAAACAUCGAGCCAUUAUUUACGUCGGCCUUUAUUAUCAAAGUUUGAUUCGAACAACUAGAUCUUAUCUAUCUAAGAAAUAUAAAACACCAUCAAUGAUAGAUGCCAAAGAUGCACCCCACCCUACCUUUCGAUCCUCUCCCAUCGUUUGACGCCACGACAUAACUCUCCCUUCCUUGCGCUUGCAUCUUUCGUCCAUGUGCAACUGCCCUCCUUUCGUCCAUCCUUCGCGACAAGCGUGGGUCAGCCUUUCAUCAUUUGCAGCAGUACAACCCACCAGGAAGUUGCUUCCUCCCUAGUAGUUGUCACUACACAAGCAAGUCUCCCUCAUGUUUGUGUGGCGCAUUGCCAAUUAGUGUCGGUAAAGUGCCACUGUUGGCAACAACUGUUGUACUCACCACUGACAAAUGGACCCGGUCAUCCAUACAUGUACUUUCGGUGACACGCGUCUACACAACCCGUUUAUGGUGAUUUUUAGGCUUCAUGGUUUGCACCUAAUCCGUCGAUGAUGAACGGACCGGUAUACACUUUUCAUAGUAGUGGUCCCACCCAUACACGGGGAGAAUAAAUAUAAGAGUGGUUAGAACUGAUGAGCCAUGUUUUCUAAAAUAUUUCUGGCAGGCAAAAGGUUAGCAAAUAUCCACUUGUGUUUUCUGCAAUUUGCAAUUUUUAUACCAGGCUAAUUGGUGUUUAUUUUUAUGAACUCUCCUCGGAGAUACCGUCCUAGGCACAUUUAUGCAAACUUUCAAUCAGCUGGUUUUAGAUCUAAAAAACUAAAGAAGUGUGUGGACAAGGCAAUCUAUUCCUACACUAAACAUGGACAUGAAAUGGGCAUGGCAGAGCUCAAAGCUGAGUGUGAGAAGCCAUGUAAGUGGUUAUCCAAAAUUCCAAUUUAUGUUUGGGCUAGGUUUGCUGGGGAUCAUGAUUGCGAGACUUGUCUAGUUGUGGACAACCUUAGUGAGGCGUUCGGCAAAAUGAUACUUGAUGUUAGGAACAAACCAGUUAGGACAAUGUUUGAAGGGGUUAGGGCCUAGCAGAUGAUCAAGAGACAAAAGACUAGGGAGAAGUUACAGAUAAGUAGGUGGACAAUCACACCCAACUAUUGAGAGAUUCUAGAAGAGAAUAAGAAGUAUGCCAAGUUUUGCCAAGAAGACAAAGCUUGUCCUUCUAUUUGGCAAGUAACUAGUAAAGAAAAGCAGUAUUCUAUGAACAUUGAUACUUCUACAUGUGACUGCAAGAGGUGGGACAUGUCAGGUGUUCCUUGCAGUCAUGGUAUUUCUGCAAUGACAAAGAUGAAACUACAUCCUGAGGAUUAUGUCCAUGAUUUUUUCAAGAAGUCGCUUUAUGUGGAAAGAUACAAAGACGUUAUAUAUCGUGUCCCUGGUCCUAAUUGCUGGCUUUACACACACACACACCUGAUACUGAACCACCUGUCUUUAGAGAAAAGGUAGGUAAUAGUCACACAACAAGGAGGAAUGGGCAAUUUGAGGUGCGAGUUCCCAAAGAUACAAGCAUGAUGUCUACUAUAACUUGCUCAAACUAUGGUCUCCAAGGACACAAAUACAAUACUUGCAGCAAGCCUCUAAGGACAAAACUGCUGAUGAGAAAAAAUAAACACCAGUCCAGUCAAUUUGUUCAUUUGCAUUUUCAGUUUUCCAUUUUCAUUUGCACCUAGAUUACUGAGUUUUACAUAUUCUAUAAGGAGGAAAACAGAGCAAUCUAUGAGGAAGCACCACCUGCAACACCACCAACAACACAACCUGUAGCAUGAGCAACAUCACCAUCACCAACACAAGCACAAGGAUUGGCACAAGCACAAGUACCAGCUAGGGGGAAAAAUCUUGUACCUGCUGCAUCUGAAUCUGUUGCUACUAAAAGAACAAAAAGGGGAAGGCAUACAUGAAGAGGGAGAGGAAGAGGAACUAGUAGCUGUUGGGGAACGUUGCAUGGGAAACAAAAAAUUUCCUACGCACACGAAGACCUAUCAUGGUGAUGUCCAUCUAUGAGAGGAGAUUUGGAUCUACAUACCCUUAUAGAUCGCACAGCAGGAAGCGUUAAGAAACGCGAUUGAUGUAGUGGAACGUCUUCACGUCCCUCGAACCGCUCCACGAACCGUCCCGCGAUCCGUCCCACGAUUCGUUCCGAUCUAGUGCCGAACGGACGGCACCUCCGCGUUCAGCACACGUACAGCUCGACGAUGAUCUCAGCCUUCUUGAUCCAGCAAGCAAGACGGAGAAGUAGAUGAGUUCUCCGGCAGCGUGACGGCGCUUCGGUGGUGGUGAUGAUCUACUCCUACAGAGCUCCGUCCGAGCUCCGCAGAAAUCCGAUCUAGAGGUAGAACUAUGUGGUCAGUUGCACGUGGCAAAAGUUGUCUCAAAUCAGCCCUAAAACACCACUAUAUAUAGGAGGGAGGGGGAGGGGCUUGCCUUGAGGGCCAAUCCCUCAAGGGGUGCGCCGGCGCUAGGAGGAGGAGGACUCCUCCUCCAAUUCGGUUUGGGGAAGGAGGAGUCCUCCUCUUCCUUCCCACCUCCCCUUUUCCCUUUUUCUUUUUCUUUUCUUUUCGAAUUUCUUUAUGUGGCACCAUGGGCCCCUUGGGAUGACUCCACCAGCCCACUAGGGACUUGUGGCGCCACCCUAUGGCCUUGGUCUCACUCCUGGGUGGGUGGGCCCCUCCUGGUGAACUCUCGGAACCCAUUCGUCACUCCCGGUACACUGCCGGAAUUGCCCGAAACUUUCCGGUAACCAAAUGAAACCAUCCUAUAUAGCAAUCUUUGUUCUGGACCAUUCGGGAAACCCUCGUGACAUCCUUGGUCUCAUACGGGACUCCGAACAACAUUCGGUAACCACACAUGUAACUCAACUAUACUAAAACAUCAUCGAACCUUAAGUGUGCAGACCCUGCGGGUUCGAGAACUAUGUAGACAUGCCCCGAGGCUCUCCUCGGUCAAUAUCCAAUAGCGGGACCUGGAUGCCCAUAUUGGAUCCUACAUAUUCUCCGAAGAUCUUAUCGGUUGAACCUCAGUGUCAAGGAUUCAUAUAAUCCCGUAUGCCAUUCCCUUUGUCCUUCGAUAUGUUACUUGCCCGAGAUUCGAUCGUCGGUAUCCGCAUACCUAUUUGAAUAUCGUUACCAGCAAGUCUCUUUACUCGUUCCGUAAUACAAGAUCCCGUGACUUACACUUAGUCAUAUUGCUUGCAAGGCUUGUAUGUGAUGUUGUAUUACCGAGUGGGCCCCGAGAUACCUCUCCGUCACACGGAGUGACAAAUCCCAGUCUUGAUCCAUACUAACUCAACGGACACCUUCGGAGAUACCUGUAGAACACCUUUAUAGUCACCCAGUUACGUUGUGACGUUUGAUGCACACAAGAUAUCCCUCCGGUGCUAGUGAGUUAUAUGAUCUCAUGGUCAUAGGAACAAAUACUUGACACGUAGAAAACAAUAGAAAUAAAACGACACAAUCAAUAUGCUAUGUUCAUAGUUUGGGUCUAGUCCAUCACAUGAUUCUCCUAAUGAUGCGAUUCAGUUAUCAAGUGACAACAGUUGCACAUAGCCACAAAACCUUGACUAUCCUUGAUCAACUGGCUAGCCAACUAGAGGCUUGCUAGGGACAUUGUUUUGUCUAUGUAUCCACACAUGUAUCUAUAUUUUCAUUCAAUAUAAUUAUAGCAUGGAUAAUAAACGAUUAUCUUUAGACUGGAAAUAUAAUAAUAACUAUUUAUCAUUGCCUUUAGGGCAUAUUCCCAACAGUAGCUGGUUCAAUGCACCAAGACUUACCAUAUUUGUAGGUGAAAAUGUGGGGACUAGGAGGAGGUGGAUGCCAAACAUAAGGUUACCAAGCUACUUCAUUGCACAUGUUAACCAUAGCCACAACUUAUCCCCAACCACCAAACCACUCUAAUGGGUCCCAUCUUGCGGGAGGUCGUCGAUGAUGCGGAAGAAGUAGUUAGGGCUGAGAGGGUUGCUGCAAGGGUUUGAAGGGAUGCUGCAAGAGCAGUGGAGCGUUGCAGCAUGUGUACUAGGAUCUUGGCUGCUCGAAAUGCCAAGGAUCACAAGCAGUUCUCGGAGGUUUUUUCGGAAGGAACAAACCCCACGGAUGAUGGGAUCAUUCGUUGGGCUAGCAGGAGGGAAAACUUCAUCCGUUUCAAGUCACACACAUGAGAUGAACAAGAUGUGGUACCCAUGAAUUUGUGUCCAUUUUAUUUGCAUUUCUCUGAAAUUCUCUGAAUUGCUCUAGGUUUGGAUGUAUUUAUCUGAACUUAGGUCUUAUAUCCGAAUUUGAAUGCUGAAUUAAUCAGAACAGUUUCUUUAUUUCUCUGUGGUAUGUCACGAUACUUAAUUUAGGCCUAGAAUGCACUACACACAACUAUGUAGCCGGGUUUUUAAAACCCCAUAUACCCAAACCUUCUCCUCUCCACUUAUCUUCUCACUCAACUUCCUCCAUCACACGCCUAUCCAACUUCCAAUCCGGCGGCGAUGGCAUUUGACGACGAAUGGCAGAGGAGUCUAGAGGAGUGUUGUGCCGACGACUCCAAGAAGCUGCAGCGCACGUGCAAGGUAAACACUUGGUUCUCCAGCCCUACCAUGCUCCAGAACCAAGAGCGCGUCGUGUGGGCUGCCACCGACCAUGACGAGAGGAAGCUCAUGCCGGACCUCCACAGUCCCCUCAUCGAGAACCUGAUCUAGGUGGUUAACAAGGCAAGGGAUUGGCCUGAUCCCUACAAGCGUGCGCGUUGGUGGAUGUAUUAGGAUCGGAACACUAUACGUCAGGUUGAUGCCCUGGCUGCAUGCCGGUUGUCUGCUACGGCAACAGACAACAACGCCAGAGAUUGACACGUUGACGGAGACUGGGCUUGCGUUGGUUUUUCCCUUGAAGAGGAAAGGGUGAUGCAACACAGGAGCAGUAAGUAUUUCCCUCAGUUUGAGAACCAAGGUAUCAAUCCAGUAGGAGAAUCUCGUCAAGUCCAGAGUACCUGCGCAAACACAAAAGAGCUUGCACCCAACGCUAUAAAGGGGUUGUCAAUCCCUUCAAGAUUGAUUGCAAAGUGAGAUCUGAAGGCGGAAAGUGCAACGAAGUAAAAGAGUAAGGAUGAAAAUAUGGUGUGAAGUAGACCCGGGGGCCAUAGUGUUCACUAGAGGCUUCUCUCAAAAUAGCAAAUAUUACGGUGGGUGAACAAAUUAGUGUCGAGCAAUUGAUAGAACCGCGCAAAGUCAUGACGAUAUCUAAAGAAAUGAUCAUACAUAUAGGCAUCACGUCCGAGACAAGUAGACCGAUACUUUCUGCAUCUACUACUAUUACUCCACACAUCGACCGCUAGCCAGCAUGCAUCUAGUGUAUUGAGCUCAUGACGAACAGAGUAACGCCUUAAGCAAGAUGACAUGAUGUAGAGGGAUAAACUCAAACCAAUGAUGAAAACCCCAUCCUUUUACCCUUGAUGGCAACAACAUGAUGCGUGCCUCUCUACCCCUUCUGUCAGUGGGUGAGGUCACCGCACGGUAUGAACCCAAAACCAAGCACUUUUCCCAUUGCAAGAAUCAUAGAUCAAGAUGGCCAAACAAAACCAACAACUCGAAGAGAAUUACAAGGAUAUGAAAUCAUGCAUAUAAGAGAUCAGAAGAAACUCAAAUAAGAUUCAUAGAUAAUCUGAUCAUAAAUCCACAAUUCAUCGGAUCUCAACAAACACACCGCAAAAGAAGAUUACAUCGGAUAGAUCUCCAUGAAGAUCAUGGAGAACUUUGUAUUGAAGAUCCAAGAGAGAGAAGAAGCCAUCUAGCUACUAGCUAUGGACCCGUAGGUCUAUGGUGAACUACUCACGCAUCAUCGGAGAGGUCAUGGUGUUGAUGAAGAAGCCCUCCGUAUCCGAAUCCCCCCUCCGGCAGGGCACCAGAACGUGCCCCAGUUGGGAUCUUGCGGAGACAGAAGCUUGCGGCGGCGGAAAAGUACUUUCGAUGAUCUCCUGGUUUUUUCUGGAAUUUUUGGGAAUAUAUAGGCGAAAGACCUAGGGCAGGGGAGGCACAGGGAGCCCACAAGCCUGGGAGGCGCGGGCCCCCUGGCCGCGGCUAGGGGGCUUGUGGGGUCCCUGGUGGCCCCCUGCCUUGGUUCUCAAGUUCCCCGAUCUUCUUCUGUUUCAGAAAAAAUCUUUUUGGAAGUUUCGUUCCGUUUGGACUCCGUUUAAAAUCCUCCUCUGAAAAGGGUCAAAAAUAUGGAAAAACAGGAACUGACACUUGGCACUGAGUUAAUAAGUUAGUCCCAAAAAAGAUACAAAAGGCAUACAAAACAUCCAAAGUUUGACAAGAUAAUAGCAUGAAACCAUAAAAAAUUAUAGAUACGUUGGAGACGUAUCAAGCAUCCCCAAACUUAACUCAUGCUCGUCCUCGAGUAGGGAAGUGAUAAAGAUUGAAUUUUUGAUGUGGAAUGCUACCUAGCAUAGUUGUCCUUUGUAACUUAUUUCGUGUGACAUGAAUGUUCAGAUCCGUAAGAUUCAAAACAAUAGUUUCCUAUUGACAUGAAAACAAUAAUACUUCAAGCAAACUAGCAAGGUAAUCAUGAACUUUCAAAAUUACAAGGCCAAAGAAAGUUAUCUCUACAAAAUCAUAUGGUCUGGCUAUGCUCCAUCAUCCUCACACAACUAAUUUAAAUCAUGCACAACCCCGGUAUUGGCCAAGUAAUUGUUUUCACACUCUUACUUUCUCAAACUUUUUAUAACUAUCACGCAAUACAUGAGCGUGAGCCAUGGAUAUAGCACUGUAGGUGGAAUAGAGUGUGGUGGUGGUUGUGAGACAAAAAGGAGGAGAUGGUAACAUUGACUCGGCGUAUCAAAGGGCCAUGGACAUGCCCAUUAAUAGAUACCAAUGUGAAUGAGUAGGGAUUGCCAUACAAAGGAUGCGCUAGAGCUAUAAGUAUGUGAAAGCUCAAAAGGAGAACUAGUGGGUAUGCAUCCAACUUGCUUGCUCACGAAGACCUAGGGCAAUUUUGAUGAAAGCCCAUCACUGGAAUAUACAAGCCAAGUUAUAUAAUAAAGAUUCCCACUAGCAUAUGGUGGUGACGAAAUGAGAGGCUCUUAAUCAUGAAGAACAUGGUGCUAUUAUGAAGCACAAGUGUGGAAAAAGAUAGUAGCAUUGUCCCUUCUCUCUUUUUCUCUUUUUUUUAUUUGGGCUCUUGGGCCUCUUUCCCCCCUUUUUUUAUUUGGGCUCUUGGGCCUCUUUCCCCCCUUUUUUUAUUUGGGCUCUUUGGCCUCCUUUUUUUAUUUCCUCAUAUGGGACAAUGCUCUAAUAAUGAUGAUCAUCACACUUUUAUUUACUCACAGCUCAAAGCUUAGAACGAUGAUGACUCUAUAGGAAAUGCCUCCGGCAGUGUACCGGGAUGUGCAACGAUCUAGCUUGGCGUAUGACGUUGAAACAUCUCGCUGGCUAUCGUACGGUCAUGCAAUGGCAAUAUGAGAGUGACGGCACAUGUCAUGAGAUGAAACGGUGGGAGUUGCAUGGCAAUAUAUCUUGGAAUGGCUAUGAAAAUGCCAUAGUAGGUAGGUACGGUGGCUGUUUUGAGGAAGGCAUAUGGUAGGUUUGUGCACCGGCGAAAGUUGCACGACACUAGAGAGGCUAGCAAUGGUGGAAGGUGAAAGUGCAUCUAUACCAUGGACUCACAUUAGUCAUGAAGAACUCACAUACUUGUUGUGAAAGUUUUUAUUAGUAAUCGAAAAAAAGUGUUAAACGCAUACUCCGAGGGGAAGGGUUGGUAGGUGUUAACCAUCGCGCGAUCCCGACCUCAACACAAAGGAUGACAAUCAAUAGAUCAAUUAUGCUCCGACUUCCUAACAUAGCGGUUCACCAUACGUGCAUGCUACGGGAAUCACUAACUUCAACACAAGUAUUUCUAGAUUCACAACACCCUACUAACAUAACUCUUAAUAUUACCAAAUCCAUGUCUCAAAACUAAUUGAGAGGAAUCAAGACUUCUCUUUCUACUCAAUGCACAUGAAUAUGGAGGUUUUCGUAUCCUCUUUGGGUACCUAUCACCUUUGGGACUACUUUCAUAGCAUAAGCCAACUACCAAGUCAUGCACCGCCGUGCUCUAAAAGAUCUAAGUGAAGCACAUAGAGCAAAACUAUCUAGCUCAAAAGAUAUAAGUGAAGCACAAUGAGCAUUCUAGCAAAAUCACGAUGAGUGCAUGUCUCUCUCUCAAAAAGGUGUGCAGCAAGGAUGAUUGUGACACAACAAAAAUAAAAGACUCCUACGAUACAAGACGCUCCAAGCAAAACACAUAUCAUGUGGUGAAUAAAAAUAUAGCUCCAAGUAAUGUUACCGAUGGAUUGAAGACGAAAGAGGGGAUGCCUUCCCGGGGCAUCCCCAAGCUUAGGCUUUUUGGUGUCCUUGAAUUUGGCUUGGGAUGCCUUGGGCAUCCCCAAGCUUGAGCUCUUUCCACUCUUUACCCUUUUGUCCAUGAGAACAUCACCCAAAACUUGAAAACUUCACAACACAAAACUUAAAUAGAAACUCGUGAUAUCAUUAGCACAAGAAAACAAACUACCACCUCUUUAGGUACUGUAGCAAUCUUGAUUUCUAUUCAUAUUGGUGUUAGAUUACUGUAUUCUCACUUUUCCAUGGCUAGUACCCCCCGAUACUAUCCAUAGUUUCAUCAAAACAAGCAACCAACUCAACAAAAACAGAAUCUGUCAAAAACAGACCAGUCUGUAGCAAUCUGUAUACUUCGUAUACUUCUGGUACCUCACAAAUUCUGAACAAUUACGACUGCCUGGGCAAAAGGCAUAUCAAUCAGCAGAAAAAAGAAUCAGCUCAAAAGCUCUCUCUUAAUAAAAAUGAAAAAUAAUCUCGUGAGCGAAAAGUUUCUGUCUUUUUCCAGCAGGAUCAAACAACCAUCACCAAGACUAGUCAUAAAGGUUUUGCUUGGCUCAAACACAAAAAGAAACACAAAAGACACAAUCAUAACAGAAUUAUGAUGGUGUGGACGCAACAAAAUAGAAAGAAAAAGAAAUAAAUUCAUUGGGUUGCCUCCCAACAAGCGCUAUUGUUUAACGCCCUUAGCUAGGCAUAAGGCGAUAGAAUCACGUAUCGUCGUCUUUGGUGCUCAAACCAUAAAUAGCCCUCAUCAUGGAUUCAUAAGGCAAUCUUAUUUUCUUUCGAGGAAAGUGCUCCAUGCCCUUCUUUAAUGGAAAUUGAAAUCUAAUAUUCCCUUCCUUCAUAUCGAUGAUAGCACCGAUAGUCCUUUGGAAAGGUCUACCAAGAAUAAUAGGGCAUGUAGGAUUGCAAUCAAUGUCAAGCACAAUGAAAUCCACGGGUACAUAGUUCCUAUUUGCAAUAAUAAGAACAUCAUUGAUCCUUCCCAUGGGUUUCUUGACAGUAGAAUCCACAAGAUCCAAAUUAAGAGAACACUCCUCAAUCUCGUUAAAACCCAGAACAUCACAUAAAGACUUUGGAAUCGCGGAAACACUAGCACCCAAAUCACACAAAACAUUGUAUUCAUAGUUUUUGAUUUUGAUUUUGAUAGUAGGUUCCCACUCAUCAUGAAGCUUUCUAGGGAUAGAAACGUCCAAUUCAAGUUUCUCUUCAAGAGAUUUUAUCAUAGCUUCGACGAUAUGAUCGGUAAAGGCCUUGUUUUGGCUACAAGCGUGUGGAGAGUUUAGCAUGGAUUGCAUCAAGGAAAUGCAUUCAAUCAAGGAGCAACUAUCAUAAUUGAAUUCCUUGAAAUCCAAAGUAGUAAUUUCAUUACUACUCAAAGUUUUAAUAUCUUCUACUCCACUUUCAAUGCUUUUAGCAUCAAGAUAGAUGGACUCCGAAUCAUUGGGGCGUUUUUCAACCAAAGUGGAUUCAUAUCCAGCCCCAUCAUCAUUAGGUUUGACACAAGAAAACAAAGAUUCGAUGGGAGUCACACCAAGAACUUUAAGAUCUUCGUGAUUCUCAUCACAAAUUUCAGGUUUAGCAGCCAUUUUAUUGACUAAAGUAGCCUGUUUAUCAGAAAUCUGGCCUACCAAUUUUUCAAGACGAGCAAACUGAGAAUCUAGUGCAAGGAAUUCUUUGGCCAUAUAAUCGACUUCUUUAUUCAUAAAAGCCAAAAAUAAUUUUGCUCCUUCAGUUCUCUACGAAAUUAACUGUUGUAUUCAAACUGUGUAGACAUGAAGCCUUUAACACUAGUUUCUAUCUCUUAUCCCUUGGUUGGGCCAUACAGGUCUUAGCAGGCAGACAAGCGGGCAGAAAGCAAUCGAGAGGAAAGGGCGAACGAGGAAGGCAAACGAAAAAGGCAAAUAUUUUUUUGUAAAUUUUUGUUUUUCAGAAGUGGGGGAGAGGAAAACGAGAGGCAAAAAAAGUAAAUGCAAGAGAUGAGUUUGCGACACUUACUUGGAUGAGUUCUUGACUUGAAUCUCCCCGGCAACGGCGCCAGAAAUUCUUCUGCUAUGGCAACAGACAACAGCGCCAGAGAUUGACACGUUGACGAAGACUGGGCUUGCGUUGGUUUUUUCCUUGAAGAGGAAAGGGUGAUGCAGCACAGGAGCAGUAAGUAUUUCCCUCAGUUUGAGAACCAAGGUAUCAAUCCAGUAGGAGAAUCUCGUCAAGUCCAGAGUACCUGCGCAAACACAAAAGAGCUUGCACCCAACGCUAUAAAGGGGUUGUUAAUCCCUUCAAGAUUGAUUGCAAAGUGAGAUCUGAAGGCGGAAAGUGCAACGAAGUAAAAGAGUAAGGAUGAAAAUAUGGUGUGAAGUAGACCGGGGGCCAUAGUGUUCACUAGAGGCUUCUCUCAAAAUAGCAAAUAUUAUGGUGGGUGAACAAAUUAGCGUCGAGCAAUUGAUAGAACCGCGCAAAGUCAUGAAGAUAUCUAAGGCAAUGAUCAUACAUAUAGGCAUCACGUCCGAGACAAGUAGACCGAUACUUUCUGCAUCUACUACUAUUACUCCACACAUCGAUCGCUAUCCAGCAUGCAUCUAGAGUAUUGAGUUCAUGACGAACUGAGUAACGCCUUAAGCAAGAUGACAUGAUGUACAGGGAUAAACUGAAACCAAUGAUGAAAACCCCAUCUUUUUACCCUUGAUGGCAACAACACGAUGCGUGCCUCACUACCCCUUCUGUCACUGGGUGAGGUCACCGCACGGUAUGAACCUAAAACCAAGCACUUCUCCCAUUGCAAGAAUCAUAGAUCAAGAUGGCCAAACAAAACCAACAACUCGAAGAGAAUUACAAGGAUAUGAAAUCAUGCAUAUAAGAGAUCAGAAGAAACUCAAAUAAGAUUCAUAGAUAAUCUGAUCAUAAAUCCACAAUUCAUCGGAUCUCGACAAACACACCGCAAAACAAGAUUACAUCGGAUAGAUCUCCAUGAAGAUCAUGGAGAACUUUGUAUUGAAGAUCCAAGAGAGAGAAGAAGCCAUCUAGCUACUAGAUAUGGACCCGUAGGUCUAUGGUGAACUACUCAUGCAUCAUCGGAGAGGUCAUGGUGUUGAUGAAGAAGCCCUCCGUAUCCGAAUCCCCCUCCGGCAAGGCACCAGAACGUGCCCCAGCUGGGAUCUUGCGGAGACAGAAGCUUGCGGCGGCGGAAAAGAACUUUCGAUGAUCUCCUGGUUUUUUCUCGAAUUUUUGGGAAUAUAUAGGCGAAAGACCUAGGGCAGGGGAGGCCCAGGGAGCCCACAAGCCUGGGAGGCACGGGCCCCCUGGCCGCGACUAGGGGGCUUGUGGGGUCCCUCGUGGCCCCCUUCCUUGGUUCUCAAGUUCCCCGAUCUUCUUCUGUUUCAGAAAAAAUCUUUUUGGAAGUUUCGUUCCGUUUGGACUCCGUUUAAAAUCCUCCUCUAAAAAGGGUUAAAAACAUGGAAAAAACAGGAACUGGCACUUGGCACUGAGUUAAUAAGUUAGUCCCAAAAAAGAUAUAAAAGGCAUACAAAACAUCCAAAGUUUGACAAGAUAAUAGCAUGAAACCAUCAAAAAUUAUAGAUACGUUGGAGACGUAUCAUUGUCCCUUUCAUGCGCAUGAUGGAGAUGGAUGAGCCGCCAGCCAUGGAGCAACAAAUGCAGGAGGGAGCGGCGUCGACCAUGGAACAACCACAGAUGCAGGAUGUACCAAGAAGAAGACCAAUGACAAGAAGUACAUUGAUGUUCCUCUCCGCCAUUUCGAGCGCCUUCAUCACCUCUAGGGACAGUAAUGAUGCAGUGCUGGAGAUGUAGCAGAAACUGGAUGCACUUGUGGAUAUAUAGCAACAAGUUUAAUAUUAGCAACAAGUGCUAGUUUAAUCACGUGUUUUCUUUCUGUCAGUUCGAACUAUGUGUGAAGUUGUUUGCAUGUUAGUAUACUAUGUGUGGUUGUCUGAGUGGUGGCAUUUUGGUAUACUUAUCUGAAUCUAUGUAGUUAUCUAAAUGUGUUUGAAAUGCUUAAGUCUGAUGCAGUUAUCUCCCUACUACAUUUAUUUUUGAAAGUAUGAGAAGCUAUGUAGUUACAAACUUUGAAAAUGAGCUACAUCAGUAGAUUAGCACGUCAAUAAAUUAGCACAUGUUUCAACACACUCUGACCAUUACCACAUCUACCAACUAUCCACUCCAGAGCAGUCAAAUCUUAUGAAAUCAAACACUGAAACACUUCAUACCACUGUUACUUCUCCACUACCACACUACACCUCCACUUUGACUCCUAAAUCAACACCAUCACUUUGCUACCACACCUACACUUGCACUCUUCCACCUAUCCACCUCACUUAUGCCUCCUCACCUCACUCACAACUCUCCUCCUAUCUCGUAAUCAUGUCUGGUUCUUCAUCUGCAGCAGAUCCAUGGCUCAAUCCAUUCCCAACUGGCAAGGGUUGGGUUGCCAUGCUUCUUGGUUCAGUACGCGGUGACCAAGACCUCUUCCUCGACUACAUGAAGGUGGCCAUGAGGUACACCAGCGUCCAAAGGCUCGUAGAUGCAGCAAAUGAAGUGAGGAAGAAGACAACUAGUGAGGAGAAGCAUCACAUGUGUAACGCCUCGAACACACCCACCGGUGGUCGUUACUCAUGGCGGGAUCUAGACUGGCUCCACACAUGAAUACUAGUCUUUUCUGCACACUCUGUGCUCACUCAUGCACAUCCGGGACCAACUUACCGGUCGGUCACCCAUCCUAGAACUACUUCAAGUCAAGCACGCUUAACCUGGGAGUUCUGUUUGAAUGGGCAUACACCACCACUCAUAGGAACCGACGUCCUCGUCUAGUCAAAGGAACGUUCCUCUUGGCACAAACUUUUGUGCAUCCAGUCCAGUACAUGUGCCAUGUCAUGUGCCACGACGGAUCACAAACACCAUGAACAACAUGACCGCACACAUGUCCGCAAGGAUCCAUGUAACCGCGAGGGUCGGCUAUGAUACCAACUUGUAACGCUCUUGACACACCUGCCGGUGGUUGUUACUCAUGGUGGGAUCUAGACUCGUCCCACAGAUGAAUACUAGUCCUUUCUGCGCACUUUGUCCUCACUCAUGCGCACCUGGGACCAACUUCCCGGUCGGUCACCCGUCCUAGAACUACUCCAAGCCAAGCACGCUUAACCUAGGAGUUCUGUUCGAAUGGGCUCCAGGAAAAGAAUAAAUUCCUUAUUAAUAUGACUAGUCUAUAAUCCCUAAUAUGCGAUGCUAUCACAACAUGGAUCCCAGCUCUACGGAACCCCUGGUAAGGGGAUCCUGCCCAUCGACAUGCUGUUAUGGGCAAUGAAGGAGGCGGAGUGUGCUGAUGUCGGACAGAGGCAGCGAUGAGCAGCCCACCACGAUGUUCCUCCUGCACAACCCACGGCACCAGCUCCGGCAAAAGCUUCUGAAGAGGUGCAUCAAGACAACGACAAUGACUUACAGAUCAUAGCACCGUGUGACAGCCCGAUGCCGACGUUCCAGAAGAUUCCCCCUUUAUUUUCCGUUUCCUUCAUGUGUUUAGUUUAAUUGGUUGCAUCAUCAUUUAGUUUGCAUCAUGGCAUCUUGCAUCAUCUGUUGCGUGUGUGUGUUCUGAGUUGUGAGUGCUUCAAGUGCUCUUAGAGUCUUUAGUGCAAUAGGAAACUCCCCUCUCCUCUCCUAAUUCUUUUGAGGCAAUUCCAGUUUCUGGUUUUGCCUAAAUAAAAUGUUCCUCCUCUUUUAAAAAUACUCCCUCUUAUUUGGGCAACCCUCUGGUUUAACUUUAUUUUUUUCCUUUUGUUUUAUUUAAAAUCAGCGCCUAAUUUUAUCUAAAAAGGGUUUUAUUUUUGUUCUUAAAAAAUGCCCAAUCUAUUUCUUAUAGUUGGAGCAUGUUUUAAGGAGCCCAAAGGUAUUUUUGUUUUAGUUAAAUUCUUCUUAUUUUGGUUGUGGUAUUUUCUUUUUAUAGCGGCUAUUUUUAUUUUGUGCUAGGCAUUUUUUUAUUAGUGGGAGAGAGAGAAGCCCAGCCUGUAGCCAGCUGGGCCAAGGCCCAGACGGCCCGCCGAACCCUAGCGCCAGGGAGCGAGCCCCUCGCUCGUUUCCCUCCUGCCGCCGCCAACCCCUUCCUUCCCCCGUCUCGUUCUCCUCGUUCCUCUCCUCCCCAUCGUUCCCUCCAGCGCCGCCAUGCAUGGUAGCCAGGAGCUCAUGCCCGAAGCACUCCAGCGCCGUCACCCGAAGCCAUGCGUCACCCUGCUCAUCCUCUGCGACCCCCCCCCCUUUUCCUCUCUUUUCCAUCUCAUCUCUCUUCUCAUCCCGUUAUGUAGGUCGCCGUGGUGCCCCGAGCUCCGCCCGUCGCCGGGAACCAGCUCCCUCGACCGGGUUCGCCCGAGCCCCGCUCGUCCUCGCCCCUCCCUCCUACGCGCAGCUGCCCUUAGGUCAGGUUCGCCCGAGAGCAGUGCUUCGACCCUCCUGCUGCCUGGCCUCGUCGACGAGAGCUCCUGCCGCCGCGUCCCCACGCCAGAGCUGCGCGUGCGCGACGCUGCCCUAUGCCCCAGCGCCGGCAGAGCCUCAUGCAUGCUACUUGCUGUUGCCUGCCCACGCUGAUGAGUACCCCUCCUGUAGCUGUUGCUAGCUGUUAUGUUGCAUGUUGCUGCCGCUGAAGCUUGUCGCUGUAGCCUACUGCUGCCGCUGAUGCUUGCUUGCUGUCGCUUGCUGCUUGCUGCCGACGCUGUUGUUACCUGCUGCCGUUGCUGCUUGAUGCUGCUUGUUGCCGCUGCUGUAGGUUCCUGUUGCUAGGUAGAUUUUGCUGGUACUUGCUAGUUGUAGCUGCCAGAUAGAUUUAGUUGCUUGCUUGCCCUACUUGUCGUGUUGUUUGCUCGUGCUGCCGCCUGCGUCGCCGCGCGCACCAUCCCCGCCGUCGUGGAAUCGACGAGUUCAGGAGUACCACGACAUUCGCGACGACCCCCAGAACGUGUUCAACUACCGACGCUGAAGACCCGUGAACCGACGCCGAGAGAACGACUACCAUCGACGAGACCCAAGAACCACGACGACCACGACGAUCGUUGCUCUUCUUCACCGAACCGAACCCCUCCGAUUCGCACGCUUCGAAGGUAUACCGUUGGAACGUGUCGUGACCAUGUGCAUGUGAUGUAUCAGAUGACUGUAUGUUUGCACCGUAUGUUUGACCGUUGCACAUUGUCCCUCUUAUGUUGUGCCCGACACAUGGGAACCCAGUAACCAGGAUCACCCCAUCUUUAUUUAGCAUUCCCGCAUGCGCUUCCUAUACGUUGGCACGAUAUCCCGACGAGUUAUCGGGAUAGGAACGUUGCCGUGGCAUCGUUUCCGUUUUGCCGCCAUGGUUCCCUCUUGCUCGCCGUGGCGACACAUGUUUCUUUCUCCUCUUGCCGUGGUGUUGUAACUUGCAUGCAUGACACAUUCAUGGCAUAUAUCAUGUGUUGCAUGCCUCUUGUGCCGUAGCUCCAUUCUUUGCUCCGCGCGUUAAACGACUAGGAUGCCAUGUAGGACCGUCGCUUCACCCUUGCCAUGUUAACAACAAUUUAAUCUUGUCCUGUAAAUAAACGGGAGUGAAUUAAAUAAUUAAGCGUGGAGUUUCGUCGAUAUGCAACCCGUUGCAUAUCGAGCUUCAUUUAAUGUGUAGUUUUUGCGUGAGGUGAAUUGCCAUGCCAUCCCUUGCAUCAUUGAUCUGUUCAUGCAUCAUAUUAGGUUGUGCAUCAUGUUGUGCAUCGCGUGGUGAAUAUUUUUGUUGAUGUUUGUUUCUGGUUUGCUCCGUCUCGAUAGAGUUCCGCAAGCGUGUCAGAAUGUGAGGACCCGUUCGACUACGUGGUUCGCCGACUUCUCGGAGUUGAUCUUCUUCCAAGCGGGAUCUCAGGCAAGAUGACCAUUUCCCCAAAUACCAUUACUAUCAUUGCCAUGCUAGUUUUACCGCUUCUAUCGUUUAUGUCUCGUUGCCUACCACAUGUUGAAUAUCAGCCUCUCUACAAUGCCAUGAUAACCUUCAACUGUUCAAUCUAGCAAACCACGGAUUGGCCAUGCUACUGCUUGCUUAACCCUGUUAUUAGCGUUGCUAGUUGCAGGUGUAGUUGCUUCCAUGUGAUAACAUGGGUUCCUUGUCAUAUCACCAUAUUAAAUGCUAUUUAAUUUAAUGCACCUAUAUACUUGGUAAAAGGUGGAAGGCUCGACCUUUCUAGCCUGGUGUUUUGUUCCACCUUUCCCCCUUAGUUUCGGCUACCGGUGUUAUGUUCCAUAAUUGAGCGCUCCUAACACGAUCGGGGUUGUUAUGGGGACCCCCUUGAUAAUUCGUUUUAGAUUAAAGCUGGUCUGGCAAGGCCCAACUUUGGUACUACAUUUGCCUAACAACUAAUGAACCGCAUAGGGAGUAAUUAACCCAAGGAAAUUUAAUCAACCCCCGGGCCAGUGCUCCUCACGAGUGUUGGUCCACCGACCUAGCAGUCGGCGGUGCCACCGCAGGGCAACUCGAGGUUUGGUUCCCGUCCACUUUGCAUAGACGGUGUGUCCUGAAAACGAGAUACGCGGCUCCUAUCGGGAUCGUCGACACACGAGGUGGCCUUGCUGGAUUAGUUUUACCUUUGAUGGAAUAUCUUGUGCAUCGGGAUUCCGGUGAUGCUUUGGGUAAUCUCUGAGUUGAGGUUUUCCACUAGGUAAUCCAACGAGAUCGCGAGCUUCGUGAUUGCGGAUUUCUAUGCGGCUUGGGGUAAUUUGUGAUGGACUAGUUGGAGCGCUCCUGCAGGGUUAAAUAUUUUCGGAAAGCCGUGCCCGCGGUUAUGUGGCAACGUGGAAACUUUGUUUAACACUGGUUCUAGAUAACUUGAAGUUAACUUAUUUAAAAUAUGUCAACUGUGUGCGUAACCGUGACUGUCUCUUUCGCGAGUUCCUUCUCCGAUCGAGGACACGGUGGGGUUAUGUCUGGCGUAGGUAGGUGUUUAGGAUCAUUCAUUUGAUCAUCAGUAGUUCACGUCCGCUAUGCGUAGAUCUUCCCCCUCUUAUUUCUUGUACUCAUAAGUUUAGCCAUCAAAUAUAUGCUUAGCCGCUGCUGCAACCUCACCACUUAACCAUGCCUCAUCCAUUAAGCUUUGCUAGUCUUGAUACCUUUGGAAAUGAGAUUGCUGAGUCCCCUGUGACUCACAGAUUACUACAACACCAGUUGCAGGUAAAGGUAAAGCUUACUUGACGCGAGCGCGUUGAUUGUUCAUUUGGAGUUGCUUCUUCUUCUUCUUCUUCAUCGAUUUAGGAUGGGUUCCAGGCCGGCGGCCUGGGAUAGCAAGGAUGGACAUCGUUCUUAUUUUCUCGUUUGUUUUCGUCCGUAGUCGGACCCUGCUCUUACUCUUGAUGAUUAUGUAAUGUACUGAUGUGACUCUGAUGUAGCUUGUGGCGAGUGUAAGCCAAUUCUAUAUAUAUAUAUAUAUAUAUAUAUAUAUAUAUAUAUAUAUAUCUCUUCUUUUCAGUACAUGUACUUGUAACGAUAUCCAUUCUUGCGACACGACGAGAUGCGCUUCUAUCCCUGACGAGGCCCUCGUGGCAAAUUGAGGAUAGGGUCGCAUCUUGGGCGUGAUAAGUUGGUAUCAGAGCAGUACCGACCUAGGAGCCCCCUUGAUUGAUCGAACUUGGGCGAGUCGAGUCUAGUGAAAAACUACUUUGAGUCUAGUUAUAUAUCGGAGAGUAGGAUUCUUUUGUUCUCCUUUUCUAUGCUCUCGUGAGGAAUCUUGACGUAAUAUUUUAAUUAUACUCCUCUUCUCGCUCAAUUUUUUUUUUAGGAUCACGCGGAUAUUUUUGGAGUCUAUAUGAUGCCGAUGUGACGAAGUUCUGUCUUGGUGCCUCUCAACUGAUUUGAUUUUCUUCCGGGGAGUUGAGCUCCACGGGAUUCUCGAGCACAUCGUUAUCAUUCAGAUUUCUUAGUAUCUCAGAACGAAGGAUGUUCGUAAUUGCUUCAAUACUAGUAGUGGCGAGAUAACCCCGAUGACUCCAGUACUGCUGCAGAUUGUUCGGGAGUACUGCCAUACUUUGUAUCGUUGUGAUCACGAGGGUCUGUUGUAGACGAAGGUCCGAGAUUCUGGUCGUGUGUUGACGGAUGUGAUACAAGUGACGGGUUAGUAUAGGAGUUGUGUGUUAUUACUCCUUGUAUCCGUGUACCAGAGUGCAUGACCAGAUAUUUCGGGAAUUCAUAGGUGAGAAUUCAAGUAGUUGCUUAUAGGACAAUCUUUCAACAAAUGCAUGAUGUUAGGUUGGGGUUCAACAUCUAGUGGAUUCCUGUCCACGAAAAUAUCGAACGAAAUCUUUCUCAUGAGUUUGUUCUGGCUUGUUUCAUAAGCCUCAUCCUUUGUUUUGUUGAAUAUGGUAAUUCAAGUUGCUUCGAUGUCAAGUGGUGAUUAAUGGGAGUGAAUUAAAUAAUUAAGCAUGGAGUUUCGUCGAUAUGCAACCCGUUGCAUAUCGAGCUUCAUUUAAUGUGUAGUGUUUGCGUGAGGUGAAUUGCCAUGCCAUCCCUUGCAUCAUUGAUCUGUUCAUGCAUCAUAUUAGGUUGUGCAUCAUGUUGUGCAUCGCGUGGUGAAUAUUUGUGUUGAUGUUUGUUUCUGGUUUGCUCCGUCUCGAUAGAGUUCCGCAAGCGUGUCAGAAUGUGAGGACCCGUUCGACUACGUGGUUCGCCGACUUCUCGGAGUUGAUCCUCUUCCAAGCGGGAUCUCAGGUAAGAUGACCAUUUCCCCAGAUACCAUUACUAUCAUUGCCAUGCUAGUUUUACCGCUUCUAUCAUUUAUCUCUCGUUGCCUACCACAUGUUGAAUAUCAGCCUCUCUACAAUGCCAUGAUAACCUUCAACUGUUCAACCUAGCAAACCACGGAUUGGCCAUGUUACUGCUUGCUUAACCCUGUUAUUAGCGUUACUUGUUGCAGGUGUAGUUGCUUCCAUGUGAUAACAUGGGUUCCUUGUCAUAUCACCAUAUUAAAUGCUAUUUAAUUUAAUGCACCUAUAUACUUGGUAAAAGGUGGAAGGCUCGACCUUUCUAACCUGGUGUUUUGUUCCACCUUUGCCCCCUUAGUUUCGGCUACCGGUGUUAUGUUCCAUAAUUGAGCGCUCCUAACACGAUCGGGGUUGUUAUGGGGACCCCCUUGAUAAUUCGUUUUAGAUUAAAGCUGGUCUGGCAAGGCCCAACUUUGGUACUACAUUUGCCUAACAACUAAUGAACCGCAUAGGGAGUAAUUAACCCGAGGAAAUUUAAUCAACCCCCGGGCUAGUGCUCCUCAUGAGUGUUGGUCCACCCACCUAGCAGUCGGCGGUGCCACCACGGGGCAACUCGAGGUUUGGUUCCCGUCCACUUUGCAUAGACGGUGUGUCCUGAGAACGAGAUACGCGGCUCCUAUCGGGAUCGUCGACACACCGGGUGGCCUUGCUGGAUUAGUUUUACCUUUGAUGGAAUAUCUUGUGCAUCGGGAUUCGGGUGAUGCUUUGGGUAAUCUCAGAGUUGAGGUUUUCCACUAGGGAAUCCGACGAGAUCGCGAGCUUCGUGAUUGAGGAUUUCUAUGCGGCUUGUGGUAAUUUGUGAUGGACUAGUUGGAGCACUCCUGCAGGGUUAAAUCUUUUCGGAAAGCCUUGCCCGCGGUUAUGUGGCRACURUGGAAACUUUUGUUUAACACUGGUUCUAGAUAACUUGAAGUUAACUUAUUUAAAAUAUAUGUCAACUGUGUGGGUAACUGUGACUGUCUCUUUCGCGAGUUCCUUCUCCGAUCGAGGACACGGUGGGGUUAUGUCUGGCGUGGAUAGGUGUUCAGGAUCAUUCAUUUGAUCAUCAGUAGUUCACGUCCGCUAUGCGUGAUCUUCCCCCUCUUAUUUCUUGUACUCGUAAGUUUAGCCAUCAAAUAUAUGCUUAGCCGCUGCUGCAACCUCACCACUUAACCAUGCCUCACCCAUUAAGCUUUGCUAGUCUUGAUACCUUUGGGAAUGAGAUUGCUGAGUCCCCUGUGGCUCACAGAUUACUACAACACCAGUUGCAGGUACAGGUAAAGGUUACUUGACGCGAGCGCAUUGAUUGUUCAUUUGGAGUUGCUUCUUCUUCUUCUUCUUCUUCAUCGAUCUAGGAUGGGUUCCAGGCCGGCAGCGUGGGAUAGCAAGGAUGGACGUCAUUCUUAUUUUCUCGUUUGUUUUCGUCCGUAGUCGGACCUUGCUCUUACUCUUGAUGAUUAUGUAAUGUACUGAUGUGACUCUGAUGUAGCUUGUGGCGAGUGUAAGCCAAUUCUAUAUAUAUAUCUCUUCUUUUCAGUACAUGUACUUGUAACGAUAUCCAUUCUUGCGACACGACGAGAUGCGCUUCUAUCCCUGACGAGGCCCUCGUGCCAAAUUGAGGAUAGGGUCGCAUCUUGGGCGUGACAAGUUGGUAUCAGAGCAGUACCGACCUAGGAGCCCCUUGAUUGAUCGAACUUGGGCGAGUCGAGUCUAGUGAAAAACUACUUUGAGUCUAGUUAUAUAUCGGAGAGUAGGAUUCUUUUUUCUCCUUUUCUAUGCUCUGGUGAGGAAUCUUGAUGUAAUAUUUUAAUUCUACUCCUCUUCUCGCUCAAUUUUUUUAGGAUCACGCGGAUAUUUUUGGAGUCUAUAUGAUGCCGAUGUGACGGAGUUCUGUCUUGGUGCCUCCCGUCUGAUUUGAUUUUAUUCCGGGGAGUUGAGCUCCAGGGGAUUCUCGAGCACAUCGGUAUCAUUCAGAUUUCUUAGUAUCUCAGAACGAAGGAUGUUCGUAAUUGCUUCAAUACUAGUAGUGGCGAGAUAACCCCGAUGUCCCCAGUACUGGUGCAGAUUGUUCGGGAGUACUGCUAUACUUUGUAUCGUUGUGAUCACGAGGGUCUGUUGUAGAUGAAGGUCCGAGAUUCUGGUUGUGUGUUGACGAAUGUGAUACAGGUGACGGGUUAGUAUAGGAGUUGUGUGAUAUAUUACUCCUUGUAUCCGUGUACCAGAUUGCAUGACCAGAUAUUUCGGGAAUUCAUAGGUGGGAAUUCAAGUAGUUGCUUAUAGGACAAUCUUCCAACAAAUGCAUGAUGUUAGGUUGGGGUUCGACAUCUAGUGGAUUCGUUUGUUGACGGUCGACUUACAGCGGUACACGUUGUGUCUUAAAGAGUCCUUGUAGCUUGCUACGACUCGGGGACGCUUCGCAUGUCGGGUGCACUGCCUUGCACUUGAUGGCUACUAUAAGGAUCGAGCCCGUGCGAUCCUGUCCACGAAAAUAUCAGACGAAAUUUUUGUCAUGAGUUUGUUCUGGUUUCUUUCGUAAGCCUCGUCCCUUUGUUUUGGUUGAAUAUGGUAAUUCAAGUUGCUUCGAUGUCAGGUGGUGAUUUCAGAUCUUUCCUAAGUGGUGUUCUCAUAUUUUUAUGAGAGUGCUAAUCCUUUUGCUUAAUCAAUUGUCUUAUCAAUUCUUGUCAACCGGAGUCAUCGUAUCAAUUCUAUUCAACCGGUGUGCUUCUCUGCAACUGAAUUCAAUCCUCUCUAAUUGAUGAAGAUCAUUCUCUCUUUUAUUCCGGAGUUCAUCUCAUCUGUCCCAAGUUGUCUUGUUUUCCCCCGCCCUCCCGCCCUUUUUCUCCAGUGAUUGGAUUUCAUCCAAGUACCUUCUUAUUCAGUGAUGCUUCCGCCAUCUCUUCUUCCUUUUGUAUCCGGUGGUUCAUUAUGAAGAUUCUCAGGAGCUUCAUGUUCAUCUUUAUUCAAUCUUGGUAUCUCUACCGGUGAAUUCUAUUCAAUUAUCCGUGUUCAUUAUAUCCUAUUCAUCUUUCAAUUCUUUCCCAUGUUGGAGAUUCUUAUCAGUCUAUCUUGUUUAUUCAGUUAUCUCUAUUCUAUCCGGAGCAUUGGAGAUGUCUCAGAGUUUCUUGUCUUCAGGUCUUUCUAUUAUUUCGAGGUGCUAAGCUCAUCUAGUUUUCUUUUUACCGGUGCAAUAUCUCUCUUUCUAAGAAAUCAUUUCAACGGUGGUUUCUUUGAGUGGGCCCAUAACCCACAGGUUUUUCCCGGGAUCUUAUAUGUCUCUUCUAAUUUUCUGGGGAUCUCUAAAUCGUUUCAACUACGACGUAAGUAUGAAUUUCAUCAGUCAUAUUCCUUCUUCAAGAACUAUUUGAAUUAAUUCUCAUAUUGGCUCAACCUUUCAUUCUUCUUUAUUCCGGAGUGUCUCAGCUAUUCUUGGUGUUGUUUCUCGUCUUCAUUCUCAGCUUGCAAAUUCGAAGGAGUGUUUAUCUCAGUCUUGUUCCACUCUUGUGAAGAAUGUCAUCUCAGCUUCGUGUGUCCUCUCAUUUGUUGUCAAUCAUGAGUAAUCCCUUUCUUGUUAUCCGGUGCAUUUCUGAGUUGUUUUAUUUCUCGACCCUCCGAAGGCCAUCAUUUUAGAAGAUUCUUCAUUCUCAGCUGUCAGCUUUCAUCCUCAAUUCUUCUCCAUUGUUGUCUCUUCGUUCGUCUCUCGUUUAUUCGGUGCCUUGUUCUAGUUUUUCUCUCAGGUGGCUUAUGAUCUCUUCAUUUUCAUGUAUCUCCAUUAAUUCGUGGUGUUCCCAUUUAUUUGUGAAUUCUUACCGGUGCUUCCUUCAAUUUUGCCUCAAGUGGUGCUUAUCUCUCUGUCUCUUCAAGAUUCUUUCAAGAGGAAUAAGUUGUAUGCUAAAUCCGUUGCUUGUCAUCAAUUAAACUUGAUGAAGGACUAGCAUAACAUAAUUCUUAUUCUUGUUUCAUCAAAUGAUUUCAAUUCUUCUUUCGGAGUGGCUCAUGAUAUCAAUUCUUUUCUCAAGUGCUUAUCUUCCUUUUCCGGAGUUCCAAGUUCUAUCAAGUAUCUCUUUGUGAGGCAUCAUCUAAACCUUGGCAGGUCAUAAUCAUAUUCUUUUCUUCCUUCAUAUCGUUGCAUCAUUCAUUUGUAUAUGGAGGUCCUUCAUGGUGGUUCAUCAAGGUUUCAAUUCAUUCUCAAAGUAUUCUUUAAGAUUCUUGUUGGAGUACCUCAAGUAUGCUUUCUCUUCCAUUUCCAGUGCAUUUGUUCUUCCUUUAUCCUUGGAGGUGGUAUUAUAGCAUUCUUGUUAGUGUAGGAGCCUGAAGAGUUUUUCCUUUCAAGAAUGAGAUAAUUAAACCCAUUAAUUCUAUGAUCAUGAGAUAUUUUUCAACCCAUGAUUUCUUCAUUGAGCUAUCUUUGUUUGGAUUUCACCUAAAGCUUUUCCUAUGGAUUGUUGCUAUCAUGGUGCUUGUCAUUAAUCCAAGUUCUCAAUGUAUCCUCUUGGUGUAAGAAAUUGUUCAUAUCUUGUUUCUCCCAAUCAACCCUUGUUUCUGUUAGUGGUUGGUUGUCACUUCAUUAGUUUGAAAGGUUUCCAUUAGCCCACUACUAUCUUGUUCUUUUCGUUGUUGUUUUCCAACAACUCCGUUCAAUUCUUCUCGCAAGGGUGCUUGUCAAGUUCAUUUGAGAUAGUAGUUGUCAUUCUUUUCUUCAUUCUCUUGUUCCGUAUGAGUUAGUUCCUAUUCUAUAGUUCCGGAGGCAUUGUGAUGUUGCUCUUUUGGGUCAAUCUUGUUGUUCUAUCAAGAUCAUGGUGUUCCCUUGCUCUAUUUAGUUGUUUGUUAUGAAUGUUGUCUAAUUCUCUCUUCUUAUUGAACUUUUUGUCCCAUUUUCCUACCGAAGUGCUGCCGAAAGUUUCCGUGAAUUCUUGCUUGUUUCUCAUAUCGUUCCUCUUCUCUUUGCAACCUUCAAGGAUUGUUGGUGUCACUCGUUUGUCAAAGAAGCGACUAAGUUUUUACCUCUUGUUCUUUCUCGUCCUCUCCCCCCUUUUCAUUCUUGGAUCUCGGGGCGAGAUCCUCUUGUAGUGUAGGAGAGUUGUGACAGCCCGAUGCCGACGUUACAGAAGAUUCCCCCUUUAUUUUCCGUUUUCGUCAUGUGUUUAGUUUUAUUGAUUGCAUCAUCAUUUAGUUUGCAUCAUGGCAUCUUGCAUCAUCUGUUGCGUGUGUGUGUUCUUAGUUGUGAGUGCUUCAAGUGCUCUCAGAGUCUUUAGUGCAAUAGGAAACUCCCCUCUCCUCUCCUAAUUCUUUUGAGGCAAUUCCAGUUUCUGAUUUUGCCUAAAUAAAAUGUUCCUCCUCUUUUAAAAAUACUCCCUCUUAUUUGGGGCAACCCUCUGGUUUAACUUUAUUUUUUUUCCUUUUGUUUAUUUAAAACCAGCGCCUAAUUUUAUCUAAAAAGGGUUUUAUUUUUCUUCUUCAAAAAUGCCCAAUCUAUUUUUUAUAGUUGGAGCAUGUUUUAAGGAGCCCAAAGGUAUUUUUGUUUUAGUUAAAUUCUUCUUCUUUUGGUUGUGGUAUUUUCUUUUUAUAGCGGCUAUUUUUAUUUUGUGCAAGGCAUUUUUUAUUAGUGGGAGAGAGAAGCCCAGCCUGUAGCCAGCUAGGCCAAGGCCCAGACAGCCCGCCGAACCCUAGCGCCAGGGAGCGAGCUCCUCGCUCGUUUCCCUCCUGCCGCCGCCAACCCCUUCCUUCCCCGUCUCGUUCUCCUCGUUCCUCUCCUCUCCAUCGUUCCCUCCAGCGCCGCCAUGCAUGGUACCGAGGAGCUCGUGCCUGAAGCACUCCAGCGUCGUCGCCCGAAGCCAUGCGUCGCCCUACUCAUCCUCUGCCGACCCCCCCCCCCCUUUUCUCUCUUUCCCAUCUCAUCUCUCUUCUCAUCCCGUUCUGUAGGUCGCCGUGGUGCCCUGAGCUCCGCCCGUCGUCGGGAACCAUCUCCCUCGGUCGGGUUCGCCCGAGCCCCGCUCGUCCUCGCCCCUCCCUCCUGCGCGUUGCUGCCCUCAGUUCGGGUUCGCCUGAGAGCAGUGCUUCGACCCUCCUGCUGCCUGGCCUCGUAGAGGAGAGCUCCUGCCGCUGCGUCCCCACGCCAGAGCCGCGUGCGCGUGACGCUGCCCUGUGCCCCAGCGCCGGCAGAGCCGCAUGCAUGCUACUUGUUGUUGCCUGCCCACACCGAUGAGUACCCCUGCUGUAGCUGUUGUGUUGCAUGCUGCUGCCGCUGAAGCUUGUCGUUGUAGCCUACUGCUGCCGCUGAUGCUUGCUUGCUGUCGCACUGCUUGCUAUCGUUUGCUCUUGCUGCCGCCGUUGUUGUUACCUGCUGCCGUUGCUGCUUGCUGCCGCUGCUGUAGGUUGCUGUUGCUAGGUAGAUUUUGCUGCUGCUUGCUAGCUGUAGCUGCCAGAUAGAUUUAGUUGCUUGCUUGCCCUACUUGCCGUGUUGUUUGCUCGUGCUGCCGCCUGCGUCGCCGCGCGCACCAUCCCCGCCGACGUGGAAUCACAAGUUCACGAGUACCACGGCGUCCGCGACGACCCCCGGAACGUGUUCGACUACCGACGCCGAAGACCCGUGAACCGACGCCGAGAGAACGACUACCGUCGACGAGACCCGAGAACCACGAUGACCAUGACGAUCGUUGUUCUUCUUCACCGAACCGAACCCCUCCGAUUCGCACGCUUCGAAGGUAAUACCGUUGGAACGUGUCGUGACCGUGUGCAUGUAAUGUAUGAGAUGAAUGUAUGUUUGCACCGUAUGUUUGACCGUUGCACGUUGUACCUCUUAUGUUGUGCCCGACACAUGGGAACCCGGUAACCGGGAUCACCCCAUCUUUAUUUAGCGUUCCCGCACGCGCUUCCUAUACGUUGGCACGAUAUCCCGACGAGUUAUCGGGAUAGGAACGUUGCCGUGGCAUCGUUUCUGUUUUGCCGCCAUGGUUCCCUCUCGCUCGGCGUGGCGACACAUGUUUCUUUCUCCUCUUGCCGUGGUGUUGUACCUUGCAUGCAUGACGCAUUCAUGGCAUAUAUCGUGUGUUGCAUGCCUCUUGUGUCGUAGCUCCGUUCUUUGCUCCGCGCGUUAAACGACUAGGAUGCCAUGUAGGACCGUCGCUUCACCCUUUCCAUGUUAACAACAAUUUAAUCUUGUCGUGUAAAUAAACGGGAGUGAAUAAAAUAAUGGGAUUAUUCCAUGUGUGCCCCCAAUUCCUUAGUUGUGCUCAGUUUUCCCCACGCUUCAGACUUUUGCUCACUUUUCCCCUCUCCCUUAGCUGAAACUCUCACAAAUGUUGAUAACACGCGUUUGCCGUCUUGGCCGUUAACUAACUUGUGGGGCCAUGUUGGACUCUGUUGACUGUGGAUGUGGCUUCGCUGGUUGGGCCGUGUUUGUGUUCAUAGGACGGGCCCGUUAGUUUGUUGGUAAUAAAUUAAAAAAGCCUACUAUCGAUGGAUGCAGCCUGCUAUGCAUGCCCGGCUUUGGCAUCGAUGUAGCCUGCUAUGCAUGCGAACACCGCCACACACGCAUCUAGUGACCUAGACCUAAACGCAUGCAUGCACGCCGACACGCACGCAUCGAUCCGUGCCGCACGGUUGCCAGUGGAUUCAGUCGCUCCGCAACAUCUUUCACGCGUCGCACGCAUACGUGCCGGUGGCAGAAGUGGCAGGCUGCACGCACGCUCGCACGCUCGCGUCCAUAAGUUGAGGCAUCAGUUCACGCCGCACGGCUGCCGCUCGAUUCAGUUGUGCUGGUGGCAGAAGGGGCAGGCACAAGGGGCAGCCGCCAACGCAGAGCACGCAGAAGGGGGAGGCAGGCAGCCGCCAACGCAGCAGGGGGAGGCAGCCGCCAACGCAGAGCAUGCAGAGCCGCCAACGCAGAGCACGCUCGCUUCGAUUCACAUUCACACAUUGAUGAUCGGAUCGGUUCACACAGCAGCACUGAGUCACGAUCUACGCCGUUUGCGCGUGUACCCACUUCGUCUCCCCCGGCUAUUUAAACUGCCCUUCAUUGCCUCUUCUUCUACAGAUCCAUCUGUGCCUCCCACUUCUCUUCUUCCCCCAAAAUCCAGAGCGGUUCGACUCAGCGAAGCGUUCAGAUAUAAUGCACCAUGUUGUCACUGCAUUCCGACAGUCCACCAUUGAUUGGAAAAUGGUACCUACACUAAGCUCAGGUUUUUCCCUGUUCCACUCAAUUGUUGGCAUGUCAUCACCAUUGUAUUCAUCCUCGAUUAAGCUGUCCAUGUUCUCCACCUUCUCUUCAUCGUCAGUGUUAUCAAACCUAGCUUGGCUGAUGGGCUCCUCCAUAUAUUCGUCAUCCACUGCUUGCUGACUGGCUACAUCGACCAGUUCAGGGAACAUCAUCUCGUCUUCAUCAUCAUUGCCUCGUCAGGUUCUGCAUCCUCUUCUACACCAACUGCAGAAGUUACACGAGAAGCAGCAGCUGAAUCGGAACCACAAUUGGCAGCAGGCAUGUUGUGGCUCCAUGAACCACUUGCUUUGCUUGGUGUCGACCUACAAGGAGUGCCGGGGUGCUGGCUAUUAGCACAGACAGAUGAUGUCUGAACUCCCUUCCCCUUCACCCGUUCUGCGCGUGGCUGAAGCACAUCGAUUUGGAGUUUACCGAAUCGGCAGCCAACAAUCCCAGCAAAAAGCAACGGCAUAUGAUCGUCGCAAGUUAGUGGGAGAAAUCUUUGCUCGUCACUGCUGAAGUAAUUCAGUUCAACAGCAUCGGCAUCACUCCAGGGAUAGGUGUUUCUUAGCUCAUCUUGCAAAUCUUUGAAAGAUAUGCUGGUUUCUACCACUUUGGGAUAGAAAAAUGAUGAAAUCAAAUGCGGUUUAGUACCACGCAGCACACUAGUUUCCAUUCUAAUCGCCAGCCGGAAAGCCAGCGCGGGAUCAAUCCUAUUUUGUUGAAGGAAAUAAAGGCUUCAGUUAGCCGGGUAAAAUCGAGCACAAAUUCGAACGAUUCAAGCAAACAGAAGUCAAAUACGGCCUACAAUACGACUUAGAACAUCAAGUCGAGAGGAAACAAUGCUUACCCAGGUUUAAUCCAUGAAUUAUCCGCCGCGGAUUCGACCCAAUCCUCUCCACGGUCGACUGCAUUCCGGGCGUCCUCACUCAACAUCGCCAUGUAAUCCUAGAUGGGGAGGUGGGCUAUAUCUGGCGGAGACGCGGCAUCGCCGACGAACGGAAUAGGGGCAUAGGGUGGAGGAAACAACUGCGGUGGACGCGGCACGACGCCGGCGGAGGAGGCGGGGCGGUGCGGUGCAGUGCGGCCUGUCUAGAUAUGUUUCAGAUUCAGACAAGCUGCCCAAUACGUGUCUCCUUGCGGUCCCACCCAUCAGCCAGCAACAGUCAGACGAAGACUCGGUCCCACUCGUCAGCAAUUAACGGUCAAUGGACGUUCAAGACGACAAACGGACGCUAUGAGCAUUUGUGAGAGUUUCAGCUAAGGAAGAGGGGAAAAGUGAGCAAACGUUUGGAGCGUGGGGAAAAGUGAGCACAAUUAAGGAACAAGGGGCACUAAUUUAAAUAUCCCUUAAAUAAUUAAGUGUGGAGUUUCGUCGAUAUGCAACCCGUUGCAUAUCGAGCUUCAUUUAAUGUGUAGUGUUUGUGUGAGGUGAAUUGCCAUGCCAUCCCUUGCAUCAUUGAUCUGUUCAUGCAUCAUAUUAGGUUGUGCAUCAUGUUGUGCAUCGCGUGGUGAAUAUUUGUGUUGAUGUUUGUUUCCGGUUUGCUCCGUCUCGAUAGAGUUCCGCAAGCGUGUCGGAAUGUGAGGACCCGUUCGACUACGUGGUUCGCCGACUUCUCGGAGUUGAUCUUCUUCCAAGCGGGAUCUCAGGCAAGAUGACCAUUUCCCCAGAUACCAUUACUAUCAUUGCCAUGCUAGUUUUAUCGCUUCUAUCGUUUAUGUCUCAUUGCCUACCACAUGUUGAAUAUCAGCCUAUCUACAAUGCCAUGAUAACCUUCAACUGUUCAACCUAGCAAACCACGGAUUGGCCAUGUUACUGCUUGCUUAACCCUGUUGUUAGCGUUGCUAGUUGCAGGUGUAGUUGCUUCCAUGUGAUAACAUGGAUUCCUUGUCAUAUCACCAUAUUAAAUGCUAUUUAAUUUAAUGCACCUAUAUACUUGGUAAAAGGUGGAAGGCUCGGCCUUUCUAGCCUGGUGUUUUGUUCCACCUUUGCCCCCUUAGUUUCGGCUACUGGUGUUAUGUUCCAUAAUUGAGCGCUCCUAACAUGAUCGGGGUUGUUAUGGGGACCCCCUUGAUAAUUCGUUUUAGAUUAAAGCUGGUCUAGCAAGGCCCAACUUUGGUACUACAUUUGCCUAACAACUAAUGAACCGCAUAGGGAGUAAUUAACCCGAGGAAAUUUAAUCAACCCCCGGGCUAGUGCUCCUCAUGAGUGUUGGUCCACCCACCUAGCAGUCGGCGGUGCCACCAUGGGGCAACUCAAGGUUUGGUUCCCGUCCACUUUGCAUAGAUGGUGUGUCCUGAGAACGAGAUACGCGGCUCCUAUCGGGAUCGUCGACACACCGGGUGGCCUUGCUGGAUUAGUUUUACCUUUGACGGAAUAUCUUGUGCAUCCGGAUUCCGAUGAUGCUUUGGGUAAUCUCAUAGUUGAGGUUUUCCACUAGGGAAUCCGACGAGAUCGCGAGCUUCGUGAUUGAGGAUUUCUAUGCGGCUUGUGGUAAUUUGUGAUGGACUAGUUGGAGCACCCCUGCAGGGUUAAAUCUUUUCGGAAAGCCGUGCCCGCGGUUAUGUGGCAACGUGGAAACUUUUUUUAACACUGGUUCUAGAUAACUUGAUGUUAACUUAUUUAAAAUAUGCCAACUGUGUGCGUAACCGUGACUGUCUCUUUCGCGAGUUCCUUCUCCGAUCGAGGAAACGGUGGGGUUAUGUCUGACGUAGGUAGGUGUUCAGGAUCAUUCAUUUGAUCAUCAGUAGUUCACGUACACUAUGCGUAGAUCUUCCCCCUCUUAUUUCUUGUACUCGUAAGUUUAGCCAUCAAAUAUAUGCUUAGCCGCUGCUGCAACCUCACCACUCAACCAUGCCUCACCCAUUAAGCUUUGCUAGUCUUGAUACCUUUGGAAAUGAGAUUGCUAAGUCCCGUGUGGCUCACAGAUUACUACAACACCAGUUGCAGGUACAGGUAAAGGUUACUUGACGCGAGCGUGUUGAUUGUUCACUUGGAGUUGCUGCUUCUUCUUCUUCUUCAUCGAUCUAGGAUGGGUUCCAGGCCGGCAGCCUGGGAUAGCAAGGAUGGACGUCGUCCUUAUUUUCUCGUUUGUUUUCGUCCGUAGUCGGACCCUGCUCUUACUCUUGAGGAUUAUGUAAUGUACUGAUGUGGCUCUGAUGUAGCUUGUAGCGAGUGUAAGCCAAUUAUAUAUAUAUAUAUAUAUCUUGUUUUCAGUACAUGUACUUGUAACGAUAUCCAUUCUUGCGACACGACGAGAUGCGCUUCUAUAGGCCCUCGUGCCAAAUUGAGGAUAGGGUCGCAUCUUGGGCGUGACACACCGCCAGCAAUGCAGGCUCGUUGCCUUCCUCCUCCCAUCAUUUUCGUUGAUGAAAACAAAGAGGACGAGGGGUUUCCAACCACAUGCUACAACUUCACUCCUUCAUGACAACUUCCUUUAUUUUGUCCAACUUUUCCUUGCAACCAUGACCUACCUUCAAAAGCUCAGCUAUGACUUAUUCCAUCUUCUUUUUCUCUUCUUUGAGGAGGUCUUUGUCCACCUCUAUCUCCUUCAUGGCCUUCCUUGUGUUCUGGAUAUCAACUUGAGUCUCAAGAAUGCACCUCUGUUCUUUUCUUAACUUAAGUUUCUCCAUUUGAAUUUCAAUCUUUGUUUGCUCCUCAAGCUGCAUCUUCUUAUCCUUUAGUUCAUUGAUUUCCUGGCUUGUGUAAUCCAUGCCAUGAGAUUUCAUUCCAUCCUGAUAAUCAAACAUGCUUGAUACAUCAUUCACAAGCUGGCUGUACUAAUUGCCCAAUGUAUCAAGUUCCUUUUUCAGCUUUGCCGCCUCUUCUUUUCAUGAGCCUCAUUAUCCUGGACUCUACCAAAGUUCUGCUCAUGAUACAUAUCCAACAACUUAGUUAAGCACCUUUGCAGAAUUAGUCAUCAUGGGAGCAUCUACCCAUUGCACCACACCACAGUUCACACCAUCCUGAAAAUUCAGUAAACACAAUAUUCUUCAGAAACAAACAAAUUCAAUGGAGUGAAAUUCAGUAAAUUACAAGGAUACACAUGCUAGCUAGCUAGCUACAUAAAUAUGACAAUGCUAAAACCUAGCUCUGUUUCCAACGACAAACAACUUCAAAACAACAAAUUCACUCAAAUCCACAGCAAUGUUGGUACGCCAAAGCAACAUUCAGAAGAAUUCAUACAUAGUUUAUUACCUAAAAAUCAUUUAUAAUCAAAUUCAAUUGCUAAAUGGAGUAACACCAUUUUAUUAUAUCAGUAGCGCACCCAAUAAAUCUCCUCCCAGUGUUUGUAACUUCAAAACCAACAAAUUUGCCGGGCCUCUUCCUGUGCAAUAUGCACUUAGGCUCAAAUUCAACAACCAGCCCAAAGAACUUGAGUCUAUGACAGUUUCAUGAGUUUGCUGCACCAACAAAUACACACAUAUCAACUACAUGGACAUAUAGGAACUGAAAUUGAAGAAACCAAACAAUCUUCAAACCCUAACCCCAACCGCAAGCCUAGUAGAGGAGAGGAGAGGAGAGAGACUUACAAAGUACUCCAUGUGCAUGCUACUAAACUUGCUCAUGUACUCGUCAUCGUCGGAGCUCUCGUUGUUGGGCCACGACGGCAUGGUGUCGGUGUGUCGCCAUCGCCAUAGUGAGAGCAGAGGAGUGAAGAAGGUGAGAGAGCUCGGGGAGAGUGAGAGAUGUGGGGGGAGUGAGUCGACCGGGCUGUUUGAGCUGGUUCAGACUGGCCAACUAACGGCUAAAGGGUUGCCGACCGUUAAUGCGGCCACGUGGCUUGAAAUGUGGGCUAGACCUGCCAGUUUUUUUAUUUAAAUCCAAUAAAAUGGUGUUUAGUUGAAACUAGUAAUUUUUAGGGACACUUAAGAAAAAAAGUGCUAGUUUUUGGUCAAAAUUUAAAACUUGGUAGUUCAGUGGGACAACAACCCCAAUACCGGUAGUUUUUUGUCAAUUACUCCUUCCAAUCAGGGAUUGAUCACCUCAAGGAGCACCUAAACAGUUAGCUUCUUGGGCCAUAUGGACCACAAGGGAUGAUUUUAGCUUCAAGCACAUUCGUCCGAGUCUAUAUGUUUGCAAGAAAAAAAUUCAAGCAAGAGCUUAAAUGGAUCUUAAUACAGAGUAAUUAGGAAUCCCUAUGGAGGCUUUGCAGAUUGGAUGGAAACAUUGAGGUGAUACUGCAAAGGACCACCUUGUAUUUAUACUACCACCUUGUAUUUAUACUUUGUGUAUAUUUCCUGUUUGUUUGUUUGUAGUUGUAAUUUUCUCCUAGCUCCUUUUAGCUUCUUUGGUUUGGCGUGUAUGGUUCUUUUUCUCCUUUGAACUAUUUUCUGUAUUACUUUCUAUAUUUCUAAAUAAUUAUAACUGGGAAGAACUAGUUUUCUUCGACUACAGUUAUUUGGUGGGAAUGGAGGGAGUAUAUUUUAAAAAGGCAACACAAAUAUGCAGCGGAGUCCUGCUGUUUCCCUUCAAACAAAAGAAGCGCCAUCGCUCCGCCAAUACUACCGUACAAAUCAAGCCCACGAGACACGUGGCGAGCCGAGGUUACAUACGGCUGCCAUACAGAUACAGGUACAAGGCCCCGACGGAAUCGUCGCGACAGACACACACACACACCCUACACAAGCCUCGCCCCCGCUUUUCCUCCUCCUCCGCCGGAAAUGCUCUGCCUCUCGCCGCGCGCCCCGGCGCCGUGCCUCCACGGCCCGCACGCAGCGAAGGCCCCGCCCUCCUCCGUCGCCGGCGGCAAUGCGGGCCGCCUUCCGCCGCGGCGGUGGCGGCUCGCGAGGCCCCGCGGCUGCUCGGCCGCCGCGCCGCUCGCGAAGGCGGUGCCCGUGGCGCCGCGGACGACGGCGGAGAGGUGGGGGUCGCUGCGGGAGAUGCGGCGGGUGUGGUGGGUGUGCGGGGCCGGGUACUGGGUGCAGGGGUUCCGCUGCUUCCCGUGGCUGGCCCUCAACUUCCACCUCACCCGCGGGCUCGGGCUCAGCCCCGUCGCGCUGCAGCUCGUGCAGAACGCCGGCAGCCUCCCGCUCGUCGCCAAGCCGCUCUUCGGCGUCCUCUCCGACGCCGUCUACAUCGGCCGCGAGCACCGCCUCCCCUACAUCUCCAUCGGAGGUGCGUGCGUGUGCUGUGCUUGACUUCGUCCGCCCCCACACCACUUUCCCCUUUCCCUUUACUACGAUUACGACCCCUUCUUCUUCUUCCUCGUUUGCUGGAAAUCGUCGUGCCUGUCCAUAUUACUGUCGAUUCUCUCAAAAUUCAGUCGAAACAAAUGUGACAAUCGAGUUCAUCUCGGCUUAAAAUUCUCGUCUCGGAAGCACUGACGGCCGAACGAAUACAGUACCUGGUAAUAGUUUCAGGUAUCUGUCUGAAAAUUGGAAACUCUUAUGAGCACAAGGGUUCAACAGCUGCAGCUAUAUUGUCCAAUUUCACAAGAGCUGGGAAAACUAGGGAGCUCCUCAGCUCACUGAUAGUGACAAAAUAUAAUUCGUAUUGAGACCGCAUAUUCUUAUGGGUACCAAUUUCACUGUCCGACUGGGAUUGCUUUGAUUUGCCUCAAGAGAUUACUACUAUUUCUCUGUAUUGUAGUAUUUAUUAUCGACCAACAGAUUGGCCGAACUGAUCCCUUGAUAGCUGGGGGGGUCAGCUGUUGUAGUUUAAGCAACUUCUACUAGAGUAGUCGGCACCUCUUCUUUCGAGAAAGAGAUUGGUUCGGAAAGCAGCAUGGGUAUCUACUAGAGUAGUCGGCACUUGUUCUUUCUAGAUGAAGGCUUGUCUGCAUCAUGGGUAUCUACAGUAGUCGGUACCUGCUCUAGUGAAAGAUCCGUUUUGGAAACACGCUGCACCUUCCUGCCCGGUGUGUGCACGACACUCUUAUUGCUGGUCACACAAUUUGAGCUUCGCCAAGUUGGUAAAUCCCAGAGAUUACUUGCCCUUAUUCUGGUGGCUCCUGAUACAUCCAUGUUUUACUCAGAAUGAUUGGUGGUCACACAAUCUGAGCCUUGCCAAGAGAAUUCUCGAGAGAGCGCCCCGUGCCCUCUGGGGUGCUUGUGAGAAGUUGCUAGAGGCUGUUUUGUGGUCCACUAAUCUCUGAAAGCUGCCUCUAAGAUUCUCCACCCCCCAUGCCAUUUCGUACGGUGAUUGGGACAGGAUCUCUGUGAUGUUUGUCCUAGUUUAGGAGGAUGAUCCAAAUGAAAUGAUGCCGAUUUGUUUGUUUGUUACCUGCUUGUUUAAUUUCCUGUUUGUGACUAUGUAAGAACACUCUGGUCCUAUAACUUUUACUGUCAAGGUAUAAAACCGGCUGCUGGUAAAUUGCUGACAAACUGAAUAACAACCAUAUUUCCUUGUUCAGUGGUUAUCUUUUUAUGCUAAAAUUUAUACUCUGAAAAUUGAAUGUUAUUCAAGAUGAUUUUUUUAAGGAAACAAAGCCUUUUCUAAAAAAAAGGAAACAAAGCCUUCAAAUUGAAUGAAUUUUUCAGGUGGUUUGUGCUAAUGUUGGCUAUUGUUGUGAACUUUCAGCAUUACUACAGCUUACUGCUUGGGGCACACUCGCGAUCAUGCCAGUUACGGGUGACACAUUUCCAACUCACAUGAUAUGCAUUCUGAUUGGAAAUCUUGGAGCAUCUGUGACGGAAGUUGUAAGCGAUGCUGUUGUCACGGAGUUCAGCAGAACACAGAGGACCGGCGUACUACAGUCUUAUGCAUUCAUAGGUCUGGCAGCUGGAGCCCUCCUAGGAAACUUGUCGGGUGGAUACGUUCUGUUGAGAACACAGGAACCAAAGCUUAUGUUCACAGCAUUCUCUGUCCUCCUUGGCCUCCAACUAGCACUCUCCAUAGGCACAAAGGAAACACUGCCAAGCUCCCAUGGAAACUCCAGAAGCCUUCUUCUCAAAAGCUCUUUGCCGGCCAAUCUUCGUAAGCAGUUCUCAAACCUGAUGACAGCGGUCCGCGAGGAAAGGAUAUUCUACCCACUUGCAUGGAUCAUGACCUCGUUUGCUGUCGUGCCUGUUCUCUCUGGAACCAUGUUCUGCUUUCAAACACAGCAUCUGAAGCUCGAUUCAUCGAUCAUCGGUCUUUCAAAAGUCAUGGGACAGGUCAUGGUCGUCUCCCUUACCGUCCUCUACAACCGCUAUCUCAAAAGGAUUCCCCUGAGGCGCCUCGUGUGUGGAGUUCAGAUAAUGUAUGCUUUCGCGGUGCUGUCGGAGUUGAUCCUAGUGAAGCAAGUAAACCUUAUGCUAGGGAUACCAAAUGAGGUAUAUGUGUUUUGUUUCUCAGCUCUCGCAGAAGCAAUCGCUCAGUUCAAGGUCCUGCCGUUCUCGAUCUUGUUGUCAAGCGUCUGCCCCCCUGGCUGCGAAGGUUCGCUCUUCGCCUUCUUCACAUCUGGAUUGGUCUUUUCAGCAAUUCUGAGUGGUGUGUAUGGGGUUGGACUGUCUGCCCUGAUCGGGCUGUCCUCUGGGGACUACUCAAGCUUGCCUUUGGGUAUUCUGCUGCAAAGUUUGGCCGCAUUGUUACCUUUGGCGUGGCUAUCUUUUGUGCCUGAAAACUGGACUGCCGACGGGAAGAUUGUAAAGCAAAGAUGAUGAGCGUAUUGACAUCAGAAGUAGAUCUUGUUAGGUACUGAAUGACAUUGUACAGGAAUUUCUUCUAGCCCAAGCAACUCAAUGGGAUUACAUGUAUAGGUAUCCAAAUGUGUUCUUUAUUGACCAUCAGUGUACACAACACACACACACACAGAUUCCAAAAUAGGAAAAUACAUCCUACUACAAGGUGUAGUUACACCUACGUCAAUAUAUACUUAUUGGGUAGUGUAUAAUAUAUAUGCUACUCCCUCUUUCCCAAAAUAUGAGAAUAUAAUACACAUACAUCUUUGACAAGUAGCAGGUGCAUUGCAUAAACCAAAAGUCAUACGUCUAUAAGCAUAAGUUUCAAAAGGACGCAUGAAAGUAGUUUCUCUUGGUCCUCUUUUGACACAAGUAUUUGAGAAAAACCAAAGUAUCCUUCAAGAAAGCAAAAAGGUGUGUGCUUAGAUAGCCUUUUUAACAUUUGACCAAUAAAAGAUAAGGGGUAAUGUUCUUUUCUAGUAGCUUUGUUUAAUUUACUGAAAUUAAUUACCAUCCUAUAACUGGUUACGAUUCUUUGUGGGCUAAGUUCAUUUUUAUCAUUAGGCACAACACUUAUACCUCCGUUCUUAGAAACACAGUGAACAUGACUUACCCAUCUAUUAUCAGCAAUUGGAUAAAUUAUAUCUGCCUUCAGAAGCUUUAAAAUUUUAGUUCUUACCACCUCCUUCAUCUUAGGAUUUAAGCGUCGUUGGUGAUCAACGACAGGUUUAGCAUCUGGUUCCAUAUUAAUUUUGUGCUGACAUAGAGUGGGACUGAUGUCCUUAAGAUCAUCCAGAGUAUAUCCAAUAGCAGCCCUGUGCUUCUUCAAAGUUUUAAGCAAUCUAUUUUCUUCAUGCUCAGAAAGGUUUGCACUAAUAAUAAUAGGAUAUAUCUUUUUUUCAUCAAGAUAUGCAUAUUUCAAAGUAUCAGGUAAUUUCUUUAGUGCAAACACGGGAUCUCCCUUAAGUGGAGGAGGACCCCCUAAAAUGUCAACACGAAUUUGUGUUUAAGAAUAUGUGUUUGUCUAAGAAAAAUAUCAUCUAUCUCAUUUCUCUCAUUCAUAUGCAUAUCAUUCUCGUCGUCUAGCAAGUGUUGUUUUAAAGGAUCAGUAGGAGGCACUUCAAUAGAAGCAAGACCAGUAAUUUCAUAUUUGCUAGAUAAUUCUUUCUCAUGUGGUUGUCUACCAAACUUAGAGAGAUUAAAUUUAUGAGACACAUCACCAAAUUAAGCUUAUUUUAACCUUUUCAGUAACACAAUUAAUUUCAGCAUUAACAGUAUUUAAGAAUGGUCUAUCAAAUAUAAUGGGACAAAAGCUAUCUUGUUUUGAACCAAGUACUAAGAAAUUAGUAGGAUACUUAAUUUUUACACACAAGACUUCAACAUCUCUAACAAUCUCAAGUGGUGAAAUAGUCUCUCUGUUUGUAAGUUUAAUAGUGACAUCAAUAUCUUCAAUUUCAGAGGGUGCUAUAUCAUGCAUUAUAAGGUAAAAGGUAUAACACUAACACUAGCACCCAUGUCACACAAGUCAUGAUAACAAUGAUCUCCAAUUAUAAGAGGAACAAUAGGCAUGCCAACAACUGGUUUAUUUUAUCUAACUCAUCCUACUUGUUUCUAACAGGUUUUGCAGUUCUAGGAGCUUCAUCACAGAAGUAAAUAAACCGCCCAUCGAUAUUAUCAACUAGGAGAUCUGUAACCAUAACAAUAUUAGGCUCAACAUUUAUUUGUUCAAAGUCCUAAUAUAACUUUUAUUAACCACGGUUGCAGCUUUAGUAUGUUCCUUAAUCCUAACAGGAGAAUGUGGUUUUUCAAUAUAAGAAGUAGGCAUAGCUUGAUCAACAUGGUAAACAAUUGUUUCUUGUUUAACUUUAAUUAAUAGGUUCCUCUAAUAAUUUCUCAAUAGGUUGAUGAUAUUUAAACCACCUCUCCUUAGGGAGAUGAACAUGAGUAGCAAAUGAUUCACACAAAAGUAGCUACUAUCUCAAAGCCAAGCCCAUAUUUAUUACAAAACUUAUGAAAAGUAACAGUUUUCAUAAAAAGAUUUAACACAAUCUAACUCAAUCUUUAUACCUAACUCUUUACCUUUGUCGAGUUCCCAACCUUCAGAGUUGCGUUUAAUUAUUUUCAAAAUAUUCCAGUUGAAUUCAAUAUUUCACUUCAUGUAGGAACCAGUAGAAGAAGAAUCGAGUAUUAAUUAAUCAUCAUGAGAAAGCCAAGCAUAUAUUUUUGUAUAAUCAUUUAUGUUGAUAACUCAUGGUUGGGGCAAGUGUGCAUCAUUGAUUUAAGCCUCUCCAAGCUUGAGCGGUGCUUUCCACUUUACGAGGCCAGAAAUUAUAUAUAUAGUUUCAAUCACGAUGAACUAUAUGCAUAGGAUAAAACUUCUGAUGAAAUUCCAGCUGUAAGAGCACAAUUUCUCCUAAGAAAUUUUGAUGGUUGAUGAUGAUACCCUUAGCGGACUAAUCGUGUGCGGUAUGCUUUCAGAGCAUUAUCAAGUGGCACGAGAUGGUUAUAUUCCCCUCAGUAAGGGAAAGUGAAGACGAUGCUUAGCUAUUGAUUUAGGGUUGGUGGACUCGAGUCAUAGAUAAUCCCGCACUAUCAAGAGGGGAUAUGUGACAUCCUCGACUUUUGCUACAGUAAAUAUUGUAAUUAAGCUAGAGUGAUCACCCGCAAAUGAUGCCACAUCAUCGAGAAUUACCGUCGUUGACCCGCAUUGAAUUUCUAUCUGGAUUCCGAAAUUGAAAACAAAAGAUAAUUAUAAUUAUAAAUUCAUAUUAACUAUUAAAGAAAGAAAGUAUUAAAAAUAAUAAUGAUAAAAGAAAGAAAAGAAAUUAAAAGAAAAAAAAUAAAUUAGAAAGAAGAAAUAAUAGAAAAGGAAAACAAAGCAAAACAAAACAAAACAAAAAAAAGAAAAAGAGGAAACCCCCCACCCCCGUGGUCGACUCGACCAAAGUGGCCCAGCCGAGCCAGCCCACCCCGCACCCCCCUCAAACCCUAGGGCGAGGGAGCCCUUCCCCUGCCUCGCUCCCUCCCUCCCACUUGCNACCCCUCCCCACGAGAGGCUCUCUCCCUCCCAGUUCCCCCACGCACCAGACCCCCCCACGAUCUUCCUCUCCCACCCCGAGCCUCCUCUCCACCUCGCCCCCACCCCGGUCGGCGAGCUCCCCCCACCACCGGCCUCUCCCUCCACCGGCCUCUUCCUCCCCACCCCGAGGCCUCCUCCUCCCCACCCCGAGGCCUCCUCCUCCCCUCGUGCCUCCAGAUCUCCCUCCCUACCCCGAGGCCUCCCUUUUCUCGGCCUCGCCUCACUCCCCACCGGCCAUCCCGACAACCACCUCGGCUGCCCCCCCCCUCAACUCCGGCGACCGUCAUGACCGGCCGGCCUCCCUCCCCUUGAGGCCGGGGCAACCCUCGCCGGAUCCGGCCGGUCCCUUCUUCACCGGAGGGCUCUCCUCUCCGGCCACGACUCCGGGAGGCCCCCUCCGGCGACCGUCACCGCCGCCACCACGUCCUCACCGGCACCACCGUCAUCACCGCGCCAUCACCACCGUCGCCUCCGCCUUCCCGCGAACUCCGGCUUCACCGGGCCAUCUCAUCAACGUUGGUGAGCCCCUCCUCGGGCUCCUCCCACCAUCGCGCUCCCCUCACCAUCCCGGUUCCGUUCCGGCAAACGGGGCUCCGAUCCGUCGACGUUUGACUCCGGUAGGAGGAGAUGAAGUUGGCUCUCUUCUAUGUUGAGGAAGUUAACAGAGACUCUCUGUUGUGUUCUCUGUUGUCUGUUAACAGAGAGAGAUGAGAGUGUUAAGAGUUAAAAGAAAAUAAAACAAAAGAUGUAUUAGAUGUCGUAUGUAUGUAUGUAUGUAUGUAUGUAUGAGAUGCGAUGUAUGUAUUUGCGUAUAUAGAUAUUUGGAGGAAUACGAUAUUUACAUGAUUAUGUAUAUGUGAAUAAAAUCGAGUAUUUGGCCUAAGGUCACUUACCGGUGGGGCCAACGCACCCGCUGUCUAUGACAGGGAGGCCCCACGCGAUAAUUAAAUAAAUAAAAAUAACGUUAAUGUUUUUAUUAAAUAAAUAUAUAUAUAUAUUAGUUAAAUUAAUUAAUUAGAAUAAUUAGAGUAUGACACGUGGGUCCCCCACUAAAUUAAUCUGAUUAAUUAAUAUUUAAUCUUAAUUAAAACUUGUGCCUAUAACGUUCGGGACCCGCUCGUCAGUUGACCAGUCAACUCUUGAUGUCAGCAUGACAUCAUGCUGAUGUCAUAAUAGCUUUUUAUUAAAUUAUUUAAACCUGUUUUUAAUUCCUAAUUAUUGAAUAAAACUUUAAAAAUUAAUAUUAAAUAAUCCGUAAGUCAGAUCAAAAUAUUUUCAACAUGAAAGUUGAUGAGCAGAACGAGACGAACCCGGAUACACGGUCCAUUCGUCUGUCACGCGUCCCUAGCAUGGCAAACAUGGAACAUUUCCAUCGUUUCCAGUAUGACCGGUAGUAGCCCGAGACCCGGAAAAUAUCGUCAGAUAUUCUUCCGACCCGUCUAUGACGGAUGUUGCUGCGUUAGCUCAUGUCUAGCCUGCAUCUUGCCAUGUCAUGCUUUGUAUUGCACCGUUGCUAUUAUUUAUUGUUUCUUCCCCCUCUUCUUACCGGUAGACCCCGAGACUGACGCUGCUGCCGGGUACAUCUACGACCCUGCCGAUCAGUCCUUUGCCGCAGAGCAGCAAGGCAAGCAAACCCCCCCUUGAUCAUUCCUAUAUCGCCUAUGUCUUUCUUCCUACUGCUUGCAUUAGUAUUUUGCUACUGUUGUAGUUAGCUCCUAUAUCUGAUGCAUAGCCUAUUUUUGAUGAACUGCUACUUUCAGUCCUGUACCUUUAAUAUGCCUAGUAUAGGUGGAGCAGUCAUCCCCUCUGACCCCGUCGUUCAGUUGCCCUGCUUGUUUUCAAUCUCGAUCCCUGAUCGACGAGCCAGACCCGACACAUCACAUACACCCCCCUUCGUUGUACGACGCUACAGAGAUACUAUCGGGUACCGAGGGUGACACCUCGCUAAGUACUCCUGAUGAUAUCUCUGUAGUAUAGCUAGUCGGUCGUGGUUAUCGAGGGUGAUUCCUCUUUCACCAUUCCCGAUGACGCCUCUGUCGUGCAACCCCUCAAGUGUGGGACCCCCGAGGGUGAUUCCUCCAAGCCCACCUUGACGGGUACAUCGUUCGGAAUCCAACGAGGGUGAUACCUCAGAUUCCCCCCGAUGUUACAACCACACAGUUACUCGACCAUGUUACUGGGAUCUUUGGUGUUUAGUUGUAAGACGGGUGGAUUCCCGUGAUACUGUGUUGAUAGCCUAAUUAAAAUGUUAAUGGAUUUGGGUAUUUGAUGUGGGUUGGUCGGAGACCUUUUCGCACUAACCGGCUACGCGGGAAGAAUUAUGGGUACUCGGCGUCGCGGUAUCAGCCAAAGCUUUUCAGAUGUCAGCAAUCGUAGUGGCGCGCGCCCGAGUGGUCCCGAGAUGCAUUGCGCUUGUGAUUAAGGGAUGCUAGGACUGACGUCGGCCGCCCUCGCAUCAUGCAGGAGCGCGGAGGGGAACUGGGCCCAUGAACCCUUUGCGCUUAGGAUUUAGACCGACGGGCUGACCUCUCUGAUUAGUCUUAGGUGGGGCUGCGACGUGUCGAUAUUCCGAGGCCGGGCAGGACCCAGAAAAGUAUGUCCGGCCAGAGUGCUAUCGAGCGUGACGGAACAUGUGGUGCACCCCUGCAGGGAUGAAAAUUAACUAUUCGGAUAGCCGUGUCCACGGUUACAGGACGACUUGGAGUUGUGCCCCGAUCUUAUACAACUACAAUUGUUACUUAACUGGAAUUAGUUUGCCUCGGGAUUGCUUCCUCGCAGGGAGUCGAGGGAGGAUCUUUAGGCGUGACCUCACUUUAAUAUUGCUGCAACAAUAUGACUAUUAAUGUUUUACCCGUGUUCUACUCUCGUCUAUUGCUGCAAGACCCUGAAGAUGCUAGUCUUCGAUAGGACUAGGCCUUCUCUCUCUAUUCUCGCAUUGCUGCAGUCAGUCCACAUAUAACCCUCUCCCUUCUUUGUUACUGAUGCAUAAUUACAGUAGUUCUGAUGUAAGACUUGCGAGUACUUUGGAUGAGUACUCACCGCUGCUUUGCUCCCCCUCUUGUCCCCUCGAUCCGUUUGUUGCGACCAGAUGAUGGAGCCCAGGAGAUGGAGGUCCCCGCCGCCGACGACUGCUACCCCGACGGUGCCUACUACUACGUGGAGGCCGCUGAUGAUCAGGAGUAGUUAGGAGGCUCCCAGGAAGGAGGCCUCGCCUCGUUCGAUCGUUGUAUCUUUUGUGCUAGCCUUCUCUAAGGCACCCCAUGUUUUAUGUCUGUACUCAGAUAUUUGUUGCUUCCGCUGACUCGUGUGUUUAUCGAGCUUCCGUAUUCUAGCCCUCGAGGCCCCUGGCUUGUAAUAUGAAGCUGAUGUUUAUUUUUAUUUGUGUCUAGAGUUGUGUUGUGAUAUCUUCACGUGAGUCCUUGGGUUUUAUCGUACGCAUUUGCGUGUAUGUUUAGCGUACGACUAAAACGAGGGUGUCACACGAUCCAUGUUUGGAAAAGUUGGUAGAACACUAUCUCUCAUUCUUGCUCUCCAUCCCUUUUAUGGAGCAAAGGAGCUGCCCUCAAAUAGUGUCGAGGAAAUUGCAGAAGCGGUAGUACCGCUCCAGUGGUACUGCUGCCCACGAGAGCCGGACUCUCUACCGCUUGUUUUAUUUCUUUGGUGUUUGGGGACCUUUUUCUUUGUUUGGGCGGAAGUACCGCCCAGGGGAGCUCUAGUACCGCUCCAACGGUACUGCUGCCUCCUUCUGUCGCGCCCACUUCCGCUUCGUAAUUUCCUCUGGUGUCUUACCUCUCCUCGACCAGGCUGAGCAAAAGUAUCGCUCCUACAGGACGGUAGUACUGCCCUAGUGCACGGUACUACCGCUGAGCUGGGCCAGUAGGGGAUGGUAACGACCAGAUUCCCCCACUAUAAAUAGGGUCUUCUUCCCCGAGGAGAUCUCACCUUUUCCUCUCCCGCUUCAUUGUUCCUCCAAAAGCUCAAACUUGCCCGAUCUCCCUCCCUAGCCAUCAACUCUUGUUGAUUCUCUAGGGUUUGCAGAAGAAGGCCUUCCCCCACACUUCCACCAAGAGAAAAGUUGUUCCUCCCAUUAAUCCCUCGUGGAUCUUGUUACUCUUGGGUGUUUGAGCACCCUAGACGGAAGAGGUCACCUCGAAGCCAUAUUCCAUUGUGGUGAAGCUUCGUGGUCUUGUUCGGAGCCUCCAAUUAAGUUGUGGAGAUUGCCCCAACCUUGUUUGUAAAGGUUCGGUCGCCGCCUUCAAGGGCGCCACUUAGUGGAAUCACGACACCUCACAUUGUGUGAGGGCGCGAGGAUAAUAUAGUGGCCUUAGUAGCAUCUUGAGGAGCAGGGGCUAUCUCGAAGUUGAGGUCUUCCACUGGGAUUCCGAGGAGACUAUCGGUUUUUUCGUGGUUGAGGUUUCCCACACAGCUUAUGGUAGUUUGUGAUGGAGAUGCUCUAAGCUGCUCCCGUGAAGCAAAUGGAGUAGCGGAUAGCAUAGCAAAAGCUUCUCAUAGUAGUAGAUCUUCUUAAGUUAUGUUAGCAAUAGCCAUACCCAUGAACUAUUUAUAUUUAACAUGGGACAUAAUCAGGUAUGUUUUUGCAGGUUGGAAAUUGGCGGGAAGUGAAGCCAUUUGUGAUCACUUUCCAUGUACUCUUGGUAUUUGACAAAUGAUUUGCUCUUUGAGGGAAGAACCCAUUCUAUAUGCUCAAAUUUUACUGGGCAUGCUUAUUAACUGGUCCAUUCAAGCAAUGCCAUCCAGUUUCAAUUUACUAGGCGUGCUUAUUAACUUCUCAAAAUUUAUUUGGCGUGAUUAUUAAUUGCUCAUAUUUUCCUAGCAAAUGCUUAAGUAAUUGAUUGAAUUGAUAGUUCCCAACCCUAAUCGAUUCAUAUUAAUGAUCAAGCCUGAUACAAUUACACUAGCAAAUGCUUAAUUAGUGGACAAGUAGAUCAUGACAUUUCCAUGUAUGUGUGCAGGCCUUGCUCUCUUCUCCAUGAGCCCCAAUCCAUACUCCCAAGCAUGUAGAUGGCAUUCUCCAAGUGCAAAACACAUUCAAACGCUAUAACUAAGAGGGUAUAAAUUCAGUUAGUUUAUAUCUAAUCCCCAUGUUAAAAUUACUCUGAUUACCAUCCUUACAAAUAAAGGCAGUGUAGGCUACAACGAUGACAUUGGCAUUUAUGAUUGGUGCAAUUUGAGCCCCAUCGAAGUAAUUGGAGCAUAGUUUUUAGGUUAGCUUUGAGUACUCUGGACAAUAUUUUCUUUUCUAUUUCCAACAGUAGAUCUUAAAUAUCAUACAUCAGUUGAUAGUGUUAAUUAACUUAGCUAGAACCAGGCUGGUACCUUAACAUUAUUUUCAGGUUGAUCCAGUUGUGUGGAUUCACAUACUUCUUUGCUGUUCAUGUGGAGAAUUGUUGUUAACAAAUAAAUAUGAUACAUACUGUUGUAUUGUGAUUUGUUUUGCAAGUUUAGGUAUGUAUUAGUACAUUGAUAUCAACCCUCAAAUUAAUAGUACUACCCUAAAUUAUCCAAAUUAUGUCGAAUUUAGGGAGCCGAGCUGAGUGUAAUUUUCAAAGCCAACUCAUACUAUUGUACAAAUUCUUAAGCGUGCAUGAAAACAUUGUUUUCAUGUACAUGAAAACAGUGAAUAUUACACGUCGUUUCACCCAGUUUGUGUGUUGCCCUCUUCUGUGUUCUUAUAAGAAACUAGAACCGUGUUUGAAACCGGUCAUGGACAAUAUUUUCCUGGAGUGAACUUGCUAUCGUUUUCAGAUUUUGUACAUAGUGGAAGAAUUCAGCACAACUUUUUUUAUGGGAAUUUCAUCAUGUUUCAUAUCUGUCCUUUUGCUUUUUGUCCAUACUAUUACUUUGCAUGUUCUCAUUUUGAAGCUAAUUGAAUAUCCGCAGGCUUCCAAUGAAGAUGUGUAAUAUACAAAUGAUUGGUCGGGCUGUACGUGGUCACAGGCGAGUCUAGCUACACAAAUGUGUAUAAUCUCUGGAUGGGAGACAUUUGACGAUCGAGGCCAGAAGGGUUGCUCCCGUCCAAUGUUCAUUUUUAGUGGUUUGAAGGUUUGUUUGGCGAACAUAAUUUUUAGUUAAUUAAUGUGGCAAGGUCAGCUCUAUUCCAGAUUAUGUGCAAUGCUCAUUGUUGUGACACACUGAGUUGUUGACCCGUAUUCUCUCUUGACAUGUAAAAAAAGUUGCAACACAAAAUUCACUGGGUUUUAUUUGCUAUUGGUGCGUGAUAACACAAUUCUAUCCUAUCGAUUCUAUAAUCCAGGAUAAUAUGUUCUCAAUGAGUGCUUACAAUAUAUAUAGUACUGUUUAACCUUGUUAAUUCUUCUCAAAGUCUAAUUUCAUAUUUUAUGUGCACUAUUUUAUUGUAUUUUGUACUAUGUCUCUAAACCAUUCAGAUGAUGAAUUACUGUAUUUUUUUGCCAAAUUCUAAAGCAUGCACUAGAGCUGGGAGUUGAGAAGUGACGAGUGGAGGGUUGCCGAACAAGUUUUUCCUUGCUACUGAAGUUCAUAAGUCACACAGAAUAUCUAAGAUUUAGACAUUUUUUUCUAAGGUGCAUGUGUGUGCCAUGUAGUUAAUACUUGACCAUAGUGCGGCUAAGGUGAGGAGGACACCAUCUCAUCAUCACCCAUAAUAGUGUGCUUUGUUGGGCCAUGGGUGAGGACGACACUUGACGGUGUUGUGAUGAUGAGAUGGUGUGUGAACAAAAUGGUAAUAUGUGCUACGAUUGAUCAAGGAUAUGCGAGGGCAGGUCAGGAGACAAGAUGGUGUCAAAAUGGGAGGCAAUGUAGCCGGGGAGAUAUGGGAUGGGAAGGAGAGGUGGAGCGGGGAUAGGGUGGUUGUAGAUAAAGGAGAUGGAUAGAUUGGACAAAGAGAUCCGCUAUGCCACGAGAGACAUACACAAAGAGAGAAAUAACUGAAAAGCUCGAUAGAGGAAGAUGGACACACAUACUGACAUGGUUAGAAACUACACACGACACCUUUUUUAAUCAAAUGUCACUAUAUAUCCUUUUUAUGUCGCCACAAAGUAAAAUUAUGCUCCCAUUGCAACACAUGAGUAAUUUCAAAGUGCAGUAAACAAACACGCAAAGAGGGAUCAUAGCGGGGCGAUUGGCGCGGGACUCCUAGGCACUACGUGAGGAAGUACAAUGUGAAGGGAAGAGGGCGUCAUGAGAAAGUUGAGGUGGGCGUCAACCGGUUUUAAAGGAGAGGGCUCUAGCGAGAAAUGUAGGAAACCAAAGAGGGAGAGGAGGUUCUGGCAGGAAAAGGAAAGGGUGUGCGGUGGGGUGGGAGUUUUAUGUUGGGCGAGCGUGUUGGAUAUAACAUGAUGGAUAGUCUGGACAACCACAUCCCAACAGAUGAUCUAGAUUGGGUGGUACCCUCGGUGUUUAGACGGUUGAAUUUUACGAAGCGUGUUGGGUGCAUGUUUGAUGUCCGAACAAGCUUGGAUCAUAUGAGUAAGAAAUAAGCUUCGGUGUGGGAGACAAUUUUAAUUAUAUGUUUGAUUUAUCUAUUGCAUUAUAGCCCUCUACUACUAGUAGUAGAUCUUCUAAAGUUUGGGAUAGCUCAAUCAGUCCUGACCAAACGGCCCGGCCCAGCCUGGCACGGCCCGACCCGUCACAAUCGUGCCAGGCACGACACGGCACGCCGAGGCCCGAUUAUUAGCCGGGCCGUGCCGUGCCGGCCCACCGGCGCAGCCUCCCAGCCCAGGCACGACAAGGAGGCUAUACGAGCCGGCCCGUAGGCACGCCAGGCCCGCUAAUCUGUUAGUUUUUUUACGCUGUUAUUUGGGCUAAUUUUGACCUGUUAGGCUGUUUUUUGGGCCGACUUUAGUAUAUUGGACAGUGUUUUGGAUCGAUUUUAGCCUAUUAGGUUAUUUUUUUAUCCUAUAUAUAUAAAAAUAAAUAAUAAAAUGGUAAACGGGCCGUGCCGUGCCGGCCCGCGUGCCCAGCCCUCAGGCCUAGGCACGGCCCGAGGCGGGCCGCGUGCCUAACACGGCCCGUUUAAGUCGUGCCAGGCCCGGCCCAUGGCGUGCCUGGCUGGCGUGCUUUCGGACUGGCCCAGAAAGCACGGCCCGUUUGGCCAGCUUUGAGCUCAAUACUGUAAAAAAAAAAAAAAACGCGCCCGGCUGUUGCCGUUGCCUUGGGCGCGAGCGCACCACGCGGGCGCUCUCUUUUCGCGCCAGCGAAUUUCCCGAGGGGGCCGAACGGACCAAAAAUCCUCUGGAAUCCGAUCCCCGGGAAUCUCAGCGCCACGAUCCAUCAUCCCGUGAUCCAAACGCGACGAUCCUGAGGACUCUCGGAAUCCCGUGAAAAAUCCCCCUCCCCCUCCAAUGGACCCAAAGCCGGCCUGAAUCCCUUUCUUUCUUCACCAUCUGGCCGGCCCUCUCUCUCCUUCCUCCUGCUCCGCCGCCCACGGCCCCACCUCCACGCCAGUGGCCCUCCCCCACAAGCUGCUCCUCCUCGGCCGACGAGGCUGCCACCACCAUCCCCACCACCACCCUCGCGCCGCUCCACCUCACAACCGUCGGGCCGGGCCGUGCUCCACCGCCGACCAGCCUCCGCCUCCUCCUGUCCAGGUCGCCGUCCGCCGGCCAGUCCCUCCAGAUCCGCCGCUCGCCUGCUCCGGAUCCGAGGGCCGCUCCACCCCUUUCCAGGUCUCCGUAUCCAAUUCAACAGUGACUGAAGGUUAGCUCCGAUUUUCCGGAAAUUCAGCAGCGACGCGCACUUCUUCAGUUAAUCAUUUGGAUUUGCCCUGGUGUUAAGCUGCGUGCGCCUGUGUGUAGCCUGCUGGUCCGGGCGGCGGCGGCAAGAUGAGGCUUCUGCGGGUGGCCACCUGCAACCUCAACCAGUGGGCCAUGGACUUCGACACCAACCUCCGCAACGUCAAGGAGUCCAUCUCCCGGGCCAAGGCCGCCGGGGCCGUCGUCCGCAUCGGCCCCGAGCUCGAGCUCACCGGAUACGGCUGCGAGGACCAUUUCCUCGAGCAGGACACCACGGCGCACGCGUGAGUGCCCCUUCUCCGUAGCCUACUCACUACCGAUGAGUUGAAGAACCCUGCACAAAACAUGUACUCUCAUAGCAGUGCUAAGAUGCUAGUACUAAUUUCUCUGUUUGUUUAUGUGGUCACGGUUGAAAAAAAAAGGCACCGCGGAAACGCUAAUUUCAUUAACCUGUUUAGCUUUAUUUAUGUGUGUUAUGCAAACUUCACUGUAUGCAUUCGGAACUGAAUUUGUAUGGUAACCCUUUGAGUGCCCAUUGCCGUUUAAUGGUAGAGAUAUUUCUAAAGUGUAAUAAAAAAUGAAUAAUGCCUAGUAAUGAUAUUCUGCCUAGGAUUUCACAUUUUUAUUAGUGGUAUAAUAUUUGCAACCUUCAUAUUAUACUCUUAUGUUAAUUACUCUUUUCUAUAUGAACAACCUGCAGAUGGGAGUGCCUCAAGGACAUUCUGUCUGGUGACUAUACAGACAACAUCUUGUGCAGCAUAGGAAUGCCUAUCAUUUUCAAGAGUGUACGGUACAACUGCCAGGUUUUCUGCCUAAAUCGCAAGAUAAUUAUGAUUCGGCCCAAGAUGUCCCUUGCAAAUGACGGGAACUAUCGUGAAUUUCGAUGGUUUUCUGCUUGGACAUAUAAAGAUGAACUUGUCGACUUUCAACUCCCUAUUGAUGUCUCAGAAGCUAUAGACCAGGAAACUGUGCCUUUUGGUUAUGGUUAUCUUCAGUUUCUUGACGUGUAAGUACUAUUGCUAAAUUGUUUCUUUAUGAUUGGGAACAUGUGAUUUCAGCCUGAUUCUAUCUUGGCUAUCAUACUGGAUAGGGCAAUGUUUUGUGAAUAUUUUCUAAACCAAGUUGGAUACAGAACCUAAGUGUCUAGGUAUAGGAUGUUUUUAUUUUGUUAAUAAUUAUUUAUAGUCCUCUAUGAUCAUUUUGAGCCAAUGUCCCUGCGAUGCCUUUUCCUGCCUCUUUACAAUAUUCAGAAUGCAUCUCUAGUUCUUGAUACCUAGUUAGUCCUUUUAUCUAAUGUAAAUGUGCUACAACAUGUUUAUGAUUUUUAGCAUAUAUGCUCAAUUUGCCCUUUGCUAAUAUGAUUUAUGUUAUUACACAUUCUUAAUUAGUAAUUGUAUAUGUUAUGUGAUUGAUGAUCUUGCAUUUCUUGAUGAUAUUAGACUGCUUAAUUAACCUGAUUCUGUUACAGCUUUUCAUUUUAGUUAUUAAUUUCAGAUCUUUGGCUGCUGAAACCUGUGAAGAGCUAUUUACUGCAAAUGCUCCUCGGAUUGACCUAGCAUUCAGUGGCGUCGAGGUCUUCAUGAAUGCAAGUGGAAGCCAUCAUCAGUUAAGGAAGCUCAAUCUUCGGAUUGAUUCCAUGAGAAAUGCAACCCGCUUAUGUGGUGGUGUAUACAUGUAUGCUAAUCACCAGGGUUGUGAUGGUGGCCGCCUUUAUUAUGGUAUGCUAAUAUGUCGGUGUUUUCUCUCUGUUUUUCUUUGCAUUAUCCUAUCCCUUGGGAGCUUUUAAACUUCAUAGCACUUUAUUAUCAGUUCUAGUUCGAUGUUUAGGUUCCACCGUUGUUCUUUCCAACAUUAAGGUUGCAGUCGAUUGAGGGUCGCUUUGAAGUGUGUGUGAUUGGAAUUCCUCAAGUGUUCCUUCUAGAAUAACCUUUGUAUUUGGAUAUACCUGACACAUUGUUGACUGUGGUAACAGUAAUGGUAUUUUGCACAAGCUGAACUUCGAGUGACAUUUCAGUAUUCUACUGAAUUGGCACUACUGACAUCAUAUGGUGAUUCUUUUCUUGUUUUGUUGCACAAGUUGCAGUGAUGAUAUAUAGUGCUUUUGGUUCUGUUGUUUCUGACAUCCAUGUAUCAUUGAAACCUUUGUCUUCAAUCCAGUAAUAGCUUUCUUAUUCAAGACUAAACAAAAGACUCGAGUAUAGAAGGCCAGUGAGUGAAGUACACAAGCUAGAGAAAAUGCCUUAAGCAAUACAACCAUCCAUAGCAUACCUACAUUGUGAAUCCAGCAGUAGUUUAGUGCUAAGUUGAUCUAUGCAUUUAUGAAUUGACUUUAUCAGAGUUGCAUGAUUUGAUUCAUUUGUUCUAAGUCGUCCUGAAUGUUCCUCACUAGAUGGCUGCUGCUGCAUUGCGGUGAAUGGUGAUGUGGUUGCCCAGGGAUCACAAUUCUCAUUGAAGGAUGUUGAAGUGUUGGAUGCUUUGAUAGAUCUGGAUGCUGUAAGUUCUAGCUCCUUCGGAUUUUAGUUGCAGUCAUAUAGUGCUGCUAGUGGUUCCUAAUUUCCUAUUAUUCUUUGAAUUAGUUGGUUUCCAUAAUUGAAGGAUCUUGAAUCAAUAUUAAUGGCAGUAUGAAAACAUGUUUCGUAGGAGUACUUCAGAAUAGGGUAAUCAAGCUACACUCACACAGACAAACAGUUUCUACUCAGUUCUGUAAAUUUGUUAGUUUACUUUCUUUGUUUUUGCCUGGAAGAAUAUUUGCCAACUGUUGCAUCAUUAUAUGCUGUUCAGAAAUUACUUGCAUCUCCACCAUGUUUAAUUUUAUUCUUGUGUUGGUUGAAUUAUGAUUGUGUAUAGGGUUCUCUAAGGUCAUAAGUUUUCGGUUCUUCUCCUUUAUAUUUGUUAAGAGAGCUUUUCUAGCCUGUAAUUACUACUUCUAGUAGAUAACGGUUUAUCCUCGACGUAAUUAUAUGGAUUGAAUUUUCGCAUAACUGAACAUUCUUUUGUGGAACCAGGUAUCGAGUUAUCGAGCAUGUGUUUCUAGUUUUAGGGAGCAAGCAAGCCACGUAACAAAAGUACCUUGUGUUAAGGUACAAUAUAAGCUUUGCCAAACAUUUCGUGAUGGAAUGAUCCCAACUGAUCCAAUUGAGGUUAGUUUCUGUUUCUGGAUUUGAUCCAUUUCUGGAACGCUGCAGUAUAUUAUAUUUUACUUUUUAACCGUGUCCGAAAGAGACCGAUUUGUUUUAGAACCCACCGUAUCGUAGGAUCACGAUACUCUUAGAUUUAUAUUUCCAAUUAUAAUUGUUUUGUGUGUUAUAUCUAAUAAUAUCUGAGAUGAAUUAUCUAACACAAUUUCUUACUAGCACCGCUGGAACAUUUUUUAGCGAAUGCAAAUUGUGCUCCUAAUUCCAAAUGAAAUUGCUGCCCAGCUUGCAACCGUUCGGAUGUCCAUUGUUUCUCCUAUGGAAUGAGAAGAAGCAAAUAUUUGGCCCACUGCCAAAUGAUGACACAGCAGCAACGAACUAGAGUUUAGUACCACAUCACGAAUAACCUAGGCAUGGACAUGCUUAUAAACCUUUGCACGUGCACCGACCUGCUUAAAUUAAGUGGGUUGCCAUGUUGCACUGUUCUUUCUCCUGUUAACCCUGGAGAAGACCUUAUUGUGACCCCAGCUAAUCUACCGAUGGGACCACAGUCUGACAAGUGAUAACAAUUCUAGAAAAUUACAAUAAAAGUGUUAUAUGUACUACUUCGGCCUGUUAGAGUUCUAAGAAUGCAUGAUACGAUCUGUAUCGCUGUCCUGAAAGCCUUGUUCUAGACAGCGCACAAAUAUAGUUUAUGAGAUGACAAAGCUUUGAAGUCAUGUUGGCUAGACGGCUGGUGCAUUAUUAGUUACUAAGCUGCCUUCUUACUUUCAUAGUUGAGUCGAAGAAGUAAAUUCUUGAACUGGGUUAAGGUAUGGUCAUAUGGGUCAAUGGACAACAGGGGUGCUUAGUGAACUUUUUAUGUCUUAAUACUCCGCAAUGAUUAGGAUUUGCCGCUGUCAUAUUUUUGUUUUAUUUUUCUUUGUAGUGCUUGAAAAAAAUCCGAAAUGCGGACCGAGAUGAGUAGUGUUGGAAAGUCAUAUGCAAACUUUGACAAGCCACAGUUGAUUUUUUCUGAAGUUUUGACUAACCUUUUUUUAUCACCUCUGAAGAUUAUGUAUCACUGUCCUGAAGAGGAGAUUGCGUUUGGACCUAGUUGCUGGCUAUGGGAUUAUCUUCGCAGAAGUCGAGCGUCGGGAUUUUUGCUUCCACUUUCUGGUGGUGCGGAUAGUUCAUCUGUUGCAGCAAUUGUUGGCUGCAUGUGCCAGCUUGUCAUAAAAGGUCAGGUCAAAAAGUCUUUCUUAGUUUUCUCCAUUGGCAUAAUUUUCUAUAAAUGCCUUUUGGGAUGUACUAUCUCCUUGCCAAAUUAUGUACUAUAAAUGCCUUGUUUAUGCUUCAUGCAUUGGUUCAUGGAGCCUCUGGGUCAUCAAUUUGGUAAGGAGGAAGUAGGUCGCAGGAAAGUAGUUAAAUAGUUUAUCCGCACACUGAUAUGUCCUCCUUAGAAAAGAAAUAGGAGCUAUUACAUGCCCGUCUGUGCAACUAUCAGCACUGAUCCUCUAGAUAUUCUUAGCUGUAGUGUUCUUAUUCUUUUCAUUUCAGUAAUAGUAGGUUCAUUAAGACAAUACUGCCUAAAUAUAAGGCGUAUUUUGACGGUCCCAGUUCAAGUGUUUAUCGUAAUUAUCUUGUACAUUAUAUUUUUAAGAGCGAGAAAAAUCAUGAUCAUAAUUUCUUUUAAAUACGAAUUGAACAGUACCAAAUUUGUAUGCAUAACCUACACGUUAUUAUCAUCGAAUUAAUUGUUGGUCAAAGCUUGGACUUGGAAGUUAAAAUUUGCCUUAUAUUUCUGAAUGGAGGGAAUAUUUAUGAGGCUAAUGAUCUUUUCAUACACCCAACUUGCAGAUAUAAAUAAAGGAGAUGAGCAAGUUAAGGCUGAUGCUAUGCGGAUUGGUCAGUAUAAAGAUGGGGAGUUCCCCACAGACAGCAGAGAACUUGCAAAACGUUUAUUUUAUACUGUUUACAUGGGAACAGAAAAUAGGUAAUCUUUGGCUUAAGGAUUCAGUUCUUUUCAGUGUAUCUUUCUCUAGAGUACCGUCCUUCUCAUUUGACACGCAUCAGUAUAUUCUCUAUGUAAAUUGAUUAACUUGAUAAUGAUGAUAUGUACUGUAUUUUCUCCCAAGCCCUGCUCGACUUGUAUCAUUUGUGUUAUAUCUCAUGGAACUGAAACUAGCAUUUCGGACAUCCAUGGCGAAAACUGUAUAUCCUCACUUCAGUUCCAUGAGAGUACCAAUGAAAUUGGCAUUGGUUGACUAUUGGGAGAGUCAUCUCAUGGAACUGAAGUUGGCAUUGAUCUCUGAAACCAGGACAAUAUGGUUUACUACUGAAAUAGCUACCAGAAUUUCACAGGCAUUGGACCUUUCACAUAUGCUGCUGAUUGUUUCUUCAUUAAUUUAUAUCUUUAUUAUUUCUUAAUGUUCUUCAUAGAGUGUAUAUAUGCUUUACAUAUACUUUGCUUGCCACAUAGUAUUUUUUUUCCCCCUUAUUCAUAGUAUUAUUUCUCCACAGUUCUGAAGAUACCAGAUCACGCGCCAAAAGGCUGGCGGAAGAGAUUGGUUCAUUCCACUUCGAUGUACCUAUUGACAGUGUAGUGUCUGCAUUUCUUUCUUUGUUUGAAAGGUUAACCGGCAAGCGACCACGCUAUAAGGUAUUUUGAUACCAUGGCAUUCUAAUCUACUAAAGAAACUGCCUAAAUGCAUUCUGCGAACAUCUUUAUUUAUAACAACAUUUUGUUUAUAUGGCUAACACAAAAUGUUGAACUGAAGUUUUUGUCUUAUAUCCUUGGUGGUGGGUAAAUGUUAACUUGUUGAAUGCAAUAUUUGUGAAAUGCAAAAUAUCCCAGACUUAAGUACUCAUCCAUUCUGAAGUAUAUGAGCAGAGAAACAUUUCUUUGUAAUUAUGGAAGUAGAAACUGAAAGAAAACCAAGAACAAGCGCUAUGUGUGCUCCUUUCAAGUACUCCCUCCGUCCCAAAAUAAGUGACUCAAAAAUGACUCAACUUUGUAUAAAGUUGAGUNUAAAGUGGAUAAUCAUUUAUCACAUGGCAUAAAAUUCUGAAAUCCCAUUUCCUAGUUUGAGAAACCAAAUGUUUAAUUUAGAUAACCUACCAAGCAACAACUAUCAUAAAUCAUGAAGUGACCGGGACCAGUGACAUGCUUGCAUUUGGUUCCUUGACAAGCUGGAAGCAGUUGAGGUAAAUUUUGAUGAUCAGUAUCUAUGCUAAAUAAUUCAGGUUGACGGAGGAUCACAUACUGAGAAUCUGGGAUUACAAAAUAUUCAAGCUCGAAUCAGGAUGGUGCUUGCCUUUAUGAUGGCUUCUUUAAUGCCAUGGGUUCAUAACAAGUCUGGGUUCUAUCUUGUUCUUGGAAGCUCAAAUGUGGAUGAAGGAUUGCGUGGUUACUUGACGAAAGUAAGUUAAAAGUUUAACAGAUGUCUGCUCCCUUUUAGAUACAAUGUUCUCACCCAUGUUGGCCCUAGGGAACCAAGUAUAUAUUUUCCUUCAUGAAUCCAUCAUUUCAAGUCAGCACUUGUUGGGACUCUUUGAUAGUCUGUGAUGACAACUAAUGACUAAUGACAAUAACCAUUGCUUCGUCUGUUAAGUAUGACUGCAGUUCAGCCGAUAUAAACCCCAUUGGAAGUGUAAGUAAGCAAGAUCUUAGGGCUUUCCUACGAUGGGCAGCAGUUAAUCUUCAGUAUUCAUCAUUGGCUGAGGUUGAAGCUGCACCUCCUACUGCAGAGCUUGAGCCAAUCCGCAUGGAUUAUAACCAGGUGAGUUUGAACACCCAGAAGUUUGUUACUAGGCCAGCUCUAGUUUGUUGACGGGAACUUGGUGUUCCCAGUGCUUUUGACCCUGCUCCUCCGCCCCCCUCCCUAUUGAUAUUUCGAAUUCAUUAUAGCUUAAAAAUCUAUGUAAUGCUGCUUGUGUCUCGUGAUUGGUAACAGAACAUUGUUUAACUCAGUUGUUACAUUGCCCUCAAAGUAUUCCAUUAGUACUCCCCCCGGUCCUUCUUAGUCUGCAUAUAGGUUUUGUCCGAAGUCGAAGUAUCUCUACUUUGACCAAACUUAUAGAAGAAAGUAUCAACAUUCACAAUCCAAAUCAAUAUUGUUAGAUUCAUUAUGAAAUUUAGUUUCAUAGUAUAUAUAUUUGAUAUUGUAGAUAUUGAUAUUUUUUAAUAUAAAUUUGGUCAAACUGUGCCAAGUUUGACUUCACAAAUCUAAUACGCUAAGUAAAAAGGACUGGAGGGAGUAUAUUAUUCAUUAAAGUUUCAGUUAUACUUGUGCAUACAAUUGUCUUAGCCAGCUAUCCACAAAAAUUAUAUUCCCAAAUAUUCUCGUUUGAUGCUAUUUCCGUUUAAAUAGUUGGAUGAAGUGGACAUGGGGAUGACGUACGAGGAGUUAUCGAUAUAUGGGAGAUUAAGGAAAAUAUUCCGAUGCGGUCCUGUUUCGAUGUUUCAGGUUGGUCUACAGCUGACUUUAUUAUUUGUUUACUAAUCUAAAAUUAGAAUUCAAGGCAUCCUUUUGCUCCACACUUAAGUGUAUGUAUGAUGUCGAGCUUUAGCUGCAUAUUUGACAAAAAAUGUCUGUAAUUCCAUGGGUUAUGCCUAUAUGAGGAAAAUGCCAUUUGUUUGUAGUUACUGUUAUAUGAAUUAUGUCUGCUUUGUCAAGGAGUUUCCUUUUUUUAAUGUUUUUCCAUGGAUUGCAAUACAGUUUCUUUCAGUUAAGUGAUACUUAAAAGGGGAUGGCUACACAAAGUUCAGUGUUUUACUCGCUUGCAUGUUCUUCACCUCUCCUCUCACUACUAUGAUGAAUAGUACUCCCUCCGUCCCAUAAUAUAAGAGCGUUUUUUACAUUAGUGUAGUGUUAAAAACGUUCUUGUAUUAUGGGGCGGAGGGAGUAGAUGGUAGAAAAGGUCCGUUUGAAGUUAAAAAACUGACACUUCCACAUACUUAUUUUGACACUUCAAUAAUAAAACUUACCAAUAGACAUCAGUAAUAAAACUUACCAAUAGACAUCAAAAGUCAAUCUGUGUAAUAACAAUACUGGGAGCAUCCAGUGUUGUUUCUCUAAUGUAUAUAUGUGGUAGGAACCGCUAGGGUUCUACCGGGUCUAGGGCGGAGGUUGUAGGGGAUGAAGCGGAGCUGGCGAGGGCUGGAGCGCGACGGCCUGCGGCGGGGCGCCGUUGCGCGCGAGAGGGAGACGGCGGCGGUGGAAGGCGGCGGCGCAGCUAGGGUUUCGGCUCCUCUGGGAGCCGGGCAAUAGAGUUAUGACUAUAUUGCUUAAUUCCAAAAGAGUUGGUUACAUCGGUUUAUAUAAUCUCGAUAACUUGGACUCUAAGAUAACUUGGACACUGAGAUAACUAAGAUAACUUGGGCUAAGCCCGUAACUAAUCCUGCCCAUUGGGCCUCCUAACAUCUCUCCCGCCUGCGCAAACAGCUCGUCCUCGAGCUGGAAGUCUGGAUAGUGCCGACUGAAUUCGUUGAAAACCGCCCAUCCUACCGGUUGACCAUCAUCCGCCGCUUCCGUCCUAGCCGUCUUCGGGUCAACCGGUAGGAUGGGCGGGGGCGGUCGGCCAUAGACCACCUCGAACUGCGUGGCGCGCAAGGCGAGGUGAUAAGAGGUGUUGUAGCAGUACUCCGCCCAGGCAAGCUAGUCCACCCAAGCACGAGGACGAUCACCUGUAACACAAUGCAAAUACAUGGCAAUCACCUUGUUGACCACCUCGGAUUGACUGUCCGUCUGAGGAUGGAACGCCGUGCUCAAGUCCGCUUCACGCCCGCCAUCCUGAAGAGAUCGCGCCAGACAUGCCCCGUGAACACCGGGUUCCGGUCGCUGACGAUCGAAGAGGGAAACCCGUGUAGGCGAACGAUGCUGUNAGGUGGCGGUGUAAGGAUGGCCAAGCGCGAUGAAGUGGCGUACUUGGAGAAGCGAUCGACCACUAUGAGGAUGACGGACUUGCCGCCCACCUUGGGAAGGCCCUCAAUGAAGUCCAUGGAGAUAUCGGCCCAGACCUGAGAAGGCACCUCCAAGGGCUGUAGCAGCCCUACCGGUCGCUGUGUCUCCGUCUUGUUACGCUGGCAUGUCGCACAAGACCGCACCCAGUCUCGAACCAGGGCCCGAUCGCCCGGGAUGUAGAAGUUGGCGCGGAGACGGUGGAGGGUCUUCUGCACACCCUUGUGGCCUGCCGAGUGGGCCAGCAACAACACCUGAUGACGGAGGUCGCUGUGAUCCGGCACGAAGAGGCGUCGCCCAUGCAGGAGCAGGCCCUCCGCUAAACACCACGGCUCCUUCAGGUUAUCGGCAUCAAGGCGCCGCCGAAGGGACUGUGCGUCGGGCGCGUCCGUGGUGGCCCGGCGGAUGUCGUCGAAGAGGGCGAACGAGGGCCCUAAGCGGAUGCAGAGGGCCGCCCCGUCGGAGUUGCCCGCGUUAGCGUCGUGGUCGUCGCGGCGGGACAGAGCGUCGGUCCAAUAGGAACUUGAGGCUGUAGUGAUACUCGAUGGUGAAGUCGAAGCCAAAGAGCUUGCUGAUCCACUGGUGCUGCGGCAUGGUAGAUAGCCUCUGGUCCAAUAGGAACUUGAGGCUGUAGUGAUGCGUGCGAAUCCGAAACGACCGUCCCCAAAGAUAUGGCCGCCAGUGGCGUAUGGCCUGCACCAGACCAAUGAGCUCCCUCAUAGGCUGCGAGCUUGUGAUGGCGCGUGGCGAAAGGCCUGCUAAAGAACGCGAGGGGCCCGUCGCCCUGAUGAAGGACGGCGUCGAACCCCACGCCGGAGUCGUAGUCGACCAUGAACGGUCGGUCGAAGUCGGGCAUCUGAAGGACGGGACCUGUCGUAAGGGCCCGUUUGAGGGCAUCAAACGCCUCCGUGGCCUCCGAAUCCCAGGCGAAGGCAUCCGCGGGAGUGCGCCGUUGGCCAGGCCGCAACGGCCGCCACCUUGUCGGCGUCCAUAGCAACACCCUCGGUCGAGAUGACGUGGCUGAGGUAGGUGACAGAAGGCGUCCCGAACGAGCACUUCGAGCGCUUAAGAUGAAGAUGGUGCGCUCGAAGCUCGUUGAAGACGAUGGCGACGUGCUGAAGAUGUUUCGCCCAUGUCGUGUUGUAGAUAAGAAUGUCAUCAAAGAAAACAAGCACAAACCGACGCAAGUAGGGCUGGAGGACGUUGUUCAUCAAGGCCUGAAAAGUCGUCGGAGCGUUGGAGAGGCCAAAAGGCAUCACCAAGAACUCGAAGUGGCCGUGAUGAGUUUGAAAUGCCGUCUUUGCGACGUCGUCCGGGUGCAUCCGCACCUGGUGGUAGCCCGAACGGAGGUCAAGCUUGGUGAAGAAGCACGCCCCAUGCAGUUUGUCCAGGAGCUCGUCGACGACCGGAAUGGGAAAUUUGUCUUUGAGCGUCUGGGCGUUAAGAGCGCGGUAGUCGAUGCAGAAGCGCCACGAGUUGUCCGACUUGCGGACGAGGAGGACCGGCGCCGAAAACGGUGAAGUGGAGAUCCGGAUGAUGCCCAGGGCUAGCAUGAGCGAACACUGCCGUUCCAGCUCGUCCUUCUGCAGCUGGGGGUAGCGGUAGGGAUGCACCGCCACCGGCGCCGUGCCUGGCAGGAGAUGGAUGCGGUGGUCAUACACCCGGGCCGGCGGCAGACCCUAUGGCUCGUCAAAGAGGUCGCUGUGCUGCUGCAGGAGAUGGUCCAACAGAGGGUGCACGGACUCGGUAGCAGUCGUGGCCAGUUGCCGCUGUGGCGUCGCUGGUGGGGCGCCACCCGCGCCCUCCCACCGGACGCGGCGACCCAGGCGCCAGAAGGUCAUCGUCAUGGCGUCGAAGUCCCAGAGAAUGGGACCUAGGGUCCGUAAGAAGUCGACGCCGAGGAUGAAGUCGAAGCAGCCCAAGUCGAUGCCAGCGCAUGUGAUGGUGAAGUGUUCGUCGCUGAUGGUGAUGGGGACGUCCAGUGCGAACCCAUGACAUCGGAGACGGUCGCCGUUAGCCACGGUGACCCGCAACUACUCCCCGCCCGUCGGCUGAAGUGCCAAGCGACGCAUGGUCUACUCGGGCAGGAAGUUAUGUGUGGAGCCCGUAUCCAGAAAGGCCAGGAGGCGCUCGCCGUGGAUCAUUUCUGACAGGAGCAGAGUCUUCUCCGCUCGUAUACCCGCGAGGGCAUGGAGGGAGACCACGAGAGCUGUCGCCGGUGCCGGUGCGACCUCCGCAGCAGCUGGUGCGGCGAAGUCGCCGAGCUCGUCGGCGGGCGUGUCCUCGUUGACGUAGUCGGCCGCCUCCAAGUAGAAGAGACGCGGGCAGACGUGGCCUUGCACGUAGGGCUCGUCGCAGUUAAAGAACAGCCCCUGGCAACGGCGCUCGAGCUGCUCGGCCGGGGUGAGCUGGUGGAAGGGCCGCGUCGAGGCCGAAGUGGUAGUCGCAGGAGGGACCGGGGGCGGAUGGCCCGGCACAGCUGUAGGCUAGGGAAACCGGGUAGGCUGUCGGCCACUUCGUGUCGGCGCCGCCUGCUGCAAAGCCUGCGCACGACGCUUGAAGGCGCGGGCGUAGUACAUGGCCGUCUGGAGGUCCUUGGGCCCCCGAAGCUCCACGUCCACGCGGAUGUGAUCCGGCAGACCACCGACGAAGAGCUCGGCCCGCUGCUGAGCCGUCACGCCAGGGCCUGGAACCGGUCGGCGAAGUCCUGUACCGUGGAGGUGAAGGGCAGUUGGCCGAGCUCCGCCAACCGGCUCCCUUGUAUCGGAGGUCCGAAGCGAAGGAGGCAGAGCUCGCGGAAGCGUUCCCAUGAGGGCAUGUCGCCCUCGUCCUGCUCGAGGGCGUAAUACCACGUCUGUGCGGCGCCUCAAAGGUGAUAUGAGGCGAGCCAAGUGCGGUGCGACGCGAGUGUGCAUUGCCCCCGGAAGAACUGCUCACACUGAUUGAGCCACUUGAGGGGGGUCCUCCGUACCGUCGUAGGCGGCUAAGUCAAUCUUGGCGAAGCGCGGCGGUGUCUGAGUAAGACCGCCGUGUCCGUACGGCUCGGUGGUGCGGAGCAAGGGUGACGUUGCCGGGUCGGUGGCCACCGGGGGUCCCCCUUGGAAAGACGGCCCGUCGCGGCUGGCGUAGCGGCCCGCGGAGCUUGAGGGCCCUCCAUACUACACAGCGGUCGCCGGCUGCUCCGACGCCAUCGUGUAGACCGGCAGCGGAACGGACCCGGCCAACCAGGCCGUAAGGGGGGGCGGUGAGGGCGGGAACCGGACUUGCUGGAUCGGGACGCCUGGUGUUGUGGCGGGCGGCCUGGAGAUGAACUGCUGUGGCCCCGGCAGCUGCAGCGGCAAGGGGGCGGCCGGCGCGGCCGACGCCGCAAGCGCCUGAGUCGGCCAGGGCGACCAAGGCAGCGUGGUGGCUGGAGGGGGCGGCAGCUGCAGUGACCAGGCGAUCGCGGGUCCCGGCGGUGGUGGCUGGUGCCUGGGAAGCAGCUGCAACCCGCCGCCGGGGGCAGGCAGCGCCGCCGGUGGCGGACCGUAGGGGCCGGCUAGAUAAAGGCGGAUCCCCUGGACCGCGGUGGCGAGGUCGCGCAGGGCCCCCAUGACCUCCUCCGGGGUGUAGAUGACAGGGGCCGGGGCGGCAGUGGUAGGCGGUGGCGGCUGCCGUACCAGGCGGCGUGGUGGAGAUGGCCGGCAGCAGGGUGGUGGUGGUGAUCGGGAGGGUGGUGGCGGCCGGCGAGGAUGACAUGAUCGGCCUGAAGUCUCUAGAUACCAAAUUGGUAGGAACCGUAGGGUUCUACCGGGUCUAGGGCGGAUGUUGUAGGAGAUGAAGCGGAGCUGGUGACGGCUGGAGCGCGGCGGUGGAAGGCGGUGGCGCAGCUAGGGUUUCGGCUCCUCUAGGAGCCGGGCAAUAGAGUUAUGACUAUAUUGCUUAAUUCCAAAAAAAGUUGUUUACAUCGGUUUAUAUAAUCACGAUAACUUGGACUCUAAGAUAACUAAGAUAACUUGGACACUGAGAUAACUAAGAUAACUUGGGCUAAGCCCGUAACUAAUCCUGCCCAUUGGGCCUCCUCCUUUGGUACGUAGUACCGGUCAUAACAAUAUGUGAGAAUUUUUCAUGAGUUUUAUGGGUUUAUUUUUGAAGUUAAAUAGUGCGGUGGUGCUGCCGUGUGUUUCUAUUGUGUUUAGUAGUGUUUUUUAUUUAUUUCAGUAGCCUUAUUAUUGCAAUGCUUUUGCUGAAAGAAAUGUUGGAUUAGAUACAGGAAAUAACUAGCUGAUCUUUAAAUUAUAAGUGAAAUUAUUGUAGUUAUUAUCAUCGGUGCAAAUAUGUUUCCAAGUAUUAAGUGCUAAAACAUCUUGCUACAGAACCUCUGCCACAGGUGGUGUGGGCGACUAUCCCCCUCAGAAGUGGCUGAUAAAGUGAAGCACUUCUUCAAGUACUACGCCAUAAACCGGCACAAGAUGACGGUCUUGACACCAUCCUAUCACGCCGAGGUGCUCGCCUGUUCCAGUCUGUAGACACAAGACCUGCCGCCUUAUGCUGCUGCUAUAACCUUAGCCUACUAUUUUUUGCAGAGCUAUUCACCAGAGGACAACAGGUUUGAUCUCCGGCAAUUCCUAUACAACUCGACAUGGCCAUACCAGUUUCGGAAGAUUGAUCAGCUUGUGCAAGAUAUCGACAAAGAUGGCAAAUGGGUGGACGAUCGUCGUGCAGACUCGCAGCUGAGACAACGCGCAGCCGCUAGGCCUGCGCAGGGAGGUGGAAUGGGAGUCGUGGCCGCGGGAUCUGCCAAUCCCAGUGUUGGGUUGUAACAAAAUAGGGCAUGCUGACUUACGGAGUAGGUCACGCAAGGUAAAGUGUUUUUUCAGUCAUUAUCUCAGUGGAGCUUUUACUCGGUUAUUAUUACCAUGUCCUGUAAACUUUAUGUUUGUUGGUGGCUUGAGGUGGCUUCUUGGUGCUGAUGGAUACUUUGGCUUUGCUGCAGGUUGGAUAGACUGGAAAACCAGAAUAGUACAUAGAAUAAUUGUCAAGGGCCAAACACAAGAGUUCCUCAAGGCAUGGACGAUUGAUGUUUUGUUUUCAAAUUCUUCUCCCUGCCUCCUCCUUGUCCUUUUAAUUGCACCAGUUCAGUUAACUGAAGUAACUUUGGUUGCACCGUUCAAGUUAACAAUGCGAAAUGCAGUGCCAACUAGGCACAGCAAGUUUGCUGGCCACGUAGGCCGGAACAUAAAAAAACCAAGACGAAGCCGAAAGCAAUCGACAACGCUGACCGGCUUGCAGACGGCACGAACCAUACAAAACAGUAAGCUAUUUAAUGAGUAUGGAGUUUGGCGAGAUAUCUUGUGGUAGAAGUAAAUGAGCAAGUGUACUCUUAGCCAGGUUUAGACGUUUAUUUAAUGAUUGUGCGUGAGAGUUUGGCUGGCAACUUGCAAAGUAGUUUGCACUUUAGAAGGAGGGAAAAUUUUGUUUUUACCAUUCCAGUUUUUGCCUAUUUUCCUUAUGCCACUCUAGGUUUUAACAAUUCACUUUUGUCACUCUUAGCUUUUGACAAUUAUUAUAAUUGACAUUCCGUGACAAAAGCACACUAAUUUUAUUUCACUUUUGCCACUCUUAGAUUUUGACAGUGGAUCAUAAUUGCCACUCUGAAAAUUUUGUUUAUGCCACAGAAUGGCAAUUGUGAUAAUUGUCAACAACUAAGAGUGGCAAAAGUGAAAUGUCAAAUCUAGAGUGACAUAAGGAAAAAUUGGCAAAAGCUAGAGUUGCAAAAACAAUAUUUUUUCCGAAGGAGGAACCUUCUAGCUAGGGGAUAAACUAGAGCAAUGGAGCAGGCUGGAGGAUCUGAUCCUGAUAAGCGGAUAUGGCUCGGCUGGAAAGUCAAAACGGCCAAUUCAGUGUCGAAUCUCUUGCUCUUGCCGUGCAAAGUGUUGGCGAAGUUGCUUUUAACGGGUUUUUAUGGCAGUCUCUGGGUCAAAGCUUCUUCUCUAUGUAGUCCUAAAGAAAAGUGUCACGUGAUCUGGUACUAUGUUUUUUGGGAAAGUCUUACAUUUCACCGACUGAUCCGCGUGAUCCAUCCGCCGUUCGCUUGUCCGUUGGAUUUGGCGUCGAUCUGAUCGCGAACCGUUCCUGAAACUGGAUCGUUGUUUCAGAAACUGGGCAGUUGUUUUGCAAAAUUGCCCAUCCGUGUCUCCGCCUCCGCCUUGGCCCCGACGACCUCGCCGCUGCCGGCCUGCUGCAUCUCGCCGCCCCUCCGCCGCCGGCAUGCCCGCCCCCUUCCGUCGCCCUUGCUCGCCCUCCGCCGCCGCCCCGCGCCACGGCCCCGCCUCGUCGGCCUGCACCGCGGCCCUCCGUCGCCGGCCUGCAUGCCGCCCUCCGCCGCUGCCCCGCGCCACGGCCCNGCCCCGCCCCGUCGGCCUGCACCGCGGCCCUCCGUCGCCGGGCUGCCCGUCGCCCUCCGCUGCCGCCCCGCGCCACGGCCCCGCCCCGUCGGCCUGCACCGCGGCCCUCCGUCGCCGGCCUGCACGCAGCCCUCCGCCGCCCCUGCCCGCCCUCCGCCGCUGCCCCGCGCCACGCGUUCUGCAACUCGACCUUUGUUGCAAAAAGUUUCCUGCAACACGACAUUUUGUUGCAAAAAUUUCUUCCGUAAAAAUACCUAUGUUACAGAAAGACGAAGAAAAAAAUAUUCUGCAACAAGCAAAUUGUUUCUGAAACUCGACCGUUGUUUCAGGAAUUAACAGAUCCAAAGUUUAUUUUUUGCAACAAAGCGAAAGUUUCUGCAACUCGAGCAUCGUUUCAGAAAUUGCGUCCAGAGCGGAUCAGACGCAGCGGAUCGGACGGCUACACGCGCGAGAUCGAACGGCUGUCGAGGUGGUGGAUAUUUAAUAAAUAUCCAUCGGUAGAUGCGUAGCAGUCCCUAUGUUUUUUUGGGUACGGAACUGUAACCGGUGCAACAAAAAUGGCGAUUGGCGAUGGGCGUACGUACUCUGACUGACAGCGGCGUAGAGAAAUGGACCGGAUCGGGUGCAGCUGAGCUUAAUGUUUGCUCCCAUAUUUUAGGUCAGCAGCAAGCACAAGACAGACAUCCUGGAAUAUAGUUGCUGGCCUGGCCACGCUAGCCACGUAUGCGGAUCAUUACGCACGAUCGGGUUUUUCAAUUCCGUUGGAAUCGAAACGGGCGUGGGUGCUUUGGUUGGUGCCAUCCGCUCUGUCUGUCUUGUCAUCGUCGUGCGAGGCAAAAUGUUUCAUUUCGUGUCGGUGUCGCCUGCUCCGUUCACAAGGGUAGUACUCUACUACAUUGCCGGCUUUGAAAAAAAGGGACAGCUACGCAUUCACCGGUUGAUGUGUGUUAUACAUCCAUCACACCGAUAGCCGUUGGAUCUACGUACGGGCAGUGUCCGAUCGAUUUGCUGUCACGUCCUGCUUGUCCCCUACCUCACUCGUUAAUUCCCACAACAACGACUUUGUUGCAGAAACAUUUAUAACAGAGAUGAUGUUGCAGAUUCCUGCAACAAUAGUUUUGUUGCAGAAACAUUUAUAAUAGAGAUUGUGUCGUAGUUUUUUUUUUUUUGCUAAUAAAGGUUAUGUUGCGGAAUUUUUUUGACUAACAGAGGUUGCAAGGUCACCGAUGCAGCUGUGCCUACUGCAGCGCACCCUGCACUCAAUGGAGUUGUCGUGCUUGUAGAUAUGAACCUUCAGGUCGAGGCCAAAGAUGAGCAUCACGAUGAGGACGUCUGGGAUGAUCCUGUGACGACGAUAGAAGUACUGUCAUUCCCGACCAAGCAUCGUAUGGCCGACGAAGUUGUGGACUUGAACUAGCAUGAUGAACACAUUAUUACGCAUGAGCACUGAGCAUGAACAUGAAACACAACAACUAUCUACCAUGCCCAUGAACAAAAUGCACAUCAUGAGCAGCACUAAGCACUAAGCAGAACACACUAUGCUUGAAUAUGAAACACACAACAAUUGGCAUGGCUAUUAAUACAACUAUCCUGCCUAUAAACACUACUAAGCAUGCACAUCAAACACCUAACAAGCAAAAACACUACUAUCCCGCCUAUGAACAGUAUCAUGCAAGAAGGGAUUGAAUACAAUUGAUUCGUUUUGAUUCGAUUGGAAUCAAAUCGAAUCCAAUUCAUGCUAAUGAUGAAAACCCUAAUCUACACAUCUACGAGCAAAGAAGGGAUUUCAUCCUUACCGGAGCGGCUGGAGUGCACGGGAAUCGGGGAGAAAACCCCGACGGGAAGGAGAUGUCCGGUGAAGAAGAGGAGGAGCCGCCAAUGCCGUCGGCCGCCGGCAUUGGCCUGGUGCUUGUGGCCACGUGCGCUGUCAAGGAGGAGGGCGCCAGCGUCCAUGGAACAAACCCUCGGAUGUGGAAGAAAACCCACCAACAGGGGUUCCGACCAACAGCGCGGUCGCGCCCCCUCCGACGACGUCAUCGAACCCAUGUCGACGAGGUCCGGAUACGGCGGAGGAGCUGGAGCGACCGACACCGCAUUGGCUGGACGUGAUGGCUUGGUGCACAGCGGAGACGACGCCCACAGAGCCCGCAUCAGAUCCACCCUAGAGUUCACCAAGCCGGUAACCCCACCGCUCGUGGAUGCGGUUCUGGCCGGCGCUGAUGGGGGUCAAUAGAUGGCACAACGGCGGCCUAUUCACCGAAGGAGAGGAGAGGAGAGCAACGGGGCGUGAGGGGAAUGAGAGGGAGUGGUGUGAAUGGAGGAGUGGACAGUGACAGGAGAGGGAAAGGGAGUUAUGAGACAUCUCGUCCAUCUUCCACGCUUCCCGAGGCAUGCAACCAAGAGCCACGCGUGGGUCGCGCUUCGCCUGACAACGGAAAAACUGUUGAUUCGGCAGUAGCUCGUGGGCCAGGCCCGAAACUACUUUAAGUUCCAUGCAGGUGAAAACAUGGUACAGUCCAAACAACCAAACAAUGUAAUUUCGUCCCGCGAGACCUGGUUAGGGCAUCUCCAGCCGUUUGACCUCUGUAGGGUCGUUUUUUUUCAUCGGCGAGAGGUGAGCCAGCGGAAGUUUUAGGCUGGGGGCUUGUUAUUCCUAGCCGCCUCCCAUGCCACGUAUUUUCCUUGCUUCCGAUUGGUGCAUGCCGCAUGCCGGUCUUGUUCUAUCCGUAGUCCGGUCGCAUGCAUAUGAAGAAAAGAGAGAAGAGAGGAGAGAGAGAUCCAAUAGCCCAUAGUCAGCCAUGCAAAAAAGUAACGCUGGCACACCUAUUCGCCCCAGGGGGCUGGGCACAACCUGUGUCCGCUGACGCAAUUUUUGGUUAAAUCCGACGAAAAACAAGCUCUUGGGGACAUGAAUGAGAAUAUUUUUUCUUUGGCCGGCGUUAGAAAAUGAUGUUGAAAGGCCUUUGGGGAGACGGACGACUGGAGAUGCUCUUCUUUCCCUAAUAAUAAAGCACAUAAUGCUUCUGCCAUACGUCGUGGCUGUUUUACAGUAAACCCCCCGUGUUUUGCCAAAAUCAACCCGCAUUACAUACAUAAGUGGGAGAGCGAAUCGUUCUUUGCAGUUUUAUGAUAAAACCCCUGUGUUUUCCCGAAAUCAACCCGCAGUACGUACAUAAGUGUGAGAACGAAUCGUUUUUUGCAAUUUAUAUAGAAACGUCCUUCAGUUUUAUAUUAAUUAAUCUCCAGUUUAAUUAAAAGUGACAAAUACUUAAAAAAAUCAUAUCUUUUAAACGGUAACUCCAAUUUUAAAUUAUUAUACAUGAAAUUUUAUUAGAAACAUACGUAGAAUCUGAAUAUAAUGUUAGUUUAUUUAUUUCACUUUUUUAAAUUCUGUUUAUAAUGUAAUUUUCAUCAAUAGUGAUGCGUAGAGUCUAAAUAUGAUGUUAUUUUAUUUAUUUAACAAUUUUAAAAUUCUAUUUAUGCUGUAAUUUUAAUCAGUAGGGCAUAAUUCAUUUUUUCGUACUGAAGUCGAUCCGUGUUGCAAAUGAACACCUCGUCAAAAUGAGAUUCUAGACAAAAAAAACUAUCAAUAAUCGGCAAAACAUUACAUGAAAACAGAAAAGUUGAUGUUCACCUUAGGGAGAGAGAGAGUUAGAGAGAGAGCAUAGAUGUAUUCACAAAAAAAAGGCAAUGUAAAUCUGAGUUUAAAUAAAGAUCUUAAGUCAUGAUUAUUAUGUUAGGACGUGUCAUAUGGUUUGUUUUCGUUGCAACGCACGGGCUGUAAUCCAAAUGCCUCUUAGAGGUACCGAUCGAGACAUGCGGAGAGAAAGAGGACGACGAAUUGAGGCGUGGAAGGAAAUACUACCACUUGCGACUACUAUACAAGGGGAGGGGGUGCCGUCUCGUUUACAAGCGUGACCUCGACAGUGACAUCCUUCCUCCUAGUUUUCUGCAAGGUUGGAUCAGCUGCUCCUUUUGCUACGGCCACUCUACACAGAGUACUUUUCUGUUUACUUUGAACCCUCCAAAAAGAUGCUUUUGAUAGUUCUUUUAGAAGAAAGGGGAUUUCUUCCCGAUUACACUAACGAAACCAUAAUACUAGGUCCUUAAUACAAGCUACAACCAUCGGCUCAAACAUGAAACAUGAAAGUUUUGCAAGCUCGACAUAUUACCUUUGUCCUGAUUUAUUAACCACCUUCAUAUUUUGUGCAGAUUUGAUCAUAGGUUUAACCGACAAAAUAUUAAUGCAUGUCAUCAAAAAAUAAACAUAGUUGCAUUUGUAUUUAAACAUAGUUUCCGAUAAUAUUAUUUUUGCUACGUGAAACUUAUAUUUUAUUCGUUAAAAUCAUGAUUAAAAUAUAACACUAAAUAUGACGAGACUAAUAAAUCAGAACGGAGGUAGUCCUCAAAACACAACACAGUACUCUAUAGCUCUUCAUUAUUUGCAAAUAGCUGCCCCUACAACUGCAACACAUAAGAGCAUCCACAACCGACCUUUUCAAGCCUUGCUCAAACGUCCAUGAAUGCAUUCAGUUAGUGACCAGACAUGAAAGAAAAGAAAAAAUAUGUCUAAAUUAACUUUUUAUAUCAUCCAUAUACGUCUCUAUUGUUCACUACGUAGGAUGCGUCCCCUCCAGACCACCUUUUCCUUUUUUUUCUUUCUUUUUUAUCUUCAUCUCACCAAUCACAUGCAAGUGAUCAAAAAUAUAAAAAUAAAAUAAAAAACAUGGCUAUAUAAAAGAAUAAAUAGGGACUCAAAACGGACAUGUCCGGACACUCGCCACGUUCACAAACGUUUAGAGGCCAGAUUUAGUAGUUUCGGUUGGCGGUUGUAGAUGCUCUAAAUAUCGUGUGUCCUUGAGACUGAUCAUGGUCACCUUAGAGCAUUUACAGCCGGAUCCCUCAAAUGACCCUCAUACGUCCGCGAACGCACUCGGUCAGUGACCGGACAGGAGAGAGAAGGAAAAAAGUGACAUAAUCAGAUCCCUCAUAUCGUUCCUAUAUGUUCGGGUUGUCCGUAAACCCUCAUAUCCAUCCCAAAUAUGGUGUGGAUAUGAGGGCUCGCGGACGCGUCCGGGCGCUCCCGCUCAGUCCGUCAUAUAGGACGCGACCCCAUCCUGAAUCAACUAUUUCUUUUCUUUAUUCAUUAUUUUCUCUCCCUCUCUCUUUCUUUUCAUCAAUCACAUGUAAAUGAUUGAAUAUAUAAAGAAGAAAAUAAAAAAUAUGGUUGCAUGGGUGAAUAAAUAGAGGACACGUUUCGAAUUUGCAAGGCCCGACUAUAGAUGCUCUUACUCUACAAGCUGACAAGUAACAACCGACCGCUCUACCACUGAGCUACUGAGGAACAAGGGGGGAUUCGACCUCCUAGAGUUCAACUCCCGCUCUCAACCCAUGAACAAUAUGAGUCCGAAGCUUCUUUCGUAACUUCCAUAAUUUCACCGUGGAAUCUUAUCUUUGUCUGGCUCCGAUCUCUGGAAGCGAUUAAACUUCUUCUACGGGUUAUUCUUCUACUGCUUAUUGCCGGAACUUGUGCACCACUUAUCUGCUUCCCUGGCCACCAUUAGCUAUACAAUACACUCGUCAAGAACGUGUCCAAUAAAUGCAUGUCAUCAAAAAGUAAACAUAGUUGCAUUUGUAUUUAAACAUAGUUUUCGAUAAUAUUAAUUUUGCUAUGUGAAAUUUAUAUUUUAUUUGUUAAAAUCAUGAUUAAAAUAUAGCGUUAAAUAUGAUAGACUAAUAAAUCAUAACAGAGGCAGUCCUUGAAACACAACACAAGUACGCUACAACUUUUCAUUAUUUGCGAAUGGCUACCCCUACAACUGCAACACAUAAGAGCAUCUAUGUUGGCGUAUUCAAAUUCUGCUCAAACGUUCAUGGACGCGUCCAGUCAGUGAUCAGAUAUAAAAAAGUAAAUCUAAAUUAACUCUUCAUAUUAAAAUCCUUACUCUGCAAGCUGACAAGCACCGAGAACUUGUGCACCACUUAUCUGCUUCCCUGGCCACCAUUAGAUAUAAAAUACACUCGUCAAGAACGUGUCCGCUAAACAAGUGUAGGCACACCCCCGGUGGAUCGGAGCAAUUAAGCAAUCAUUGUAUUUUCUAAUGGUGAAUUGGAUUAUUAGUUUGAAUAGAAUCCUUGCGAUUACGUCCUCUUGUGAAUUUUGUAUCGUGAUGAUGAAACUCAUUAACUCAGUCUCUGAUCGGGUCAUAUAUACUGUAUAUAAUCACAACCAUAAAAACAACAAUAAAAAUGAGAGACUUGCUUGGCCAGUUGGAGCUAUAAAAAAAUAUCACGCGAGCGAAACAGAAGAGAAGAGAGCACCAUCAGCUCUCACCAUCCAAAGAAUCCCUCUGCUCGUGCUCGUUGGCUCCGUCCGUGGAAUCUCCGGCCAUGGCCGCGCUGCAGAGCCCGCUCCUCGGCGGCGCCGUCUCGCCGGACGUGAUCCCUCCGCGCCGCAGGGUCCGCCGCCCGUGCGCCGCGCUGGGCAUCGCCGUUGCGCUGCUCGCCCUGGCCGGCGUCCUCCUGCUGCUCCUGGGCUCCGGCGCGGAGCCUGCCGCUGAUCGGAGCCGGAGACCGAGGGUGUCUGGCGCGCGGGAGAGCCGGCACGAGGUGGAGUCCGGCGCGGCCGCGGUGGCGGCGGACGACGGGCGGUGCUCGGAGGUGGGCGCCGCGGCGCUGCGUGCCGGCGGGCACGCCGUGGACGCGGCCGUGGCGGCGGCGCUGUGCCUCGGCGUGGUGCACCCCAUGUCCAGCGGCCUCGGCGGCGGCGCGUUCAUCGUCGUCAGGGACGCGGCCUCCGGCGACGCCGUCGCCCUCGACGCCCGCGAGACGGCGCCGGCCGCGGCCACGCCGGUACGUUUGCUCCGCUCUACUACGUCGCAAUCAUUCAUGAGACCGGCACGACAGCGAAAAGCGAGAGAUUUUUUUCGCUCGCUCGCUCGUUCCGCUGAUGCGUAUGGCAUGUGGGUCCCAUGCCAGCCGCUAUGGUUUGGGCGGGAGGUCACUGUCUGGUGGACCCGUCGUGCUCUUGCUUGAGGUCACUGUGCGGUGGGCCUAACAUGCUUGUGCUCUUUUUUUUCUCUCGCUCAAGGCAUGCUUGUGCUCUCGCUCAAAAUUUAAAUAUUUCAGUUCUAAAAAAUAUGAAUACAAAAUUCAAAUACUAUAUGCGUGUAAAUUUUAAGGUCGAAACGCGUUAAAGCGAGAGGUACACAAAAAAGACAAAUAAGUGGCUUUUUAGCAUAUAGUAUACCGUAUCCUCAAAGUUCAUGAUUUUUUUUUGUUUUCUGUACAGCACACAAUUUAGAGUAUUCAUCCAGAAAUUUUAGACACAUACUUCCUCCAUCCCAAAAUUCUUGUCUUAGAUUUAUCUAGAUAUGAAUGUAUCUAGUCACGUUUUAGUAUUUAGAUACAUUCAUUUAUAUGGUCCAGUGAAAUUUAGCUUAUCGUUGAGCUCGACCCAUCCUUGAACUCGAUGAGCACGACUAGAAUUAGCCUUAGGGCUUGUUCGAUUAAUCCCUUCCAUAAGGGGAUUGGGAGGGAUUACCCUUCAAUCCCCUCCAAUCCCCUCCAAACCCCUUCGAAUCUGAAGUAACCGAACAAGGCCUUAAUUAAUUUCUCUCCCUAGCUGUAGUGGUAAGUCCAUCGAGUUGAAACAAUUUCUUAAGAGAAGGCUUUGCUAUCUUUCCACCUACUCCAUUUCGACAUGAUGAGGGAAAUAAAUAUUACAAUGUGUAACAUGCGAGUGUGACCAAAUGAUUCAUUCACUUUUUUCUAAUAGCUUUGCUAAUGUUUAAUUGCCUGAAAUUAAAUAAUGUCUCACUCGACGAUGCGGUUCGAAAGCAAGUGGAGGCGCGGGCGUGUGUGUGUGCGCCUGUGUGGGAGACUAGACAGAGCACGAGAUGAUUUGGAAGAGGAAGAAGGGGGGCAGCUGAAAAAUGAUGAAUAAUGCUCGAGGGCAGGGGAGGCGUUGGAUUCACAUCCAACCAUUCACGCAAAAUGGACGGAAACAUUUUCAUUUUCCACCCAACUGCUAUAGAUUUCCCCGUAUUUUUUAAUCUUCUCUCUCCCAUCUUUACUCUACUUUACCAUGUGUCAAAACUCAAAACAACGAUUUUGCUGAAUUACGCAAGUCUAAUUAACUCCACGGAUGGUUGGCUGAAAUGAUGUGCAAUGUGUUUACCAGAUCAUGUACGCGGCCGACCCGACGACCAAGUUCAAGGGCGCGCUGGCCAUGGGUGUCCCCGGGGAGCUCGCCGGACUGCACGCCGCGUGGUCGCGCUACGGCCGGCUACCGUGGAAGUCCCUCUUCGCGCCGGCGAUCGCGCUCGCGCGCGACGGCUACACCAUCGUGUCAUACGUGGCCAACGCGCUCAAGGACGAGGAGGUCGACGUGCUUGCCGACCCCGGCCUCCGCGCCGUGUUCGCGCCCGGCGGCCGGCUCCUGCGCGAAGGCGAGCUCUGCCGCAACCCGGCGCUGGGGGACGUGCUGGAGACCCUGGCGGAGGACGGCAUCACGGCGUUCUAUGGCGGCGCCGUCGGGGAGAGGCUCGUGGAGGAUGUGAGGCGGGCGGGGGGCAUUGUGACGGUGGAGGACCUGAAGGGGUACAGGGUCGGGGUGAGCAAGGCCAUGGAAGCUGACGCCAUGGGGUUCACCUUCCUCGGCAUGCCGCCGCCGUCCAGCGGCACCGUCGGCUUGGCGCUGGUGCUGAAUGUAUUGGGCGGGUACAAGUCGGCGGAGUUCCUGAGGGGCUUCCUCGGCGUGCACCGGCUGAUCGAGGCGGUGAAGCACAUGCUCGCCGUCCGGAUGGACCUCGGUGACCCCGGCUUCGUCAACGUCGCCGGCAAAGUCUCCGAGAUGAUGUCGCCGGAGUUCGCGGACAAGAUCCGGCGGAGGAUCGCCGACAACACCACCUUCCCUCCCACCUACUACCUCGCAAAGUACGUACGUUCGAACAAUUUUAUUUAUGGAUGCCAUUGCCGAUCAUCAACAUUUGUGCAUGUGUCGAUCGUACGUACCCUUGCACCGACAAUUGACAUGUUUUGUGUGCGUCGAUCGAUCAGAUGGAGCCAGCUGCGUGACAAUGGCACGAGCCACCUGUGCGUGGUGGACGGCGACAGGAACGCGGUGGCGAUGACGACGACGGUGAACUCCUACUUCGGCGCGCACGUGCUGUCGCCGUCCACGGGCGUCGUGCUCAACAACGAGAUGGACGACUUCUCGGUGCCGUCGUCCAGCCCGACCCCGGACAAGCUCCCGCCGGCGCCGGCCAACUUCAUCGCGCCUGGCAAACGACCGCUCUCCUCCAUGACGCCGACGAUCAUCCUCAAGGACGGGCAGCUCGCCGGCGUGGUGGGCGCCAGCGGGGGCACCAACAUCAUCACGGCGGUGAUGCAGGUGUUCCUGAACCACUUCGUCCUUGGGAUGAGCCCGCUCGCCGCAGUGCAGAGCCCCAGGGUGUACCACAAGCUGGUGCCGAACGUGGUGCGGUACGAGGACGACAUGAUGGCCGACGGCGAGGUCAUCGAGUUCAGCACGGAGGCGAUGGAGUUUCUGCGGGCAAGGGGCCAUGUGCUGGAGAGCACGUUGCCCGGGGCCGUGUGCCAGCUGAUCGUGCAGGACUUGCUGGCGCCGGUCUCCAGGGGCGGGGACGACGGCGGCGGGAAUGUGUUCCACGGGAUGCUGACGGCGGUGAGCGACCCGAGGAAAGGCGGCAGCCCUGCCGGAGUAUGAUGGACAUAUUGUUCAGGCGUGUCAGGUGUACAUACAGUCGAACAUAUUGUUCUGAACCCAACUUCUCACACCUUUCUAAAUUUUACUACCUCCGUCCCAUAAUCUCGAGGGCGAUGGAUGGAGGUGAUGAGCUCCAGCUUCACUCAGUUUGAUAUGACGUCUGCAUAUAAAUUUUAUACGAAGUCAAAGUAUCUUUAGUUUUUCUUGCAAAAAUAUAUAUUUCUACUUUGAUCAAAUUUUUUAAAAAAAAUCAACAUUCACACUGCCAAAUCAAUAUUAUUAGAUUCAUUAUUAAAUGUAGUUUCAUAGUACAUGUAUUUGCUUGGAUGCAGAGUUUCUGCUCCCGAGCUCAUUUGAGUUUGGUGAACAAUAAAUUCGAUAUAUUUUUUAGAAACAUUCAAAAAAUUCUCAAUUUUUUUGUGAGCAACACUGACAAUUUUCUUAAACGCAUGCAAAAAUGUGGCCUGAAAUAAUAUUUUUAUAAAGCAUGGUAAAAAAAACAUAAUCGAUACUCUCAAAAUGCGCAUUUUUAGAGUAUCGAUUUCGUUAUUUUUUGUCACACCUUAUAGGAAUGUUAUUUCCGGCCAAACUUUUUCACGUACUUAGAGCUUUUGUCAAUGUUGUUCACAAAAAAAAAACAAAAUUUUUUAAAUGGUUUUUGAUUUUUUUUUUCAAUUUUUGCGUUCAUCGAGCUCAUUUGAGCUCGGGAGCAGAAGGACACUUUUCUAUAUGCUUGUGUUACAUAUGGAAGACAACCUAAUGAAUGCGUGCAUGCAUAUUUUUAAUUAGGUAAAGGUUUGCCGCUGGUGCGCCGGCCGAACGCUUCGGCCGGUCUCGCCCACUCAUUCGCGUCUACAGUGAAUCAAAUCAGAAGGGCUCAUCAUGUUAUCUCUUUCCUCAUCCCCGCGUCCUUCUCCUUUCUUUUUUCCAACCUUCCAGUUGUCAUGGAAAAUUUUACCCCGACGAUCUCCUCCAGCGAGCCCCCGUCUUCUUCUCCGGCGAGCACCCUCAUAUCCUACUACCGAACGAGUGUCCUUCCCUCGAUUCCCCCUCUCUCAACUGCUCCAUGGCGACCGGACCUACAACGGAUGUGGCCGGCGAAGUUGCAUCCAUGGUCGAAGGCGUAUUUAACUACAUGCUUCAAACGGCAUCGAAAUUUGCUACAACCAGCUGAGGGAGUUCCGGAUUAAGGGUCCUCGAGCAGUCGGGUUAUCCCUCAUGGGUCGAUCAUAUGGGCUGCGUCAUUGAAGAAUCGGAUUAUCCGACGACUACGUGAUCAAGAUGGCAGGCUCUGAAGACAGGCGUGCACUCCAAGGCGGGAUGACCACUGCGGUCCAUCUACUCCCGAUCUAUGUCGGUAACAUGUAACUCUAGGGGCCCCGAUGUCUAUAUAAACCGGUAGCCCUUAUACGCAGGGAGGGUGUCUCAUCUAGGAUUAGCUCGUACGAUCUCGAGGUAGAUCAACUCUGUAACCAUUGUUCCCCAUCAAUAUAAUCAAGCGGGACGUAGGGUUUUACCUCCUCAAGAGGGCCCGAACCUGGGUAAACAUCGUGUCCCACUCUCUCCUGCAACCCAUCGAUCUAAGUUCCAUGGUUCGGGACACCCUACGCGAGAUCUGCCGGUUUUGACGCCGACACCGACACCGCAUUUUGCUACCACCGGUGUCGCAUUUUGCUACAUCGCACAUGACGUCGUGAUUUUUACUACAGUCGAUGCUUCAUUUUGCUACAACCGGCAUAACGUUUUGCUACAUCCAUCACGACUGAGUUGCGACCCGUGACGGUGGAACCAUGCUUGCAUUUGUUGCAACCGUUGAUGGAAAAAAGUUUCAACGAUAAAUGAAAAGUGUUUCAAUCGGCAAUAGAGAAAGUUUCAUCCAGAGAGUUAUUUUGCCACAUACAUCAUGAGGAGCUGGUAUCGACGGUGAGGGGCGACGACCAGGGAUGACCGACGAUGAGAGAAGAUGAGGAAGCGAGGCGUGUGCGGGGGCGACACCCUCCUUUCCUCUCUUUCUUCCAUGCGGGAGGUUGAAGAUGGGAUGUGGAAGAUAACGAGGGAGAUCUGACGGCUACGCGCGUGCAAAUUGAACGGAUCCGGGUUGACCGGCCGAAAUAUUGGGCCGGCGUGCCGGCGCAGAGUACUACCCUUUUAAUUAUAUGUCAUGCAUCCUCCAACGUGCAUGAUUUAUUUUCAGCCUUUGCUAGCCAAUGACCUUGUACUAAGCAUAAAUUCUGCCUGUGCAUCCAACCUACUUAAACUCAAUCACUCUCAUAAUUAAGUCCUUAUUUGAUAGAAGAGGUUUGGAGAGGUUUAGAGAGGAAUAUCCUCGAGCGGUUCAGAAACCCCCAAAAUGCUACACCUACGUACAACUACAUGUUGUUACGUAAUCUUCCUUCACUAAUCUUUUCCGCCCCUUGAUUUCAGUCGGGGUGGGCCCCAGUCACUAAUCCUUGUCCAAUAAAUUACCUCCACAUCAUUCUUCACGUAAAAAUCCUCACGUAAGUUUACUUGGGUCUAGCAUUGCUCCAGAAACCCCAAGAAUUUCGAGUCACCAUUUGGUAGACAGUUUGCGGUAGCAAAAUAAGACCUAUUCUGGGCCAUACAGUGCAUUGUCUACUGCAAAAUGUGUGGCCCACUUGCUCUCGCUGGUAGGCCGGCUCAUGUGUUCAGGCGACAAUUCGCCGCAACGAGCGGUAAAUAAGGUUUUGCAGCAUUUACUGGGCUCAUCUUAGAAGGAAAGCAAACAAUCAUCUACUAAGAGCGGCGUUGCAAAGGACAUACUGGAUGGAGUCCCUUUUUUAUUUCUUUUAGAAAAUAUAUGUUUCAAGGAAUGAAAAAUGACAUUUUUUUGAAAUAAAUACAUAUGUGUGUUCUUCACGUAUGUAUAAAGUUUCAUCAAAAUUUCUGAUCGGUCAAACAUCUUUAUUAAUCAAUAACUAGGUUUACAGGAAUAACAAAAAGGGUCAUGAAAAAGCCCUGCCCCAAGUGGUGUUCCGUUUCCAAGGAAUUAGGAAAUUUAACUAAGUUAUGUGCCUCUUUGUUCAUGUCUUGACCUUCAAACAAAAAAUUCUCAAGCAGUAAACUCAUGUGCCCUCGCACUGAUCUCCCUGAUGAUAGGUCUGUAUCUUCCUUCAGUUCCUCCUUUAAUCUCCAAAACAACAGAUUUGCAGUCACAUGAAAUGACAAUUCUUUGUAGUGAGAGGUCUAGAGCAAGAACUAUAGCUUGACGACACGCAAGCGUUUCCAACGUUGCCGGAUCCGUUAACAACAAAGAAAAAGCCCACUGUAAUCUAUGCAUUUGUUGUUUUUGUUUACAUCACAUAUGGACAUAUAUAUUCAUGAAAUUUUAUAUGUAUAUACUACAAAAACAUGUCUAAAUAUACACUUUUCCAUAUUUUUUUGAGGUAUGAAAAAUGUAUUUUUUAGCUGGAAAACUAAUAAAGAGCUCUAUGGAGCUCGACCUCUGCUUCCACUUUUCGGCAUCUACUGGAUUAGGGUUGGACCGAUGCACGCAUGUAAGUUGUUAUGUGUUGAAAUCAGAUUAAACAGCAACAAAAUUGACCAAUGCAUCGAAAUCCAACAGGGGGAAUAUAAAUUGAUUGGGAUGCUUUUGAUCUUUAGCUGAUCAAAAUUGAUAAAAGACAUAAAAUAAGAUUUCAACUGGUACUAGAGACUAUAUAUAUAGCUAGUUGUCCAAGGCGAUGAAUGCUUUCAGCAGCUCCUUGGCCACGUCCGGGGUGGAGAUGAAAUCGAUGCAGUAGUCUUCAAGCCCCUUGCAACGGUGACGGCGCGCCAGCUUCACAGUGGCCAACACGUUAUCUUUUGUCAAGGACUCGCACAAAAGGUUUACACACAUGGCCUUCAAUCUCCUCAGCCCAAACCGGCACGCUGCCGUGAGCAUGCAUGUCCCCAGCCAGCAAUCUAGUACCGUCCCCAGGAAGGAGCUCGUCGGUGUAGAUAAAAUGGAGCACGGCCUUGAACACCGCAUCCUUCAUGACAGUGGAAUGAUCAUCCUCCUCCUCCUUGGUGCCCGCCACCGCGCCGUGUAAGGCCGGUGACCGCGCGGCGAUUACGAGCCUGUGCGCACGGAUCUCGCUCUCCUCGACUAGGAAGCCGACGUCCGAGCCAUUUUUGUAGAGUUAAUCAUGUUGUUUUUUUAGGAUUAGGAAAGAAAGCCAAACCGAGUCAUAGUAGUAUUAGGAUUCCUAGUCCUAGUUUAUUUUCAUAGUCCUUUGUGGACGUGUAUAAAAGACAUCCUAGGGGUGUUGAUUGUAACACCAGAAAAACGAAAAGCAAUACAAAGCAAAGGCUCGACACGGGCCUUUUAGCCAUCAAAUCAAUCGAUCAGUUUUAUUCGUGUCGCUAGUUACACAAGUUCCGUCAAGUAGCCGGCUGAAGCAAGAAUCGCGUAGGCACGCCUGUACAGCUGCAUACGCACGUUCAAAAGCCAACAAUUGGUAUCUAGAGCCUCGACGAUUUACGAUCUACGAUGACGGACAGUGACGCUGAGUCGGUCAAGUCCGGCAGCGGCGGUGCUAAGGCGAACAAGAACGGCGACAAGGUGAAGAAGGGCGUCAAGUCAGCAACCAGUGGUGGAGGAACGAGCGGCGCCAACGUCCAGUCGCAUCGCAACAUCGCCAUCCAGUACCCGAUGCUCACGGACGCCAACUACGGCGUGUGGGCGGUGAAGAUGAAGAUUAUUCUCCGAACCCUCCGAGUGUGGCAGGCAAUCACGGACGACGACGUCGAUGACGAGUCCGACGAAGGUGCCAUGGCCGCCAUAGCCUAGUCCGUGCCGGAUUCCGUGCUGAUGACAUUGGCGGAGUUCGAGACGGCAAGAGAGGCGUGGAACGCACUCAAGGAGAUGAGGAUCGGAGAAGAUCGCGUCACCAAGGCACGGGCACAAGUGCUGAAGCGCCAAUUUCACAAGUUGCAGAUGGAGGAAACUGAAUCGGUGAACGACUAUGCCAUGCGUCUUACUACUUUGGUGGGAGAGAUCCGCGCGCUUGGUGCAAAGCUCAAGGAGACCGAGAUUGUGAAGAAAUUUUUCAGUUCAGUGACUGACAAAUUCACGUACAUCAUCGGCACGCUCGAGCAGCUUUACGACAUCGACGACAUGACCAUAACGGAGGCGAUCGGACGCCUGCGAACGUGGGAAGAGAAUGCUCGUGGCUGUCGAAAAGGCAAAGGAGGAGGUAGUGACCAACUCAUGUACUCGCGCGCAGAUUGGGAGGCCCCAAGUAGCAAAGGAAGACGUGACGGUGGCGAAGGCUCAAGUAACACGAAGGGCGAUGGACAAACCGGAAAAGGCAAAGGAAAAGGCAAACCACAAGGUCGUGGUAAGGCGGGCCAAUCUAAAGAGCAGAAACCACGGAACUUGGACUUGUCCGAGGUCAAGUGCUAUAACUGCAAUAAGAUGGGUCACUUUGCGAAGGAUUGUCCAAAGCCUAACAAGCGGGAGAUCAAGGCAAAUUUGGCAAAGCAGGAAGACGAAGGUCCAGGUCUUCUGAUGGCCGAAGUUUGUGAUCUCGCUGAAACGGUGGUUGUGAAACCAAGCCGGAAGGUGCUACUUCAUGAGGAAAAAGUGACACCAAAGUUAUCCGGUGAUCAGAACGUGUCGUGGUAUCUCGACACGGGUGCCAGUAACCACAUGACGGGGUGCAAGGAGAAAUUACUCGAGCUGGAAUACGAUGUUGAAGGCUCGGUCAAGUUCGGUGAUGGUUCAGCUGUGGAGAUUUGCGGGCAAGGAUCUGUCCUCUUUGAGGGUCUCACAGGCGAACAUCGCAUACUCACCGGAGUGUACUACAUCCCACGGCUGCGCAACAACAUCAUCUCUAUUGGGAAGCUUGACGAGAAUGGAUGCAAGGUGAAUAUCGAGAGCGGAGUGAUGACGAUCUUCGACAACCUCCGAAACGUGCUAGCUCGUGUUAAUCGCACACGGAAUAGGCUAUAUAUCCUCAACCUUGAUCAAUCUCAACCGGAGUGUUGGCUCGCCAAGAGUGAUGAUGAUUCGUGGUUAUGGCAUGCUAGAUUUGGACACGCUAACUUCUACACCUUGAAGAAGAUGUCAAAGAUGGAGAUGGUAUCCGGGAUGCCAGUUAUCGACCAUGUUGAUCGAGUAUGUGACGGGUGCUUGGUUGGAAAACAGCACCGCAGGCCAUUCCCUGCUCAGUCUACCUAUCGUGCAAGUGAUGCACUCGAGCUGCUCCAUGGUGAUCUAUGUGGCCCUAUCACCCCGGCAACUCACGCUGGAAAGAAGUAUUUCUUCCUUGUGGUAGACGACUACUCGAGAUAUAUGUGGGUCAUUCUCCUACGAUCUAAAGAUGAGGCGUUUGAAGCAUUCAAGAAGCUGAAGGCUGCAACAGAGAUGGAACACAAGCUGAAGGUUCGCGCUCUACGGACAGAUCGCGGCGGAGAGUUUACGUCGAAUGAGUUCAACGACUACUGCGAGAAGAUUGUCAUAAAGAGGUUCCUCACGUCACCUUACACGCCGCAGCAGAAUGGGGUCGUUGAAAGGCGCAAUCGAACCGUCGUUGACAUGGCAAGGAGUUUACUCAAGAGCAAGAACCUGUCGGGGAUUUUUUGGGGAGAAGCUGUCUCGACGGCGGUCUAUCUUCUCAACCGGGCUCCAACGAAGGCGGUGAUCGGCAAGACCGUAUGAAGCAAUUUACGGACGUAAGCCGAAUGUGUCUCAUCUACGGACAUUCGGGUGCGUGGCACAUGUGAAGACGGCGGAGCCGCACCUCUCAAAGCUUNNNNNNNNNNNNNNNNNNNNNNNNNNNNNNNNNNNNNNNNNNNNNNNNNNNNNNNNNNNNNNNNNNNNNNNNNNNNNNNNNNNNNNNNNNNNNNNNNNNNUAGCAGGUUCGAUGUAGUGCUUUGUAAUAGUGUUCUAGUUACGUAAUGAACGAGUGUAAGAUUCUUGUUUCUUGAUCAAUAUAUGGAUGUGGGUGUUAAAAAAAUAGUGUGGAUACAAAUAGAUAAACAUGUGUGCUUUCAAUCAAACAAAUACAUCACGUGGCUACAGUCUACACAUGAAUCUUUUUUAGAUGAGCGGGCAAGAUGCAGUUUUAUGUUACAAAGUUGUACUAAAGUUGCUUCAAUUAAUUUGGAUCUGAAAGAGUAAUUAAGCCCGAUGUAGACCGGUUAAACUGUUUUUCAGUUUAAUCAUACAAUAUUAUUUGUCACUUAGUAACAUUUUCCCCUUACGAUCUACAGCAGCACACAUGAAACACAUAUUUAAUUUUAGUUUUCCAGUCACUUUCAUUCUUUCACACCAUUAUGCCACAAAAUUUUGAUAUGGGUUGUAGGUCCAUGUACUCUUAUUAUCUGGGCCGUUCAUUCGAAUCUUUCAAGAUAUGGGAUAGAGCCAUAUCGUGGCGUCCACUACUACUAGGCACAACGAUGUGGCUCUAUCCCAUAUCCUAGGAUUAAUAGGAACUAUUUGACUUAUUUGACUCUUCUUCUUCCAUUUCUCAGGACAAAGAUGAUGAGAUUUAGAAAUAUUAAAACCGCCAAAAAAAAUCAGGGGAGCACAAGUUGUCCUAACCUGUUGAUAAUAAGGAAAUCGUCCCAUCAACAACACCAACAUGUUUGUCUUAAAAAGUUAAAAGAAUAUGUUUGUAAAAAGUUAAAAGAACAUUUGUCUUUACGUACAGCUAGAUGAAUAACAAUACAAUUAAAUACAAUUUAUACCAUGCAUAUAAAAGAAAGAAAACCAUGGUCAGAAAUACACAAAACACAUGCAUGUCGCUCAAAAAAGAUGACACGUAAAAAUAAAGUAUUGAAGCUUCUUUUGGGAAAUCUAAAGAGUCUUGAUGCUUCACGCUAAAAAAUGAGCAUAUGUCUAAUUGAAUUAAUAAUAAAUUUCAUACCCACCAUGAAAAAAAGAAUUUUGGACAAACGAAUGAAAAUACAAAAAUCACUCCCUAAUAGCUUCCAGAUAAUACCACUCCUAGGUCAACAGAGUUUUAAUACAUUUGGAGAAAUUUGCAUAAACUGCAUGCAUGGAAAAUUCAUAUACAAACAUAAACUAUUCUUCCAGAAUAUACUUUUUCUAAUAGGGGGGUUUGCCACGCAGAUGAUUGUGUAUUUCAAAUAGGAAUAUUUCCAAACCACAUCCAUAUACUUCUACAAAUAAAAUAAUUUUCAAUUAUUAAGAUAUACUCUAAUAUUUAAAUUGAUGCUAGGAUAUAUUAUUAGUUCCGAUGCUAAAAACAACAUCCACGUCGCAAUUCCCACAAAAACAAAAAUGCUUUGCAUGUACUCUUGGAUAGAGGAAAAUUGCACAUGCAAAUAAGGUGCCNNNNNNNNNNNNNNNNNNNNNNNNNNNNNNNNNNNNNNNNNNNNNNNNNNNNNNNNNNNNNNNNNNNNNNNNNNNNNNNNNNNNNNNNNNNNNNNNNNNNUACACGCGCGAGAUCGAACGGCUGUCGAGGUGUGGAUAGUUUAUAAAUAUACCAUCGGUAGAUGUCGUAGCAGUCCCUAYCGUUUUUUUGGGUACGGAACKUGUAACCGGUGCACAAAAAUGGCGAUUGGCGAUGGGCGUACGUACUCUGACUGACAGCGGCGUAGAGAAAUGGACCGGAUCGGGUGCAGCUGAGCUUAAUGUUUGCUCCCAUAUUUUAGGUCAGCAGCAAGCACAAGACAGACAUCCUGGAAUAUAGUUGCUGGCCUGGCCACGCUAGCCACGUAUGCGGAUCAUUACGCACGAUCGGGUUUUUCAAUUCCGUUGGAAUCGAAACGGGCGUGGGUGCUUUGGUUGGUGCCAUCCGCUCUGUCUGUCUUGUCAUCGUCGUGCGAGGCAAAAUGUUUCAUUUCGUGUCGGUGUCGCCUGCUCCGUUCACAAGGGUAGUACUCUACUACAUUGCCGGCUUUGAAAAAAAGGGACAGCUACGCAUUCACCGGUUGAUGUGUGUUAUACAUCCAUCACACCGAUAGCCGUUGGAUCUACGUACGGGCAGUGUCCGAUCGAUUUGCUGUCACGUCCUGCUUGUCCCCUACCUCACUCGUUAAUUCCCACAACAACGACUUUGUUGCAGAAACAUUUAUAACAGAGAUGAUGUUGCAGAUUCCUGCAACAAUAGUUUUGUUGCAGAAACAUUUAUAAUAGAGAUUGUGUCGUAGUUUUUUUUUUUGCAAUAAAGGUUAUGUUGCGGAAUUUUUUGACAACAGAGGUUGCAAGGUCACCGAUGCAGCUGUGCCUACUGCAGCGCACCCUGCACUCAAUGGAGUUGUCGUGCUUGUAGAUAUGAACCUUCAGGUCGAGGCCAAAGAUGAGCAUCACGAUGAGGACGUCUGGGAUGAUCCUGUGACGACGAUAGAAGUACUGUCAUUCCCGACCAAGCAUCGUAUGGCCGACGAAGUUGUGGACUUGAACUAGCAUGAUGAACACAUUAUUACGCAUGAGCACUGAGCAUGAACAUGAAACACAACAACUAUCUACCAUGCCCAUGAACAAAAUGCACAUCAUGAGCAGCACUAAGCACUAAGCAGAACACACUAUGCUUGAAUAUGAAACACACAACAAUUGGCAUGGCUAUUAAUACAACUAUCCUGCCUAUAAACACUACUAAGCAUGCACAUCAAACACCUAACAAGCAAAAACACUACUAUCCCGCCUAUGAACAGUAUCAUGCAAGAAGGGAUUGAAUAUCAAAUUGAUUCGUUUUGAUUCGAUUGGAAUCAAAUCGAAUCCAAUUCAUGCUAAUGANNNNNNNNNNNNNNNNNNNNNNNNNNNNNNNNNNNNNNNNNNNNNNNNNNNNNNNNNNNNNNNNNNNNNNNNNNNNNNNNNNNNNNNNNNNNNNNNNNNNUAUAUCUCUUCUUUUCAGUACAUGUACUUGUAACGAUAUCCAUUCUUGCGACACGACGAGAUGCGCUUCUAUCCCUGACGAGGCCCUCGUGGCAAAUUGAGGAUAGGGUCGCAUCUUGGGCGUGAUAAGUUGGUAUCAGAGCAGUACCGACCUAGGAGCCCCCUUGAUUGAUCGAACUUGGGCGAGUCGAGUCUAGUGAAAAACUACUUUGAGUCUAGUUAUAUAUCGGAGAGUAGGAUUCUUUUGUUCUCCUUUUCUAUGCUCUCGUGAGGAAUCUUGACGUAAUAUUUUAAUUAUACUCCUCUUCUCGCUCAAUUUUUUUUUUAGGAUCACGCGGAUAUUUUUGGAGUCUAUAUGAUGCCGAUGUGACGAAGUUCUGUCUUGGUGCCUCUCAACUGAUUUGAUUUUCUUCCGGGGAGUUGAGCUCCACGGGAUUCUCGAGCACAUCGUUAUCAUUCAGAUUUCUUAGUAUCUCAGAACGAAGGAUGUUCGUAAUUGCUUCAAUACUAGUAGUGGCGAGAUAACCCCGAUGACUCCAGUACUGCUGCAGAUUGUUCGGGAGUACUGCCAUACUUUGUAUCGUUGUGAUCACGAGGGUCUGUUGUAGACGAAGGUCCGAGAUUCUGGUCGUGUGUUGACGGAUGUGAUACAAGUGACGGGUUAGUAUAGGAGUUGUGUGUUAUUACUCCUUGUAUCCGUGUACCAGAGUGCAUGACCAGAUAUUUCGGGAAUUCAUAGGUGAGAAUUCAAGUAGUUGCUUAUAGGACAAUCUUUCAACAAAUGCAUGAUGUUAGGUUGGGGUUCAACAUCUAGUGGAUUCCUGUCCACGAAAAUAUCGAACGAAAUCUUUCUCAUGAGUUUGUUCUGGCUUGUUUCAUAAGCCUCAUCCUUUGUUUUGUUGAAUAUGGUAAUUCAAGUUGCUUCGAUGUCAAGUGGUGAUUAAUGGGAGUGAAUUAAAUAAUUAAGCAUGGAGUUUCGUCGAUAUGCAACCCGUUGCAUAUCGAGCUUCAUUUAAUGUGUAGUGUUUGCGUGAGGUGAAUUGCCAUGCCAUCCCUUGCAUCAUUGAUCUGUUCAUGCAUCAUAUUAGGUUGUGCAUCAUGUUGUGCAUCGCGUGGUGAAUAUUUGUGUUGAUGUUUGUUUCUGGUUUGCUCCGUCUCGAUAGAGUUCCGCAAGCGUGUCAGAAUGUGAGGACCCGUUCGACUACGUGGUUCGCCGACUUCUCGGAGUUGAUCCUCUUCCAAGCGGGAUCUCAGGUAAGAUGACCAUUUCCCCAGAUACCAUUACUAUCAUUGCCAUGCUAGUUUUACCGCUUCUAUCAUUUAUCUCUCGUUGCCUACCACAUGUUGAAUAUCAGCCUCUCUACAAUGCCAUGAUAACCUUCAACUGUUCAACCUAGCAAACCACGGAUUGGCCAUGUUACUGCUUGCUUAACCCUGUUAUUAGCGUUACUUGUUGCAGGUGUAGUUGCUUCCAUGUGAUAACAUGGGUUCCUUGUCAUAUCACCAUAUUAAAUGCUAUUUAAUUUAAUGCACCUAUAUACUUGGUAAAAGGUGGAAGGCUCGACCUUUCUAACCUGGUGUUUUGUUCCACCUUUGCCCCCUUAGUUUCGGCUACCGGUGUUAUGUUCCAUAAUUGAGCGCUCCUAACACGAUCGGGGUUGUUAUGGGGACCCCCUUGAUAAUUCGUUUUAGAUUAAAGCUGGUCUGGCAAGGCCCAACUUUGGUACUACAUUUGCCUAACAACUAAUGAACCGCAUAGGGAGUAAUUAACCCGAGGAAAUUUAAUCAACCCCCGGGCUAGUGCUCCUCAUGAGUGUUGGUCCACCCACCUAGCAGUCGGCGGUGCCACCACGGGGCAACUCGAGGUUUGGUUCCCGUCCACUUUGCAUAGACGGUGUGUCCUGAGAACGAGAUACGCGGCUCCUAUCGGGAUCGUCGACACACCGGGUGGCCUUGCUGGAUUAGUUUUACCUUUGAUGGAAUAUCUUGUGCAUCGGGAUUCGGGUGAUGCUUUGGGUAAUCUCAGAGUUGAGGUUUUCCACUAGGGAAUCCGACGAGAUCGCGAGCUUCGUGAUUGAGGAUUUCUAUGCGGCUUGUGGUAAUUUGUGAUGGACUAGUUGGAGCACUCCUGCAGGGUUAAAUCUUUUCGGAAAGCCUUGCCCGCGGUUAUGUGGCAACAUGGAAACUUUGUUUAACACUGGUUCUAGAUAACUUGAAGUUAACUUAUUUAAAAUAUGUCAACUGUGUGGGUAACUGUGACUGUCUCUUUCGCGAGUUCCUUCUCCGAUCGAGGACACGGUGGGGUUAUGUCUGGCGUGGAUAGGUGUUCAGGAUCAUUCAUUUGAUCAUCAGUAGUUCACGUCCGCUAUGCGUGAUCUUCCCCCUCUUAUUUCUUGUACUCGUAAGUUUAGCCAUCAAAUAUAUGCUUAGCCGCUGCUGCAACCUCACCACUUAACCAUGCCUCACCCAUUAAGCUUUGCUAGUCUUGAUACCUUUGGGAAUGAGAUUGCUGAGUCCCCUGUGGCUCACAGAUUACUACAACACCAGUUGCAGGUACAGGUAAAGGUUACUUGACGCGAGCGCAUUGAUUGUUCAUUUGGAGUUGCUUCUUCUUCUUCUUCUUCUUCAUCGAUCUAGGAUGGGUUCCAGGCCGGCAGCGUGGGAUAGCAAGGAUGGACGUCAUUCUUAUUUUCUCGUUUGUUUUCGUCCGUAGUCGGACCUUGCUCUUACUCUUGAUGAUUAUGUAAUGUACUGAUGUGACUCUGAUGUAGCUUGUGGCGAGUGUAAGCCAAUUCNNNNNNNNNNNNNNNNNNNNNNNNNNNNNNNNNNNNNNNNNNNNNNNNNNNNNNNNNNNNNNNNNNNNNNNNNNNNNNNNNNNNNNNNNNNNNNNNNNNNUACGCCAACAUAGAUGCUCUUAUGUGUUGCAGUUGGUAGGGGUAGCCAUUCGCAAAUAAUGAAAAGUUGUAGCGUACUUGUGUUGUGUUUCAAGGACUGCCUCUGUUAUGAUUUAUUAGUCUAUCAUAUUUAACGCUAUAUUUUAAUCAUGAUUUUAACAAAUAAAAUAUAAAUUUCACAUAGCAAAAUUAAUAUUAUCGAAAACUAUGUUUAAAUACAAAUGCAACUAUGUUACCUUUUUUGACCUUGACGAUCGUCGAUUAUUGGACACGGUCUUGACGAGUGUAUUGUUAUAGCUAAUGGUGGCCAGGGAAGCAGAUAAGUGGUGCACAAGUUCCGGCAAUAAGCAGUAGAAGAAUAACCCGUAGAAGAAGUUUAAUCGCUUCCAGAGAUCGGAGCCAGACAAAGAUAAGAUUCCACGGUGAAAUUAUGGAAGUUACGAAAGAAGCUUCGGACUCAUAUUGUUCAUGGGUUGAGAGCGGGAGUUGAACUCUAGGAGGUCGAAUCCCCCCUUGUUCCUCAGUAGCUCAGUGGUAGAGCGGUCGGUUGUUACUUGUCAGCUUGUAGAGUAAGAGCAUCUAUAGUCGGGCCUUGCAAAUUCGAAACGUGUCCUCUAUUUAUUCACCCAUGCAACCAUAUUUUUUAUUUUCUUCUUUAUAUAUUCAAUCAUUUACAUGUGAUUGAUGAAAAGAAAGAGAGAGGGAGAGAAAAUAAUGAAUAAAGAAAAGAAAUAGUUGAUUCAGGAUGGGGUCGCGUCCUAUAUGACGGACUGAGCGGGAGCGCCCGGACGCGUCCGCGAGCCCUCAUAUCCACACCAUAUUUGGGAUGGAUAUGAGGGUUUACGGACAACCCGAACAUAUAGGAACGAUAUGAGGGAUCUGAUUAUGUCACUUUUUUCCUUCUCUCUCCUGUCCGGUCACUGACCGAGUGCGUUCGCGGACGUAUGAGGGUCAUUUGAGGGAUCCGGCUGUAAAUGCUCUAAGGUGACCAUGAUCAGUCUCAAGGACACACGAUAUUUAGAGCAUCUACAACCGCCAACCGAAACUACUAAAUCUGGCCUCUAAACGUUUGUGAACGUGGCGAGUGUCCGGACAUGUCCGUUUUGAGUCCCUAUUUAUUCUUUUAUAUAGCCAUGUUUUUUAUUUAUUUUUAUAUUUUUGAUCACUUGCAUGUGAUUGGUGAGAUGAAGAUAAAAAAGAAAGAAAAAAAAGGAAAAGGUGGUCUGGAGGGGACGCAUCCUACGUAGUGAACAAUAGAGACGUAUAUGGAUGAUAUAAAAAGUUAAUUUAGACAUAUUUUUCUUUUCUUUCAUGUCUGGUCACUAACUGAAUGCAUUCAUGGACGUUUGAGCAAGGCUUGAAAAGGUCGGUUGUGGAUGCUCUUAUGUGUUGCAGUUGUAGGGGCAGCUAUUUGCAAAUAAGUGAAGAGCUAUAGAGUACUGUGUUGUGUUUUGAGGACAWACACUSSGWKSWGAUUUAUUGGGUGCGCUACUGAUAUAAAUAAAAAUGGUGUUACUCCAUUUAGCAAUUGAAUUUGAUUAUAAAUGAUUUUUAGGUAAUAAACUAUGUAUGAAUUCUUCUGAAUGUUGCUUUGGCGUACCAACAUUGCUGUGGAUUUGAGUGAAUUUGUUGUUUUGAAGUUGUUUGUUCGUUGGAAACAGAGCUAGGUUUUAGCAUUGUCAUAUUUAUGUAGCUAGCUAGCUAGCAUGUGUAUCCUUGUAAUUUACUGAAUUUACACUCCAUUGAAUUUGUUUGUUUCUGAAGAAUAUUGUGUUUACUGAAUUUUCAGGAUGGUAGUGAACUGUGGUGUGGUGCAAUGGGUAGAUGCUCCCAUGAUGACUAAUUCUGCAAAGGUGCUUAACUAAGUUGUUGGAUAUGUACCCUNAUGAGCUAGAACUUUGGUAGAGUCCAGGAUAAUGAGGCUCAUNNNNNNNNNNNNNNNNNNNNNNNNNNNNNNNNNNNNNNNNNNNNNNNNNNNNNNNNNNNNNNNNNNNNNNNNNNNNNNNNNNNNNNNNNNNNNNNNNNNNGGGACUUUUUUAAGUCCCAAAACCAAUAAGUCCCUGAAAACAAACACCCUCUAAACCAAACACAAGGGACUUAUUGGGACUUAUUGUGGUGAUUUGGGACUUAUCAAAUAAGACUCUAAGGGAGGAGCUUAUUGGGACUUAUCCCGGGCCGGACCUACCCCGCGUCGCUCCAGGCUCGUUCCCUGCACGCUGCCCCGCCUCUCGGUCCAAUCGCCGCCGCCGCCCCGCCUCUCGCCCCGUCGCCGCCCCGCCUCUCGCCCUGUCGCCGCCCCGCCUCUCGCCCCGUCGCCGCCCCGCCUCUCGCUCCGGUCGCCGCCCCGUCGCCACCCCGCCUCGGUUCGUUCUGCCUCGGUUCGCCGCCCCGUCGCCGUCCCGCCUCGGUUCGUUCUGCCUCGGUUCGUUGCAGCGGUGCCUCCAAUCGCCGGACAGGCUCUCUCCUGAGCCUCGUUGCAGCGGUGCUUAUCCUGUGUGCCGUACGCGUUGGCUGAUGACGAUCCAUGUGAACAAGUGUAUUAUUAGGUGCAACAUGGACUUAUAAGUCCGUGUAAACAAACAAGUAGGGACUCGGGACUUAUAAGUCCCGGUAAACAAACAGGUAGGGACUUAUGACUUAUAAGUUGGGACUUAAAAAAGUCCUAGGACUUAUGAAAUAAACAGGGCCUAUGGCUCAUGUGUGAGAACAUAUUGUCCGAGAGCAUGUGUGUCGCGUCAGUCAUGUCAACGUUGAUGGAGGUCCAAGGCCGGCAUAGCUGCCGGGCGGUGGAGGCCUCAUGCAUCGAGUACAUGGCAUCAGAUCCUGCCGUCUAUGCCGCCGUGAAGGCGACAGAUGACUACAAGGAAUUGAAGGAGAGUUGUUGCUCUUUCCUACUCGAGGUCGCCGAGAAAGUAGCAGCCGUCAACAUGGUUCAUAACAUGUGCUGCAAUGCUCCUUCCUCCUCCGGCAGCCGGCUGCAGACGGACGCGUCCACGCUUACCUCAUUGGAGGUGGUCGAGGGCGCACACGAGUUUAAAAUUCCGUGUUUUCUCUUUGUGCAAAGGAGGCAUGGAGUUGGCAAAGAAAUCAGUUCGGAAGCUUUCCAGGUCGGUGGUUACAGUUGGAAGAUAAAGGUAUACCCGUCGUCAUCAUCAGAGAAGGCACAAGGGCACAUCUCCGUGUACGCCGAGCUAUUGACUGAUCCUGGAACCGAAGGUAUCAACGUCACAUUGGGCUUCAAGUUGGAUGAUCAUAGUGGCCAGUCACGGCAUUUGAUAAAAUGGUUAGAGAAAACCUUUAUAACCAAGUCAGACUGGGGAUAUGCGAAGUUCGUCACCAUUGAAUCCGCCAAGUCAUGGCACCUAGCACGUGAUGCCUCCCUUACCAUACGUUGCGAUGUUGCCAUCACCAAGAACAAGAAGAUCUACAUCAGUACUAAUAGCACCACCUCCGUCAGCACCGGAGCCAUAAUGCCACCGUCCGAUAUCGCCUCGCACCUGAAGCAGUUGUUGGUGACUGAGCACGGGUCANNNNNNNNNNNNNNNNNNNNNNNNNNNNNNNNNNNNNNNNNNNNNNNNNNNNNNNNNNNNNNNNNNNNNNNNNNNNNNNNNNNNNNNNNNNNNNNNNNNNGUGUUAAUUAAGAUAGGCCGAUGAUCAGACUUAUCAUACUCCUCAUUGGAGACCCCAUAGUCUGGAAACAUAUCAGCCCAUCGCACGUUACUCACCGCUCGAUCCAGACGUUCUCGGAUAGUUCCUCUAUGCCAGGUGAAGAUGUCCCCCACAUAUCCAAGAUCAUCCAGCCCGCAGUCAGACUGUGCAUCACUAAACGCCCGCAAGCAUCGGAUCGGUCGUGAAACACCCCCUUCCUUCUCAUAAUUGUGCAGAAUUUCGUUAAAAUCCCCUGCUAUAAGCCAGGGGAGGCUUGUCAUCGCAUGUAGUUGCCUUAGAUAUUCCCAGGUAAGAUGUUUUCUUUCUCCACUAGGUUCCCCAUAUAGUCCCGUGAAUCGCCAUCCAUCCGGGGAAUUCUCAUUGAUACGAAGAUCGAUGAAAUUUGCAUGAAUCUCUACUGACGUGACUCCCACGUUAGCUUGCCAAAGCAUCAAGAGACCACCACUUCUUCCAUCGCUUUCCGACACUGUCAUUUGAUCAAAGCCCAGACGCCUCAUCAGUUUUCCUGCCCUUGCUUUGUUCAGAUGUGUCUGAGACAGGAAAAACACAUCUGGUUUUACUCGCCCGUGGAUCCCCACAAGCGCACGCACUGCCGCAGGCUUCCGUAUCCCGCGGCAGUUCCAGCUCAUAAGUUUCAUUGCGUCCGGUCGACCUCCUUCUCGGAGCUCGCCUAUAUCUGAUGACUAGCAUCCAUGAUGGUAUUACAACCUGUUCUUGAUCGCUUCGAGUCCUGAGACGACACAUCGUCCUCCUCCUCCCCUUCUGCAGUAGUGUUGGCAUCCAGUUCAUCCAUUGGUAUAGUUCCCACCGCCGCAGCCUCCAAGAGGAGGGGACGCUUCGGUUUCCUGGUCUCUGUUGUUAGCUCUUCAUAAGUUAAUCUUUUCUGAGAUUUUCCCCCUUCAUACACUGCCCCAACUGCCACUUUGUGUGGGCUACUAGAAUCAUCCUGUAACUCCUUCGCCAAUGGCCUCCCCUGAUCAGUUCUGCCCUGGGGGUUGACCUUAUUUCCCCCUGUAGCCUGCUGCCUAGUCCCUUGUGGUUGACCCACUGAUCUAGCAGCAAGGAUCCAGUCUUCCCAUGCCAUGGCCUCUCUGUCGUGCUUCCCAUUACCAUGUUCCAAGAAAGUAUGCCCCAUAUGUCCACAUACGUAGCAGAACACCGGCAUUUUCUCAUAAAGAAUGGGGUAGUAGACUUUCCGUUGAUUCCUGGUUAUGGAGACAAACCUCAUCAGCGGUUCGUUGACACUCAGCCUGACCCGGACCCUGACAAUCCUUCCAUCACCCCAUCUAGGGUUUAGUAUUACACUCGAUACCUCCCCAACUUUCCUGGUCAACGAGCGUAUCACCUGUUCCUUCCUGUACAUCGGAGGUAGGUCAACAAUUUGGAUCCACACUGCGAGUUUAUCCAGCAUCACCUCAUCAAAUUUUGUGAAUCCGUCAUAUGGUUCCAUCAAAACCCCAUGGUCCCGAAAUAGCCAAGGUCCUUCUUCCGUGAUUCUCUUCCAAUCGCCCAUGCAAUUGACCGUGAUCGAGAAGAGGUUUGCUCCUAGCGCACUGAAAGUCGCCCCCUGUGCCAAGCUCGAAGCCAUGCGCAUGCUCUCAUAGAACGCCCCCCUGGAGAAGGGUUUUUCGGUAUGAACUUUGGCUAUCACCAUAAACUCAGCUCCCGCAGAUUCCUCCGGGAACUCCUCAUCGAAGUUGAGAUCGUCCUCCUCUCUCUCUUGCAGGUUCAGUUUUCCUAUCAGAUCAUCCACACCCAUCGCCUUAUCCGCCAUGGUUGCGCUACUCGCCGAAGAUCUCGAUCCCGACGUCGCCAUAGACCACAGCAGAAUUCCGGCACAGGAUCCGAGCGCUACCCUGGUGCGGGUAUAUGUAGAUCGUCCCCCUGUCCCGGAGGGGAGGUGUAUUCCGAUUGCACGAAGGAACCCUAGAUGUUUCCGCCAGGGGAGAAAAACCCUAGGCCGCCGCUAGGGUAGCACUCAGGUUAUUAUGUUUGAUUACCGCUGAGAGGAGUUGUCAGGAAAGGCCAUCCGGUACGUACAUGGAUGGAUCAUUUGAGAUGGAUGGAGUACACAAGCAUGAUCGAUGAUUUCUUAGGUCGUCGUUGACGCACGGACUACGGCCGCUAAUUAAUGGACCUUGCCUCCAGUAGGAGGACGUUGUAGCCCACGCCGGACGUACGUUGGGCACGACAUGACAGGCCGGGCCGGAGUCGCUCGCUGGAGCAUGGCCACACCCACACCCACGCCCACGCCCACGCGGAGGGAGGCGAUGGACGUUAGAGCAUCUCCAACAACCGCGUAAAAAGGCGCGCGAAAAGGCGUUUGGCGCGGUAAACAGACAUUUUAGCGCGCGCGGGACAGUUUGGCGCGCUCCAGCGGCGGCGGGAAAAACGCGUGCGGGAAUCGCUUGCGCGCGCGCGAAAAGGCGGCAGCUCUCGCCCAUCUUUGCCGCGCCGCUUCCCGCGCGCCUAUAAAACGCAGCGCUCUCCACCGCUCCCUCGCGCGCCCCCACCGUUCUCUCUGUUGGGGAACGUCGCAUGGGAAACAAAAAAUUUCCUACGCGCACGAAGACCUAUCAUGGUGAUGUCCAUCUAUGAGAGGGGAUGAGUGAUCUACGUACCCUUGUGGACCGUACAGCAGAAGCGUUAGUGAAUGCGGUUCAUGCAGUGGAACGUCCUCACGUCCCUCGAUCCGCCCUGCGAACUAUCCUGCGAUCAGUCCCACGAUCUAGUGCCGAACGGACGGCACCUCCGCGUUCAGCACAUGUACAGCUCGACGAUGAUCUCGGCCUUCUUGAUCCAGCAAGAGAGACGGAGAGGUAGAAGAGUUCUCCGGCAGCGUGACGGCGCUCCGGAGGUUGGUGAUGAUCUCGUCUCAGCAGGGCUCCGCCCGAGCUCCGCAGAAACGCGAUCUAGAGGAAAAACCGUGGAGGUAUGUGGUCGGGCUGUCGUGGAAAUAUCGUCUCAAAUCAGCCCUAAAACCUCCAUAUAUAUAGGUGGGAGAGGGGGGACCUUGCCUUGGGGCUCAAGGAGCCCCAAGGGGGUCGGCCGAGCCAAAGGGGGGAAGGACUCCCCCCAAACUGAGUCCUACUUGGUUUGGUGGGUGGAGUCCUUCUUUCCUUUCCCACCUCCUCCUUUUUUUCUUUUCUCUUUGAUUUUUUCUUCCAAUGCGCAUAGGGCCCUUUUGGGCUGUCCCACCAUCCCACUAAGGGCUGGUGCGCCACCCUCAAGGCCUAUGGGCUUCCCCGGGGUGGGUUCGCCCCCCCCCCCCGGUGAACUCCCGGAACCCAUUCGUCAUUUCCGGUACAUUCCCGGUAACUCCGAAAACCUUCCGGUAAUCAAAUGAGGUCAUCCUAUAUAUCAAUCUUCGUUUCCGGACCAUUCUGGAAACCCUCGUGACGUCCGUGAUCUCAUCCGGGACUCCGAACAACAUUCGGUAACCAACCAUAUAACUCAAAUACGCAUAAAACAACGUCGAACCUUAAGUGUGCAGACCCUGCGGGUUCGAGAACUAUGUAGACAUGACCCGAGAGACUCCUCGGUCAAAAUCCAAUAGCGGGACCUGGAUGCCCAUAUUGGAUCCUACAUAUUCUACGAAGAUCUUAUCGUUUGAACCUCAGUGCCAAGAAUUCAUAUAAUCCCGUAUGUCAUUCCCUUUGUCCUUCGGUAUGUUACUUGCCCGAGAUUCGAUCAUGAGUAUCCGCAUACCUAUUUCAAUCUCGUUUACCGGCAAGUCUCUUUACUCGUUCCGUAAUACAAGAUCCCGUAACUUACACUAAGUUACAUUGCUUGCAAGGCUUGUAUGUGAUGUUGUAUUAUCGAGUGGGCCCCGAGAUACCUCUCCGUCACACGGAGUGACAAAUCCCAGUCUUGAUCCAUACUAACUCAACGAACACCUUCAGAUAUACCUGUAGAGCAUUUUUAUAGUCACCCAGUUAAGUUGCGACGUUUGAUACACACAAAGUAUUCCUCUGGUGUUAGUGAGUUAUAUGAUCUCAUGGUCAUAGGAACAAAUACUUGAGACGCAGAAAAUAGUAGCAACAAAAUGGCACGAUCAACAUGCUACGUCUAUUAGUUUGGGUCUAGUCCAUCACGUGAUUCUCCUAAUGACAUGAUCCAGUUAUCAAGAAACAACACCUUGUUUAUAAUCAGAAGACACUGACUAUCUUUGAUCAACUGGCUAGCCAACUAGAGGCUUGCUAGGGACAGUGUUUUGUCUAUGUAUCCACACAUGUAAAUGAGUCUUCAUUCAAUACAAUUAUAGCAUGGAUAAUAAACGAUUAUCUUGAUACAGGAAUUAUAAUAAUAACUAUAUUUAUUAUUGCCUCUAGGGCAUAAUUCCAACAGUCUCCCACUUGCACUAGAGUCAAUAAUCUAGCCCUCACAUCAUCAUGUGAAUUACAUUGUAAUAAAUCUAACACCCAUACAGUUCUGGUGUUGAUCAUGCUUUGGUCGUGGAAGAGGUUUAGUCAGCGGGUCUGCUACAUUCAGAUCCGUGUGCACUUUGCAUAUAUUUACGUCCUCUCCUUCGACGUAGUCGCGGAUGAGGUUGAAGCGUCGUUUGAUGUGUCUGGACUUCUUGUGAAACCGUGGUUCCUUUGCUAAGGCAAUGGCACUCGUGUUGUCACAGAACAAGGUUAUUGGAUUCAGUGCGCUUGGCACCACUCCAAGAUCCGUCAUGAACUGCUUCAUCUAGACACCCUCCUUAGCCGCCUCCGAGGCAGCCAUGUACUCCACUUCACAUGUAGAAUCUGCUACGAUGCUGUGCUUGGAACUGCACCAGCUUACCGCACCCCCAUUAAGAAUAAAUACGUAUCCAGUUUGCGACUUAGAGUCAUCCGGAUCUGUGUCAAAGCUUGCAUCGACGUAACCUUUUACGGCGAGAUCUUCGUCACCUCCAUACACGAGAAACAUCUCCUUAGUCCUUUUCAGGUACUUCAAGAUAUUCUUGACCGUUGUCCAGUGAUCCACUCCUGGAUUACUCUCGAACCUACCUGCCAUACUUAUGGCCAGGCUAACGUCCGGUCUAGUGCACAGCAUUGCAUACAUGAUAGAACGUAUGGCUGAAGCAUAGGGGACGGAGCGCAUAUGCUCUCUAUCUUCAUCAGUUGCUGGGCACUGAGUCUUACUCAAUCUCGUACCUUGUAAAACUGGCAAGAACCCCUUCUUGGACUGUUCCAUUUUGAACCUCUUCAAAACUUUAUCAAGGUAUGUGCUUUGUGAAAGUCCUAUCAGGCGUUUUGAUCUAUCCCUAUAGAUCUUAAUGCCUAGAAUGUAAGCAGCUUCUCCUAGAUCCUUCAUAGAGAAACUUUUAUUCAAGUAAUCCUUUAUGCUCUCCAAAAACUCUACGUUGUUUCCAAUCAGCAAUAUGUCAUCCACAUAUAAUAUUAGAAACGCCACAGAGCUCCCACUCACUUUCUUGUAAAUACAAGAUUCUCCAACCACUUGUAUAAACCCAAAUGCUUUGAUCACCUCAUCAAAGCGUUUGUUCCAACUCCGAGAUGCUUGCACCAGUCCAUAAAUGGAUCGCUGGAGCUUGCACACCUUGUUAGCAUUCUUAGGAUCGACAAAACCUUUGGGUUGCAUCAUAUACAAUUCUUCCUUAAGGAAACCUUUAAGGAACGCCGUUUUGAUAUCCAUCUGCCAGAUUUCAUAAUCGAAAAAUGCAGCUAUUGCUAACAUGAUUCUGACGGACUUAAGCAUCGCUACGGGUGAGAAUGUCUCAUCGUAGUCAACUCCUUGAACUUGUGAAAAACCCUUUGCCACAAGUCGAGCUUUAUAAACGGUCACAUUACCGUUAGCAUACGUCUUCCUCUUAAAGAUCCAUUUGUUCUAAAUAGCCUUGCGGCCCUCAGGCAGUACCUCCAAAGUCCACACUUUGUUCUCAUACAUGGAUCCUAUCUCGGACUUCAUGGCUUCUAGCCAUUUGUUGGAAUCUAGGCCCACCAUUGCUUCUUCAUAAUUUGCAGGUUCAUUGUUGUCCAACAACAUGAUUGAUAAGACGGGAUUACCAUACCUCUCUGGAGCAGCACGUGGUCUCGUCGACCUGCGUGGUUCGAUAGAAACUUGAACCGGAGUUUCAUGAUCAUCAUCAUUAACUUCCUCCUCAACCGGCGUCGCAACGACAUAGGUUUCCCCUUGCCCUGCGCCACCAUCCAGAGGGGUGAGAGGUUCGACAACCUCGUCAAGUUCUAUCUUCCUCCCACUCAAUUCUCUCGAGAGAAACUCCUUCUCGAGAAAAGCUCCGUUUUUUAGCAACAAACACUUUGCUCUCGGAUUUGAGAUAGAAGGUGUACCCAACUGUCUCUUUUGGGUAACCUAUGAAGAUGCACUUUUCCGCUUUGGGUUCCAGCUUUUCAGGCUGAAGCUUUUUGACAUAAGCAUCACAUCCCCAAACUUUAAGAAACGACAACUUUGGCCUUUUGCCAUACCACAGUUCGUAUGGUGUCGUCUCAACGGAUUUUGAUGGUGCCCUAUUUAAAGUGAAUGCAGCUGUUUCUAAUGCAUAACCCCAAAACGAUAACGGCAAAUCGGUAAGAGACAUCAUAGAUCGCACCAUCUCUAAUAAAGUACGAUUACGACGUUCGUACACACCAUUACGUUGUGGUGUUCCAGGCGGUGUCAACUGUGAAACAAUUCCACAUUGUCUUAAGUGAGCACCAAACUCGAAACUCAGAUAUUCACCCCCACGAUCAGACCGUAGGAACUUGAUCUUCUUGUUACGAUGAUUUUCAACUUCACUCUGAAAUUGCUUGAACUUUUCAAAUGUUUCAGACUUGUGCUUCAUUAAGCAGACAUAACCCUAUCUACUCAAAUCGUCAGUGAAGGUGAGAAAAUAACGAUAUCCGCCGCGUGCCUCUACGCUCAUCGGACCACACACAUCGGUAUGUAUGAUUUCCAACAAGUCACUUGCACGCUCCAUUGUUCCGGAGAACGGAGUUUUAGUCAUCUUGCCCAUGAGGCAUGGUUCGCACGUGUCAAGUGAAUCAAAGUCAAGUGACUCCAAAAGUCCAUCGGCAUGGAGUUUCUUCAUGCGCUUUACACCAAUAUGACCUAAGCGGCAGUGCCACAAAAAUAUGGCGUUAUCAUUGUUAACUCUAACUCUUUUGGUCUCAAUGUUAUGUAUGUGUGUAUCGCUAUCAAGAUUCAAUAUGAACAAUCCUCUCACAUUGGGUGCAUGACCAUAAAAGAUGUUACUCAUAGAAAUAGAACAACCAUUAUUCUCUGACUUAAAAGAGUAACCGUCUCGCAAUAAACAAGAUCCAUAUAUAAUGUUCAUGCUCAACGCAGGCACUAAAUAACAAUGAUUCAAGUUCAUAACUAAUCCUGAUGGUAACUGAAGUGAAACUGUGCCGACGGUGAUUGCAUCAACCUUGGAACCAUUUCCUACACGCAUCGUCACUUCAUCUUUCGCCAGCCUUCGUCUAUUCCGCAGUUCCUGUUUCGAGUUGCAAAUAUGAGCAACAGAACCGGUAUCGAAUACCCAGGCUCUACUACGAGAGCCGGUUAAGUACACAUCAAUAACAUGUAUAUCAAAUAUACCUGAUUUUUCUUUGGCCGCCUUCUUAUCUGCCAGAUACUUGGGGCAAUUGCGCUUCCAGUGACCCAUACCCUUGCAAUAGUAACACUCUGUUUCAGGCUUAGGUCCAGCUUUGGGUUUCUUGGUCGGAUUGGCAACAGGCUUGCCGCUCUUCUUUGAAUUACCCUUCUUGCCUUUGUCGUUUCUCUUGAAACUAGUGGUCUUAUUCACCAUCAACACUUGAUGCUCUUUACAAAGUUCAGACUCUGCGACUUUCAGCAUCGCAAACAACUCGCCGGGUGACUUGUUCAUCCCUUGCAUGUUGUAGUUCAACACAAAGCCUUUAUAGCUUGGCGGAGUGAUUGAAGGAUUCUGUCAGUGAUAGCCUCUUGCGGGAGUUCAAUCCCCAGCUCAGCCAGACGGUUUGAGUACCCACACAUUUUGAGCACAUAUUCACUGACAGACGAGUUCUCCUCCAUCUUGCAAGCAUAGAAUUUAUCGGAGGUCUCAUACCUCUCGAUCCGGGCGUUCUUCUGAAAGAUAAACUUCAACUCCUGGAACAUCUCAAAUGCUCCAUGACGCUCAAAGCAACGUUGAAGUCCCGGUUCUAAGCCAUACAAGACUGCACAUUGAACUACUGAGUAGUCCUCCUUACGUGCUAACCAAGCGUUCUUAACAUCCUGAUCAGCCGUAGCGGGUGGUUCAUCUCCUAGCGCAGCAUUAAAGACAUAAUCCUUCUUCCCAGCUUGUAAGAUUAGCUUAAGAUUACGAGCCCAGUCUACAAAGUUGCUUCCAUCAUCUUUCAACUUAGCUUUCUCUAGGAACGUAUUAAAAUUCAGGGUGACUGUCGCAAGAUAUAUUCAAAGUGGACUUAGACUAUGUUCAAGAUAAUUAGAGUUUAACUUGAUCAAAUUAUUCGCUAAACUCCCACUCAAAAAGUACAUCUCUCUAGUCAUUUGAGUGGUUCAUGAUCCACUUACACUAGCUCAAGUCCGAUCAUCACGUGAGUUGAGUAUUGUUUCAGUGGUAAGCAUCCCUAUGCUAAUCAUAUCAUCUAUAUGAUUCAUGAUUGACCUUUCGGUCUCAUGUGUUCCGAGGCCAUGUCUGCACAUGCUAGGCUCGUCAAGCUUAACCCGAGUGUUCCGCGUGCGCAACUGUUUUGCACCCGUUGUAUGUGAACGUUGAGUCUAUCACACCCGAUCAUCACGUGGUGUCUCGAAACGACGAACUGUAGCAACGGUGCACAGUCGGGGAGAACACAAUUUCGUCUUGAAAUUUUAGUGAGAGAUCACCUCAUAAUGCUACCGUCGUUCUAAGCAAAAUAAGGUGCAUAAAAGGAUUAACAUCACAUGCAAUUCAUAAGUGACAUGAUAUGGCCAUCAUCACGUGCUUCUUGAUCUCCAUCACCAAAGCACCGGCACGAUCUUCUUGUCACCGGCGCCACACCAUGAUCUCCAUCAACGUGUCGCCAUCGGGGUUGUCGUGCUACUCAUGCUAUUACUACUAAAGCUACAUCCUAGCAAAAUAGUAAACGCAUCUGCAAGCACAAACAUUAGUAUAAAGACAACCCUAUGGCUCCUGUCGGUUGCCGUACCAUCGACGUGCAAGUCGAUAUUAUCUAUUACAACAUGAUCAUCUCAUACAUCCAAUAUAUCACAUCACAUCGUUGGCCAUAUCACAUCACAAGCAUACCCUGUAAAAACAAGUUAGACGUCCUCUAAUUUUGUUGUUGCAUGUUUUACGUGGUGACCAUGGGUAUCUAGUAGGAUCGCAUCUUACUUACGCAAAUACCACAACGAAGAUAUAUGAGUUGCUAUUUAACCUCAUCCAAGGAUCUGCUCGGUCAAAUCCGAUUCAACUAAAGUUGGACAAACCGACACUUGCCAGUCAUCUUGAGCAACGGGGUUACUCGUAGCGAUGAAACCAGUCUCUCGUAAGCGUACGAGUAAUGUCGGUCCAAGCCGCUUCAAUCCAACAAUACCGCGGAAUCAAGAAAAGACUAAGGAGGGCAGCAAAACGCACAUCACCGCCCACAAAAAACUUUUGUGUUCUACUCGAGAAGACAUCUACGCAUGAACCUAGCUCAUGAUGCCACUGUUGGGGAACGUCUCAUGGGAAACAAAAAAUUUCCUACGUGCACGAAGACCUAUCAUGGUGAUGUCCAUCUACGAGAGGGGAUGAGUGAUCUACGUACCCAUGUAGACCGUACAGCAGAAGCGUUAGUGAACGCGGUUGAUGUAGUGGAACGUCCUCACGUCCCUCAAUCCGCCCCACGAACUAUCCCGCGAUCAGUCCCACGAUCUAGUGCCGAACGGACGGCACCUCCGCGUUCAGCACACGUACAGCUCGACGAUGAUCUCGGCCUUCUUGAUCCAGCAAGAGAGACGGAGAGGUAGAAGAGUUCUCCGGCAGCGUGACGGCGCUCCGGAGGUUGGUGAUGAUCUCGUCUCAGCAGGGCUCCGCCCGAGCUCCGCAGAAACGCGAUCUAGAAGAAAAACCGUGGAGGUAUGUGGUCGGGCUGACGUGGAAAAAUCGUCUCAAAUCAGCCCUAAAACCUCCGUAUAUAUAGGUGGGAGAGGGGGGACCUUGCCUUGGGGCUCAAGGAGCCUCAAGGGGGUCGGACGAGCCAAAGGGGGGAAGGACUCCCCCCCAAACCGAGUCCUACUUGGUUUGGUGGGUGGAGUCCUUCUUUCCUUUCCCACCUCCUCCUUUUUUUUCUUUUCUCUUUGAUUUUUUCUUCCAAUGCGCAUAGGGCCCCUUUUUGGGCUGUCCCACCAGCCCACUAAGGGCUGGUGCGCCACCCUCAAGGCCUAUGGGCUUCCCCGGGGUGGGUUCCCCCCCCCCCCCGGUCGAACUCCCGGAACCCAUUCGUCAUUCCCGGUAACUCCGAAAACCUUCUGGUAAUCAAAUGAGGUCAUCCUAUAUAUCAAUCUUCGUUUCUGGAGCAUUUCGGAAACCCUCAUGACGUCCGUGAUCUCAUCCGGGACUCCGAACAACAUUCGGUAACCAACCAUAUAACUCAAAUACGCAUAAAACAACGUCGAACCUUAAGUGUGCAGACCCUGCGGGUUCGAGAACUAUGUAGACAUGACCUGAGAGACUCCUCGGUCAAUAUCCAAUUGCGGGACCUGGAUGCCCAUGUUGGAUCCUACAUAUUCUACGAAGAUCUUAUCGUUUGAACCUCAGUGCCAAGGAUUCAUAUAAUCCCGUAUGUCAUUCCAUUUGUCCUUCGGUAUGUUACUUGCCCGAGAUUCGAUCGUCAGUAUCCGCAUACCUAUUUCAAUCUCGUUUACCGGCAAGUCUCUUUACUCGUUCCGUAAUACAAGAUUCCGCAACUUACACUAAGUUACAUUGCUUGCAAGGCUUGUAUGUGAUGUUGUAUUACCGAGUGGGCCCCGAGAUACCUCUCCGUCACACGGAGUGACAAAUCCCAGUCUUGAUCCAUACUAACUCAACGAACACCUUUGGAGAUACCUGUAGAGCAUCUUUAUAGUCACCCAGUUACGUUGCGACGUUUGAUACACACAAAGUAUUCUUCCGGUGUUAGUGAGUUAUAUGAUCUCAUGGUCAUAGGAACAAAUACUUGACACGCAGAAAACAGUAGCAACAAAAUGACACGAUCAACAUGGUACGUCUAUUAGUUUGGGUCUAGUCCAUCACGUGAUUCUCCUAAUGACGUGAUCCAGUUAUCAAGCAACAACACCUUAUUCAUAAUCAGAAGACACUGACUAUCUUUGAUCAACUGGCUAGCCAACUAGAGGCUUGCUAGGGACAGUGUUUUGUCUAUGUAUCCACACAUGUAAAUGAGUCUUCAUUCAAUACAAUUAUAGCAUGGAUAAUAAACGAUUAUCUUGAUACAGGAAUUAUAAUAAUAACUAUAUUUAUUAUUGCCUCUAGGGCAUAAUUCCAACACUCUCUUCCUCUACCUCGCGCGCCGCCACCGCCCCACACUACAAGGAAUAUGCUAAUACACGACGCUAUUUUUUCGUCCCUACAUCGUCACUGUUUUUAAUUUACGACGAUCUCACGACGAAAAACCAAGCGUCGAAAACGGAGCGUCACAAAUGAACAGCAGUGAUGUUUUGAUCAAAAUCGUCGUAACUUUUACGACGAUUCCUGGAUCGUCAUAACCUUUACGACGAUACUAAAUUGUCGUUGGCAAUCUAACCGAGUCCUACGUGGCAGUCCUACAUGGCAAAACGUCAUGAUUGAAAUCAGCCCAACCCAUUUCAAUUGAUCACAUGGGCUGGUUUUUUUUUGGGCUUUUCUUAUUGGGCUUCUUUUUGGGCCUUAGCCUAUUUACAGCCACUUCUAGUAUUUUUUUUGUAUCAUUAUAAUUUGGGCCUGAGCCUUUUAGUGCCCAAAUACAUUUGGUCCAGUUUCAGUUUUGGCCUUUUUUUCAUUUUUGAAUUCAGCAACUUUUUGUUCCAAACUUGGUUUCAUUUCUAUUUGUUGGGCCUUUUCAACCCAAUUAUUUGUCCAAUAUAAAAUCUAACACUAUUUCAUAUUCAAAUCAGGAAAACUCCAAGUCGAAUUAAAAUCAUCAAUCAUAUAACAUCACAUAAUACAUCUCCCAGUUUUACAUAACACAAUACAUCUUCCAGGUUCACAUAAACAUCUCCCAGGUUCACAUAAUACAUCUCCCAGGUUUACAUAAUACAUCCAAACUCCAAGUCGAUCUCCUCCUUGGACUGGAUGGGGCUUGCAGCAGCCACCUGCUUCUGCAUCUCCUUGGCGAUCCUAUUCAAGUGCUCCAUGUUAUCAGGACCUGCAACAAAUAGAUAGAUUUUAAAACCAUGCUUCACAGGAUACCACCCACCCACCCAGCAGCCUGAAGAAAUAUCAAAUAUCCAUUCAGGUUUCAGCUUCUUGUUACCAACAUUAUCUAGAACAGGUUGCUUUGCUCAUCAGGCAGAGAGCACAAGAGGGCCACAUCCACGACCCAACCAUCCACACGCGCACUAACAUGCCAUCAUCAUCAACUUGUGCGUGCUUGUGCCCCCCUUUUGGCACCUGGAGAUGGUGGCACACGAAACGAUACAAGAUAGUGAUCAAUUGAAUUGAAGUUGCAGGGAAUGGUCACAACCUAAACACAAAUGAGAUAUGAUUAUAGCUGGCAAAAGAUUAUCCAACAGUUCAUUGAGCACAAAAUGGCACGUAAUUAAUGCUAGCAGAGCCAAUUUCUUAUACUCGAAAAACAAGCAAGGAUCAGCACAGGGCUUAAGCUGCUCAUAUCACAAGGAGGUUACCGUACUCAACUGCAGACACAAUAUCUUCCAUAGCAAACCAGUCUAUAAAUUCCGCCACAAGCGGAACGUAUCUCUCUCAUGAGGAUGCAUAAGUUACAUGCCUCUGAUCCCGCAAGAGCCAAUGAAAACUGACGCCACGUAUUAUCCAGAGUUUUCUGGAAUUAAUGAGAUGGGGAAGAUAUGAUGAUGCUACAGCCCACUAAAAGACCUGAGAAAUGUUGUACGUCAUGGGCACAGGAAAUUAGUGUGUCGUUUUCUUCAACGGCAGUGAGCACCUCCACUCAAUCAGUAACAUAAGACUCAUGGAUGACAGCUAGUUAGCCCAAAUCGCUAAAUCAGUAACACAUGGCACCAACAACAACAUGUAAUUCCUGACAGGGCAAGUGUGCAAGUGCACAAUCAUGUUACUAGCUAUCAGAUGGCCCAGAAAUGGCAAUCAGCACAUGCCAACUGCGCUUCCAUGACACGUGGACAGAAACCCCCUCUAAACCCUAGUGCGUGCAACACAGACAUAGCAGAGCAACAUCAAUCAUUUGGAUUUGGAGCAUCCAACAACUGGCCCAACUUGGAUUACGCCGAAUUUAAGCACGAGUACUCGGACUAGAAACCUAGCUAGCGCACAUACGCGCGUGCGCGCACGCUUCCCCGGCCCGUGGUCCGUACGACGUGCAUAGGCGCAGAUUCAAAAAAAAGGAAGGCUCAGGCUUGCAAAAACCGCGCGCCCGCUCACAGAAAUCAUCAUCCGGAACUACUAGCAACAGCAACCUCGGGAUGGAUGGAUGGAUGGCGCACAUACGUACCUUGCCCCUGUAGAGGUCGUCGUCGCUGAUCUCCCGGACCGACCAGGGGAGCACCGCGUCCUCCAAAUCCGCCUCCCCCAUGUCGCCGCCGCGCGGCCGGGGCUAGCGCGCUCUCCCCUCGCGAGCACCCGAGCAAACAGGCAGCAUUCGCGAGGAGAGGGAUGAGGAGGAAGGGGGUUUGGUUUCGUGGUGUGGUGGUUGUCCUGCGUGGAGAAAAGGCAGAGCAGGAGCACGCAACGCCGAAAAGCAGCGCCAAAUCUUCAUGCAGCAGCUCCAGGAUCACCUGCCAGAAGAGAGAAAAAAUUAUGCUACGGUUAGACUAAGUUGACAGAUGAUGCUUCAUGUAAGAGCAGUAGUAGUAGAGCAAGAUAUGAUGCAAAUCUGCUGUCAACAACAGGAAGGGGGAAUAAUAAGCAACACUGGGCUUAGUGCAGGUCAGCAUCAGGAAAGCAAAGCGUUUUAUUAGGUGAAUUGCUGCUUUGAUCCAGCACGAUGAUGAUCCCGGGAAAGAUCGCCCCGCGUUUCUUAUCAUUGGGGGGGGGGGAUGAUCUUUGCCUAAUACUACUACUUCUAAACUGCUUUAUGGAGUGCUCCAACUUCGAAUUUACUGCAGGGGUCCGAGAUAAAGGAAUCUCUGGAUGUUCUUUCUUAGUGACAAAUCUAUGAAGAUACUGCGGUUAUUAUUACUAAAUCCUUGCUUUCGCAGUUGGGCCCAUGACUAGAUGUCAACCGGCAUGAAACCUUCGCAUAUAUAUGGCAUGAUCCGAAGAAUGUGGCGACACGAUCUCUAGCAUAGGAACUUAACAAACUUAUAAUGAUAUCAACCAAAUCAAAGUCAUUGAUUGCAUAAAAAGGUUAUGGCCAUGUUAUUCUCAGCAUUCACUUUCUUCAAGGCCGUGCUCCAUCACGCACUGGUCCACGGUGGGCAAGACGAGGAUGUCGUUCGUGAGCCUAGAUGCUGUCGUAGAAUGACCCCCAGGGCCAGGGCAUGAAGUUCCGAGGAAUCAGGUACAGGUACUACAUGGAGCACCAGCAGAGCAGCACAAAAGCAGCAGCAUUGGACAUCGUUCGUGUGCAGGUCGGGUGACAUAAUGACAUUUUUUUAGCCGAGCAUGGUGACAUAAUGACAUGUGAGACCACACCUAACAAUUCAACAGAGGCUGAUUCUUCAGGUUACAGUCCUACAAAGUUGAUAGUAUACUGAACAUUUAUGUCUUAGAGAAAUGAAUCAGUGCAUUCCAUGUCGUACUACUCCCUCCUCUUCGGUUCCUAGUAGUUGAUAGACUGAUUAGACAUUCUACUAUUCUCCGUUGGCACAAGCGCUAGCAAUAAUGAGGACCCAUGAUACUUUUGUAAAAAUUAGUCUCCCUUUUGCAGCUGUGAACAUUGUGCAUGACAAAUUAACAAUUAUAUGUGCUGCUCAUAAUUAACUAUGAGUCUAAGCAAGGGUUGGGCAUUCAUCCCCAUGAACUGAAGCUAAUGGCAGUAAUAGACAGUUAAUUGCUAAAGGAUAAGAUAUAUACAGGAGUGACACAAUGUCAGUUCAUGUCUCAUAUAACCGACGCACGCGGCAUAGAUUGUUCGAAAUUCCUGAGCACAAAACCACGAGUUGCCCGUUUCGUCCGACCGAGGCACCAAAUGCACCAAGCUGGGUGCCCGGAAAAGGCAUCGAAAAUCUCCCAAAAUAGGCGGCACGCGCGGACGGCUUGGAAGUGUGACGAACUUACACAGGUAGGCGACGCGGGGGCGCUCGAGCUCGAUCUCGGCAGCGACACGCAGGAUCGGGGCGAUGCUGCUGAGCGAGGACGGCACCACCUCGUUGUCGAAGACCUCCAUGGAGAAGGCGGGCAUGGCGGCGCUCCUCGGCCCCCGCCGGUUGAGCCCCGACGUCGGUGUGUUGGGCUCGGUCAUCGAAGCGGCAGCGGCGGAGGCUGCCGACGCCCCGACGUCGUCAUCUCCGCCUCCACCACCUCGCGAUCUCGGGGGCUUCCGCCUGCAUUCGGGGCAGCGGGUCAGCGCCGACUAGCCAGGGCCGAUCGAUUCGGCCGGGAUAGAGAGUGGGGAGAGGGCGCGGAAGAACCCUAGCGCGAGCGGCCGCGAGCGCGCUCCGCUUCCCUUCCGCCUCCGCCUCCGCCUCGCGCGUCCUGCCGUCCUGCGCUGGAAUGGAAUGGUAGAACCAAACGGGGGAGGUGGUCGGGGAGGCAAGUACAGGAAUAGGCACGGCCGCCGACAGCCCACCCAGCCGCCGGUGUGGUGGGGAUAGGAGAGGAGGUCGUCGGCUGCGAUCUGGGGAGGUGGCGGCUGCGAUUUGAAAAGGAGGAGGAGGCGUGUUCGAUCUGGAUGGGCUAGGGUUCCCUGUGCGGGGAAGAGAGAGGAGCUGGGUGGGUGAGAGGGUGAGGGGUUUGGGCCGUUGGAUCUGUACGAUUUGGACGGCUCAGAUCGUUUUUAGUAGGGUGAUCCGUGGACUCUAUUCUGAUUGGUCGAGACAUGUGUCACUUAAAAUAAUCUCUAAGUGCUAAAAACAAUGAAGAUUUAUGAAGAAACUACCAAUAAUAUUUUGCAAAAUGCCACUACUAAAAUUUUCACUCAAGGUAUACCACAUUUUAUGGAUAAUAACCAACUUCUAUGCAUUUUCUUUGGACGAAAAAUUCAUUUUCCAUUUUUCGAGGACCCCAAAAUGAGUUGUUUUGUGAAGGACCUACCAUAUAUUUGUUGCGAAAUUGAACCAAAUAAUUUUUCUAAAAUACUAGGCCAUAUUAAAUGCACAAUUAACCAAAUGGUUGGGUGUCAAAAUCUUUUUAUCCACCUCUCGUCGAAAAAGACAAAUGUUCGUCGAAUCAGCUGGAAACGGAUCAAAUUUGAACUGCAAUUGCCUCAUAGUUUGUUUUUAUUUUUUCUAAAAAUAAUUUAUCGGUACAAAAGUAUCUAUUUAAUCAUAGAAACAUCAAAAGUUUUCCAAGAUUCAACCAACGGUCAUACUCGCUGUUUUGACCGCAUUUUGAAAUGGCCAUGAGAAAUUCAAAAAAAAACUCAAAAAAAAUUGAAAAACCUUUGCGUUGUGUCAUUAUAUGUCACAAAUUUACCAGGAAAAAUAAUAAACUUGUAAUACGGCAAUUAUUUUUAAAAAGUGUUCUUAGAAAUGAGUUAUCAUAUGUGAACAUUCAUGGUUUUCAAUCCAAAUGAUCAAUCUUAUGGCCACAUUUAUUACAUAGUUUAUUCAAAUGAUCUAAUAUUAUGCAUAACGGUGCAUAUUGGAAUGGCAAACAACGUUGAUUAAGGAAGUUUUCAUUUUCGUUGUAUGUAAAAUUCAUUUUACAUUUUUUAAGUGUCCAAAAUGAGUUUUUUUAAGGACCUAUCAUAUAUUUGUUUUAAAAUUAGACCAAAUCAUUUUUCUAAAAUACUAGGGCACCUUUAAUUGAUAAUUGACAAAAUGAUUGGGUGUUAAAACUUCACACCUGUUUCUCUUCAAAACUGUCUUAUCAAAAUCAGCUCCAAAUGCCUGGCGUCUCGUGCGCAGCCUCUUAUUCCUUUAAUUAUUCAUCAAGAUCAAUCUGGAUUCAUUAAAGGCAGAGGUAUCGCUGAUAAUUUUAUUUACGUUGCUGAUAUUAUUCAAACUUGUUUCAAGCGUAAAAAAUCAACGAUUGUUCUUAAAUUAGACUUCCAUAAAGCAUUUGAUUCUGUUUCCUGGGAGGCUUUGGCGGCAAUUCUAAUUGCGAAAGGAUUCCCUUCGAUAUGGUGUGAUUGGAUCCAGAAUCUCAAUCAAACCAGUCAAUCGGCCAUUCUCCUUAAUGAUAAGCCGGGACCCUGGAUUUCUUGCAAAAAGGGUCUUCGACAAUGUUUGUUUAUUCAGAAAAACUUCAUGCGUUUCAAAAACUGUUUGUGAAUUUAAAAAUAAAAUCCUGCAACAUAAAAAAUUAUGUUCGUCUUUUUUCUUGAAUUGGUCGCCAAUUCAAAAGAAAAUAUUUAAACUCGUUCGAAAUAUAAAAAAUAUUCAUGAUUUUUAGUAAAUUUUUGUAAAUUAUAAAAAAAUGUUCUUGAUUUUAAAAUUGUUCUCAUAUUUGUAAAAUUGUUCACGAAAGAUUUAAUGUGUGUAGUUAAACAUUAAUGCUUCUAAGUCUUUGUGACAAUAUACCUGUGUGAAUUUUGAAGAAUUAACUGUUGGAUUGAUCGGAUUAUUAUUGUAUGUUUUUUUAAAAAAUUCUUGAAAUUCAGAAUAAAUCUUUGAGUUACCAAGAUUUUUGACAACCAUGAUAUAUAUAUUUUUUAAAUGUAAAGGUUGCUUCAACUUGUGAAUAAAUUUAAAAGAAGAAAUAUUUUCUUGCAUUUGUGUACAAAAUUUCUAAAUCAAGCGAUGAUAUGUGAACAUAAUGUGGUCACCAUCAUUGGAGAUUAUGUUUUUUUCUUCCGUGACAACGCACGGACCAUUUUGCUAGUACACAAUAAAGGAAAUAUUGUGUAUAGGAAAAGAACAAAAAGGCGACAAUAUAGGUAGCUAGCUAGGAGAGAUAGCUGUUUAGAUCAAAUGAAAAAACAUUUUGGUAUAUAUGUACAAAUUAAGCUGCAUACUACAAAUAUAUACUUUCAACCUCUUACAUCAAUUCCCCUGAAAGAUAGCUUUCUAUUCUUAAACGAGAGUACAAGACGUCUGUUUGAACUUCCAACUGCUCCAUUGAUGAGUAAGCAAACAGAAAGCACGUGCAUUGGUUCAACACACACUCUGCGAGUCAAACUGUCGGCUCGUCUUGGGACAGUUGGGGCGAACGUUGAGAUACCACUAGCAAGUAGUGGCAGCUGGUACAUGCGAAAGUACCUUUCUAAACUCGAGCUCAAAUGUUUCUGCGGUGAAAAGUAAAAUCAAAAACAAUUUAGAAAAUUCGAACUUUUUUGGUGGCAAACUUUAAGAAAUGUUUGAAUUGCAUGCAAAUUUUCAUCACAAAAACGCAUUGGUGAAAUUCGUAUAAAAAGAUUAGAGCUCCAAAAUGCAUUUGAAAAUAACAUUCAGAGUAUCAAUAUUCUUUUUUCACGGCUUGACCGAUGUGAUUUCGUGCGAUAAUUUUUUACAUGCUAUAUCCAAACAUUCCUUAAAGUUUGACAAACAAAAUCAUAUUUUUUAAAGAAAUCAUAAUCUAGUUCACACUACUGGCUACCGUACAAAAAUAAUUGAGCAUACCUGAUUUCGUAGAAAGAGUCAUCAUUAUUAUUUUUCAAUUCUCAACAUCCACAUCUUCCUGUACAAUAAACACACACAUGAAAUAAAGAUUGUAUUUUACAAACUUAAAGAUCUAAAUAUAUGUCACUUACGUUUUCAUUGCAUGUAUCAUCUUCAUUAUUUUAAAAAUCCUCCGAAGGUAAAUUAUCAUAUGAAGACCAUGAUUCAUUGGCGCUAUUAUAAUCAUCAUCAUUAAUAGAACUGUUAUCAGUUUCAUCGACGGUAUCUAUAUCAUACUCAUCCUUCGAAUAACCAGUUUCCUCCUUCAUUCAAACACACCUCAAGCACUAUACAACAAUAAAAAAUAAAAAAUUACAAUUAAAGUUUUGUAUAAGACUCAGUUUUAUUUCAACAACUUAGGCAGGGGAUGAUCCUCGACGGGGCGGUGGCGUGGUGAUCGGGAACGAGGCGGCGGAGUGGUGGUCGGGAACGGGGCGACGUUGUCGGCGGCAUGGGUAGACGUUCAGCAGCGGUGAACGUGGACGGGUCGGCGGCGUGGUGAGUCGGGAACGGGGCGACGGAGUGGUGGUCGGGCACGGGGCGACGUCGUCGGCGGCGAUGGGGUAGAUGUGCGGCAGCGCUGAACGUGGACGGACCAGCGGCGGGGUGAUCGGCAAUGGAGCGACGAUGUGGUGGUCGGGAACGGGGCGGCGACGUCGGCGGCGAUGUGGAGGAGGUGCGGCGAGCUGAUCGUGAUGGGGCGUCCGCGGCGGCGAGGUCAACCACGUGCGACGCUGAAUUAGGUCAAGCGACGGGCCCCCGACGCGCCACUAUGUCGUCGCGCCGCCGUUCUGCGUCGGGCUACCGCGGCGUCCGUCAGCGCCCCAACGGCGGGUUCUACGCCGACAUACGCUCCGGCGAUCUCCGUCUCAGCCUCGGCACGUACGACACGGCGCACGAGGCCGCCCGCGCGUUCGACGCGGCGGCGUGGCGCCUAGGUAGGCCGCGCCGCCAGAUGAACUUCCAGGACGUCCACACGCUCCAGCAGGCACUGGACGUCGCCCCCCCCCCAGCCUCGUCUAAACUCCGCACAAGACCGUGCGGAGCACACUGCGCGGCAGCACCGCCUCCUCCUUGCCCAGGAGGACGAGCUGGUCAUGGCGGAAUGGCACGGCGCCACCCGGAGGACGUCGCCUACGAGCAGGAUUAUUGGGCAAGGCGCCGCGAGGAGGACACGCGUCGGCGCCGCGAGGAGCGGUUAGACAGGCGUCAACGGAAGGCAUUGGCGAGUGCCCAGGCCGACAUCGUCGCAGCAGGCGGGAGGUCCUUCUUCACUGAAGAAGAUGACCGUUGGUUGGACAUCUGGCUGUCAACCUCUGACGACACCAACGACGAUGACGAUGGUGGUGAUGAUUGGAGCGACUGGGGUUAACAAAAGUUUUAUGUUUCCGAAUUAUCUAUCUACUUGCACCGAACUAUCUAUCUAUAUUUUCGAACUAUCUAUCUAGUUGCAAUCUAUGUAAAAUAACUUUGUAUCUUUUUUAUUUUAUGCAAUCUUUUUAUUAUUUUCCCCAUUUUUGCAAUUGAAAAUGUUGUGCGCGCGCGUUGCAUUUUUUACGCGCUGUUGGAACGGCGCGCGCUGCACUUUAACGCUGCUGUUGGAGCCAGCGCUGCGCGACGCACCAAACCAGGCGAUGAACGCGCGGCAAACAGAUUUUUUAAGAACGGCGCGAAGCGCGGAUGCUCUUAGAUGGAAAGCGAGAGCGAGCGUGAAAAGCAUGGCCGGCCGGUGACGGAAUUGGGGAAGAAUUAGCUCGUCCGAGAUCUGAUCUUGUUGUGUGAUGAAGAAGAGAAGAACUCAUUCCUUUUUUUUUUACGGUAGGAUUGGAGUUGGAGUUGGUCCAUGCAUGAUCCGGGGAGAAAAAGACGGCCCAUGCAUGCAUGCAUGAUCCGGGGAACUACUGCAGUAGUUGCAGCGAUGGGUGUCACUCCGGCGAGCAGUCCGCCACCGAUCAACUCGGAGAGAAGACAAGAGUAUGCAUGCAUGCAUGGGGAGACAAAUAUAAUGCACCCUUUUUGAUGGAUGGAGGACGACGGCAAACGUGGUUGGGCGGGGCGAGUCGCGAAACUGCUGGGUGGACGAACGAACAAGUCGUGCAUCGUGGGUGGGUCCCACUCCGAACCCCACUUGCAUGGCCGGCCGGGCGGUGUGCAUGCAUAUGCUUUGCUGCUGGCGCGUCCGUCCGUGCCUUCUUUUUUCCUGUUCUUGAUGGUGAAAAUCAAAGUCGGAGGGGGGGGGGGGGGGGCAUGCAUAUACGUGCGUGCACGGGAAACUCACGCUUGUCCGAGGCACACGCCAGUUUCAGAUCGUCGGCUACGGCGUGCGCAAGGUCAGCAACCCCAUCAGGUCCGGCGGCCACACCUGGGCACUCGCCUGUGGAUUUGUUGACCAAGGAGAUGAUCACCUCACCAGGCGUCCAUCACCCUCGAGAUGGUCGGAAACAACAAAAACAACGUCGUCGCGAUGGUCAGCCUCCGCAUAGACGACCCGUACGUGCGGACGGUGGCCGGCUGCGGUGUGGAGGAGCGACGACCCCAACGUCUUCUCCAAAACCCGCAACACCUGGAAGCUGACGGUGCCAGAUUUGUUCCGUGGCCAUGAGGCGCGCUACGUGGAGAACGACCGCCUCACCAUCCUCUGUGUUGAAAUUUGGAGGUGGGCUUUAGGCCCAUUAGAGAAUUUCAGAAAAAUCUCCAAGGACCCAUGUAGGUGGUGGCAUGACAAGGUGGUGGGAGUUUAGUCCCACCCCGCUAGUGUAGGAUAGUUUGGACCCCUUUAUAAGGGUCUCUCUUCCACAUGCUAUUGAGAGUGAGAAGAGAAGUUGUCCUCGCACACUCCUCCUCCGCCGCCCGCCUCCCAUCCAUGUCGCCAUCGUCCGGCCCAGCGGCAGGCAACUUGAGGAAUCCUGCAUUCAGUAUAUUGAUGCCUCUGAACAGACACCUCUUUUUCGUGCCUCUUCCAGAUGUAUAUAUACUUAAGAAUCAAUAAAAACAUUCCAGAUGUAUAUAUACUUAAGAAUCAAUAAAAACAUUCAAUCUCGUUUUACUCUAACACGUUAUCAGCACGUAGUCUUCUUCGCUGAGAAAGAGGCCAAGCCGCCGCCCCGCAGCGCCGUGCCCCGCGCUAGACCGGCUCCGUGUCCGUCCGUCCGUAUCGUGGCCGCCGCCGCGCGAGGCCGUCAACAGGUCGUAGGUGCAAAGCACGCAACGGCCAGGGAUGCAGAGCGCAUAACACGCUGGCGCAUCAGAUCGCAUGCAAAGGCAUGCAUGCAUCCAUUGGAGAAAUCAAUCAUGAGAAGGCUAAUUUGGUUUUCAUUUUGAGAUUAGCAUCAGCGACCACUCGUUGUGUCUCUCGUGAACGGAGAGGAAUCUUCUUUUUACAUCACAAGAAAUCACCCUGCGGCAUCAUCAUUUCCUCAAAGAACGGAGAGCAAAUUGAGUUACCUGCGGCAUGCAUUCGUACAGGAAAUUAAUCAUUAAUAUUAAUUAUGUUUGUCUUCUUAUGAUUAAAAGGAAUCUCAUCCAUUCUGCCUUGUGCUACAAUCGCUUCAUCAAAUCGGGCCUUUGGCCGGUACCCUUUAGUCCCGGCAUGUCUCUGGGCCGGGACUAAAGGCCUAUCCACGUCGUCCCAAUUCUCAAUACCUCCUUCAAGGCUUUAGUCCUGGCCCGUAAGGAGCCUUUAGUCCCGGUUCGUGUCCCAAACCGGGACUAAAGGGCUACGCGGUGGGCAGCCCGCAUGUGUGCCACCUUUAGUCCCGGUUUGUGUCUCAAACCGGGACUAAAGUCCUUUGCCUAUAUAUAGCACAGCCCCCCUCUCCCCUCUUCCUUGCAUUUUUUGGAUGGAGGAUUGUGGGUGUGUGCUAACUCUCCACUUUUUUUUUAUACAUUAGAGGUGUUUGUUGAAAUGUGUGUUAGAGUGAUGCCGCUUCAGUUCACCGAACACAACUACGAUAUGAGAUGCCUGAGCCACGCUUAAACCUCUUCCUCUUUAUUUCUACUUAUUCUAAAAGGUUAGCAACUAUAGUUCCUCGUUUAGACCGUGCGGUACUAAUUUUUAGGAUCGUGAUUGUAUUUGAUAUACUGUCGUAUAACACAGAUGAGCCAUCCAUGGAUGUACGGGGAUCGACGCACAACCGCUUACAAAAAAGGCGUGCAUUCUUUUCGAGAUGCAGCCGAUGCGAACAAGCAUGGUGGUGGAUAUAUGUUUUGUCCAUGUGUUGAAUGUCGGAAUGAGAAGGAUUACACUUCCUCAAGAGUCAUUCAGAGCCACCUGCUUCGGUCCGGUUUUAUGUCGGACUAUUAUGUUUGGACCAAGCAUGGAGAAAGAUGGGUUAUGAUGGAAGACGACGAUGAAGAAGAAGAGAACGAUGAUGACAACUACCGAUCUAUGUUCCCUGAGUAUGCUGAUACCGCAAUGAAAGACAAUGAAGAAGAAGAUCAGGAUGAAGAACGGGAACCAGAUGAGCCCGCUGAUGAUCUUGGCCGGGUCAUUUCUGAUGCACGGCGAGGUUGCGACACAAAAAAGGAGAUGUUGCAGUUCGAGCAGAUGUUAUAGGACCACAACAAAUUGUUGUACCCAACUUGUGAAGAUGGCCAGAAGAAGCUGGGUAGCACACUGGAAUUGCUGAAGUGGAAGGCAGAGACCGGUGUGACUGACUCGUCAUUCGAAAAGUUGCUGGUACUGAUGAAGAAGAUGCUUCCAAGAAGGAACGAAUUGCCCGCCAGCACGUACGAAGCAAAGAAGCUUGUCUGCCCUCUAGGAUUAGACGUGCACAAGAUACAUGCAUGCCCUAAUGACUGCAUCCUCUACCGCGGUGAGAAGUACGAGAAUAUGAAUAAAUGCCCGGUAUGCACUGCAUUGCGGUAUAAGAUCAGAAAAGAUGACCCUGGUGAUAUUAAGGGCGAGCCACCCAGGAAGAGGGUUCCUGCCAAGGUGAUGCGGUAUGCUCCUAUAAUACCACGAUUGAAACGUCUGUUCAGAAAUAAAGAUCAUGCGAAGUUGUUGCGAUGGCACAUGGAAGAUCGUAUGAAAGACGAUAAGUUGAGGCACACCGCUGAUGGUCGGCAGUGGAGAAAAAUCGAGAGAGAGUUCCCGAGAUUUGCAGCUGACGCAAGGAACUUAUGGUUAGGUCUGAGUACAGAUGGCAUGAAUCCUUUUGGGUAGCAGAGUUGCAGUCACAGCACCUGGCCCGUUACUCUAUGUAUGUACAACCUUCCUCCUUGGUUGUGCAUGAAGCGGAAGUUCAUUAUGAUGUCAGUGCUUAUCCAAGGUCCAAAGAAACCCGGCAACGAUAUUGAUGUGUACCUAAGGCCAUUAGUUGAUGAACUUUUACAGCUGUGGGCCGAACCAGGUGUACGUGUGUGGGACGAGCACAAACAAGAGGAAUUUGACCUUCGAGGUUGCUUUUCGUAACCAUCAAUGAUUGGCCUGCUCUUAGUAACAUUUCAGGACAGUCAAACAAGGGAUACAAUGCAUGCACGCACUGUUUGGAUCAGACAGAAAGUAUAUAUCUGGACAAAUGUAGGAAGAAUGUGUACCCGUACAAUCAUCGUUUUCUUCCGCCCAAGCAUCCCUUAAAAAAAAGGCAAGCAUUUCAAUGGCAAGGCAGAACCCCGGGGGAAGCCUGUCAUCCGUACUGGUGCUGAAGUAUUUGAUAUGGUCAAAGAUUUAAAAGUAACCUUUGGAAUGGGUCCUGGCAGCCAACCUGUUCCUAACGGCCCUGAUAAGCGCGUACCCAUGUGAAAGAAGAAAUCUAUAUUUUGGAAGCUACCCUACUGGGAAGUCCAUGAGGUCCGCUCGGCAAUCGACGUGAUGUAUCUGACGAAGAAUCUCUGCGUGAAUAUUCUAGGCUUCCUGGGCUUGUAUGGGAAGUCAGAAGAUACACCGGAAGCACGGGAGGACCAGGAACGUCAUAAAGGAAGAGAUGGCAUGCAUCCAGGGCAGUUUCAAGGGCCUGCCAGCUACGCUCUUGUUGAGGAACGUCGCAUGGGAAACAAAAAUUUCCUACGCGCACGAAGACCUAUCAUGGUGAUGUCCAUCUACGAGAGGGGAUGAGUGAUCUACGUACCCUUGUAGAUCGUACAGCAGAAGCGUUAGAGAACGCGGUUGAUGUAGUGGAACGUCCUCACGUCCCUCGAUCCGCCCCGCGAACAAUCCCGCGAUCAGUCCCACGAUCUAGUACCGAACGGACGGCACCUCCGCGUUCAGCACACGUACAGCUCGACGAUGAUCUCGGCCUUCUUGAUCCAGCAAGAGAGACGGAGAGGUAGAAGAGUUCUCCAGCAGCGUGACGGCGCUCCGGAGGUUGGUGAUGAUCUUGUCUCAGCAGGGCUCCGCCCGAGCUCCGUAGAAACGCGAUCUAGAGGAAAAACUAUGGAGGUAUGUGGUCGGGCAGCCGUGAGAAAGUCGUCUCAAAUCUGCCCUAAAAGCUCCAUAUAUAUAGGAGGAGGGAGGGGGACCUUGCCUUGGGGUCCAAGGGACCCUCAAGGGGUCGGCCGAGCCAAGGGGGAGGACCUCCCCCCAAACCGAGUUGGACUUGGUUUGGUGGGAGGAGUCCCCUCCCUUCCCACUUCCUCCCUCUUUUUUUUCUUUUCCUUUGAUUUCUUUUUCUUGGCGCAUAGGCCCACUAAGUGCUGGUGUGUCUCCCCAAAGCCUAUGGGCUUCCCCGGGGUGGGUUGCCCCCUCCCCCCCGGUGAACUCCCGGAACCCAUUCGUCAUUCCCGGUACAUUCCCGGUAAUUCCGAAAACCUUCCGGUAAUCAAAUGAGGUCAUCCUAUAUAUCAAUCUUCGUUUCCGGACCAUUCCGGAAACCCUCGUGACGUCCGUGAUCUCAUCCGGGACUCCGAACAACAUUCGGUAACCAACCAUAUAACUCAAAUACGCAUAAAACAACGUCGAACCUUAAGUGUGCAGACCCUGCGGGUUCGAGAACUAUGUAGACAUGACCCAAGAGACUCCUCGGUCAAUAUCCAAUAGCGGGACCUGGAUGCCCAUAUUGGAUCCUACAUAUUCUACGAAGAUCUUAUCGUUUGAACCUCAGUGCCAAGGAUUCGUAUAAUCCCGUAUGUCAUUCCCUUUGUCCUUCGGUAUGUUACUUGCCCGAGAUUCGAUCGUCAGUAUCCGCAUACCUAUUUCAAUCUCGUUUACCGGCAAGUCUCUUUACUCGUUCCGUAAUACAAGAUCCCGCAACUUUACAUUAAGUUACAUUGCUUGCAAGGCUUAUGUGUGAUGCUGUAUUACCGAGUGGGCCCCGAGAUACCUCUCCAUCACACGGAGUAACAAAUCCCAGUCUUGAUCCAUACUAACUCAACUAACACCUUCGGAGAUACCUGUAGAGCAUCUUUAUAGUCACCCAGUUACGUGGCGACGUUUGAUACACACAAAGCAUUUCUCCGGUGUCAGUGAGUUAUAUGAUCUCAUGGUCAUAGGAAUAAAUACUUGACACGCAGAAAACAGUAGCAACAAAAUGACACGAUCAACAUGCUACGUCUAUUAGUUUGGGUCUAGUCCAUCACGUGAUUCUCCCAAUGACGUGAUCCAGUUAUCAAGCAACAACACCUUGUUCAUAAUCAGAAGACACUGACUAUCAUUGAUCAACUGGCUAGCCAACUAGAGGCAUGCUAGGGACGGUGUUUCGUCUAUGUAUCCACACAUGUAAAUGAGUCUUCAUUCAAUACAAUUAUAGCAUGUAUAAUAAACUAUUAUCUUGAUACAGGAAUUAUAAUAAUAACUAUACAUUUAUUAUUGCCUCUAGGGCAUAAUUCCAACAGCUCUUACUAAGGAAGAGAAGGAAAUAUUCUUUGAAGUCCUUUUCAAUAUCAAGGUCCCGACUGGCUUCUCGUCGAAUAUAAAGGGAAUCGUAAAUAUGAAAGACAAAAAAUUCCAAAACCUAAAGUCUCAUGACUGCCACGUGCUUAUGACGCAAUUGCUUCCGGUUGCAUUGAGGGGAAUUCUACCGGAAAAUGUUCGCCCAGCAAUUGUGAAGGUAUGUGCAUUCCUCAAUGCAAUGAGUUUUCAAUGGCAUGUACGAUUGCACUAUUUUCUCUUAUGAGUUUUCUCUCAAAGUUUUUCAUAAUGGUUUUUAGUGAGGCAAUAUCUUCUCAAAGAUCAUAUGUCAUACUUUCUAUUUUCCCUACCAGGAUUUUUAAAGGAAGUACUCAAGACAUAUUAAUUGUUCUCUAAACUUGUCAAUGAGUUUUUUCCUUCUUCAAAGGUUUUCUCAUAUGAGUUAUCAAGAGACAAUAAUCAUCAUAUGUUGCAUCUUUUCCUCCUUAUUUUUCCCAUUGGGUUUAAAGGAGUUUUAGCAACAUAUCUACUCUAUUCUCCUCAUAUUUUUCCCACAGGGUUUUUGGGGGAGACUCUCAAGAUUAUCUGGAAGAUUUCUCAAGAUGGAAGAUCUAUAUGCAAGAAGCUUUCAACGAUGAAACAUUCAAGGAGCGGUGUUGUACAAGGAAGAGUGUUAGAAAUUAAUUAGUAGAUUAAUCCAAGGGAUGUGUCCAACCCCGAACAGUCGUGUCUCCGCUCUCUCUAUAUUGCCAACAGGCACCUGUUCUGGAAGGAUGCCUCCGAACAGACACCUCUUCUUCGUGCCUCUUCCAGAUGUAUAUAUACUUGAGAAUCAAUAGAAAUCAGGACUAAUCGUCCAUUCAUUUUCAUUCAAUCUCGUUUUACUCUAACAGCCACGACUGGAGGAUAAGUUUGUACCCAUCAGGGAAUGCCGCGGUGGAGGGCGACAAGUACAUCUCCGUCUACCUCCAGCUGGUGUCGGACCUUCCUGCCGGAACCGCCGCCGGCGUGAAGACGUCCAUCUGCUUAAAAAUCCAAGACCCCAGCGGGACGUCGCCGUUGAAGGUGUGUAGCUCUUCACACAACCGUACUAGCAAAUCUAGGACAUGGGGGUACGAGAAGUUCAUUUCCUUGGAAGCUGCCAAAUCAAAGUACAUGGCACAUGAUGGAUCCUUAACCGUACGCUGCCAAGUCGAUGUCCUUAAGGAGCCGGAGCCCUACACUAGUUUGGCGAGCGCCGGAGUCACCGUCAUCGUGCCGCCCUCCGAAAUCUCCACGCAACUCGAGCAGCUGCUCACCAGCGAGAAUUGUUGGCUUUUGAACGUGCGUAUGCAGCUGUACAGGUGUGCCUACGCGAUUCUUGCUUCGGCCGGCUACUUUACGGAACUUGUGUAACUAGCGACACGAAUAAAACUGAUCAAUGGAUUUGAUGGCUAAAAGGCCCGUGUCGAGCCUUUGCUUUGUAUUGCUUUUCGUUUUUCUGGUGUUACAAUCAACACCCCUAGGAUGUCUUUUAUACACGUCCACAAGGGACUAUGAAAAUAGACUAGGACUAGGAAUCCUAAUACUACUAGGACUCGGUUUGGCUUUCUUUCCUAAUCCUAAAGAAACAACAUGAUUAACUUCUACAUUCACCUCCUUAAUCUUGUUGCUUCACUUCACUUCUUGCACUCCGACUUUCCUCCUCAUCUCGAUGAACUUCUGUCGACCGAGGGACUUGGUGAAAAUAUCGGCAAGUUGGUCUUUCGUGUUCACAUGUUGAACCUCGAUCAACCCUUCUUCAAUGCACUCCCGGAUAUGGUGGAACCGGGUAUCUAUGUGCUUGCUCCUUUCGUGAUGAACCGGAUUUUUGCACAACGAGAUUGCAGCUUGGUUAUCGAUCUUCAGUGACACCUUCUGCACCUCCCGCUUUGCAAGAAUAGCUAGGAGUCUUCUCAGCCACACUGCUUGACAAGCCGUCGUGCUUGCCGCUAUGUAUUCUGCCUCGCAUGAAGACAGUGCCACCACCUUUUUGCUUCUGAGAAUUCCAGCUAAUCGGAUUCGUGCCAAGGUAGAAAACCAUGCCCGUUGUGCUCUUUCGGUCAUCAACAUCACCUGCCAUGUCACUAUCUGAAUAUCCACGAAGGAUCAAUCCUUCCUUUCCCUUUCUGUACGUGCAACCAAGAUUAAUGGUGCCUUUCACAUAGCGCAAGAUUUGAUUGACCGCGCUCAUGUGUUCGGUUGUUGGAUUCUCCAUGAAACGACUCACGAUCCGGACUGAAUACGCCAAGUCAGGUCGGGUAUGCACCAAAUAUCUCAGGCUGCCCACAACGCUUCGAUACAUUGUGGUGUCCACUGGCGGAUUUGAGCUACGCUUGCUCAACUUGUGACGUUGGUCCAUUGGAACUUGUGUCGCGUAGCAAUCUGACAUGCCACACUUGUCCAAUAACUUGACAGCGUAAGCCGAUUGACAUAGGGAAAUCUCUCCGGAGCUUUGCUUCACUUCGAUGCCCAAGUAAUAGCUGAGUAAUCCCAGAUCACUCAUGCUAAACUUGUUCUUCAUUUGCGCCUUGAAAUGUUCAAUUUCAUGUACGCUAUCUCCGGUGAUAAUCAGAUCGUCGACAUAAACUCCAACUAGCAGGUUUGAGCCUUUGGAGUUCUUUGUAUAGACUGCGUGCUCGAGGGGACAUCUCUUGAACCCGAGCGAGACCAGACUUCGGUCUAACUUUGAGUUCCAAGCUCUUGGCGCUUGCUUCAACCCAUAAAGUGCCUUCUUGAGCUUGUAAACUUUUCCUUCUUCGCCUUUCUUCUCGUAGCCGAGGGGUUGUUCCACGUACACUUUUUCUGUGAGAUCGCCGUUGAGGAAAGCGGAUUUAACAUCCAUAUGAUGAACCUUCCAAUCCUCUUGUGCUGCCAAAGCUAGGAGCACUCUCACCGUCUCGAUUCGAGCAACCGGUGCAAACACCUCAUCAUAGUCAACUCCUUGACGUUGAACGUAGCCCUUUGCAAUGAGUCUUGCCUUGUACUUCACAAUGGCACCCUGUGUGUCCUUCUUUAACUUGUAAACCCACUUCAAACCUAUGGUCUUUUGGUUUGGAGGUCGGGUUACCAAAGUCCACGUGCCAUUGCUCUCAAUUGCCUUCAUCUCCUCAUCCAUGGCGUGCGUCCAGCUAGGACUUUUGCUCGCCUCUACGAAGUUCGCCGGCUCCUCAACUCCGAACAAACAUAGUCCGGAGUACUCGAGUGUAACUGGCUUUGUGUACUUGUAGACUUUCUUGAGGGUCUUGUAGCGACGAGGCCCUGAGGAGUCCGUUGUGGCUUGCGAAGGAGACGACACAAAUUGUGUCGGUGUUGAUGCACUUGAGGAAGAUGGCUGAGACCCUGGUGUAUCAUCGACAUCCGUGUCGUCGGCGUAGUCGUCGUGACCGUGACCAUCAUCUUGAUUGUCGUCGUCACUAUGCGCCUCGUUGUCGAUGUUGUCGUUGAGAUCUCUGCCUGUGUGUGCGCGGCAUUGUCGCUAUCUCCUUGCGACCUAUGCGCGUCGUUGUCGGUGUCGGCACCAUGAUGAUCACUAUCAUUGUGGUCACCUUGGUUGGGCGUCUUGCCAACCACCUGGACAUCCUCCCCUGCAUCAUCAUCAGUUGGAAAUUCAACUGCAAAUAUGUUACUGUUUGGAGCAUCGUCGGCUGCGGCGCUCCAAUUCCACGCUUGGUUUUCUUCAAACACGGCGUCGCGUGAAAUUCGUAGACGCUUGGUUUGUGGAUCGUAGAAACGGUAUGCCUUGGUGCCAGAACUGCUCUCGUAUCCGAUGAACACCAUCUUGGUGCUACGAUCGGCNNNNNNNNNNNNNNNNNNNNNNNNNNNNNNNNNNNNNNNNNNNNNNNNNNNNNNNNNNNNNNNNNNNNNNNNNNNNNNNNNNNNNNNNNNNNNNNNNNNNGAAGGGAUUAAUCGAACAAGCCCUAAGGCUAAUUCUAGUCGUGCUCAUCGAGUUCAAGGAUGGGUCGAGCUCAACGAUAAGCUAAAUUUCACUGGACCAUAUAAAUGAAUGUAUCUAAAUACUAAAACGUGACUAGAUACAUUCAUAUCUAGAUAAAUCUAAGACAAGAAUUUUGGGAUGGAGGAAGUAUGUGUCUAAAAUUUCUGGAUGAAUACUCUAAAUUGUGUGCUGUACAGAAAACAAAAAAUACAUGAACUUUGAGGAUACGGUAUACUAUAUGCUAAAAAGCCACUUAUUUGUCUUUUUGUGUACCUCUCGCUUUAACGCGUUUCGACCUUAAAAUUUACACGCAUAUAGUAUUUGAAUUUUGUAUUCAUAUUUUUAGAACUGAAAUAUUUAAAUUUUGAGCGAGAGCACAAGCAUGCCUUGAGCGAGAGAAAAAAGAGCACAAGCAUGUUAGGCCCACCGCACAGUGACCUCAAGCAAGAGCACGACGGGUCCACCAGACAGUGACCUCCCGCCCAAACCAUAGCGGCUGGCAUGGGACCCACAUGCCAUACGCAUCAGCGGAACGAGCGAGCGAGCGAAAAAAUCUCUCGCUUUUCGCUGUCGUGCCGGUCUCAUGAAUGAUUGCGACGUAGUAGAGCGGAGCAAACGUACCGGCGUGGCCGCGGCCGGCGCCGUCUCGCGGGCGUCGAGGGCGACGGCGUCGCCGGAGGCCGCGUCCCUGACGACGAUGAACGCGCCGCCGCCGAGGCCGCUGGACAUGGGGUGCACCACGCCGAGGCACAGCGCCGCCGCCACGGCCGCGUCCACGGCGUGCCCGCCGGCACGCAGCGCCGCGGCGCCCACCUCCGAGCACCGCCCGUCGUCCGCCGCCACCGCGGCCGCGCCGGACUCCACCUCGUGCCGGCUCUCCCGCGCGCCAGACACCCUCGGUCUCCGGCUCCGAUCAGCGGCAGGCUCCGCGCCGGAGCCCAGGAGCAGCAGGAGGACGCCGGCCAGGGCGAGCAGCGCNNNNNNNNNNNNNNNNNNNNNNNNNNNNNNNNNNNNNNNNNNNNNNNNNNNNNNNNNNNNNNNNNNNNNNNNNNNNNNNNNNNNNNNNNNNNNNNNNNNNUUAGUCCCGGCAUGUCUCUGGGCCGGGACUAAAGGCCUAUCCACGUCGUCCCAAUUCUCAAUACCUCCUUCAAGGCUUUAGUCCUGGCCCGUAAGGAGCCUUUAGUCCCGGUUCGUGUCCCAAACCGGGACUAAAGGGCUACGCGGUGGGCAGCCCGCAUGUGUGCCACCUUUAGUCCCGGUUUGUGUCUCAAACCGGGACUAAAGUCCUUUGCCUAUAUAUAGCACAGCCCCCUCUCCCCUCUUCCUUGCAUUUUUGGAUGGAGGAUUGUGGGUGUGUGCUAACUCUCCACUUUUUUUAUACAUUAGAGGUGUUUGUUGAAAUGUGUGUUAGAGUGAUGCCGCUUCAGUUCACCGAACACAACUACGAUAUGAGAUGCCUGAGCCACGCUUAAACCUCUUCCUCUUUAUUUCUACUUAUUCUAAAAGGUUAGCAACUAUAGUUCCUCGUUUAGACCGUGCGGUACUAAUUUUAGGAUCGUGAUUGUAUUUGAUAUACUGUCGUAUAACACAGAUGAGCCAUCCAUGGAUGUACGGGGAUCGACGCACAACCGCUUACAAAAAGGCGUGCAUUCUUUUCGAGAUGCAGCCGAUGCGAACAAGCAUGGUGGUGGAUAUAUGUUUUGUCCAUGUGUUGAAUGUCGGAAUGAGAAGGAUUACACUUCCUCAAGAGUCAUUCAGAGCCACCUGCUUCGGUCCGGUUUUAUGUCGGACUAUUAUGUUUGGACCAAGCAUGGAGAAAGAUGGGUUAUGAUGGAAGACGACGAUGAAGAAGAAGAGAACGAUGAUGACAACUACCGAUCUAUGUUCCCUGAGUAUGCUGAUACCGCAAUGAAAGACAAUGAAGAAGAAGAUCAGGAUGAAGAACGGGAACCAGAUGAGCCCGCUGAUGAUCUUGGCCGGGUCAUUUCUGAUGCACGGCGAGGUUGCGACACAAAARGAGAUGUUGCAGUNNNNNNNNNNNNNNNNNNNNNNNNNNNNNNNNNNNNNNNNNNNNNNNNNNNNNNNNNNNNNNNNNNNNNNNNNNNNNNNNNNNNNNNNNNNNNNNNNNNNAUGUCACUGUCGAGGUCACGCUUGUAAACGAGACGGCACCCCCUCCCCUUGUAUAGUAGUCGCAAGUGGUAGUAUUUCCUUCCACGCCUCAAUUCGUCGUCCUCUUUCUCUCCGCAUGUCUCGAUCGGUACCUCUAAGAGGCAUUUGGAUUACAGCCCGUGCGUUGCAACGAAAACAAACCAUAUGACACGUCCUAACAUAAUAAUCAUGACUUAAGAUCUUUAUUUAAACUCAGAUUUACAUUGCCUUUUUGUGAAUACAUCUAUGCUCUCUCUCUAACUCUCUCUCUCCCUAAGGUGAACAUCAACUUUUCUGUUUUCAUGUAAUGUUUUGCCGAUUAUUGAUAGUUUUUUGUCUAGAAUCUCAUUUUGACGAGGUGUUCAUUUGCAACACGGAUCGACUUCAGUACGAAAAAAUGAAUUAUGCCCUACUGAUUAAAAUUACAGCAUAAAUAGAAUUUUAAAAUUGUUAAAUAAAUAAAAUAACAUCAUAUUUAGACUCUACGCAUCACUAUUGAUGAAAAUUACAUUAUAAACAGAAUUUAAAAAAGUAGAAAUAAAUAAACUAACAUUAUAUUCAGAUUCUACGUAUGUUUCUAAUAAAAUUUCAUGUAUAAUAAUUUAAAAUUGGAGUUACCGUUUAAAAGAUAUGAUUUUUUUAAGUAUUUGUCACUUUUAAUUAAACUGGAGAUUAAUUAAUAUAAAACUGAAGGACGUUUNNNNNNNNNNNNNNNNNNNNNNNNNNNNNNNNNNNNNNNNNNNNNNNNNNNNNNNNNNNNNNNNNNNNNNNNNNNNNNNNNNNNNNNNNNNNNNNNNNNNUUUUCGUUGACUCCUCUAGGGUUCCUGGAAUAUUAGGGGUAUUUAUUAGAGCUCACAUAUGGUUGAGGAGGUGCCCCGAGGCCCCUCACUACCCACCAGGCCGCGCCCUGGUGCCUAUUGGGUCGCAUAGGCCUCCUCUGAUGAUCAUACUUGGUCCUCAAGUUCCUUUUGGUCCAAAAAUAUCUUCAAAAAGUUUCGUGGCAUUUGGACUUCAUCUGGUAUUGAUUUUGUCCUAAGGACAAAACAAACAACAAAUAGCAACUGGCAGUGGGCACUAUGUCAAUAGGUUAGUCCCAAAAUGAUAUAAAGUUGCUAUAAAUGAUCAUAAACAUCCAAGAAUGAUAAUGCAACAUCAUGGAAUAAUAAAAUUAAUAGAUACGUUGGAUAUGUAUCAGCAUCCCCAAGCUUAAUUCCUUCUCAUCCUCGAGUAGGUAAAUGAUAAAACGGAAUUUUUGAUGUCGAAUGAUGCCUAACAUGUUCAUCAUAUUCUUUUCUUUUUAGUCAUGAACAUAUGGACUUGUAGAUGAAGCAAAGCAAUAGUCUAUAAUUUUGACAUGAAAACUUCANNNNNNNNNNNNNNNNNNNNNNNNNNNNNNNNNNNNNNNNNNNNNNNNNNNNNNNNNNNNNNNNNNNNNNNNNNNNNNNNNNNNNNNNNNNNNNNNNNNNAUGGGUUUCAGCACAUAGGACCAGAUUCCUUUUUGGCCUUUCAGCGGGGAUGGUUCUGGGACAUGCCAUGGGAAGUUCAGGUUCAGCUGUUUGAGGGCGUCAGUCAUGAAAAUCAUUUGUUGCCCGAGCGUGGGCGUGCAAGCCUGCCAUCCGUGGCUUGGAUUUCAGGUUUGAUGGCAAGAAGCUCUUGCCGAUUUUCCAAAAUAUCCUAAUUCAGAAACUGAAACCUUUUCUCUCGGUCCUCUGCUUCCACUGAAUUCUUUUUCAGGUUUUGCAAAGAGUGAAAAUCAGACACAAACAUGAUCGUAACUACCACCAAAAAUCCCGAUGAUUCUGGACAAGUUUAAAUCGCCUCUAAUAGAUUAUACACGCCACAUUAAAAUCUACAGUUCUCCAACACCAUGGCGGGCAGUGGCACGAAAUUGAACGGGGCACGAGUAAACAAAUAAACACCACUAGAGAAAUGGGACAGCUAAUCUGCAUUUGCAACAGCAACGAUUUAGGCAAGCAGACAGAAGGUCGGGACCUGAAACUGAGUCCAUACAACGAAAUAGACUUGCAAUGGCAUCACCAAAUCGCGUCCUGCAAGUUCAGAAUUCAUAAUCCAGCAGAGAAACUUUUUCUGCCGGUUCAGAGUCGUUGUCUGCAGAGAAUUACAGAGAAGCACAAGCUUCCAUAACAGAUCGAACCAAGACAAAGUAACACGAACAGGNNNNNNNNNNNNNNNNNNNNNNNNNNNNNNNNNNNNNNNNNNNNNNNNNNNNNNNNNNNNNNNNNNNNNNNNNNNNNNNNNNNNNNNNNNNNNNNNNNNNAUGUUUCCGAAUUAUCUAUCUACUUGCACGAACUAUCUAUCUAUAUUUUCGAACUAUCUAUCUAGUUGCAAUCUAUGUAAAUAACUUUGUAUCUUUAUUUAUGCAAUCUUUAUAUUUCCCCAUUUUGCAAUUGAAAAUGUUGUGCGCGCGCGUUGCAUUUUACGCGCUGUUGGAACGGCGCGCGCUGCACUUUAACGCUGCUGUUGGAGCCAGCGCUGCGCGACGCACCAAACCAGGCGAUGAACGCGCGGCAAACAGAUUUUAAGAACGGCGCGAAGCGCGGAUGCUCUUAGAUGGAAAGCGAGAGCGAGCGUGAAAGCAUGGCCGGCCGGUGACGGAAUUGGGGAAGAAUUAGCUCGUCCGAGAUCUGAUCUUGUUGUGUGAUGAAGAAGAGAAGAACUCAUUCCUUUUUUUACGGAGGAUUGGAGGUUGGAGUUGGUCCAUGCAUGAUCCGGGGAGAAAAAGACGGCCCAUGCAUGCAUGCAUGAUCCGGGGAACUACUGCAGUAGUUGCAGCGAUGGGUGUCACUCCGGCGAGCAGUCCGCCACCGAUCAACUCGGAGAGAAGACAAGAGUAUGCAUGCAUGCAUGGGGAGACAAAUAUAAUGCACCCUUUUUGAUGGAUGGAGGACGACGGCAAACGUGGUUGGNNNNNNNNNNNNNNNNNNNNNNNNNNNNNNNNNNNNNNNNNNNNNNNNNNNNNNNNNNNNNNNNNNNNNNNNNNNNNNNNNNNNNNNNNNNNNNNNNNNNACUAACUUUAGUACAAAGUUGAGUCAUUUUUUGAGUCACUUAUUUUGGGACGAAGGGAGUAUAUACUAAAUCAGCAAACUUUCCAGUUUCCUAGUUUUUGUACUUUUUUGCCUUCUACUGUUCAAUUACGUGGGCAGCUAUUAAUAGUAGUUGUUUUAGUUUUUCUUACCUUCUACUGUUUAAAUUACAUGUGUAGCUAUGAAUAGUAAUAUUAAACAAUACAUACAUCGAAGAGUGGUCGGAUGUGCCAUCGACGAACAAUGCCUAUUUGAACAGUGCAUUCUGAAAGGAGUAAAGGAAAAAAAAUAACGCACAUCAAAGAAGAAAAAAGCUUUCAAAGAAGAAAAAAUAAGGCACGUCAAAAAACUUUCUUACACAACAUUUCUUUCUUCCUCAUCCACCAUCACGUUCUUAUAAAGAGAAGGGUUAAGAUUUAGGGAUUUUUUUAUACAUUAUUUCUCUUCAUCGAUGUACCGACACAAAACCAUCUCAAUUGUCUCUCGAUCCUUUUCGAUGAUGCUGUUGCUAGGGCACAAAACAGUAGGCUGGAACAGUAUAUUCGCAUGAACAGUAAUUUAUUGGAAAAGUCUUCAUCGAUUACUGUCCAUUUUACAUGACGACAUCAGCGAAUAGUUCACUACCAAACAACCAAAUAAUAUCUUAAUAANNNNNNNNNNNNNNNNNNNNNNNNNNNNNNNNNNNNNNNNNNNNNNNNNNNNNNNNNNNNNNNNNNNNNNNNNNNNNNNNNNNNNNNNNNNNNNNNNNNNCGCGGCUGUUAUAGGCCUGCGCAUCCAUGGCAAAAGAGUGCAUAUUGCAUGCACGUGCACUCAAUAAUACUCCCCUAGUACUAGCUAAGUACUGCCAUGCUGUUGGAGAUUCUUUCUCUCAUCACCGUGCGUGUAUGGAAUGACAUCAUCAAGUUUUUCCUAAUGUUUGAAAUUUAAAAGUUUUAUCUUCAAAACCGUUAAUUCGAUUGAUGAUCUGUUUUCAUCAUUGACUUUGUCGCAACGUGAUUUUUCGAAACUAGAUCCCAUGUUGAUAUGUUUCGACUAUUUUUUUGUCCGUACUUGCCACUAUUUUUUUCAUUCACUUGUCAUAUUAUCAACCACUUACUUGUCUGACAAAAAGUAGCUUAACUGCCAUAUUUUUUAUGUUGUUCCUGUACUAAGCUUGUCGGUGCUUAUAAAUCCAGUUGCCACAAUGUUUUGAUGUGCUUGUCAUUUUUAAUUCUGCCUAGAUGUCAUGUUGUCCCAUAAAACUUGUCAGUGGUUAUAUAAUCCUGUUGCCACAAAUGUUUUGUCGUGCUUGUCAUUUUUAUUCUACCUAGUUAUCAUAUUGUCUCACAAUGCUUGUCACUUAUGUAAAAAAUUUGUGGCCGUGGUGUUUUGUUGUACUUACGAGUCUUAAUUCUACCUAGUUGUCAUGUUGUCUCAUGAAAAGCUUGUCGAUUGUUCUAAAACCUAGUUGUUAUGCUGUUUUGUUGUAUUUAUCAAUUUAUUUCUACNNNNNNNNNNNNNNNNNNNNNNNNNNNNNNNNNNNNNNNNNNNNNNNNNNNNNNNNNNNNNNNNNNNNNNNNNNNNNNNNNNNNNNNNNNNNNNNNNNNNGGCGCGCUCGAGCGCCGCGUGGAGGCCCCACGGAGUCGAGCCCGUGGAGGCUCGCCCUGACCCUGCACCCCGCGGCGCGGCGGCGCAGCGAGGGGAGCGGCGGCAGCCUCGCGGCGCCGGCCCCCGCGACGGCGCGCGGGAGCGAGGGGAGCAGCGAGGAGGAGAGCAGCGCCUUGGCCAUCGCGGGCGGCGGCUGGGCUGGGCUGGGGCUGGGGCCGCGGCGGGCUAGGGUUCAUGCACGGCGGGAGCGAGCGGCGAGUGGUGGUGGUGGUGGAGCGGAGGGGAGAGGAGCGGAAGAGGAGGAGAGGACGGUCGUUGGAGAGAGAGGUGGACGAUGAUGCUUUAUCCUCUCCGGCGCUAGUGGACUCGGCGCACCGAAUGCUUCCGGUGUUUUUUUGGGACCGGUUUGAGAGAAAUCCAUUGCAAAUUGUUUCAUUUUCAAAUGCACCGGGCAAAAAAACACUAUUAUUAGUUUAAAAUAAAACUGGAUAUUUUGAUAUAAACAACGACUAUGUACGAAAUGAAAUGAGCGAACAAACACACUAUAAUAACGAAAGGAGAGAGUAGAACUUUACAUGAGACUAGUGCCAAGUCUGCCAUAGUUGAAAUAUAGUGUAACAUGAAAGCGCCCUUCUACUCCUAAGCUCAAAAUGAGCUUGUUGAACAGUAAAACCAGAAAAACAUUAGAAAUUAAAAAACUAAAAAUUAAGACCAACGUUGACAGAAGUUGUGACUAUGUGUAAAAUUUCAACAUCAAAUAACAUUUCUAUGAGGCAUGGUCAAAAAAAUGAUUUUUACUAAAAAAACCCGGCUUGUGGGUGAGGCACUUUGUGUGUUUUGGUGUUAGUGUUGAGGUGAUGGUCUUCUUCUUUGAGUCUUUUUUGUAGUGGUUGUGGUGUUGUGGACUGCGGGUAACUUCGACGGCAAAAGACCGCUCCUUGGAAAUGGGAGCGGUGUUCCCCCUGUCCGUUUUUGCGGCACAUACAAGGUCAUUGCCUACUACUUUAUUCCCCUAGGCGUCNNNNNNNNNNNNNNNNNNNNNNNNNNNNNNNNNNNNNNNNNNNNNNNNNNNNNNNNNNNNNNNNNNNNNNNNNNNNNNNNNNNNNNNNNNNNNNNNNNNNAUGCUCUUUCUAGAAAUUCUCUUUUAGUUCUAAGCAUAGGGUUCAUUCUUACUUUCAUCUAUGGAAACAUAUAAAGCUUUAAUUGAUUCAUUAAUAUAAACCUUAGGGAAAAAAUUAUUCCUGAGAUUUUCUACAUCACGCGGAAUUCUAUCAAUGCUUCUAGACAUAUCAUCAAUCUUAUUCCACUUUUCUUCUAUCGUGGUAUUGAAAGCUUUUUUGCACAUUGAUAAAAGGAGAAGGACGCGGGGAUGAGGAAAGAGAUAACAUGAUGAGCCCUUCUGAUUUUGAUUCACUGUAGACGCGAAUGAGUGGGCGAGACCGGCCGAAGCGUUCGGCCGGCGCACCAGCGGCAAACCUUUACCUAAUUAAAAAUAUGCAUGCACGCAUUCAUUAGGUUGUCUUCCAUAUGUAACACAAGCAUAUAGAAAAGUGUCCUUCUGCUCCCGAGCUCAAAUGAGCUCGAUGAACGCAAAAAUUGAAAAAAAUCAAAAACCAUUUAAAAAAUUUGUUUUUGUUGAACAACAUUGACAAAAGCUCUAAGUACGUGAAAAAGUUUGGCCGGAAAUAACAUUCCUAUAAGGUGUGACAAAAAAUAACGAAAUCGAUACUCUAAAAAUGCGCAUUUUGAGAGUAUCGAUUAUUGUUUUUUUACCAUGCUUUAUAAAAAUAUUAUUUCAGGCCACAUUUUUGCAUGCGUUUAAGAAAAUUGUCAGUGUUGCUCACAAAAAUUGAGAAUUUUUGAAUGUUUCUAAAAAAUAUAUCGAAUUUAUUGUUCACCAAACUCAAAUGAGCUCGGGAGCAGAAACUCUGCAUCCAAGCAAAUACAUGUACUAUGAAACUACAUUUAAUAAUGAAUCUAAUAAUAUUGAUUUGGCAGUGUGAAUGUUGAUUUUUUWAAAAWUUGAUCAAAGUAGAAAUAUAUAUUUUUGCAAGAAAAACUAAAGAUACUUUGACUUCGUAUAAAAUUUAUAUGCAGACGUCAUAUCAAAACNNNNNNNNNNNNNNNNNNNNNNNNNNNNNNNNNNNNNNNNNNNNNNNNNNNNNNNNNNNNNNNNNNNNNNNNNNNNNNNNNNNNNNNNNNNNNNNNNNNNAAAAUGAUUUCUAAAACCCGGCUUGUGGGUGAGGCACUUUGUGUGUUUGGUGUUAGUGUUGAGGUGAUGGUCUUCUUCUUUGAGCUUUUUGUAGUGGUUGUGGUGUUGUGGACUGCGGGUAACUUCGACGGCAAAAGACCGCUCCUUGGAAAUGGGAGCGGUGUUCCCCCUGUCCGUUUUGCGGCACAUACAAGGUCAUUGCCUACUACUUUAUUCCCCUAGGCGUCUCCCUAGCCGGCAUAUUGUUAUGUGGUGGUUCGUUCCUCCUCUUCGUCAAAACAUCACCGUCUCUGAUGUCGUCGCGAAAUUGCCGGAAGGUUUGUUUAGGAGAUGGUUCGAAUAUGGGAUUUUUAUCUACACAAGGUUUACAACGAUGGCUUUUCUCUGGGGCAUUAGUCCAACUGAAUCUAAACACAAUGAUUUUCCAACCACAUGAUACAACGUUAGUCUCACUUCGAUUACGAAGCAAAAGCGGUGGCGUGCCUUCGGCUUGUGAUAUAGAUUGAGUUUGUUUUGAUCUGUUGUCAUUUCCUUGUUUUUAGGUGGCUUGUAUCAUUAGAAAUUUUAAUUAGAACCAAAGCUUUAUUAAAAAUGAAAUGUGAUAUACCCGACUUAUAUGGCCUUUUGUAUUUACUCAUACAUGUUUCGUGUUGCUCUUCUCUUGCUAUGGUCUCACUUGUNNNNNNNNNNNNNNNNNNNNNNNNNNNNNNNNNNNNNNNNNNNNNNNNNNNNNNNNNNNNNNNNNNNNNNNNNNNNNNNNNNNNNNNNNNNNNNNNNNNNUACACGACGCUAUUUUCGUCCCUACAUCGUCACUGUUUUAAUUUACGACGAUCUCACGACGAAAACCAAGCGUCGAAAACGGAGCGUCACAAAUGAACAGCAGUGAUGUUUUGAUCAAAAUCGUCGUAACUUUUACGACGAUUCCUGGAUCGUCAUAACCUUUACGACGAUACUAAAUUGUCGUUGGCAAUCUAACCGAGUCCUACGUGGCAGUCCUACAUGGCAAAACGUCAUGAUUGAAAUCAGCCCAACCCAUUUCAAUUGAUCACAUGGGCUGGUUUUUUUGGGCUUUUCUUAUUGGGCUUCUUUUUGGGCCUUAGCCUAUUUACAGCCACUUCUAGUAUUUUUUGUAUCAUUAUAAUUUGGGCCUGAGCCUUUUAGUGCCCAAAUACAUUUGGUCCAGUUUCAGUUUUGGCCUUUUUUUCAUUUUUGAAUUCAGCAACUUUUUGUUCCAAACUUGGUUUCAUUUCUAUUUGUUGGGCCUUUUNAACCCAAUUAUUUGUCCAAUAUAAAAUCUAACACUAAUUUCAUAUUCAAAUCAGGAAAACUCCAAGUCGAAUUAAAAUCAAUCAAAUCAUAUAACAUCACAUAAUACAUCUCCCAGUUUUACAUAACACAAUACAUNNNNNNNNNNNNNNNNNNNNNNNNNNNNNNNNNNNNNNNNNNNNNNNNNNNNNNNNNNNNNNNNNNNNNNNNNNNNNNNNNNNNNNNNNNNNNNNNNNNNUCAUCGGCCGACAGUAGAGGAAACUACGGGGAAGCAACGUGUGUCGUCAACUGCUGCGUCUUCAGAAGAUGUCGACGAGAAUGAAGGCUUUGAAGAUGAAGAUGACAACAAUGCUUUUCGAGAGGUAAAUUUUGAAUUGUGUACAUAGUUCUGGGUGCAAAUUCAUCUUCUUUUGUGCUAGCUAAUUGUGUGCAUUGUUAUUUUUGUUGGAAAUGUCUACUUGUUAUUUUGUUUGAAUUGUGUACUUGUUAUUUUGUUUAGAAAACAUUGCCAAGGCUGAUUGGACAGACGCGAAUAUUACUGUAUUUUGUAACAUCGUCUGUGAGGAAGCUAGGGAUGGACACUGUGUGAUGGGUUGUGGUCAUUGAAACAACAAUGAUAUGAAGAAGUGUUCUUCGCUUAUGUAAUUUCUGUUAUCUCGGUUGUUAUGUACUCUCUCUUAUUUUGGUUCUUAUGAACAAGUGUUAAUUCGUUUGUAUGAAUAAUUUAUUUGGUUGUCACUAUUCUGUAAUUCGUUUGUAUGAACAAGAGUUAUGUGAACAAGUGUAUUAUUUAGGUGCAACAUGGACUUAUAAGUAGGGACUCGGGACUUAUAAGUCCCUGUAAAUAAACAGGUAGGGACUUAUGAUUUAUAAGUUGGGACUUAAAAAGUCCUAGGACUUAUGAAACAAACAGGGUCUUAGGUAGGNNNNNNNNNNNNNNNNNNNNNNNNNNNNNNNNNNNNNNNNNNNNNNNNNNNNNNNNNNNNNNNNNNNNNNNNNNNNNNNNNNNNNNNNNNNNNNNNNNNNGCUAACGAGGUAAGCUAACCCUGCAUCAUUCCUACUCUACAGCACCGAGGAAAUAAACAAAAGGGCUGCCGAGGGGAUUCGAACCCACGCCCUCUCAUCAGGCAGCUACGCUCGCUACCACUACGCUACGAUACGGGCGACUGACAGAGAAGGAACCUAAAGCAAGGUAAACUAACGCGAGCACGCGGUGCUCUGCACAGCGCGCAGGUCGCGUCGACAGGGAGGUCGCAUUGAUCUCUGCUGCUGCUGCGCACCAAGAGGGGAAACGCACGCCUGCUGAUGCUGCUACGCGGGGGAAAGUUCCCUGCUACUACUGCAUCGCCGAGACACACCACAACCUACUGCACCACUGCAUCUACCGUCGGCUACCUGACGGAGAGAAACGCGAGCACUUCCACGACGGAUCUACGACGGAAUCGAGGAGGAAGAAGGAAGGGGAGGUGCAGCCUCACCUUGGGAAGGAAGGGGGGCUCCGAUCUGAAGGGAAGGAAGCCGGACCGGAGGGGAAGAAGACGUGCCGAGGGAGAUCCUGCCGUAGACCGAAACAAGUCCCACGAUCUAGUACCGAACGGACGGCACCUCCGCGUUCAGCACACGUACAGCUCGACGAUGAUCUCGGCCUUCUUGAUCCAGCAAGAGAGACGGAGAGGUAGAAGAGUUCUCCAGCAGCGUGACGGCGCUCCGGAGGUUGGUGAUGAUCUUGUCUCAGCAGGGCUCCGCCCGAGCUCCGAUCAAUCGUUAAGGAUGACAACAGUUGAAUCUAUGCUUUAUGCCUAGCUAGGGGCGUAAAACGAUAGCGCUUAUUGGGAGGCAACCCAAUGAAUAAAAUUUAUUUUUCACUUUUGCUUUCUGUUCUUGAGUGUUUGCAAAAUUAUGCUACUAUUAUGAUUGUGUUUUUUUAUGUUUUAGUUAGUGUUUGUGCCAAGUAAAUCCUUUAAGAUCAUGUGGGGUGAUAGUUGCUUUGAUCUUGUUGAAAAAACAAAACUUUUUGCGUUCAGUAGAAAAAAAAUCUAGAAAAUCACAGAAGCAUCUAAAAGUGUCUGAAUUUUUACACAACAUUGAUAUACAAAUUACCUAUGUUUNNNNNNNNNNNNNNNNNNNNNNNNNNNNNNNNNNNNNNNNNNNNNNNNNNNNNNNNNNNNNNNNNNNNNNNNNNNNNNNNNNNNNNNNNNNNNNNNNNNNACGGAUCCUGCUUUCGCGUCCACCGUCUCCUUGUUCGUCACGUGGCCGGGGCAGACGAGCCGUGACCCGUUUCCUGUAAACAACUCCAUUGUUUCAGGACGUUGUUCCUGCAACUUGGAAGUAGUUGCAGAACGAGGGACCCAGGCAUGGCGACGACGGCUUCCACGGGAAGAGCUCGCCGGCCGCCCCGCCGCCGGCCGCCUCGCCGCCUAGAGCUCGCCGGCCGCCCCGCCCCGCCGCCAAGAGCUCGCCGGCCGCCCCGCCGCCUAGAGCUCGCCGGCCGCCCCGCCGCCAAGAGUUUCCCUGCUCGCUAGGUAGUGGUUCUGCAAUUUGAGCUUUGUUGCAAAAAUUCCUGAAACAUGACCUUUGUUGCAAAAAUUCUCCCGCAAAACGAAGAAAAUCCUGCAACAAGCAAAUUGUUUCUGAAACUCGACCGUUGUUUCAGGAAUUAACAGAUCCAAAGUUUAUUUCUUGCAACAAAGCGAAAGUUUCCGCAACUCGAGCAUCGUUUCAGAACCAUGCGGCGGGGAUGCGGGGCGUUAGAUCGCCAUCCGACGGCUAGCUAGGUGACGGAUAAUUUUAGAAAUCAUCCGACGGAUGCGUAGCGUUCCCUUUUCCUUGGCGCAACAUUUCCCUUUCCUUUGUAUGUUUCGUACUACAAAAAGUGUGUAUACACAUUUUAUCCGCUUGACCAAACACUUAAAUAUAGGUCAACAACGUGCACAUGCAGCCAGCUCAGUCUUGCUUACCAAGUCUAUAAACGAUUUAUUUAACCACUUGAGCCAGAGUAUCUUCCCUGAGCAAUUUGUAACAAAUUAACUUCGACCUCUCCGAACAAGUACUUACAAAGUUAGAGCAUCUCCAACAAGCGUCGAACGCGCCGCGCGACAAAAAAUUGGUUUGCCGCGCGCCCCAUCGCCUGGAUUGGCGCGGCGCGCAGCACGGGCUCCAGCAACCGCGUUAAAAUGUAGCGCGCGCGGCUCCAGCAGCCCGACAAAAAUACAGCGCGCGCGACUCGCCGGGUUUUCAUUUUAACAUAUAUGGCAUUUUGGACAACAAAAUGAGUUCGCCUGCUCAACGAAUGAGCUCNNNNNNNNNNNNNNNNNNNNNNNNNNNNNNNNNNNNNNNNNNNNNNNNNNNNNNNNNNNNNNNNNNNNNNNNNNNNNNNNNNNNNNNNNNNNNNNNNNNNGCCGAUCGUAGCACCAAGAUGGUGUUCAUCGGAUACGAGAGCAGUUCUGGCACCAAGGCAUACCGUUUCUACGAUCCACAAACCAAGCGUCUACGAAUUUCACGCGACGCCGUGUUUGAAGAAAACCAAGCGUGGAAUUGGAGCGCCGCAGCCGACGAUGCUCCAAACAGUAACAUAUUUGCAGUUGAAUUUCCAACUGAUGAUGAUGCAGGGGAGGAUGUCCAGGUGGUUGGCAAGACGCCCAACCAAGGUGACCACAAUGAUAGUGAUCAUCAUGGUGCCGACACCGACAACGACGCGCAUAGGUCGCAAGGAGAUAGCGACAAUGCCGCGCACACACAGGCAGAGAUCUCAACGACAACAUCGACAACGAGGCGCAUAGUGACGACGACAAUCAAGAUGAUGGUCACGGUCACGACGACUACGCCGACGACACGGAUGUCGAUGAUACACCAGGGUCUCAGCCAUCUUCCUCAAGUGCAUCAACACCGACACAAUUUGUGUCGUCUCCUUCGCAAGCCACAACGGACUCCUCAGGGCCUCGUCGCUACAAGACCCUCAAGAAAGUCUACAAGUACACAAAGCCAGUUACACUCGAGUACUCCGGACUAUGUUUGUUCGGAGUUGAGGAGCCGGCGAACUUCGUAGAGGCGAGCAAAAGUCCUAGCUGGACGCACGCCAUGGAUGAGGAGAUGAAGGCAAUUGAGAGCAAUGGCACGUGGACUUUGGUAACCCGACCUCCAAACCAAAAGACCAUAGGUUUGAAGUGGGUUUACAAGUUAAAGAAGGACACACAGGGUGCCAUUGUGAAGUACAAGGCAAGACUCAUUGCAAAGGGCUACGUUCAACGUCAAGGAGUUGACUAUGAUGAGGUGUUUGCACCGGUUGCUCGAAUCGAGACGGUGAGAGUGCUCCUAGCUUUGGCAGCACAAGAGGAUUGGAAGGUUCAUCAUAUGGAUGUUAAAUCCGCUUUCCUCAACGGCGAUCUCACAGAAAAAGUGUACGUGGAACAACCCCUCGGCUACGAGAAGAAAGGCGAAGAAGGAAAAGUUUACAAGCUCAAGAAGGCACUUUAUGGGUUGAAGCAAGCGCCAAGAGCUUGGAACUCAAAGUUAGACCGAAGUCUGGUCUCGCUCGGGUUCAAGAGAUGUCCCCUCGAGCACGCAGUCUAUACAAAGAACUCCAAAGGCUCAAACCUGCUAGUUGGAGUUUAUGUCGACGAUCUGAUUAUCACCGGAGAUAGCGUACAUGAAAUUGAACAUUUCAAGGCGCAAAUGAAGAACAAGUUUAGCAUGAGUGAUCUGGGAUUACUCAGCUAUUACUUGGGCAUCGAAGUGAAGCAAAGCUCCGGAGAGAUUUCCCUAUGUCAAUCGGCUUACGCUGUCAAGUUAUUGGACAAGUGUGGCAUGUCAGAUUGCUACGCGACACAAGUUCCAAUGGACCAACGUCACAAGUUGAGCAAGCGUAGCUCAAAUCCGCCAGUGGACACCACAAUGUAUCGAAGCGUUGUGGGCAGCCUGAGAUAUUUGGUGCAUACCCGACCUGACUUGGCGUAUUCAGUCCGGAUCGUGAGUCGUUUCAUGGAGAAUCCAACAACCGAACACAUGAGCGCGGUCAAUCAAAUCUUGCGCUAUGUGAAAGGCACCAUUAAUCUUGGUUGCACGUACAGAAAGGGAAAGGAAGGAUUGAUCCUUCGUGGAUAUUCAGAUAGUGACAUGGCAGGUGAUGUUGAUGACCGAAAGAGCACAACGGGCAUGGUUUUCUACCUUGGCACGAAUCCGAUUAGCUGGAAUUCUCAGAAGCAAAAGGUGGUGGCACUGUCUUCAUGCGAGGCAGAAUACAUAGCGGCAAGCACGACGGCUUGUCAAGCAGUGUGGCUGAGAAGACUCCUAGCUAUUCUUGCAAAGCGGGAGGUGCAGAAGGUGUCACUGAAGAUCGAUAACCAAGCUGCAAUCUCGUUGUGCAAAAAUCCGGUUCAUCACGAAAGGAGCAAGCACAUAGAUACCCGGUUCCACCAUAUCCGGGAGUGCAUUGAAGAAGGGUUGAUCGAGGUUCAACAUGUGAACACGAAAGACCAACUUGCCGAUAUUUUCACCAAGUCCCUCGGUCGACAGAAGUUCAUCGAGAUGAGGAGGAAAGUCGGAGUGCAAGAAGUGAAGUGAAGCAACAAGAUUAAGGAGGUGAAUGUAGAAGUUAAUCAUGUUGUUUCUUUAGGAUUAGGAAAGAAAGCCAAACCGAGUCCUAGUAGUAUUAGGAUUCCUAGUCCUAGUCUAUUUUCAUAGUCCCUUGUGGACGUGUAUAAAAGACAUCCUAGGGGUGUUGAUUGUAACACCAGAAAAACGAAAAGCAAUACAAAGCAAAGGCUCGACACGGGCCUUUUAGCCAUCAAAUCCAUUGAUCAGUUUUAUUCGUGUCGCUAGUUACACAAGUUCCGUAAAGUAGCCGGCCGAAGCAAGAAUCGCGUAGGCACACCUGUACAGCUGCAUACGCACGUUCAAAAGCCAACAAUUCUCGCUGGUGAGCAGCUGCUCGAGUUGCGUGGAGAUUUCGGAGGGCGGCACGAUGACGGUGACUCCGGCGCUCGCCAAACUAGUGUAGGGCUCCGGCUCCUUAAGGACAUCGACUUGGCAGCGUACGGUUAAGGAUCCAUCAUGUGCCAUGUACUUUGAUUUGGCAGCUUCCAAGGAAAUGAACUUCUCGUACCCCCAUGUCCUAGAUUUGCUAGUACGGUUGUGUGAAGAGCUACACACCUUCAACGGCGACGUCCCGCUGGGGUCUUGGAUUUUUAAGCAGAUGGACGUCUUCACGCCGGCGGCGGUUCCGGCAGGAAGGUCCGACACCAGCUGGAGGUAGACGGAGAUGUACUUGUCGCCCUCCACCGCGGCAUUCCCUGAUGGGUACAAACUUAUCCUCCAGUCGUGGCUGUUAGAGUAAAACGAGAUUGAAUGAAAAUGAAUGGACGAUUAGUCCUGAUUUCUAUUGAUUCUCAAGUAUAUAUACAUCUGGAAGAGGCACGAAGAAGAGGUGUCUGUUCGGAGGCAUCCUUCCAGAACAGGUGCCUGUUGGCAAUAUAGAGAGAGCGGAGACACGACUGUUCGGGGUUGGACACAUCCCUUGGAUUAAUCUACUAAUUAAUUUCUAACACUCUUCCUUGUACAACACCGCUCCUUGAAUGUUUCAUCGUUGAAAGCUUCUUGCAUAUAGAUCUUCCAUCUUGAGAAAUCUUCCAGAUAAUCUUGAGAGUCUCCCCCAAAAACCCUGUGGGAAAAAUAUGAGGAGAAUAGAGUAGAUAUGUUGCUAAAACUCCUUUAAACCCAAUGGGAAAAAUAAGGAGGAAAAGAUGCAACAUAUGAUGAUUAUUGUCUCUUGAUAACUCAUAUGAGAAAACCUUUGAAGAAGGAAAAAACUCAUUGACAAGUUUAGAGAACAAUUAAUAUGUCUUGAGUACUUCCUUUAAAAAUCCUGGUAGGGAAAAUAGAAAGUAUGACAUAUGAUCUUUGAGAAGAUAUUGCCUCACUAAAAACCAUUAUGAAAAACUUUGAGAGAAAACUCAUAAGAGAAAAUAGUGCAAUCGUACAUGCCAUUGAAAACUCAUUGCAUUGAGGAAUGCACAUACCUUCACAAUUGCUGGGCGAACAUUUUCCGGUAGAAUUCCCCUCAAUGCAACCGGAAGCAAUUGCGUCAUAAGCACGUGGCAGUCAUGAGACUUUAGGUUUUGGAAUUUUUUGUCUUUCAUAUUUACGAUUCCCUUUAUAUUCGACGAGAAGCCAGUCGGGACCUUGAUAUUGAAAAGGACUUCAAAGAAUAUUUCCUUCUCUUCCUUAGUAAGAGCNNNNNNNNNNNNNNNNNNNNNNNNNNNNNNNNNNNNNNNNNNNNNNNNNNNNNNNNNNNNNNNNNNNNNNNNNNNNNNNNNNNNNNNNNNNNNNNNNNNNCUCCCCCUUUUUGGUAGUUGAUGACAACAUAUACAUAGGUCUCAAAAAAGAUUUAACAUACAUUAUAGCCUUGGAGAGGUUUAGUACGGAGCUCCCCCUUAGUAUGUGCAUGAUAAAAUAUCGGAGCUCCCUUUUAAUGUGUGUAUCGAACAUAUAAUGGAUCAUCAUGUAAAGAUAAUAGAUCAUCAUAGAAAGACAAUAGAUCAUCAUAGAAGUAGUGGAGCAAAACAUAAUAGCCUAUGAUGAUAUCAUAGCAAUCCAUAGCAAUCACAACAUUCAUAAGUAGCCAUACAUGAGUUUAUCCAUUACAUUACACAACCAUGCAAAUUUAGACUAAAUCUCCAAAGACUAAAAACUACGAUACAUUACUCCCCCUUUGGCACCAAGUACCAAAAAGGGAGGCACCAACAUCAUCAACCAUGCUCAGAGCUCAUCAGCAUCAUCAUCAUCAUCAUCCUCAUCGUUAGGCAAGCCAUUGCCACCAGCCUCGUCAAGAAAAUCAGCCCACUCAGGACGAGAUGGGAAGCCAAAGUCAGAAGGAGGGGCAGCAGGAAGGGCCUCAUCAUCACUCACAUCAAGAGCGCCCGAGUCUCUCAUACGAGCCUUGAGGGCAUUCUUGGAGGAGACUAGGCGAGAAACCACAUCAUGGGUUUGACCACACUGGAAUGAGACGGCCUUCAUCAUAUCCCBAGUGUGCCUUGCCAAUGAAUUUGGCAAAGCGACCGAGAGGAGCGGAGCUAGAUGAGGGGGUUGCUGACCGGGCAGCAGUACGACGAGUGGAUGUGGAGGAUGGGGUUUUCUUGGGAGCAUAGUUAUCCGCCAUGUGAGCGGGAAUGACCCACUUGUGAUGUGUGUGAGUGACAGCAACAGAGAAAUCAGCAACAUGAUUAAUAAGAGCCUGGAUGAAGGGGGCAUGAGGGAAGGCUCGCUUGUAUUGAAAACUAGCAAGCCGAAUCUCAUGCCAUAGAAAGUGAGGCACAUUAAUUUUGCUCUUGGGGUGCUCGUACAAGUGUGACAUGAUGUCAAUACAGUAGCCACUGCAAGAUCCCUUAUCACCCAUCUUGGGAUAGAUGGUGCGGAUAAGACACUGAAAGAUGAUAAAGUAAGGUGAGCGCCAGAUGGAUACCUGGUUAAGAUCCUUCAUGCGUUCAUCCACAUCAAGUUCACGGAGUGGUUUGAGGAGAUACCCACACGCCUCAAUUGGCUUAUGUGCAUGGUUAGGAUCAUUCUUAUGUAUUUUGAAGCCGGAGUUGGGGAAACCAAGUGCGGCAACAAACAUAUCAUAAGAGGCUGUGAAGUGAACGUCAGAGGUGAUCCAGCUAACAAUGUGGUUUGGACCAAAGAAGCAUGUGGCAUAAAACUGGUGAAUGGCAGCAGCGUUAAAAUUGCGACGAAAAGCAAAUGGGGCAGCAAGCCCCGAUGAAUCAAUAAGCUCAAUGGCACACGGGUAUUUCGCCGGGUGCGUGCGAAUAUGCUCAAGAUCUAUGAAGUGAUGAACAGAGAGACCCUUAGGAACUAUGACUAUAGUAAAGAUGUCCGCCUGGACGUUUGUGCGGAAACGUGAGUCCAUAGAGUCACGUACGACAGAGAAUUGAUCAAUGUCGUGGCGGAAAGUGAGGUAUGAAGACUUGGCAAGCGUGGUGAAGUUCGUGACUUCAUGACCUAAGGUAGCAGGGGGUUCAAGUGAGAUGCGACGAGCUUCACCUUCGGGUUGAGCAGGAGGAGGUGGUGGCAUAUAGGACGGCCUGCGAGUCCCGGGCUUUGGCAUGGACCUCCGAACGGCGGGCUGGUCAGCACGGUCCUCGGCGGCAAGCUCAUCCUCGAAGUCAGAGCCAUCAGACGACGAGGGGAGCUGUUGAGACGGAGGACGUCGGGAAGUCCGUUUGAAGGGACGACGUUGCCCUUCCGAGUCCGACCCCGUGCCAGUAGGGGCACGAGCGGAUGAGCCAGCAGCGUCCUUCCGGGCGGCGUGCUUAAUCUUGGGCAUGAUGCACAAAAGCCUACACGGAUGGAAACCCAAUGGGAACGAUCAUGGUCAAACCAUAUGAACGAACAUGUGGACUUGGGAGAAAGGGAACCAAACGCGAGGGGAACGGAGGAGAUACCUGCAGAUGGAUCCCGCGGAGGAAGAAGAGAUGGAUCCCGCGGAGGAGAUCAGGCAGAUCUCGGAGGUGGGGGCGCGGGUGAGCGCUCCUGGUGCUGGCGGCGGCGGCUGCUGGGGAAAAAGGAGGCGCGUGAGGGCUAGGGCAAGGCCCAGCCCCACACCCUUCUAUUUAUAGGCCCCGAGGUGUUGGACGUCUGACAGGCGUCGGACGUCCGGAGAGGAUUUUGCCGUCGGACGACUGACACUGGCCGGACGUCCGGAAUGAGGUUAGCCGCCGGACGUCCGAGACACGUCGGACGACCGAGAGAGAGGAGGAGACAGAGGCUGAUUCUGAAAUUUUUGAUGAUGAGAUGAUGAUUUUUCAUGGUUUCUCACAAAGAAUACGAACAUAGUUGCCUACAAGAAUUACAUAUAAUACUUGUGGACAGAAGUUGAUUUAUGCAUACUUUGUAAGCUCAAAACACAGAAUUAUGACCCACUCCCCCUAAAUGCAUGCCCACAUCAAGACACAAACAUAAUGUGAGUGUGUGUAUGUGUGCAAGAUUUCAAGUUAUGUUAUCAAGCUCCAAGAUACCUAGUUCACGCCUAAGUUGACAGAACCUUGCUACGCUAAGUGGCUUGGUGAAAAUGUCAGCGAGCUGCAUGUCGGUAUCCACAUGGGUAAUAUCAAUGUCACCCUUUUGCACAUGGUCUCUCAAGAAAUGAUACCUAAUAUCAAUAUGUUUUGUGCGAGGGUGAUCAAUGGAGUUCUCGGAGAUCUUUAUGGCACUUUCAUUAUCACAGAGAAGAGGAACGUGUCGAUACGUGAUACCAUAAUCCUUUAGGGUUUGCCUCAUUCACAACAGUUGGGUUGCACAGCUUGCGGCUGCAAUAUAUUCGGCCUCGGCCGUGGAGAGAGAAACACAAUUCUGCUUUUUCGAGGACCAACUUACCAAGGAGCGUCCAAGAAACUGACAUGCACCGGAAGUGGAUUUCUGUCCCACUUUGUCACCGGCCGAAUCCGCAUCGGAGUACCCUAUAAGAUCGAACUUUGCAUCCUUAGGGUACCAUAAGCCUAACUUUGGGGUGUGAACAAGGUAUCUAAGAAUAUGCUUAACCGCCGUAUGAUGGCUUUCCCUAGGGGAAGCUUGAAAUCUAGCACAUAUGCCUACACUUAACAUGAUGUCCGGUCUAGAUGCGCAAAGAUAAAGUAACGAACCGAUCAUGGAGCGGUAAGUAGAUGGGUCAAAAGGAAUACCGUUGGUGUCUUCAUUUAGAACUACAUCUGUGGCCAUGGGUGUCUUCAUUGGUUUAGCAUUUGUCAUAUCAAAUUUUUCAAGAAUGUCCUUGAGGUACUUAGUUUGAGACAAGAAAAUUCCUUCUUGAAAUUGUUGUAUUUGAAACCCAAGAAAGAACUUCAAGUCCGUGUUGAGUGACAUCUGAAAGGUCUUGGUCAUGGAGGCCGCAAACUUCUUGCAUAAAUGGAUGUUAGGAGAACCAAAAAUGAUGUCAUCUACAUAGAUUUGGCAUAAGAUCAAAUCACCAUUUUCCCUCUUAGUAAAAAGAGUGGGAUCGAUCACCCCCACCACAAAGCCAUCAUCGAGUAGAAACUUCUUAAGAUGAUCGUACCAAGCACGGGGUGCUUGUUUGAGGCCAUACAAAGCCUUGUGAAGUUUGUAUACAUGGUAUUUGUGGUGAGGGUCAACAAACCCAGGUGGUUGUGAUACAUAUACCUCUUCUUGUAGAGGACCAUUAAGAAAAGCACUUUUCACAUCCAUUUGAUGCAAAGUAAAACCAUUGAAAGCAGCAUAGGCCAAUAAAAUGCGAAUGGAUUCAAGACGAGCAACAGGGGCGAAAGUCUUACCAAAGUCCAAACCUUCAACUUGGGAGUACCCCUGUGCUACUAACCUUGCCUUGUUGCGUAGGACAGUUCCAUUCUCAUCUUCCUUGUUCUUGAAAAUCCAUUUAGUUCCAAUGACAUUGUGUUCCUCAGUUGGUCGUUCUACCAAUGACCAUACUUCAUUGCGUGUAAAACGGUUUAACUCUUCUUGCAUAGCAAGGAGCCAGUCAUUAUCACACAAUGCAUACUGAACCCUGUGUGGCACGGUACUAGAGACAAACGAAAAGUGAGCACAAAAGUUUGUUAAUUGUUUACGAGUCACUCUACCUUCCGACACGCCGGUGAGGAUUUGAUCAAUAUCAACACGACCGACCACACGUGGCAUGAUGGAGGUCAGGGUUUCACGAGGUUCGACUUUGUUUCCAUCAUCAACGUCCUCAACAUAUGGAUCAUUUAUGUGCGGUGGAAGAUAUUCCUCUUCGCGUUGCACCUGUUGAAGUUCAUCAUCAAGCAUAUCCAUACUUUGGUCUAGCUCUUGAAGAUCAACUUGUUCUUGAGUGUGAUCAGAGUGAGAGACAUGUUCUCCCACUUGAUCCUCAACAACUGGCAUGAUAUGUGUGCUAGUAUCUUGUGGAGGUACGGGCAGUGAACUGUCUUGAGGAUGAGAAGUACUCUCAUCAUCUUCAUCAUCAUCAUCGGGUCUUUGUUCCAUGGGAAGAAGUGCACCUACACCCAUGUUCAAGAUAUCUUGCGAGGAAUCUUCUUCACCUGCAUCACUUAGAUCAACUUGCUCCCCAUGGGAGCGGUUAAAUUCAUCAAACGUCACGUCACAGGUUUCUAUAACACAUCCAGUGGAUUUGUUGUAGACUCUGUAGGCGUGAGAGUUUGAUCCAUAGCCAACAAAAAUCCCUUCAGUUGUUUUGGAUUGAAAUUUUCCUAACCGUUCUCGUUUGUUGAGGAUGAAACACUUGCAUCCAAACACACGAAAGUACUUAACAUUGGGCUUGUUCCCAGUUAGGAUCUCAUAUGGAGUCUUCUCCAAUAUUGAUCAAAGGAAGAGCCGGUUUGAUGCAUGACAUGCUGUGUUGACGGCCUGAGCCCAAAAACUAUGUGGUGACUUGUAUUCGUCUAACAUGGACCUUGCCAUUUCCACAAGUGUCCGGUUCUUCCUCUCUGCUACACCAUUUUGCUGAGGGGUGUAAGGUGCGGAGUACUAAUGUUCAAUUCCCUCAUCACUAAGAAAUUCUUCUAGGGUGUAGUUCUUGAACUCGGAGCCAUUAUCACUUCUUAUUGCCUUGAUGUCCUUGUCAAACUUCCGCUGGGCUUGUUUGGCAAAAUCAAUGAAGGUGAUCUUCGUCUCGUCCUUGGACUUGAGAAAGAAUACCCAUGUGUAUCUUGAGUAAUCAUCAACAAUGACUAGGCCAUACUUUUUCCCUCCAAGACCUGCCCAUGAAGGAGGCCCAAACAGAUCCACAUGAAGGAGCUCUAACGGCCUCGAAGUGGAUACAAUGUUCUUGGGUGGAUGUUUUGAUUGAUGUUGUUUCCCAGCUAUGCAUGCACUGCACACACGAUCUUUCUUAAAAGAUACAUUUGUUAGUCCUAGGAUGUGAUUUCCGUUUAAGAGAUUUUGAAGAUUUCUCAUGCCGACAUGGGCGAGCCGGCGAUGCCACAACCAUCCCAUGUCGGCCUUGGCCAUUAGACAAGUUGUAUGGAAGGUGCUCUCUUUUGAGAAAUCAACCGUGUAAAGGUUGCCAUCCAACUCUCCAACAAAGGCCACUUUGAGAGUGUCUCUCUUAAAGACUUUCACAUCCGUUAGUCCGAAUAGUGUGUCAUAACCAACGGAAGCCAAUUGGCGAACUGAAAGUAAAUGAUAUUGAAGAGAUUGGACAAGCAUGACAUUUGCAAUAGACAUGUCAUUAGUGAUUGCCACCUUGCCCAACCCAAUUACCUGCCCUUUCGACCCUCCACCAAAUACAAUGCUCAUGUAUGGUCGAAUGGCUUGCAUGAAGUCAUAGAGCAAGUUACUAUCUUCGGUCAUAUGAUUGGUGCAUCCACUGUCGAUCACCCAUUUGGCUCCUCCGGAGAAGACAUACUGCAAUGAAUUAAGACUUGGUUUGAGGUGCCCAUUUCAUCAUGGGGCCUCUUGUUGGAAUUAUGCCCUAGAGGCAAUAAUAAAUGUAUAGUUAUUAUUAUAAUUCCUGUAUCAAGAUAAUAGUUUAUUAUCCAUGCUAUAAUUGUAUUGAAUGAAGACUCAUUUACAUGUGUGGAUACAUAGACAAAACACCGUUCCUAGCAUGCCUCUAGUUGGCUAGCCAGUUGAUCGAUGAUAGUCAGAGUCUUCUGAUUAUGAACAAGGUGUUGUUGCUUGAUAACUGGAUCACGUCAUUGGGAGAAUCACGUGAUGGACUAGACCCAAACUAAUAGACGUAGCAUGUUGAUCGUGUCAUUUUGUUGCUACUGUUUUCUGCGUGUCAAGUAUUUAUUCCUAUGACCAUGAGAUCAUAUAACUCACUGACUCCGGAGGAAUGCUUUGUGUGUAUCAAACGUCGCAACGUAACUGGGUGACUAUAAAGAUGCUCUACAGGUAUCUCCGAAGGUGUUAGUUGAGUUAGUAUGGAUCAAGACUGGGAUUUGUCACUCCGUGUGACGGAGAGGUAUCUCGGGGCCCACUCGGUAAUACAACAUCACACAUAAGCCUUGCAAGCAAUGUAACUUAGUGUAAGUUGCGGGAUCUUGUAUUACGGAACGAGUAAAGAGACUUGCCGGUAAACGAGAUUGAAAUAGGUAUGCGGAUGCUGACGAUCGAAUCUCGGGCAAGUAACAUACCGAAGGACAAAGGGAAUGACAUACGGGAUUAUACGAAUCCUUGGCACUGAGGUUCAAACGAUAAGAUCUUCGUAGAAUAUGUAGGAUCCAAUAUGGGCAUCCAGGUCCCGCUAUUGGAUAUUGACCGAGGAGUCUCUCGGGUCAUGUCUACAUAGUUCUCGAACCCGCAGGGUCUGCACACUUAAGGUUCGACGUUGUUUUAUGCGUAUUUGAGUUAUAUGGUUGGUUACCGAAUGUUGUUCGGAGUCCCGGAUGAGAUCACGGACGUCACGAGGGUUUCCGGAAUAGUCCGGAAACGAAGAUUGAUAUAUAGGAUGACCUCAUUUGAUUACCGGAAGGUUUUCGGAGUUACCGGGAAUGUACCGGGAAUGACGAAUGGGUUCCGGGGGUUCACCGGAGGGGGGCAACCCACUCCGGGGAAGCCCAUAGGUAUUUGGGGGGGUCACACCAGCCCUUGGUGGGCUGGUGGGACAGCCCACCAAAUCCUAUGCGCCAAGGAAGAAAAAUCAAAGGAAGAAAGAAAAAAAAAAGGGGAAGUGGGAAAGGGGAAGGACUCCCUCCCACCAAACCAAGUAGGACUCGGUUUGGGGGGGGGGAGAGUCCUCCCCCCUGGCUCGGCCGACCCCUUGGGGUUCCCUUGGACCCCAAGGCAAGGUCCCCCUCCCUCCUCCUAUAUAUAUGGGGCUUUUAGGGCAGAUUUGAGACGACUUUCUCACGGCUGCCCGACCACAUACCUCCAUAGUUUUUCCUCUAGAUCGUGUUUCUGCGGAGCUCGGGCGGAGCCCUGCUGAGACAAGAUCAUCACCAACCUCCGGAGCGCCGUCACGCUGCCGGAGAACUCUUCUACCUCUCCGUCUCUAUUGCUGGAUCAAGAAGGCCGAGAUCAUCGUCGAGCUGUACGUGUGCUGAACGCGGAGGUGCCGUCCGUUCGGUACUAGAUCGUGGGACUGAUCGCGGGAUUGUUCGCGGGGCGGAUCGAGGGACGUGAGGACGUUCCACUACAUCAACCGCGGUCUCUAAUCGCUUCUGUUGUAUGAUCUACAAGGGUACGUAGAUCACUCAUCCCCUCUCGUAGAUGGACAUCACCAUGAUAGGUCUUCGUGCGCGUAGGAAAUUUUUUGUUUCCCAUGCGAUGUUCCCCAACAGUGGUAUCAGAGCUAGGUUCAUGCGUAGAUGUCUUCUCGAGUAGAACACAAAAGGUUUUGUGGGCGGUGAUGUGCGUUUUGUUGCCCUCCUUAGUCUUUUCUUGAUUCCACGGCAUUGUUGGAUUGAAGCGGCUUGGACCGACAUUACUCGUACGCUUACGAGAGACUGGUUUCAUCGUUACGAGUAACCCCUUUGCUCAAAGAUGACUGGCAAGUGACGGUUUCUCCAACUUUAGUUGAAUCGGAUUUGACCGAGGAGGUCCUUGGAUGAGGUUAAAUAGCAACUCAUAUAUCUCCGUUGUGGUGUUUGCGUAAGUAAGAUGCGAUCCUACUAGAUACCCUUGGUCACCACGUAAAACAUGCAACAACAAAAUUAGAGGACGUCUAACUUGUUUUUGCAGGGUAUGAUUGUGAUGUGAUAUGGCCAAUGAUGUGAUGUGAUAUAUUGGAUGUAUGAGAUGAUCAUGUUGUAAUAGAAAUAUCGACUUGCACGUCGAUGGUACGGCAACCGGCAGGAGCCAUAGGGUUGUCUUUAUACUAACAUAUGUGCUUGCAGAUGCGUUUACUAUUUUGCUAGGAUGUAGCUUUAGUAGUGAUAGCAUAAGUAGCACGACAACCCCGAUGGCGACACGUUGAUGGAGAUCAUGAUGAUGGAGAUCAUGGUGUGGCGCCGGUGACAAGAAGAUCGUGCCGGUGCUUUGGUGAUGGAGAUCAAGAAGCACGUGAUAAUGGCCAUAUCAUGUCACUUAUGAAUUGCAUGUGAUGUUAAUCCUUUUAUGCACCUUAUUUUGCUUAGAACGACGGUAGCAUUAUGAGGUGAUCUCUCACUAAAAUUUCAAGACGAAAUUGUGUUCUCCCCGACUGUGCACCGUUGCUACAGUUCGUCGUUUCGAGACACCACGUGAUGAUCGGGUGUGAUAGACUCAACGUUCACAUACAACGGGUGUAAAACAGUUGCGCACGCGGAACACUCGGGUUAAGCUUGACGAGCCUAGCAUGUGCAGACAUGGCCUCGGAACACAUGAGACCGAAAGGUCGAUCAUGAAUCAUAUAGUUGAUAUGAUUAGCAUAGGGAUGCUUACCACUGAAACUACUCUCGACUCACGUGAUGAUCGGACUUGGGAUAGCGUAAGUGGAUCAUGAACCACUCAAAUGACUAGAGAGAUGUACUUUUUGAGUGGGAGUUUAGCAUAUAAUUUGAUUAAGUAGAACUCUAAUUAUCUUGAACAUAGUCUAAGUCCACUUUGAAUAUAUUUGUGUUGUAGAUCAUGGCUCACGCAAGUGUCAUCCUCAAUUUUAAUACGUUCCUAGAGAAAGCUAAGUUGAAAGAUGAUGGAAGCAACUUUGUAGACUGGGCUCGUAAUCUUAAGCUAAUCUUACAAGCUGGAAAGAAGGAUUAUGUCCUUAAUGCUGCGCUAGGAGAUGAACCACCCGCUACGGCUGAUCAGGAUGUUAAGAACGCUUGGCUAUCACGUAAGGAGGACUACUCAAUAGUUCAAUGUGCAGUCUUGUAUGGCUUAGAGCCGGGACUUCAACGUCGCUUUGAGCGUCAUGGAGCAUUUGAGAUGUUCCAGGAGUUGAAGUUUAUCUUUCAGAAGAACGCCCGGAUCGAGAGGUAUGAGACCUUCGAUAAAUUCUAUGCUUGCAAGAUGGAGGAAAGCUCGUCUGUCAGUGAACAUGUGCUCAAGAUGUCUGGGUACUCAAACCGUCUAGCUGAACUAGGGAUUGAAUUCCCGCAAGAAGCUAUCACUGACAGAAUUCUCCAAUCACUGCCGCCAAGCUAUAAAGGCUUUGUGUUGAACUACAACAUGCAAGGGAUGAACAAGUCUCCCGGCGAGUUGUUUGCGAUGCUGAAAGUCGCAGAGUCUGAACUCCGUAAAGAGCAUCAAGUGUUGAUGGUGAGCAAGACCACUAGUUUCAAGAGAAACGACAAAGGCAAGAAGGGCAAUUCGAAGAAGAGCGGCAAGCCUGUUGCCAAUCCGCCGAAGAAACCCAAGGCUGGACCUAAGCCUGAAACAGAGUGCUUCUAUUGCAAGGGUAUGGGUCAGUGGAAGCGCAAUUGCCCCAAGUAUCUGGCAGAUAAGAAGGCGGGCAAAGAAAAAUCAGGUAUAUUUGAUAUACAUGUUAUUGAUGUGUACUUAACCGGCUCUCGUAGUAGUGCCUGGGUAUUCGAUACCGGUUCUGUUGCUCACAUUUGCAACUCGAAACAGGAACUGCGGAAUAGACGGAGGCUGGCGAAAGACGAAGUGACGUUGCGCGUAGGAAACGGUUCCAAGGUUGAUGCAAUCGCCGUCGGCACCGUGUCACUUCAACUACCAUCGGGAUUAGUGAUGAACUUAAAUCAUUGUUAUUUAGUGCCUGCGUUGAGCAUGAACAUUAUAUCUGGAUCUUGUUUAUUGCGAGACGGUUACUCUUUUAAGUCUGAGAAUAAUGGUUGUUCCAUUUCUAUGAGUAACAUCUUUUAUGGUCAUGCACUGAAUGUGAGAGGAUUUUUCAUAUUGAAUCUUGAUAGAGAUACGCAUAUACAUAACAUUGAGACCAAAAGAGUUAGAGUAAACAAUGAUAGCACCAUAUUUUUGUGGCACUGCCGCUUGGGUCAUAUUGGUGUAAAGCGCAUGAAGAAACUCCAUGCUGAUGGACUUUUGGAGUCACUUGACUUUGAUUCACUUGACACGUGCGAACCAUGCCUCAUGGGCAAGAUGACUAAAACUCCGUUCUCUGGAACAAUGGAGCGUGCAAGUGACUUGUUGGAAAUCAUACAUACCGAUGUGUGUGGUCCAAUGAGCGUGGAGGCACGCGGCGGAUAUCGUUAUUUUCUCACCUUCACUGACGAUCUAAGUAGAUAUGGUUAUGUCUACUUGAUGAAGCACAAGUCUGAAACAUUUGAAAAGUUCAAGCAAUUUCAGAGUGAAGUGGAAAAUCAUCGUAACAAGAAGAUCAAGUUCCUACGGUCUGAUCGUGGGGGUGAGUAUCUGAGUUUCGAGUUUGGUACUCACUUAAGACAAUGUGGAAUUGUUUCGCAGUUAACACCGCCUGGAACACCACAGCGUAAUGGUGUGUCCAAACGUCGUAAUCGUACUUUAUUAGAAAUGGUGCGAUCUAUGAUGUCUCUUACUGAUUUGCCGUUAUCGUUUUGGGGUUAUGCAUUAGAAACAGCUGCAUUCACUUAAAAUAGGGCACCAUCGAAAUCCGUUGAGACGACACCAUACAAACUGUGGUGUGGCAAAAGGCCAAAGUUGUCGUUUCUUAAAGUUUGGGGAUGUGAUGCUUAUGUCAAAAAGCUUCAGCCUGAAAAGCUGGAACCCAAAGCGGAAAAAUGCGUCUUCAUAGGUUACCCAAAAGAGACAGUUGGGUACACCUUCUAUCUCAAAUCCGAGGGCAAAGUGUUUGUUGCUAAGAACGGAACUUUUCUCGAAAAGGAGUUUCUCUCGAGAGAAUUGAGUGGGAGGAAGAUAGAACUUGACGAGGUUGUCGAACCUCUCAUCCCUCUGGAUGGUGGCACAGGGCAAGGGGAAACCUCUGUUAUUGCGACGCCGGUUGAGGAGGAAGUUAAUGAUGAUGAUCAUGAAACUCCAGUUCAAGUUUCUGUUGAACCACGCAGGUCGACGAGAUCACGCGUUGCUCCAGAGUGGUACGGUAAUCCCGUCUUAUCAAUCAUGUUGUUAGACAACAAUGAACCUGCAAAUUAUGAAGAAGCAAUGGUGGGCCCAGAUUCCAACAAAUGGCUAGAAGCCAUGAAAUCCGAGAUAGGAUCCAUGUAUGAGAACAAAGUGUGGACUUUGGAGAUACUGCCUGAGGGCCGCAAGGCUAUUCAGAACAAAUGGAUCUUUAAGAAGAAGACGGACGCUGACGGUAAUGUGACCGUUUAUAAAGCUCGACUUGUGGCAAAGGGUUUUUCACAAGUUCCAGGAAUUGACUACGAUGAGACUUUCUCUCCCGUAGCGAUGCUUAAGUCCGUCAGAAUCAUGUUAGCAAUAGCUGCAUUUUUCGAUUAUGAAAUUUGGCAGAUGGAUGUCAAAACGGCGUUCCUUAACGGUUUCCUUAAGGAAGAGUUGUAUAUGAUGCAACCCGAAGGUUUUGUCGAUCCUAAAAAUGCUGACAAAGUGUGUAAGCUCCAGCGAUCCAUUUAUGGACUGGUGCAAGCAUCUCGAAGUUGGAACAAACGCUUUGAUGAGGUGAUCAAAGCAUUUGGGUUUAUACAAGUGGUUGGAGAAUCUUGUAUUUACAAGAAAGUGAGUGGGAGCUCUGUGGCGUUUCUAAUACUAUAUGUGGAUGACAUAUUACUGAUUGGAAACAACGUAGAGUUUUUGGAGAGCAUAAAAGGUUACUUGAAUAAAAGUUUCUCUAUGAAGGACCUAGGAGAAGCUGCUUACAUUCUAGGCAUUAAGAUCUAUAGGGAUAGAUCAAAACGCCUGAUAGGACUUUCACAAAGCACAUACCUUGAUAAAGUUUUGAAGAGGUUCAAAAUGGAACAGUCCAAGAAAGGGUUCUUGCCAGUGUUACAAGGUACGAGAUUGAGUAAGACUCAGUGCCCAGCAACUGAUGAAGAUAGAGAGCAUAUGCGCUCCGUCCCCUAUGCUUCAGCCAUAGGUUCUAUCAUGUAUGCGAUGUUGUGCACUAGACCGGAUGUUAGCCUGGCCAUAAGUAUGGCAGGUAGGUUCCAGAGUAAUCCAGGAGUGGAUCACUGGACGGCGGUCAAGAAUAUCCUGAAGUACCUGAAAAGGACUAAGGAGAUGUUUCUCGUGUAUGGAGGUGACGAAGAGCUCGCCGUAAAAGGUUACGUCGAUGCAAGCUUUGACACAGAUCCGGACGACUCUAAGUCGCAAACCGGAUACGUAUUUAUUCUUAAUGGGGGUGCAGUAAGCUGGUGCAGUUCCAAGCAAAGCGUCGUAGCAGAUUCUACAUGUGAAGCGGAGUACAUGGCUGCCUCGGAGGCGGCUAAGGAGGGUGUCUGGAUGAAGCAGUUCAUGACGGAUCUUGGAGUGGUGCCAAGUGCACUGGAUCCAAUAACCUUGUUCUGUGACAACACUGGUGCCAUUGCCUUAGCAAAGGAACCAAGGUUUCACAAGAAGACCAGACACAUCAAACGACGCUUCAACCUCAUCCGCGACUACGUCGAGGAGGAGGACGUAAAUAUAUGCAAGGUGCACACGGAUCUGAAUGUAGCAGACCCGCUGACUAAACCUCUUCCACGGCCAAAACAUGAUCGACACCAGAACUGUAUGGGUGUUAGAUUUAUUACAAUGUAAUUCACAUGGUGAUGUGAGGGCUAGAUUAUUGACUCUAGUGCAAGUGGNNNNNNNNNNNNNNNNNNNNNNNNNNNNNNNNNNNNNNNNNNNNNNNNNNNNNNNNNNNNNNNNNNNNNNNNNNNNNNNNNNNNNNNNNNNNNNNNNNNNUGCCCAGGUGUGGCCGCCGGACCUGAUGGGUUGCUGACCUUGCGCACGCCGUAGCCGACGAUCUCGAAACUCGGCGUGUGCCUCGGACAAGCGUGAGUUUCCCGUGCACGCACGUAUAUGCAUGCCCCCCCCCCCCCCCCCCCCCCCUCGAUUUGAUUUUCACCAUCAAGAACAGGAAAAAAAGAAGGCACGGACGGACGCGCCAGCAGCAAAGCAUAUGCAUGCACACCGCCCGGCCGGCCAUGCAAGUGGGGUUCGGAGUGGGACCCACCCACGAUGCACGACUUGUUCGUUCGUCCACCCAGCAGUUUCGCGACUCGCCCCGCCCAACCACGUUUGCCGUCGUCCUCCAUCCAUCAAAAAGGGUGCAUUAUAUUUGUCUCCCCAUGCAUGCAUGCAUACUCUUGUCUUCUCUCCGAGUUGAUCGGUGGCGGACUGCUCGCCGGAGUGACACCCAUCGCUGCAACUACUGCAGUAGUUCCCCGGAUCAUGCAUGCAUGCAUGGGCCGUCUUUUUCUCCCCGGAUCAUGCAUGGACCAACUCCAACUCCAAUCCUCCGUAAAAAAAAAAAGGAUGAGUUCUUCUCUUCUUCAUCACACAACAAGAUCAGAUCUCGGACGAGCUAAUUCUUCCCCAAUUCCGUCACCGGCCGGCCAUGCUUUUCACGCUCGCUCUCGCUUUCCAUCUAAGAGCAUCCGCGCUUCGCGCCGUUCUUAAAAAAUCUGUUUGCCGCGCGUUCAUCGCCUGGUUUGGUGCGUCGCGCAGCGCUGGCUCCAACAGCAGCGUUAAAGUGCAGCGCGCGCCGUUCCAACAGCGCGUAAAAAUGCAACGCGCGCGCACAACAUUUUCAAUUGCAAAAUGGGGAAAAUAAUAAAAAGAUUGCAUAAAAUAAAAAAGAUACAAAGUUAUUUUACAUAGAUUGCAACUAGAUAGAUAGUUCGAAAAUAUAGAUAGAUAGUUCGGUGCAAGUAGAUAGAUAAUUCGGAAACAUAAAACUUUUGUUAACCCCAGUCGCUCCAAUCAUCACCACCAUCGUCAUCGUCGUUGGUGUCGUCAGAGGUUGACAGCCAGAUGUCCAACCAACGGUCAUCUUCUUCAGUGAAGAAGGACCUCCCGCCUGCUGCGACGAUGUCGGCCUGGGCACUCGCCAAUGCCUUCCGUUGACGCCUGUCUAACCGCUCCUCGCGGCGCCGACGCGUGUCCUCCUCGCGGCGCCUUGCCCAAUAAUCCUGCUCGUAGGCGACGUCCUCCGGGUGGCGCCGUGCCAUUCCGCCAUGACCAGCUCGUCCUCCUGGGCAAGGAGGAGGCGGUGCUGCCGCGCAGUGUGCUCCGCACGGUCUUGUGCGGAGUUUAGACGAGGCUGGGGGGGGGGCGACGUCCAGUGCCUGCUGGAGCGUGUGGACGUCCUGGAAGUUCAUCUGGCGGCGCGGCCUACCUAGGCGCCACGCCGCCGCGUCGAACGCGCGGGCGGCCUCGUGCGCCGUGUCGUACGUGCCGAGGCUGAGACGGAGAUCGCCGGAGCGUAUGUCGGCGUAGAACCCGCCGUUGGGGCGCUGACGGACGCCGCGGUAGCCCGACGCAGAACGGCGGCGCGACGACAUAGUGGCGCGUCGGGGGCCCGUCGCUUGACCUAAUUCAGCGUCGCACGUGGUUGACCUCGCCGCCGCGGACGCCCCAUCACGAUCAGCUCGCCGCACCUCCUCCACAUCGCCGCCGACGUCGCCGCCCCGUUCCCGACCACCACAUCGUCGCUCCAUUGCCGAUCACCCCGCCGCUGGUNNNNNNNNNNNNNNNNNNNNNNNNNNNNNNNNNNNNNNNNNNNNNNNNNNNNNNNNNNNNNNNNNNNNNNNNNNNNNNNNNNNNNNNNNNNNNNNNNNNNAAGAAGUANAUUUGAUAUACAUGAUGUUGAUGUGUACUUUACUAGUACUCCUAGUAGCACGAGGGUAUUAGAUACCGGUUCGGUUGCUAAGUGAUUAGUGACACGAAAUGAAAGCUACAGCAUAAACGGAGACUAGCUAAAGGCGAGGUGACGAUACGUGUUGGAAGUGUUUCCAAGGUUGAUAUGAUCAAACCCACGUAACUGGGUGACUAUAAAGAUGCUCUACAGGUAUCUCCGAAGGUGUUAGUUGAGUUAGUAUGGAUCAAGACUGGGAUUUGUUACUCCGUGUGAUGGAGAGGUAUCUCGGGGCCCACUCGGUAAUACAGCAUCACACAUAAGCCUUGCAAGCAAUGUAACUUAAUGUAAAGUUGCGGGAUCUUGUAUUACGGAACGAGUAAAGAGACUUGCCGGUAAACGAGAUUGAAAUAGGUAUGCGGAUACUGACGAUCGAAUCUCGGGCAAGUAACAUACCGAAGGACAAAGGGAAUGACAUACGGGAUUAUACGAAUCCUUGGCACUGAGGUUCAAACGAUAAGAUCUUCGUAGAAUAUGUAGGAUCCAAUAUGGGCAUCCAGGUCCCGCUAUUGGAUAUUGACCGAGGAGUCUCUUGGGUCAUGUCUACAUAGUUCUCGAACCCGCAGGGUCUGCACACUUAAGGUUCGACGUUGUUUUAUGCGUAUUUGAGUUAUAUGGUUGGUUACCGAAUGUUGUUCGGAGUCCCGGAUGAGAUCACGGACGUCACGAGGGUUUCCGGAAUGGUCCGGAAACGAAGAUUGAUAUAUAGGAUGACCUCAUUUGAUUACCGGAAGGUUUUCGGAAUUACCGGGAAUGUACCGGGAAUGACGAAUGGGUUCCGGGAGUUCACCGGGGGGGAGGGGGCAACCCACCCCGGGGAAGCCCAUAGGCUUUGGGGAGACACACCAGCACUUAGUGGGCCUAUGCGCCAAGAAAAAGAAAUCAAAGGAAGAAAAAAAGAAAGGAGGAGUAGGGAAGGGAGGGRGACNNNNNNNNNNNNNNNNNNNNNNNNNNNNNNNNNNNNNNNNNNNNNNNNNNNNNNNNNNNNNNNNNNNNNNNNNNNNNNNNNNNNNNNNNNNNNNNNNNNNUCCUCCCUUGGUGGCACAGCCCUUGGGGCUCGUUGAGCCUCAAGGCAAGCCUCCCCCUCCCUCCUCCUAUAUAUAUGGAGCAAUUAGGGUUGAUUUGAGACAACUUUUUCAAGGCAGCCCGACCACAUACCUCCACGGUUUUACCUCUAGAUCGCGUCUCUGCGGAGCUCGGGCGGAGCCCUGCCGAGAUUAGAUCAUCACCAACCUCCGGAGCGCCGUCACGCUGCCGGAGAASUCWUCUACCUCUCCGUCUCUCUUGCUGGAUCAAGAAGGCCGAGAUCAUCGUCGAGCUGUACAUGUGCUGAACGCGGAGGUGCCGUCCGUUCGGCACUAGAUCGUGGGACUGAUCGCAGGAUAGUUCGCAGGGCGGAUCGAGGGACGUGAGGACGUUCCACUGCAUGAACCGCAUUCACUAACGCUUCUGCUGUACGGUCCACAAGGGUACGUAGAUCACUCAUCCCCUCUCAUAGAUGGACAUCACCAUGAUAGGUCUUCGUGCGCGUAGGAAAUUUUUUGUUUCCCAUGCGACGUUCCCCAACAGAGAGAACGGUGGGGGCGCGCGAGGGAGCGGUGGAGAGCGCUGCGUUUUAUAGGCGCGCGGGAAGCGGCGCGGCAAAGAUGGGCGAGAGCUGCCGCCUUUUCGCGCGCGCGCAAGCGAUUCCCGCACGCGUUUUCCCGCCGCCGCUGGNNNNNNNNNNNNNNNNNNNNNNNNNNNNNNNNNNNNNNNNNNNNNNNNNNNNNNNNNNNNNNNNNNNNNNNNNNNNNNNNNNNNNNNNNNNNNNNNNNNNUUGUAUCGCAUGUAGUUGCCUUACGAUAUUCCCAGUAAANGUUUCUUUCCCACUAGGUUCCCCAUACACUGCUGUUCAUUUGUGACGCNCCGUUUUCGACGCUGGUUUUUCGUCGUGAGAUCGUCGUAAUUAAAAACAGUGACGAUGUAGGGACGAAAAAAUAGCGUCGUGUAUUAGCAUAUUCCUUGUAGUGUGGGGCGGUGGCGGCGCGCGAGGUAGAGGAAGAGAGUGUUGGAAUUAUGCCCUAGAGGCAAUAAUAAAUAUAGUUAUUAUUAUAAUUCCUGUAUCAAGAUAAUCGUUUAUUAUCCAUGCUAUAAUUGUAUUGAAUGAAGACUCAUUUACAUGUGUGGAUACAUAGACAAAACACUGUCCCUAGCAAGCCUCUAGUUGGCUAGCCAGUUGAUCAAAGAUAGUCAGUGUCUUCUGAUUAUGAAUAAGGUGUUGUUGCUUGAUAACUGGAUCACGUCAUUAGGAGAAUCACGUGAUGGACUAGACCCAAACUAAUNNNNNNNNNNNNNNNNNNNNNNNNNNNNNNNNNNNNNNNNNNNNNNNNNNNNNNNNNNNNNNNNNNNNNNNNNNNNNNNNNNNNNNNNNNNNNNNNNNNNUUACGGAACGAGUAAAGAGACUUGCCGGUAAACGAGAUUGAAAUAGGUAUGCGGAUGCUGACGAUCGAAUCUCGGGCAAGUAACAUACCGAAGGACAAAGGGAAUGACAUACGGGAUUAUACGAAUCCUUGGCACUGAGGUUCAAACGAUAAGAUCUUCGUAGAAUAUGUAGGAUCCAAUAUGGGCAUCCAGGUCCCGCUAUUGGAUAUUGACCGAGGAGUCUCUCGGGUCAUGUCUACAUAGUUCUCGAACCCGCAGGGUCUGCACACUUAAGGUUCGACGUUGUUUUAUGCGUAUUUGAGUUAUAUGGUUGGUUACCGAAUGUUAUUCGGAGUCCCGGAUGAGAUCACGGACGUCACGAGGGUUUCCGGAAUGGUCCGGAAACGAAGAUUGAUAUAUAGGAUGACUUCAUUUGAUUUACCGGAAGGUUUUCGGAGUUACCGGUAAUGUACCGGGAAUGACGAAUGGGUUCCGGGGUUCGACCGGGAGGGGGGCGAACCCGACUCCGGGGAAGCCCNNNNNNNNNNNNNNNNNNNNNNNNNNNNNNNNNNNNNNNNNNNNNNNNNNNNNNNNNNNNNNNNNNNNNNNNNNNNNNNNNNNNNNNNNNNNNNNNNNNNGGUGACUAUAAGAAUGCUCUACAGGUAUCUCCGAAGGUGUUAGUUGAGUUAGUAUGGAUCAAGACUGGGAUUUGUCACUCCGUGUGACGGAGAGGUAUCUCCGGGGCCCACUCGGUAAUACAACAUCACACACAAGCCUUGCAAGCAAUGUAACUUAGUGUAAGUUGCGGGAUCUUGUAUUACGGAACGAGUAAAGAGACUUGACCGGUAAACGAGGUUGAAAUAGGUAUGCGGAUAGUGACGAUCGAAUCUCGGGCAAGUAACAUACCGAAGGACAAAGGGAAUGACAUACGGGAUUAUACGAAUCCUUGGCACUGAGGUUCAAACGAUAAGAUCUUCGUAGAAUAUGUAGGAUCCAAUAUGGGCAUCCAGGUCCCGCUAUUGGAUAUUGACCGAGGAGUCUCUCGGGUCAUGUCUACAUAGUUCUCGAACCCGCAGGGUCUGCACACUUAAGGUUCGACGUUGUUUUAUGCGUAUUUGAGUUAUAUGGUUGGUUACCGAAUGUUGUUCGGAGUCCCGGAUGAGAUCACGGACGUCACGAGGGUUUCCGGAAUAGUCCGGAAACGAAGAUUGAUAUAUAGGAUGACCUCAUUUGAUUACCGGAAGGUUUUCGGAGUUACCGGGAAUGUACCGGGAAUGACGAAUGGGUUCCGGGGGUUCACCGGAGGGGGGCAACCCACUCCGGGGAAGCCCAUAGGUAUUUGGNNNNNNNNNNNNNNNNNNNNNNNNNNNNNNNNNNNNNNNNNNNNNNNNNNNNNNNNNNNNNNNNNNNNNNNNNNNNNNNNNNNNNNNNNNNNNNNNNNNNAUUGCUUAAUUCCAAAAGAGUUGGUUACAUCGGUUUAUAUAAUCUCGAUAACUUGGACUCUAAGAUAACUUGGACACUGAGAUAACUAAGAUAACUUGGGCUAAGCCCGUAACUAAUCCUGCCCAUUGGGCCUCCUAACAUCUCUCCCGCCUGCGCAAACAGCUCGUCCUCGAGCUGGAAGUCUGGAUAGUGCCGACUGAAUUCGUUGAAAACCGCCCAUCCUACCGGUNNNNNNNNNNNNNNNNNNNNNNNNNNNNNNNNNNNNNNNNNNNNNNNNNNNNNNNNNNNNNNNNNNNNNNNNNNNNNNNNNNNNNNNNNNNNNNNNNNNNNNNNNNNNNNNNNNNNNNNNNNNNNNNNNNNNNNNNNNNNNNNNNNNNNNNNNNNNNNNNNNNNNNNNNNNNNNNNNNNNNNNNNNNNNNNNNNNNNNNNNNNNNNNNNNNNNNNNNNNNNNNNNNNNNNNNNNNNNNNNNNNNNNNNNNNNNNNNNNNNNNNNACCGGUAGGAUGGGCGGGGGCGGUCGGCCAUAGACCACCUCGAACUGCGUGGCGCGCAAGGCGAGGUGAUAAGAGGUGUUGUAGCAGUACUCCGCCCAGGCAAGCUAGUCCACCCAAGCACGAGGACGAUCACCUGUAACACAAUGCAAAUACAUGGCAAUCACCUUGUUGACCACCUCGGAUUGACUGUCCGUCUGAGGAUGGAACGCCGUGCUCAAGUCCGCUUCACGCCCGCCAUCCUGAAGAGAUCGCGCCAGACAUGCCCCGUGAACACCGGGUUCCGGUCGCUGACGAUCGAAGAGGGAAACCCGUGUAGGCGAACGAUGCUGUCGAAGAAGGCCCGGGCCAUGGAGGUGGCGGUGUAAGGAUGGCCAAGCGCGAUGNNNNNNNNNNNNNNNNNNNNNNNNNNNNNNNNNNNNNNNNNNNNNNNNNNNNNNNNNNNNNNNNNNNNNNNNNNNNNNNNNNNNNNNNNNNNNNNNNNNNUGUUGGAAUUAUGCCCUAGAGGCAAUAAUAAAUAUAGUUAUUAUUAUAAUUCCUGUAUCAAGAUAAUCGUUUAUUAUCCAUGCUAUAAUUGUAUUGAAUGAAGACUCAUUUACAUGUGUGGAUACAUAGACAAAACACUGUCCCUAGCAAGCCUCUAGUUGGCUAGCCAGUUGAUCAAAGAUAGUCAGUGUCUUCUGAUUAUAAACAAGGUGUUGUUUCUUGAUAACUGGAUCAUGUCAUUAGGAGAAUCACGUGAUGGACUAGACCCAAACUAAUAGACGUAGCAUGUUGAUCGUGCCAUUUUGUUGCUACUAUUUUCUGCGUCUCAAGUAUUUGUUCCUANNNNNNNNNNNNNNNNNNNNNNNNNNNNNNNNNNNNNNNNNNNNNNNNNNNNNNNNNNNNNNNNNNNNNNNNNNNNNNNNNNNNNNNNNNNNNNNNNNNNNNNNNNNNNNNNNNNNNNNNNNNNNNNNNNNNNNNNNNNNNNNNNNNNNNNNNNNNNNNNNNNNNNNNNNNNNNNNNNNNNNNNNNNNNNNNNNNNNNNNNNNNNNNNNNNNNNNNNNNNNNNNNNNNNNNNNNNNNNNNNNNNNNNNNNNNNNNNNNNNNNNNNNNNNNNNNNNNNNNNNNNNNNNNNNNNNNNNNNNUAUAACUCACUAACACCAGAGGAAUACUUUGUGUGUAUCAAACGUCGCAACGUAACUGGGUGACUAUAAAAAUGCUCUACAGGUAUAUCUGAAGGUGUUCGUUGAGUUAGUAUGGAUCAAGACUGGGAUUUGUCACUCCGUGUGACGGAGAGGUAUCUCGGGGCCCACUCGAUAAUACAACAUCACAUACAAGCCUUGCAAGCAAUGUAACUUAGUGUAAGUUACGGGAUCUUGUAUUACGNNNNNNNNNNNNNNNNNNNNNNNNNNNNNNNNNNNNNNNNNNNNNNNNNNNNNNNNNNNNNNNNNNNNNNNNNNNNNNNNNNNNNNNNNNNNNNNNNNNNAGGAUCAUAGUGUAAUACUACAACAGAGGAAGAAACCAGGGACUUGGAAGUUUGAGGCCCGGUGGCUAGCAGAGGAGAAUGUGGAGAACAUAGUGCAGACGGCAUGGAAUAAGAGAAAGGAGGAAGGUUUAGGCCCCUUGGCCGAUGUAAUUGCAGGGGUGCAUUCUGUCUUGCAUCACUGGGACAGGAAUACGCUGAAGGGGCCGAGGUCAAAAUUGCGACAGUUGCAAGCUGAGCGGAAUGCUGUACUGACUGGCCCAUUAUCUGAUGAGGCAAUAGUCCAGCAGCAAAAACUCCAUAUCGAAAUUGAGGAUAUUCUCGAGAAAGAGGAACUAUACUGGAUGCAACGAGGCAGAGCAGAUUGGCUUGCAAAAGGGGAUCAAAAUACAGGUUUUUUCCACCACGCAGCUAAUGGCAGAAAGAAGCGAAAUGCGAUCAUGAAAAUCAAAGAACCUAAUGGCGACUGGGUAGAGGAGCUCGAUGAUAUACAUGAGCAUAUUUCAGCUUAUUUCACCUCUCUCUUCAUGGCUGGAGCGCAAGGGGAUGACGACACUGUCAUUCAGAAAGUAAACCCUAGAGUCACACACGAGAUGAACACGGAGCUCAAUAAACCCUACACUAGAGAGGAGGUUAAAAAAAGCUCUGUACAACAUUGGCGAUUUCAAAGCCCCUGGCCCUGAUGGACUUCAUGCAGUUUUCUAUAAGCGCUUCUGGCACAUCAUAGGAGAAGAUCUGCUGGAUGAGGUGCUGCACGCAAUACAGACCAAGCAAAUUCCUAGGGGAUGGAAAAACACAACGAUAGUUCUUAUUCCCAAGGUGGACAACCCUGAAUUUGUUACACAAUUCAGACCUAUUAGCCUCUGCAAUGUUCUAUACAAGAUCAUAUCCAAAAUGCUGGCAGGGAGACUAAAAAUGGUGCUAUCAGAGAUCAUCUCACCCAACCAGAGCGCUUUUGUUCCAGGCCGGCUUAUUACCGACAACUUCCUCGUAGCUUUCGAGUCCUAUCAUGCCAUCAAGAGGAAGACAUCGAGGUAUGGCACUUGUGCUGUGAAACUAGACAUGCACAAGGCGUAUGAUCGGGUGGAAUGGAGAUUUCCCGAGAAGAUGAUGAUCAAGCUAGGAUUCAGCGUCGACUGGGUGGCCCUCAUCAUGGAAUGUGUUUCCUCAGUCCAGUAUCAGGUACGUAUUAACGAUGAUCUAUCGGCACCUUUUACUCCAACGAGGGGCCUGAGGCAAGGCGAUCCAUUGUCACCAUAUUUGUUCCUUAUAUGUGCGGAAGGCCUGUCUAGUAUGAUCGCAUUUGAAGAGACGGCUGGUAAUAUCACGGGGGUUAAAGUUUGCUGAGAUGCACCAGCGGUCUCCCACCUCCUCUUUGCAGACGAUUCCCUAAUCUUAAUGCGAGCGGACCAAGCAAAUGCAAUAUCCCUCCGAAAAGUUCUGGACGAGUACUGCAGGGCAUCAGGACAGUUAGUCAGUGAGGCCAAAUCAGCGCUGUUCUUUAGCCCUUGUACGUCAGUCCAAGCACGAGUGGAAAUUUGUACCACUCUUAACAUCAUGGCCGAAGCUAUCUCGGAGAAAUACCUAGGUCUGCCGCCAAUUGUAGGAGUGGAUCGAUCUGAUUGCUUCCAGCACCUUGUUGAGAGAAUUCUGAGUAAGAUCAGAGGAUGGAAAGAGAAGCUCCUCUCGGUGGGGGGGGGGAGAGAAAUAUUGUUCAAAGCAGUAAUACAAGCUAUCCCCUCUUAUGCCAUGUCUGUUUUCAAACUACCGAAGGAGAUAUGUAAUGAGAUCACAUCGGCAAUCUCAAAGUACUGGUGGGGUGAUGAAGAGCAGAAAAAAUACAUGCACUGGUUUGCAUGGUGGAAAAUGUGUGUGCCGAAAGAGAAAGGAGGAAUGGGUUUUAGAGACAUCCAAUGUUUUAACCUAGCUCUCCUAGCCAAACAAUCUUGGAGGCUUCUAAGCUACCCAGAUUCACUGUGUGCAAGGGUUCUCAAGGCAAAAUAUUACCCAGAUGGUGAUCUGCUUAACUGUACCCUAAAGAAGGGGAGCUCAUACACAUGGCAAAGUUUGUGGAGUGGGUUACAAACAUUCAGACAAGGCAUCAUAUGGCGUGUGGGAGAUGGAGCUUCAAUUAAAAUCUGGGAGGAUCCAUGGAUACCUAGCAGCCCCAACAAAAAACCUAUGACUCCACGGAGUAAUAUUGUGCUAACUAAAGUUUCUGAACUUAUAGAUGUGGACAGCAGAUCAUGGGAUGAGGAGCUCAUCACGGAUAUUUUCUGGCCAAUUGAUGCACAUCGCAUUUUAAAUAUCCCCCUUGCGGUGGGGAUGAUGGAUGACUUCGUUUCCUGGCAUCCUGAUAAGCGAGGUAUGUUCUCUGUGAGAUCGGCAUAUCACCAAGAAUGGGAUAACCAACAUGGGAGAAAGUUGAGGAAGACGAAUACAAAUCAUUCCUCAGGUAAUAACCCUAUUUGGAGAACCAUUUGGAAGUUGAGGCUGCCCGCAAAGAUCAAAAUCCACAUAUGGAAAUCAUUACUAGGAGCUAUACCAUGCUAUGGGGUUUUGGCAAAUCGACACAUCAUGACCAGCUCUCAAUGCCCGCUCUGCUCAAUGGAUUGUGAAAGUAUUAAGCAUGCCUUUUUCCAGUGCCCUAGAGUACAGGAAGUAUGGAGGGUCCUAGGUCUCCUGGAACUGGUGAACCAAAUUUGUGAUUUGGAGCAGGACGUGCGGUCCUAUCUGAACUAUUACUUUCUAAGAGCACCAUCAAAGCAAAUAUUUCGGAUGUUGACCUUGCUGAACUAAUUGCGACGACGGUCUGGUAUGUCUGGUGGGAAAGGAGGAGCUUUACUCAUGGGAAACAUGUAGCUGAACCACCAAGAUCUGCACAUGCAAUAUCGGCACUUGUGAAGAACUUUGUAAGGGCAAGGAAGAGGAGCCCAGGUGCGGUCCGACAUGGAUGGCAACGGCCACCUAAUGGUGUUUACAAGCUUAACGUGGAUGCCGGCUUCUCGGCAGAGUCGGGGAUAGGUAGCACCAGUGCGGUGUUGCGAUCAAACAAAGAGAUGUUCAUCGCUGGCUCCUGCAGUGAUAUACCUUUUGCCGAAGAUGCCAGUUCAGUGGAAGCGAGAGCGUUGCGAGAUGGACUCCUCUUGGCCAGCGAGGUCGGUGUGCAGCAGAUCAUUGUGGAAUGUGAUUGCCAGGAUGUGAUUGACACCAUGCUACUCGACGGUAAUUCACUAGGCCCAGCGGCGGCAGUAUAUGAAGAGUGCUCCUUCCUCGUCAAGAACUUUUCUCUGAUACAAUUUGUCUUCUGCCCAAGGGAAGCAAACAUAGUAGCUCAUACUCUAGCUAGGUUUGCUGAACCCACUAGAACUAUAAAGUGGAUGGAGGAGCCUCCCAACUUCCUCAUUGAUACAUUAGCUAAUGAUGUAACCGUGUUUUCCAAUGCAAUAUAAAAGCCGUCAGGCUUUCCCGGCUCAAAAAAAAAAUGAUCCAUCCAUGUAGUUGUACCUAGCUAGUCACGUACGUAGGAAUGUGCACUCCCUCCCUCAUGUCAUAUAUAUACUUCCUCGGUUUCUUAAAUAUAUAAGCUUUUCUAAAAGUUUCACUACAAAAUGCAAGUAUAUAUUACUUUCUUCGUGCCAUAAUAUUUGUUAUUGGUGAGAACUAGCUGUCUACAUGCAUCACCUACACUACAACCAUCCCUCCCGUGGAAGACUCAGAGGGAAGACCUAUUUAUGGAUUAAAUCAGUCAUGUAGUACGUGCCCGUUUAAAUCAGUAUCAGUAUGUAGCUAAUUCUGUCAAUGUCAUGCUAGUUAUCUAUUUAUGAAUUAAAUUAGUUAAAAAAUUGCCUAUUUACUCAGCAGAUUCUACUCCGUCUCAUUGUUAUAUUAUGGGACGGAGGAAGUAAUCUUUCUUUCUCCCAUUGCAACGCACGAGCCAUGUCCUAGUAUUUAUACAAGUGAUUGAGUAAGGGACAUCCGUCAUUUUAUGGAAGUACCAGUGUUUUAAAGGGGAAGAGAUUAUGCGCACAUAGUGAAACUGCGACCGGAAUAGAAAGAAUCAAUCAAUAUAGUUCAGACGAGUCGGCUAUGACAAAAUUCUUUGUCGACGCGAUGUACUGGUUGCAGUAAUCUCUAAGGUCCGAGAAUUGGAGAUCGCUGACAUGCUCUAGUGUGCGUAGUGCAUCUUCUUUUGAGUGGAUGAAUCCAGCCAGCAAAUUCUUGCACAUGGCCUUCAUCCUGUCUAGACCGAACCAAUGCGCCUCAACCAACAUAUCUUCAGCUAUCAUAACCUCAUCUUGGGCAGCACCAUCACGGGCUAGGUCUUGAAUAGGAGGCAGCUCGUCGGUGUAGAUGAAAUGUAGCACAGCCUUGAAGACCGCAACCAUCACGCCGUGAACGGUGAACCGGUAUGACGCCGCCAUCCUUGAUGCCCAUCAUCAUCAUUUUACAUAGGGUUGGUGAUGACCGUGCAGCGAUCAUGAGGCUGUGCGCGCGGAGCUCGAUGUCCUCGACGAGGAACCUUAUGUCUGACCUGUUGGAAUUAUGCCCUAGAGGCAAUAAUAAAUGUAUAGUUAUUAUUAUAAUUCCUGUAUCAAGAUAAUAGUUUAUUAUCCAUGCUAUAAUUGUAUUGAAUGAAGACUCAUUUACAUGUGUGGAUACAUAGACAAAACACCGUCCCUAGCAUGCCUCUAGUUGGCUAGCCAGUUGAUCGAUGAUAGUCAGUGUCUUCUGAUUAUGAACAAGGUGUUGUUGCUUGAUAACUGGAUCACGUCAUUAGGAGAAUCACGUGAUGGACUAGACCCAAACUAAUAGACGUAGCAUGUUGAUCGUGUCAUUUUGUUGCUACUGUUUUCUGCGUGUCAAGUAUUUAUUCCUAUGACCAUGAGAUCAUAUAACUCACUAACACCGGAGGAAUGCUUUGUGUGUAUCAAACGUCGCAACGUAACUGGGUGACUAUAAAGAUGCUCUACAGGUAUCUCCGAAGGUGUUAGUUGAGUUAGUAUGGAUCAAGACUGGGAUUUGUCACUCCGUGUGACGGAGAGGUAUCUCGGGGCCCACUCGGUAAUACAACAUCACACACAAGCCUUGCAAGCAAUGUAACUUAGUGUAAGUUGCGGGAUCUUGUAUUACGGAACGAGUAAAGAGACUUGCCGGUAAACGAGGUUGAAAUAGGUAUCCGGAUACUGACGAUCGAAUCUCGGGCAAGUAACAUACCGAAGGACAAAGGGAAUGACAUACGGGAUUAUACGAAUCCUUGGCACUGAGGUUCAAACGAUAAGAUCUUCGUAGAAUAUGUAGGAUCCAAUAUGGGCAUCCAGGUCCCGCUAUUGGAUAUUGACCGAGGAGUCUCUCGGGUCAUGUCUACAUAGUUCUCGAACCCGCAGGGUCUGCACACUUAAGGUUCGACGUUGUUUUAUGCGUAUUUGAGUUAUAUGGUUGGUUACCGAAUGUUGUUUGGAGUCCCGGAUGAGAUCACGGACAUCACGAGGGUUUCCGGAAUAGUCCGGAAACGAAGAUUGAUAUAUAGGAUGACCUCAUUUGAUUACCGGAAGGUUUUCGGAGUUACCGGGAAUGUACCGGGAAUGACGAAUGGGUUCCGGGGGUUCACCGGAGGGGGGCAACCCACUCCGGGGAAGCCCAUAGGUAUUUGGGGGGGUCACACCAGCCCUUGGUGGGCUGGUGGGACAGCCCACCAAAUCCUAUGCGCCAAGGAAGAAAAAUCAAAGGAAGAAAGAAAAAAAAAAGGGGAAGUGGGAAAGGGGAAGGACUCCCUCCCACCAAACCAAGUAGGACUCGGUUUGGGGGGGGGAGAGUCCUCCCCCCUGGCUCGGCCGACCCCUUGGGGUUCCCUUGGACCCCAAGGCAAGGUCCCCCUCCCUCCUCCUAUAUAUAUGGGGCUUUUAGGGCAGAUUUGAGACGACUUUCUCACGGCUGCCCGACCACAUACCUCCAUAGUUUUUCCUCUAGAUCGUGUUUCUGCGGAGCUCGGGCGGAGCCCUGCUGAGACAAGAUCAUCACCAACCUCCGGAGCGCCGUCACGCUGCCGGAGAACUCUUCUACCUCUCCGUCUCUCUUGCUGGAUCAAGAAGGCCGAGAUCAUCGUCGAGCUGUACGUGUGCUGAACGCGGAGGUGCCGUCCGUUCGGUACUAGAUCGUGGGACUGGUCGCGGGAUUGUUCGCGGGGCGGAUCGAGGGACGUGAGGACGUUCCACUACAUCAACCGCGAUCUCUAAUCGCUUCUGCUGUACGAUCUAUAAGGGUACGUAGAUCACUCAUCCCCUCUCGUAGAUGGACAUCACCAUGAUAGGUCUUCGUGCGCGUAGAAAAAUUUUUGUUUUCCAUGCGACGUUCCCCAACAUGACCCGUGCUCAGUCACCAACAACUGCUUCAGGUGCGAGGCGAUAUCGGACGGUGGCAUUAUGGCUCCGGUGCUGACGGAGGUGGUGCUAUUAGUACUGAUGUAGAUCUUCUUGUUCUUGGUGAUGGCAACAUCGCAACGUAUGGUAAGGGAGGCAUCACGUGCUAGGUGCCAUGACUUGGCGGAUUCAAUGGUGACGAACUUCGCAUAUCCCCAGUCUGACUUGGUUAUAAAGGUUUUCUCUAACCAUUUUAUCAAAUGCCGUGACUGGCCACUAUGAUCAUCCAACUUGAAGCCCAAUGUGACGUUGAUACCUUCGGUUCCAGGAUCAGUCAAUAGCUCGGCGUACACGGAGAUGUGCCCUUGUGCCUUCUCUGAUGAUGACGACGGGUAUACCUUUAUCUUCCAACUGUAACCACCGACCUGGAAAGCUUCCGAACUGAUUUCUUUGCCAACUCCAUGCCUCCUUUGCACAAAGAGAAAACACGGAAUUUUAAACUCGUGUGCGCCCUCGACCACCUCCAAUGAGGUAAGCGUGGACGCGUCCGUCUGCAGCCGGCUGCCGGAGGAGGAAGGAGCAUUGCAGCACAUGUUAUGAACCAUGUUGACGGCUGCUACUUUCUCGGCGACCUCGAGUAGGAAAGAGCAACAACUCUCCUUCAAUUCCUUGUAGUCAUCUGUCGCCUUCACGGCGGCAUAGACGGCAGGAUCUGAUGCCAUGUACUCGAUGCAUGAGGCCUCCACCGCCCGGCAGCUAUGCCGGCCUUGGACCUCCAUCAACGUUGACAUGACUGACGCGACACACAUGCUCUCGGACAAUAUGUUCUCACACAUGAGCCAUAGGCCCUGUUUAUUUCAUAAGUCCUAGGACUUUUUUAAGUCCCAACUUAUAAGUCAUAAGUCCCUACCUGUUUGUUUACCGGGACUUAUAAGUCCCGAGUCCCUACUUGUUUGUUUACACGGACUUAUAAGUCCAUGUUGCACCUAAUAAUACACUUGUUCACAUGGAUCGUCAUCAGCCAACGCGUACGGCACACAGGAUAAGCACCGCUGCAACGAGGCUCAGGAGAGAGCCUGUCCGGCGAUUGGAGGCACCGCUGCAACGAACCGAGGCAGAACGAACCGAGGCGGGACGGCGACGGGGCGGCGAACCGAGGCAGAACGAACCGAGGCGGGGUGGCGACGGGGCGGCGACCGGAGCGAGAGGCGGGGCGGCGACGGGGCGAGAGGCGGGGCGGCGACAGGGCGAGAGGCGGGGCGGCGACGGGGCGAGAGGCGGGGCGGCGGCGGCGAUUGGACCGAGAGGCGGGGCAGCGUGCAGGGAACGAGCCUGGAGCGACGCGGGGUAGGUCCGGCCCGGGAUAAGUCCCAAUAAGCUCCUCCCUUAGAGUCUUAUUUGAUAAGUCCCAAAUCACCACAAUAAGUCCCAAUAAGUCCCUUGUGUUUNUAUAAGUCCCACCUAAACCAAACAGAAGGAACUUAUUGGGACUUAUAGUAGUCAUUUGGGACUUAUCAAAAAAGACUCUCAGGGAGGAACUUAUUGGGACUUAUCGCGGCCCGCACCUAGCCCGCCUCGCUCCGCCUGGCUCUUUCCCCUCGUCGCCCCGCUUCGGUCCAAUCGCCGCCGCCCCGCGUCGCUCCAGUCGCCACCGCCCCGCGUCGAUCCAAUCGCCCGAAUCGCCGCCCCCGCGUCGCUCCUUCCAGCCGCCCCCGCCUCGGUCCGUUCCCCGUCGCUGCAGUCCCCACCUCGCUCCGUUCCAGCCGCCCUAGCCUCGCUCCGUUUCAGCCGCCCCAAUCGCCGCCCCCGCGUCACUCCUUCCAGUCGCCCCCGCCUCGGUCCGUUGCGCGUCACUGCAGUCCCCGCCUCGGCCCGCGUCCCAGGUCACCGUGCCAUGGCUGAUGACGAUCCCCGCGUCCAAGGUCACCGCACCAUGGCUGAUGAUGAGGAGGAGCAGAUGCCUUUUUUCUCCCAGUUCUCCUCACGUCAACAGGCAACCCAAGGCUCAUCCGCCGAUGGAAAUCUCGGGAGGGGAAUGGGUUUCUUGGAUCUCAACAGCAACGUCGACGACUUCCUGGAGUUGGGCUCGUACCAGCAACUCCUCUUCGACCAGGCGGCCGGUCAUGGCCUUCCUCCGGUUGGACCUUGUCGUGGUAGGCCCGUGCUCCAGGGCGGAGGUGGUCGCAGCCGGUCUCUGAACAUCGGAGGCCGAACCGUCCCUCACCUGCGUACGUUCGUCGCCCCCGGCGCAGCUGCCGUUGAGGGAGGCGUCAUAGGGCGUGGGAGGACCGUGUCCCAGGUCACCGGACGCGGCGUAGGUUGAGCCAAUGGGUCCUCAUCGGCCGACAGUAGAGGAAAAACUACGGGGAAGCAACGUGUGUCGUCAACUGCUGCGUCUUCAGAAGAUGUCGACGAGAAUGAAGGCUUUGAAGAUGAAGAUGACAACAAUGCUUUUCGAGAGGUAAAUUUUUGAAUUGUGUACAUAGUUCUGGGUGCAAAUUCAUCUUCUUUUUGUGCUAGCUAAUUGUGUGCAUUGUUAUUUUUUGUUGGAAAUGUCUACUUGUUAUUUUUGUUUGAAUUGUGUACUUGUUAUUUUUGUUUAGAAAAACAUUGCCAAGGCUGAUUGGACAGACGCGAAUAUUACUGUAUUUUGUAACAUCGUCUGUGAGGAAGCUAGGGAUGGACACUGUGUGAUGGGUUGUGGUCAUUGAAACAACAAUGAUAUGAAGAAGUGUUCUUCGCUUAUGUAAUUUCUGUUAUCUCGGUUGUUAUGUACUCUCUCUUAUUUUGGUUCUUAUGAACAAGUGUUAAUUCGUUUGUAUGAAUAAUUUUUAUUUUGGUUGUCACUAUUCUGUAAUUCGUUUGUAUGAACAAGAGUUAUGUGAACAAGUGUAUUAUUUAGGUGCAACAUGGACUUAUAAGUAGGGACUCGGGACUUAUAAGUCCCUGUAAAUAAACAGGUAGGGACUUAUGAUUUAUAAGUUGGGACUUAAAAAAGUCCUAGGACUUAUGAAACAAACAGGGUCUUAGGUAGGACUUAUAGGGACUUUUUUAAAUCCCUAAACCAAUAAGUCACUGGAAACAAACACCCUCAUAGUCUUUCGAUAUUGUACCGAUCUGCCGCCACAAGUAGGUCAAGCGCCAUAGCCACACGACCACCAUCAGCGCUCUUUAAUUCGAGCUGGUCUGUGUAGAUGAAAUGUAGCAUGCAUGGCCCUGAAAGUGGAGGCGCUCAUGUCGUGGACCCGCAGGGUGCACUCUGUCGCGUGCCACCGGAACUCUGCGGCAAAGACCGGUGACCGCAUGGCAAGCACGAGUUUGUGCGCCUGGAUCUCGGUCUGCUCGAUGAUGAAGGUCACGUCCGGCAACAUGCAGCGCCGUCGUGACAACUCCGACUUCGUCGUCUCGGGCUCCCUCUCCCGCUGAAUCAGAAGAAGCCUGCCAAGAUCUUUAGAGAUCGUGGGCGGCGGCACCAUGGAGAUCUGGCAUGCAUUUUUGGUUACGUCUGUGUCCACCCAGAGGACGGACACCUUGCAGUAGACGUCGAGAUGCGCUAAGCCAUGAAGCAGCGUGUCAGGGAGAGGCAGCUCCCAACAUCUGCUAGUAGGCAUGGCCGAUAGGGAGGGCCAAGCGGGGAAAACGUUGAUGUCGUCGCUCCGCCCCUCGACGGUCCUCCAGCUGCCCCCCGGGCUUUGGACCCAGAGGGUGGCCAUGGCGACGACGUCCGUGGCGGCGUCAGUACGGAGUAGCUCCAGGGAGACGGACACAAGUUGCUGGUCGUGGAAGCAGCAGGAAAGAGACCAGAUGUGGCCGCCAGCUUUGAAGUUGGCGGAUCUGAUGUUCUUCCGUCUGCUGUAUCCGCGGAUUCGCAUCCGGAGGGUGCCACAGUGUAGCGCCGCCCCGUACGUCGACGCCGUCGCCGUCGCCAUAGCCAUCGAUCCCGUGGAAGGCGGCCAGCCUGGUUAAUACUUAAUAGCUUACUCCAUAAACGAUCGAUGAUAUAUCCCAAUUGCCGAUCAAGGCUUGGUUUCUGGUGUUGACUUGUUUGUCAGCUCGAUCCAUUAUGUAUCUCCUUAUAUGAAAUUCCGAAUCAGUCCCAAAUUAAUAGGUAUUCUUAUAGGUCUCGAUCGACCAUCGCUUGUCAGCCAGCGGAUCAACCGGCUCGAUCGCCGUUCAGUCACCAGAAAGUUUUCUUUUCUCAGUUCAAAAAACAGCUUUUUUUCGGUCGAUACCAGUUUUUGUCCCCGUAGGACUGGUUUCAGGUUUUUGUGUCGGAAUAUUUAAACGGAUUUUAAUAUUUAAAAUUAUUAACAUCAAAAAAUAUUGGAUCUGACUAGGCAGCGGCACCAUGGUGUUUCCAUGCCGCGGCUGUUAUAGGCCUGCGCAUCCAUGGCAAAAAAGAGUGCAUAUUGCAUGCACGUGCACUCAAUAAUACUCCCCCUAGUACUAGCUAAGUACUGCCAUGCUGUUGGAGAUUCUUUCUCUCAUCACCGUGCGUGUAUGGAAUGACAUCAUCAAGUUUUUCCUAAUGUUUGAAAUUUAAAAAGUUUUUAUCUUCAAAACCGUUAAUUCGAUUGAUGAUCUGUUUUCAUCAUUGACUUUGUCGCAACGUGAUUUUCGAAACUAGAUCCCAUGUUGAUAUGUUUCGACAUUUUUUUUGUCCGUACUUGCCACAUUUUUUUUCAUUCACUUGUCAUAUUAUCAACCACUUACUUGUCUGACAAAAAGUAGCUUAACUGCCAUAUUUUUUUAUGUUGUUCCUGUACUAAGCUUGUCGGUGCUUAUAAAUCCAGUUGCCACAAUGUUUUGAUGUGCUUGUCAUUUUUAAUUCUGCCUAGAUGUCAUGUUGUCCCAUAAAACUUGUCAGUGGUUAUAUAAUCCUGUUGCCACAAAUGUUUUGUCGUGCUUGUCAUUUUUAUUCUACCUAGUUAUCAUAUUGUCUCACAAUGCUUGUCACUUAUGUAAAAAUUUGUGGCCGUGGUGUUUUGUUGUACUUACGAGUCUUAAUUCUACCUAGUUGUCAUGUUGUCUCAUGAAAAGCUUGUCGAUUGUUCUAAAACCUAGUUGUUAUGCUGUUUUGUUGUAUUUAUCAAUUUAUUUCUACUCAGUUGUUUCAUAUAAGCUUGUCACUUGUUGCAAAAAUUAGCUGUCAUAUUAUUUUGUAGCCCUUGCCAUUUAAAUUCUACCAGCGACCGGUUAUUUUGUAAAGCUAAAUUAGGAAGAUUUUGUAAAGGCUCCAUAGUCCACAGUGAAUUUUGUUUUCUUUAGUCUUCAUAGUCCAUAGUGGAGUGGGAGUGGGUGUGGGAUUUUUGUGGAAGUAUCGUGAUAGCUCGCAGAUAAUUCAAAGAUCACUCACAACUCUUCAUGCUACAACAAGUGACGCAUUGCAUGUCUAUCUUUUUUAAAAUUUGAACGUUUUCCUUUUCUUCAUUGAAUCGUUAUUUUUAAAAUUGUUUUAUCUUUUAAAUCGUGUGUCCCAAUUGAAAGUGCAUGUUAUGCCCCUAAUCGACUUUUGAUGUUAAUGACAACACUUACAUAGGAAACUAAUCCUAUUUGUUGAGUGUAUCUCAGGAUGGCAAGUACUUUAGUAGAUUGAGAAUUAUGUGCCAAGGUGGUCUGAGAAGAUCGGGAUUUAUAUGUCAAGAAGGCUCGGGAUUGAGAAAAGAUGAUGUAGACUAUCCUUUUGAGUUUACUAUUAUUGAGUAUAGGGAUCCCGCACUAUUAAGAGGGGAUCACAGGUUUUGCGAUGAAUUUGCUCAUACCACAUCUUCACUUUCUGCUCAAUACCACAUAUUCUCUACUCUGCUCCUAUCUCAAAACAGGUCUAAUGCCUCGGACUUCCGGCCCCCUCCGGACGUCCGAGGGCCGGUCGAGGGUCGAACAACCGACAAGCUUCGGAAAUCCGGAGCUCUGCACCAGAAGAACUUGAUCCAUAUAACUCGGACUUCCGGCUCCCUCCGGACGUCCGAGGGCCGGUCGACCGAGUAGCUUCGGAAAUCCGGAGCCCUGCACCAGAAGAACGUGAGCCAUGUAACUCGGACUUCCGGCUCCCUCCGGACGUCCGAGGGCCGGACGUCCGUCCCCUUUCGGAAAUCCGGAACCUUGCACCAGAAGAAGUUGAGUCGAAUAACUCGGACUUCCGGCCUUCUCCGGACGCCCGGUCCCUGUUCAACUCACUGUGUCUCCAGUCAUAUCUACAGCCCUCGGACGACCGACCCCUGUCGGACGUCCGGUCCCUGUUCAACUCACUGUGUUUCCAGUCAUAUCUACAACCCUCGGACGACCGACCCCUGUCGGACGUCCGACCCCUUGUGGACGCCCGGACUUCCGUAAACUGCCGGACGUUCGUACCCUGUGUGACUUAAAGUGUCCCCAACGGCUGUUUUACAGUCCCCACUAUAUAUACCCCCUCCCACUUCGUGAGAGGGUGUCCAACACAGCUAGAACACAUACAAGAACACCUUUCUUCUCACUCACUCUUGUCUACACCAAAUCUUAGAUCCCAAGAGAAUUUGUGAGUCCCUUUGAGUGUUGUUCCAAUCAAAAGAUAGAUCGUCUCCUUCUCCUCCUUCCCACCAAAGUGAUUUGUGAUUUGAGCAAGUUUUGAGCAAUCCCCGUGAUCUUGUUACUCUUGGAGGUUGGAGACUCCUAGGCGGUAGGAGUCUUCGGAGAGGAAUCAAACCAUUGUGAUUUCCCCCGGAAAGUUUGUGAAGGUUUGGAAGCCACCUCAAGGCUUACCAUUAGUGGUUGAGAAACGCCUUCGUGGAGUUAUCUCAAAGGGAGAAUAGGGUGAGCCUUCGUGGCGUUGGUGUGCCUUCGUGGUAACAUCCGCCCCUCUAACGGUGGCGUAGCUUCCCUCCAAGGAAGUGAACAUCGGGAUACAUCCUCGUCUCUCUUGGAGUUUCGGUUAUUCCUAACCCUAACUCUCUACUUGUGUUAAUCCUUAUUACGUACUUGUAUUUGAUUAUUGUUUAUCGCUUGCCUUACUUCACUCUAAAUAGCUUACUCCUUGUCAUAGCAAUUAUUAGGCCUACACUCAUAUUCCGCACAUUUGCCUAAAAUUGCUAAGUAAUUAUUAAAAUUUGGAACUGUACCUAUUCACCCCCCUCUAGGUCCAUCUCGAUCCUUUUCAAUUGGUAUCAGAGCCUCAUGCUCUAUUCUUGUGGCUUAACCUCCCUAGAGGGAGAUGGACGGGAUUCCCACUACUGUAGCUCGAGUGGAGAGGGACGGGACUUCCAUGGAAGUAAAGUCCUUCACCUCUGAGGACCUGGAACGGGCCCUUGCCAAGAAAAAAGAGGAGCAUGAUGCUUCUCUUGAGGCCUUGGUCCAAAUAAGACUCGCAUCAUUAACCAUGGGGAUAGCCACGUCCCCGAGGGCCUCAGGGCCACAUGUGCACGGUUCUUCAUUUGGCCAACAACCUCCGGAAAGGAACCAAACCAGUGUUCCAUGGCUUUAUGCUAGAUCUCAGAUUGAGAAACGUAAGUACAAUCCUGGAGGAAAACCUCCCUUGCUUGAUGACAAUUCCGAUUUUGCUUUGUGGAGAGUUGGUAUGCAGGAUCAUCUUAGGUACGCCAAUGAUGAGAUGUUGGACAUCCUCGAGCUGUUGGGGAACGUCGCAUGGGAAACAAAAAUUUUCCUACGCGCACGAAGACCUAUCAUGGUGAUGUCCAUCUACGAGAGGGGAUUUCCGAUCUACGUACCCUUGUAGAUCGCACAGCAGAAGCGUUAGUGAACGCGGUUGAUGUAGUGGAACGUUCUCACGUCCCUCGAUCCGCCCCGCAAACCGUCCCACGAUCUAGUGUCGAACGGACGACACCUCCGCGUUCAGCACACGUACAGCUCGACGAUGAUCUCGGCCUUCUUGAUCCAGCAAGAGAGACGGAGAGGUAGAUGACUUCUCCGGCAGCGUGACGGCGCUCCGGAGGUUGGUGAUGAUCUAAUCUCGGCAGGGCUCCGCCCGAGCUCCGCAGAGACGCGAUCUAGAGGUAAAACCGUGGAGGUAUGUGGUCGGGCUGCCUUGAAAAAGUUGUCUCAAAUCAACCCUAAUUGCUCCAUAUAUAUAGGAGGAGGGAGGGGAGGCUUGCCUUGAGGCUCAACGAGCCCCAAGGGCUGUGCCACCAAGGGGAGGAGGAUUCCUCCUCCAAUCCUAGUCCAACUAGGAUUGGAAGGUGGAGUCCUUCUCUCUUUUCCCACCUUUCCCUUUUUCUUUCUUUCUCUUCUUUUGGUUUUUCCUUUCUCUUGCGCAAGACAGCCUUGGGCUGACCCCACCUACUUGGUGCGCCACCCCCAAGGUCCUUGGUCCCUCCCGGGUGGGUGGUCCCCCCUCCCGGUGAAGAUCCGGAACCCAUUCGUCAUUCCUGGUACAUUACCGGUAAUGCCCGAAAACCUUCCGGUAACCAAAUGAAGUCAUCCUAUAUAUCAUUCUUCGUUUCCGGACCAUUCCGGAAACCCUCGUGACGUCCGUGAUCUCAUCCGGGACUCCGAACAACAUUCGGUAACCAACCAUAUAACUCAAAUACGCAUAAAACAACGUCGAACCUUAAGUGUGCAGACCCUGCGGGUUCGACAACUAUGUAGACAUGACCCGAGUGACUCCUCGGUCAAUAUCCAAUAGCGGGACCUGGAUGCCAUAUUGGAUCCCACAUAUUCUACGAAGAUCUUAUCGUUUGAACCUCAGUGCCAAGGAUUCAUAUAAUCCCGUAUGUCAUUCCCUUUGUCGUUCGGUAUGUUACUUGCCUGAGAUUCGAUCGUCAGUAUCCGCAUACAUAUUUCAAUCUCGUUUACCGGCACGUCUCUUUACUCGUUCCAUAAUACAAGAUCCCGCAACUUACACUAAGUCACAUUGCUUGCAAGGCUUGUGUGUGAUGUUGUAUUACCGAGUGGGCCCCGAGAUACCUCUCCGUCACACGGAGUGACAAAUCCCAGUCUCGAUCCAUACUAACUCAACGAACACCUUCGAAGAUACCUGUAGAGCAUCUUUAUAGUCACCCAAUUACGUUGCGACGUUUGAUACACACAAAGCAUUCCUCCGGUGUCAGUGAGUUAUAUGAUCUCAUGGUCAUAGGAACAAAUACUUGACACGCAGAAAACAGUAGCAACAAAAUGACACGAUCAACAUGCUACGUCUAUUAGUUUGGGUCUAGUCCAUCACGUGAUUCUUCUAAUGACGUGAUCCAGUUAUCAAGCAACAAAACCUUGUAUAUAAUCAGAAGACCCUAACUAUCUUUGAUCAACUGGCUAGCCAACUAGAGGCUUGCUAGGGACAGUGUUUUGUCUAUGUAUCCACACAUGUAUAUAAGUCUUCAUUCAAUACAAUUAUAGCAUGGAUAAUAAACGAUUAUCAUGAACAAAGAAAUAUAAUAAUAACUAAUUUAUUAUUGCCUCUAGGGCAUAUUUCCAACAGUCUCCCACUUGCACUAGAGUCAAUAAUCUAGUUCACAUCACCAUGUGAUUCCAAUGAAUCCAACACCCAUAUAAUUAUGGGGUCUGAUCACGUCUUGCUCGUGAGAGAGGUUUUAGUCAACGGUUCUGAAACUUUCAGAUCCGUGUGUUCUUUACAAAUCUUUAUGUCAUCUUAUAGAUGCUGCUACUAUGUGCUAUUCAGAAAUACUCCAAAUAUCUACUCUACUAUACGAAUCCGUUUCACUACUUAUAGUUAUUCGGAUUAGUGUCAAACUCUUUAACCCUUUACGACGAACUCUUUAACCACCUCCAUAAUUGAGAAAAAAUCCUUAGUCCAUCAGCUACUAAGGAUAAAUUUUGACCGUUGCUAGUGAUUCAAUCAUGGAUCACUCUCUGUACCUCUCAACAGACUUUGAGUCAAGGCACACAUCAGGUGCGGUACCGAGCAUGGCAUACUUCAGAUUCUACGGCCAAGGCAUAGAAGACGACCUUCGUCUAUUCUCUUUAUUCUGCCGGGGUCGGGUUUUGAGUCUUACUCAAAUUCACACCUCACAACGCAACCAAGAACUCCUUCUUUGCUGAUCUAUUUUGAACUCCUUCAAAAACUUGUCAAGGCAUGCAUCUUGUUGAAACUUCUAUUAAGCGCUUUCGAUCUAUCUCCAUAGAUAUUUGAUGCUCAACGUUCAAGUAGCGCAAUCCAGGUACUCCUUUGAAAACUCCUUUCAAACAACCUUGUAUGCUUUACAGAAAUUCUACAUUACUUCUGAUCCACAAUAUGUCAACCACAUAUACUUAUCAGAAAUUCUAUAGUGCUCCCACUCACUUCUUUGGAAAUACAAGUUUCUCAUAAACCUUGUACAAACCCAAAAUCUUUGAUCAUCUCAUCAAAGUGUAUAUUCCAACUCCGAGUUGCUUGCACCAGUCCAUUGAAGGAUCGCUGGAGCUUGCAUACUUGCUAGUAUCUUUAGGAUCGACAAAACCUCCUGGUUGUAUCACAUACAAUGUUUGCUCAAGGAAACCGUCGAGGAAACAAUGUUUUGACAUCCUAUGUGCAAUAUUUCAUAAAUAAUGCAGCAACUAAUAACAUAAUUCUAACAGACUUUUAGCAUCGCUAUGAGUGAGAAAGUCUCAUCAUAGUCAACUGUUUGAUCUUGUCGGAAACAUCUUUGCGACAAGUCGAGCUUUUCUUAAUAGUGACUUAUCACCAUCAUCGUCUGUCUUCCUUUUAAAGAUCCAUCUUUACUCAAUAGUCCUAUGACCAUCAAGUAGUUCUUCCAAAGUCUACACUUUGUUUUCAUACAUGGAUCCUCUCUCGGAUUUCAUGGCCUCCAGCCAUUUGUCAGAAUCCGGGCCCACCAUUGCUUUCUCCAUAACUCGUAGGUUCAUUGUUGCUCAACAACAUGACCUCCAAGACAGGGUUCCCGUACCACUCUGCAGUAGUACGCGACCUUGUCAACCUACGAGAUUUGUAGUAACUUGAUUCGAUGCUCGAUGAUCACCAUCAUCGGCCUUCACUUCAAUUGGUGUAGGCGCCACAGGAACAACUUCCUGCCCCCUGCUACACACUGGUUGAAGUGAUUGUUCAAUAACAUUAUCAAGUUCUACCACCCUCCCACUCAAUUCUUUCGAGAGAAACCUUUCCUCGAGAAAGGAUCCGUUUCUAGAAACAAACACUUUGCUUUCGGAUCUGAGAUAGGAGAUGUAUCCAACUGUUUUGGAUAUCCUAUGAAGAUGCAUUUGUCCGCUUUGGGUUCGAGCUUAUCAGACUGAAACUUUUUCACAUAAGUGUCGAAGCCCCAAACUUUCAAGAAACGACAGUUUAGAUUUCUCUAAACCUCAGUCUAUAUUGUGUCAUCUCAACGGAAAUACGUGGUGCCCUAUUGAAAGUGAAUGUGGUUGUCUCUAAUGCAUAACCCAUAAAUGAUAGUGGUAAUUCGAUAAGAGACAUCAUAGCAUGCACCAUACCAAAUAGUGUGUGGCUAUGACGUUCAGACACAUUAUCACACUAUGAUGUUGCAGGUGGCAUGAACUGCGAAACAAUUUCCAUAUUGUCUUAACUGCGUACCAAAACUCGUAACUCGGAUAUUCAUUUCUAUGAUCAUAUCGUAGACAGUUUAUCCUCUUGUUACGACGAACUUCACUCCGAAACAGAAUUGAACUUUUCAGUAUUUCAGACUUGUGAUUCAUUAAGUAAAUACUCUUGUAUCCACUCAAAUCGUCAUUCAACUAAGAACAUAAUACUAUCCAUUGCGUGCCUCACCACUCAUUGGACUGCAUACAUCAAAAUGUAUCACUUCCAACAAGUUACUAUCUUGUUUCAUCUCAAUGAAAACAAGGCCUUGCUCAUGUGGUAUGAUUUGCAUGUCACUGGUGAUUCAAAAUCAAGUGAGUAUAAAGAUCCAUCAGCAUGGAGCCUCUUCAUGCAAUUUAUACCAACAUGACUCAAGCGGCAGUGCCACAAGUAAGUGGUACUAUCAUCAUUACCUCGUAUCUUUUGGCACCAAUAUUAUGAACAUGUGUAACACUACGAUCGAGAUUCAAUAAACCAUUGAAGGUGAUUUAUUCAAGAAAAUAGAGUAACCAUUAUUCUCUUUAAAUGAAUAAUCGUAUUACAAUAAACACGAUCCAAUCAUGUUCAUGCUUAACGCAAGUACCAAAUAACAAUUAUUUAGGUUUAACACCAAUCCCGAUGGUACAUGGAGUGUGCGAUGUUUGAUCAUAUCAACCUUGGAAACACUUCCAACACGUAUCGUCACCUCGCCUUUAGCUAGUCUCCGUUUAUGCUGUAGCUUUCAUUUCGUGUCACUAAUCACUUAGCAACCGAACCGGUAUCUAAUACCCUCGUGCUACUAGGAGUACUAGUAAAGUACACAUCAACAUCAUGUAUAUCAAAUAUACUUCUUUCGACUUUUGCCAGCCUUCUUAUCUACCAAGUAUCUAGAGUUGCUCCGCCUCAGUGACUGUUCCCGUCAUUACAAAAGCACUUAGUCUCAGGUUUGGGUUUAAUCUUGGGUCUCUUCAUUAGUGCAUCAACUGUUUUGCCGUUUCACGAAGUAUCCCUUCUAGCCCUUGCCUUUCUGGAAACUUAGUGGUUUUACUAACCAUCAACUAUUGAUGCUCCUUCUUGAUUUCCACUUUCGCAGUGUCAAACAUCGCGAAUCGCUCAAGGAUCAUUGUAUCUAUCCUUGAUAUGUUAUAGUUCAUCACGAAGCUCUCACAGCUUGGAGGCAGUGACUUUGGAGAACCAUCACUAUCUCAUCUGGAAGAUUAACUCCCACUUGAUUCAAGCGAUUGUCGUACUCAGACAAUCUGAGCACAUGCUCAACGAUUGAGCUUUUCUCCUUUACUUUGUGGACAAAGAAUCUUGUCGGAGGUCUCGUACCUCUUAACAAGGGCACAAGCAUGAAAUCACAAUUUCAUCUCUUUAGAACAUCACUUAUGUUCCGUGAUGUUUCAAAACGUCUUCGGCGCCUUGCUUCUAAGCCAUUAAGUAUUUUGCACUGAACUAUCGUGUAGUCAUCAGAAACGUGUAUGUCGGAUGUUCACAGCAUCCACAGACGACGCUCGAGGUGCAGCACACCGAGUGGUGCAUUAAGGACAUAAGCCUUCUGCGCAGCAACGAGGACAAUCCUCUGCAAAGUUUGCUACUAUCAACUUUCAACUAAAUUUUCUCUAGGAACAUAUAAAAACAGUAGAGCUAUAGCGCAAGCUACAUCGUAAUUCGCAAAGACCAUUAGACUAUGUUCAUGACAAUUAGUUCAAUUAAUCAUAUUACUUAAGAACUCCCACUCAAAAAGUACAUCUCUCUAGUCAUUUGAGUGGUACAUGAUCCAAAUCCACUAUCUCAAGUCCGAUCAUCACGUGAGUCGAGAAUAGUUUCAGUGGUAAGCAUCUCUAUGCUAAUCAUAUCAACUAUACAAUUCAUGCUCGACCUUUCGGUCUCAUGUGUUCCGAGGCCAUGUCUGCACAUGCUAGGCUCGUCAAGCUUAACCCGAGUGUUCCGCGUGUGCAACUGUUUUGCACCCGUUGUAUGUGAACGUUGAGUCUAUCACACCCGAUCAUCACGUGGUGUCUCGAAACGAAGAACUAUCGCAACGGUGCACGGUCGGGGAGAACACAAUUUCGUCUUGAAAUUUUAGUGAGAGAUCACCUCAUAAUGCUACCGUCGUUCUAAGCAAGAUAAGGUGCAUAAAAGGAUUAACAUCACAUGCAAUUCAUAAGUGACAUGAUAUGGCCAUCGUCACGUGCUUCUUGAUCUCCAUCACCAAAGCACCGGCACGAUCUUCUUGUCACCGGCGCCACACCAUGAUCUCCAUCAUCAUGAUCUCCAUCAACGUGUCGCCAUCGGGGUUGUCGUGCUACUUAUGCUAUCACUACUAAAGCUACGUCCUAGCAAAAUAGUAAACGCAUCUGCAAGCACAUAUGUUAGUAUAAAGACAACCCUAUGGCUCCUGCCGGUUGCCGUACCAUCGACGUGCAAGUCGAUAUUAACUAUUACAACAUGAUCAUCUCAUACAUCCAAUAUAUCACAUCACAUCGUUGGCCAUAUCACAUCACAAUCAUACCCUGCAAAAACAAGUUAGACGUCCUCUAAUUUUGUUGUUGCAUGUUUUACGUGGUGACCAAGGGUAUCUAGUAGGAUCGCAUCUUACUUACGCAAACACCACAACGGAGAUAUAUGAAUUGCUAUUUAACCUUAUACAAGGACCUCCUCGGUCAAAUCCGAUUCAACUAAAGUUCGAGAAACCGUCACUUGCCAGUCAUCUUUGAGCAAAGGGGGUUACUCGUAACGAUGAAACCAGUCUCUCGUAAGCGUACGAGUAAUGUCGGUCCAAGCCGCUUCAAUCCAACAAUACCGCGGAAUCAAGAAAAGACUAAGGAGGGCAGCAAAACGCACAUCACCGCCCACAAAACCUUUUGUGUUCUACUCGAGAAGACAUCUACGCAUGAACCUAGCUCAUGAUGCCACUGUUGGGGAACGUCGCAUGGGAAACAAAAAAUUUCCUACGCGCACGAAGACCUAUCAUGGUGAUGUCCAUCUACGAGAGGGGAUGAGUGAUCUACGUACCCUUGUAGAUCGUACAGCAGAAGCGAUUAGAGAUCGCGGUUGAUGUAGUGGAACGUCCUCACGUCCCUCGAUCCGCCCCGCAAACAAUCCCGCGAUCAGUCCCACGAUCUAGUACCGAACGGACGGCACCUCCGCGUUCAGCACACGUACAGCUCGACGAUGAUCUCGGCCUUCUUGAUCCAGCAAGAGAGACGGAGAGGUAGAAGAGUUCUCCGGCAGCGUGACGGCGCUCCGGAGGUUGGUGAUGAUCUUGUCUCAGCAGGGCUCCGCCCGAGCUCCGCGGAAACACGAUCUAGAGGAAAAACUAUGGAGGUAUGUGGUCGGGCAGCCGUGAGAAAGUCGUCUCAAAUCUGCCCUAAAAGCCCCAUAUAUAUAGGAGGAGGGAGGGGGACCUUGCCUUGGGGUCCAAGGGAACCCCAAGGGGUCGGCCGAGCCAGGGGGGAGGACUCUCCCCCCCCCAAACCGAGUCCUACUUGGUUUGGUGGGAGGGAGUCCUUCCCCCUUCCCACUUCCUCUUUUUUUUUCUUUCCUUUGAUUUUUCCUUCCUUGGCGCAUAGGGGAUUGGUGGGCUGUCCCACCAGCCCACUAAGGGCUGGUGUGACCCCCCCAAAUACCUAUGGGCUUCCCCGGAGUGGGUUGCCCCCCUCCGGUGAACCCCCGGAACCCAUUCGUCAUUCCCGGUACAUUACCGGUAACUCCGAAAACCUUCCGGUAAUCAAAUGAAGUCAUCCUAUAUAUCAAUCUUCGUUUCCGGACCAUUCCGGAAACCCUCGUGACGUCCGUGAUCUCAUCCGGGACUCCGAAUAACAUUCGGUAACCAACCAUAUAACUCAAAUACGCAUAAAACAACGUCGAACCUUAAGUGUGCAGACCCUGCGGGUUCGAGAACUAUGUAGACAUGACCCGAGAGACUCCUCGGUCAAUAUCCAAUAGCGGGACCUGGAUGCCCAUAUUGGAUCCUACAUAUUCUACGAAGAUCUUAUCGUUUGAACCUCAGUGCCAAGGAUUCGUAUAAUCCCGUAUGUCAUUCCCUUUGUCCUUCGGUAUGUUACUUGCCCGAGAUUCGAUCGUCAGCAUCCGCAUACCUAUUUCAAUCUCGUUUACCGGCAAGUCUCUUUACUCGUUCCGUAAUACAAGAUCCCGCAACUUACACUAAGUUACAUUGCUUGCAAGGCUUAUGUGUGAUGUUGUAUUACCGAGUGGGCCCCGAGAUACCUCUCCGUCACACGGAGUGACAAAUCCCAGUCUUGAUCCAUACUAACUCAACUAACACCUUCGGAGAUACCUGUAGAGCAUCUUUAUAGUCACCCAGUUACGUUGCGACGUUUGAUACACACAAAGCAUUCCUCCGGAGUCAGUGAGUUAUAUGAUCUCAUGGUCAUAGGAAUAAAUACUUGACACGCAGAAAACAGUAGCAACAAAAUGACACGAUCAACAUGCUACGUCUAUUAGUUUGGGUCUAGUCCAUCACGUGAUUCUCCCAAUGACGUGAUCCAGUUAUCAAGCAACAACACCUUGUUCAUAAUCAGAAGACUCUGACUAUCAUCGAUCAACUGGCUAGCCAACUAGAGGCAUGCUAGGAACGGUGUUUUGUCUAUGUAUCCACACAUGUAAAUGAGUCUUCAUUCAAUACAAUUAUAGCAUGGAUAAUAAACUAUUAUCUUGAUACAGGAAUUAUAAUAAUAACUAUACAUUUAUUAUUGCCUCUAGGGCAUAAUUCCAACAAGAGGCCCCAUGAUGAAAUGGGCACCUCAAACCAAGUCUUAAUUCAUUGCAGUAUGUCUUCUCCGGAGGAGCCAAAUGGGUGAUCGACAGUGGAUGCACCAAUCAUAUGACCGAAGAUAGUAACUUGCUCUAUGACUUCAUGCAAGCCAUUCGACCAUACAUGAGCAUUGUAUUUGGUGGAGGGUCGAAAGGGCAGGUAAUUGGGUUGGGCAAGGUGGCAAUCACUAAUGACAUGUCUAUUGCAAAUGUCAUGCUUGUCCAAUCUCUUCAAUAUCAUUUACUUUCAGUUCGCCAAUUGGCUUCCGUUGGUUAUGACACACUAUUCGGACUAACGGAUGUGAAAGUCUUUAAGAGAGACACUCUCAAAGUGGCCUUUGUUGGAGAGUUGGAUGGCAACCUUUACACGGUUGAUUUCUCAAAAGAGAGCACCUUCCAUACAACUUGUCUAAUGGCCAAGGCCGACAUGGGAUGGUUGUGGCAUCGCCGGCUCGCCCAUGUCGGCAUGAGAAAUCUUCAAAAUCUCUUAAACGGAAAUCACAUCCUAGGACUAACAAAUGUAUCUUUUAAGAAAGAUCGUGUGUGCAGUGCAUGCAUAGCUGGGAAACAACAUCAAUCAAAACAUCCACCCAAGAACAUUGUAUCCACUUCGAGGCCGUUAGAGCUCCUUCAUGUGGAUCUGUUUGGGCCUCCUUCAUGGGCAGGUCUUGGAGGGAAAAAGUAUGGCCUAGUCAUUGUUGAUGAUUACUCAAGAUACACAUGGGUAUUCUUUCUCAAGUCCAAGGACGAGACGAAGAUCACCUUCAUUGAUUUUGCCAAACAAGCCCAGCGGAAGUUUGACAAGGACAUCAAGGCAAUAAGAAGUGAUAAUGGCUCCGAGUUCAAGAACUACACCCUAGAAGAAUUUCUUAGUGAUGAGGGAAUUGAACAUUAGUACUCCGCACCUUACACCCCUCAGCAAAAUGGUGUAGCAGAGAGGAAGAACCGGACACUUGUGGAAAUGGCAAGGUCCAUGUUAGACGAAUACAAGUCACCACAUAGUUUUUGGGCUCAGGCCGUCAACACAGCAUGUCAUGCAUCAAACCGGCUCUUCCUUUGAUCAAUAUUGGAGAAGACUCCAUAUGAGAUCCUAACUGGGAACAAGCCCAAUGUUAAGUACUUUCGUGUGUUUGGAUGCAAGUGUUUCAUCCUCAACAAACGAGAACGGUUAGGAAAAUUUCAAUCCAAAACAACUGAAGGGAUUUUUGUUGGCUAUGGAUCAAACUCUCACGCCUACAGAGUCUACAACAAAUCCACUGGAUGUGUUAUAGAAACCUGUGACGUGACGUUUGAUGAAUUUAACCGCUCCCAUGGGGAGCAAGUUGAUCUAAGUGAUGCAGGUGAAGAAGAUUCCUCGCAAGAUAUCUUGAACAUGGGUGUAGGUGCACUUCUUCCCAUGGAACAAAGACCCGAUGAUGAUGAUGAAGAUGAUGAGAGUACUUCUCAUCCUCAAGACAGUUCACUGCCCGUACCUCCACAAGAUACUAGCACACAUAUCAUGCCAGUUGUUGAGGAUCAAGUGGGAGAACAUGUCUCUCACUCUGAUCACACUCAAGAACAAGUUGAUCUUCAAGAGCUAGACCAAAGUAUGGAUAUGCUUGAUGAUGAACUUCAACAGGUGCAACGCGAAGAGGAAUAUCUUCCACCGCACAUAAAUGAUCCAUAUGUUGAGGACGUUGAUGAUGGAAACAAAGUCGAACCUCGUGAAACCCUGACCUCCAUCAUGCCACGUGUGGUCGGUCGUGUUGAUAUUGAUCAAAUCCUCACCGGCGUGUCGGAAGGUAGAGUGACUCGUAAACAAUUAACAAACUUUUGUGCUCACUUUUCGUUUGUCUCUAGUACCGUGCCACACAGGGUUCAGUAUGCAUUGUGUGAUAAUGACUGGCUCCUUGCUAUGCAAGAAGAGUUAAACCGUUUUACACGCAAUGAAGUAUGGUCAUUGGUAGAACGACCAACUGAGGAACACAAUGUCAUUGGAACUAAAUGGAUUUUCAAGAACAAGGAAGAUGAGAAUGGAACUGUCCUACGCAACAAGGCAAGGUUAGUAGCACAGGGGUACUCCCAAGUUGAAGGUUUGGACUUUGGUAAGACUUUCGCCCCUGUUGCUCGUCUUGAAUCCAUUCGCAUUUUAUUGGCCUAUGCUGCUUUCAAUGGUUUUACUUUGCAUCAAAUGGAUGUGAAAAGUGCUUUUCUUAAUGGUCCUCUACAAGAAGAGGUAUAUGUAUCACAACCACCUGGGUUUGUUGACCCUCACCACAAAUACCAUGUAUACAAACUUCACAAGGCUUUGUAUGGCCUCAAACAAGCACCCCGUGCUUGGUACGAUCAUCUUAAGAAGUUUCUACUCGAUGAUGGCUUUGUGGUGGGGGUGAUCGAUCCCACUCUUUUUACUAAGAGGGAAAAUGGUGAUUUGAUCUUAUGCCAAAUCUAUGUAGAUGACAUCAUUUUUGGUUCUCCUAACAUCCAUUUAUGCAAGAAGUUUGCGGCCUCCAUGACCAAGACCUUUCAGAUGUCACUCAACACGGACUUGAAGUUCUUUCUUGGGUUUCAAAUACAACAAUUUCAAGAAGGAAUUUUCUUGUCUCAAACUAAGUACCUCAAGGACAUUCUUGAAAAAUUUGAUAUGACAAAUGCUAAACCAAUGAAGACACCCAUGGCCACAGAUGUAGUUCUAAAUGAAGACACCAACGGUAUUCCUUUUGACCCAUCUACUUACCGCUCCAUGAUCGGUUCGUUACUUUAUCUUUGCGCAUCUAGACCGGACAUCAUGUUAAGUGUAGGCAUAUGUGCUAGAUUUCAAGCUUCCCCUAGGGAAAGCCAUCAUACGGCGGUUAAGCAUAUUCUUAGAUACCUUGUUCACACCCCAAAGUUAGGCUUAUGGUACCCUAAGGAUGCAAAGUUCGAUCUUAUAGGGUACUCCGAUGCGGAUUCGGCCGGUGACAAAGUGGGACAGAAAUCCACUUCCGGUGCAUGUCAGUUUCUUGGACGCUCCUUGGUAAGUUGGUCCUCGAAAAAGCAGAAUUGUGUUUCUCUCUCCACGGCCGAGGCCGAAUAUAUUGCAGCCGCAAGCUGUGCAACCCAACUGUUGUGAAUGAGGCAAACCCUAAAGGAUUAUGGUAUCACGUAUCGACACGUUCCUCUUCUCUGUGAUAAUGAAAGUGCCAUAAAGAUCUCCGAGAACUCCAUUGAUCACCCUCGCACAAAACAUAUUGAUAUUAGGUAUCAUUUCUUGAGAGACCAUGUGCAAAAGGGUGACAUUGAUAUUACCCAUGUGGAUACCGACAUGCAGCUCGCUGACAUUUUCACCAAGCCACUUAGCGUAGCAAGGUUCUGUCAACUUAGGCGUGAACUAGGUAUCUUGGAGCUUGAUAACAUAACUUGAAAUCUUGCACACAUACACACACUCACAUUAUGUUUGUGUCUUGAUGUGGGCAUGCAUUUAGGGGGAGUGGGUCAUAAUUCUGUGUUUUGAGCUUACAAAGUAUGCAUAAAUCAACUUCUGUCCACAAGUAUUAUAUGUAAUUCUUGUAGGCAACUAUGUUCGUAUUCUUUGUGAGAAACCAUGAAAAAUCAUCAUCUCAUCAUCAAAAAUUUCAGAAUCAGCCUCUGUCUCCUCCUCUCUCUCGGUCGUCCGACGUGUCUCGGACGUCCGGCGGCUAACCUCAUUCCGGACGUCCGGCCAGUGUCAGUCGUCCGACGGCAAAAUCCUCUCCGGACGUCCGACGCCUGUCAGACGUCCAACACCUCGGGGCCUAUAAAUAGAAGGGUGUGGGGCUGGGCCUUGCCCUAGCCCUCACGCGCCUCCUUUUUCCCCAGCAGCCGCCGCCGCCAGCACCAGGAGCGCUCACCCGCGCCCCCACCUCCGAGAUCUGCCUGAUCUCCUCCGCGGGAUCCAUCUCUUCUUCCUCCGCGGGAUCCAUCUGCAGGUAUCUCCUCCGUUCCCCUCGCGUUUGGUUCCCUUUCUCCCAAGUCCACAUGUUCGUUCAUAUGGUUUGACCAUGAUCGUUCCCAUUGGGUUUCCAUCCGUGUAGGCUUUUGUGCAUCAUGCCCAAGAUUAAGCACGCCGCCCGGAAGGACGCUGCUGGCUCAUCCGCUCGUGCCCCUACUGGCACGGGGUCGGACUCGGAAGGGCAACGUCGUCCCUUCAAACGGACUUCCCGACGUCCUCCGUCUCAACAGCUCCCCUCGUCGUCUGAUGGCUCUGACUUCGAGGAUGAGCUUGCCGCCGAGGACCGUGCUGACCAGCCCGCCGUUCGGAGGUCCAUGCCAAAGCCCGGGACUCGCAGGCCGUCCUAUAUGCCACCACCUCCUCCUGCUCAACCCGAAGGUGAAGCUCGUCGCAUCUCACUUGAACCCCCUGCUACCUUAGGUCAUGAAGUCACGAACUUCACCACGCUUGCCAAGUCUUCAUACCUCACUUUCCGCCACGACAUUGAUCAAUUCUCUGUCGUACGUGACUCUAUGGACUCACGUUUCCGCACAAACGUCCAGGCGGACAUCUUUACUAUAGUCAUAGUUCCUAAGGGUCUCUCUGUUCAUCACUUCAUAGAUCUUGAGCAUAUUCGCACGCACCCGGCGAAAUACCCGUGUGCCAUUGAGCUUAUUGAUUCAUCGGGGCUUGCUGCCCCAUUUGCUUUUCGUCGCAAUUUUAACGCUGCUGCCAUUCACCAGUUUUAUGCCACAUGCUUCUUUGGUCCAAACCACAUUGUUAGCUGGAUCACCUCUGACGUUCACUUCACAGCCUCUUAUGAUAUGUUUGUUGCCGCACUUGGUUUCCCCAACUCCGGCUUCAAAAUACAUAAGAAUGAUCCUAACCAUGCACAUAAGCCAAUUGAGGCGUGUGGGUAUCUCCUCAAACCACUCCGUGAACUUGAUGUGGAUGAACGCAUGAAGGAUCUUAACCAGGUAUCCAUCUGGCGCUCACCUUACUUUAUCAUCUUUCAGUGUCUUAUCCGCACCAUCUAUCCCAAGAUGGGUGAUAAGGGAUCUUGCAGUGGCUACUGUAUUGACAUCAUGUCACACUUGUACGAGCACCCCAAGAGCAAAAUUAAUGUGCCUCACUUUCUAUGGCAUGAGAUUCGGCUUGCUAGUUUUCAAUACAAGCGAGCCUUCCCUCAUGCCCCCUUCAUCCAGGCUCUUAUUAAUCAUGUUGCUGAUUUCUCUGUUGCUGUCACUCACACACAUCACAAGUGGGUCAUUCCCGCUCACAUGGCGGAUAACUAUGCUCCCAAGAAAACCCCAUCCUCCACAUCCACUCGUCGUACUGCUGCCCGGUCAGCAACCCCCUCAUCUAGCUCCGCUCCUCUCGGUCGCUUUGCCAAAUUCAUUGGCAAGGCACAUUCUGCUAUGAUGAAGGCCGUCUCAUUCCAGUGUGGUCAAACCCAUGAUGUGGUUUCUCGCCUAGUCUCCUCCAAGAAUGCCCUCAAGGCUCGUAUGAGAGACUCGGGCGCUCUUGAUGUGAGUGAUGAUGAGGCCCUUCCUGCUGCCCCUCCUUCUGACUUUGGCUUCCCAUCUCGUCCUGAGUGGGCUGAUUUUCUUGACGAGGCUGGUGGCAAUGGCUUGCCUAACGAUGAGGAUGAUGAUGAUGAUGAUGCUGAUGAGCUCUGAGCAUGGUUGAUGAUGUUGGUGCCUCCCUUUUUGGUACUUGGUGCCAAAGGGGGAGUAAUGUAUCGUAGUUUUUAGUCUUUGGAGAUUUAGUCUAAAUUUGCAUGGUUGUGUAAUGUAAUGGAUAAACUCAUGUAUGGCUACUUAUGAAUGUUGUGAUUGCUAUGGAUUGCUAUGAUAUCAUCAUAGGCUAUUAUGUUUUGCUCCACUACUUCUAUGAUGAUCUAUUGUCUUUCUAUGAUGAUCUAUUAUCUUUACAUGAUGAUCCAUUAUAUGUUCGAUACACACAUUAAAAGGGAGCUCCGAUAUUUUAUCAUGCACAUACUAAGGGGGAGCUCCGUACUAAACCUCUCCAAGGCUAUAAUGUAUGUUAAAUCUUUUUUGAGACCUAUGUAUAUGUUGUCAUCAACUACCAAAAAGGGGGAGAUUGAAAGUGCAUAUUAUGCCCCUAAUCGACUUUUGGUGUUAAUGACAACACUUACAUAGGAAACUAAUCCUAUUUGUUGAGUGUAUCUCGGGAUGGCAAGUACUUUAGUAGAUUGAGAAUUAUGUGCCAAGGUGGUCUGAGAAGAUCGGGAUUUAUAUGUCAAGAAGGCUCGGGAUUGAGAAAAGAUUGUGUAGACUAUCCUUUUGAGUUUACUAUUCUUGAGUAUAGGGAUCCCGCACUAUUAAGAGGGGAUCACAGGUUUUGCGAUGAAUUUGCUCAUACCACAUCUUCACUUUCUGCUCAAUACCACAUAUUCUCUACUCUGCUCCUAUCUCAAAACAGGUCUAAUGCCUCGGACUUCCGGCCCCCUCCGGACGUCCGAGGGCCGGUCGAGGGUCGGACGACCGACAAGCUUCGGAAAUCCGGAGCUCUGCACCAGAAGAACUUGAUCCAUAUAACUCGGAAUUCCGGCUCCCUCCGGGCGUCCGAGGGCCGGUCGACCGACCAGCUUUGGAAAUCCGGAGCCCUGCACCAGAAGAACGUGAGCCAUGUAACUCGGACUUCCGGCUCCCUCCGGGCGUCCGAGGGCUGGACGUCCGUCCCCUUUCGGAAAUCCGGAACCUUGCACCAGAAGAAGUUGAGUCGAAUAACUCGGACUUCCGGCCUUCUCCAGACGUCCGGUCCCUGUUCAACUCACUGUGUUUCCAGUCAUAUCUACAGCCCUCGGACGACCGACCCCUGUCGGACGUUCGACCCCUUGUGGACGACCGGACUUCCGUAAACUGCCGGACGUCCGUACCCUGUGUGACUUAAAGUGUCCCCAACGGCUGUUUUACACUCCCCACUAUAUAUACCCACUCCCACUUCGUCAGAGGGUGUCCAACACAGCUAGAACACAUACAAGAACACCCUUCUUCUCACUCACUCUUGUCUACACCAAAUCUUAGAUCCCAAGAGCAUUUGUGAGUCCCUUUGAGUGUUGUUCCAAUCAAAAUAUAGAUCGUCUCCUUCUCCUCCUUCCCACCAAAGUGAUUUGUGAUUUGAGCAAGUUUUGAGCAAUCCCCGUGAUCUUGUUAAUCUUGGAGGUUGGAGACUCCUAGGCGGUAGGAGUCUUCGGAGAGGAAUCAAACCAUUGUGAUUUCCCCCGGAAAGUUUGUGAAGGUUUGGAAGCCACCUCAAGGCUUACCACUAGUGGUUGAGAAACGCCUUCGUGAAGUUAUCUCAAAGGGAGGAUAGGGUGAGCCUUCGUGGCGUUGGUGUGCCUUCGUGGUAACAUCCGCCCCUCUAACGGUGACGUAGCUUCCCUCCAUGGAAGUGAACAUCGGGAUACAUCCUCGUCUCUCUUGGAGUUUCGGUUAUUCCUAACCCUAACUCUCUACUUGUGUUAAUCCUUAUUACGUACUUGUAUUUGAUUAUUGUUUACCGCUUGCCUUACUUCACUCUAAAUAGCUUACUCCUGGUCAUAGCAAUUACUAGGCCUACACUCAUAUUUCGCACAUUUGCCUAAAAUUGCUAAGUAAUUAUUAAAAUUUGGAAUUGUACCUAUUCCACCCCCCCCCCUCUAGGUCCAUCUCGAUCCUUUUCACCAAUCUCGAACCGUUUUACAGUUGAUUUCUCGCAUGGAGAUAUUCAAAACUAGACCCAUGUUGAUAAGUUUCACCAUACUUUUUUUCACCAAAAUACCGAACGAAAAAGCAUAUCUCUCUCAGAAAGAAAAAAUAUGUUUUUCCGGAAGCAAAAUCGUGCCUCUUACAAAAGAAAAAUAAACAUAAAACAUAAAUUUUUGGUUUCCGAGAGGCACGGUCACGUAAACAAAUCCGUGCCUCUCGCGAAAGAAAAAAUAGGAAAUGUGUUUUUCCAGUUUUCGAGAAGCACAGUCGUGCCUCUCGCGAAAGAAAAAAAAAUGAAAAAAACGUGUUUUUUCGUCGUGCCUCUCGCGGAAUCAAAACAACACCUCUCGUGAAAUUAAAAAAACGCAUUUUUUUUGUUUUCCAAAAGGUCGCAAAAGAAAGAAAAAUAUUUUAUUUCGUUUCCGGGAGGCAUGAUUGUGUCUUUCACAAAAUCAAAUCCCUGCCUCUCGCAAAAGUAAAAUCAUGCUUUUCUAGAAAGCAAAAAAGCACAAUUUUCAUGCAAAAUUGUUUUAAAUGUUUCACACAUUUGAAAAAAAGUGUUCAUUAAAAAAUAAAUCAUUUGUGCAUUUUAAUAAAAUGGUUAUGACAAUUAAAAAUAUAUUCAUGGUGUAUAAAUGUUUGUACCAUUCAAAAAUAACAAACAUACGUUUAAAAUAUUGGCCAUGAGAUCUAAGAAAAUGUUCAUGAAACUAAAAUUUUGUGAGUGCAGUCUUUAAACAAUGUUCAUGACAUAUAAGAAAUGUCCGUUCCAUUUAUAUAUGGUUCAUAACAUUUACAAAAUUAUAACGUGUUUGAAAUAAUGUUACUGAAAAUGUAAAAUUGUGUUCGUGCAAUUUCCAAAAAAUUUAAGUACUUAUUGGCUUACAAAAGAAACUUGAUUUUAUUUGGUAUGUUAUAUAACAAGUGGGACAGAUGAGUCUGUUUUCAGAGAAAAACAGGUGAACAAUCCUAGACGGGAAGAAAAAUAAAUCAAAACAAGAAGAGGAAGGAGAAACAUACAUAACGUUGGACAACAUACAAGUGAAUCCUGGAACCUUAUAUAUUUUUUGGUAUAGGAGAGAAAAGCGGUGGAAAAAUCAGAGAUGAAAGGAAAAAAAAAAGUGAGAAAACACAUGCAUAAGGUUGAAUGAACGAAGGACGAUGUGUGGACUCAACUAAAACAGAGUCCACACAUCUAUACUACUAAUAAAAGAUCAAACGUAAACUUUUCUAUGUACACACAAUUAUUACCCCCACAAAAACAAACACCAAUCACAACCACAUAAAUAGACAACAAAUUACAAUCUAACGGCCUUCCACCAUCCACGCAGCACCACCGUGUGCAUUUACCAAAUAAAAUAAGCUUGACCGUGCUCCACCUCAUCGCUCAACCCGCUCGCCUCGCGCCCCCGUCGCCCCCGCUCAAGCGGUAAACACCCCUCCCCACCCACGAUCGUAGCCUCUUCCUUCCCCCAAACUGUCGACGCAUCCUCCUCCCACCCCGCGCCCCGCCACCGCCGGUCCUCCGCCAUCGAUGCCUACUCCUCCUGCCCCAUGCCCCGCCACCUCGGCCUCCCCAUCCCACGAUCCCGCGGCCCUCCUCUCCCCGCGCCCCGCCACCGCGGCCUCCCCGCCCCAUGNCCCCGUGCCCCGCCACCGCGGCCUCCACGCCCUCGCGCCCCAGCGGCCCUCCUCUCCCCGCGCCCGGCCACCGUGGCCUCCCCAGCCACGCGCCCCGCCGGCCCUCCUCUCCCCGUGCCCCGCCAUCGCCGGUCCUCCUCUCCACGCGCCCCGCCUCCUUUGUGCCGUGGCGGCGGGGGAUGCGUCUAGCUCGGCCCCGGCGCCCCGGAGGCUGGUGCUCUACACCAAGCCGGGGUGCUGCCUCUGCGAAGGCCUCAAGGAGAAGCUGCACGCCGCCGUCCUGCUCGCCGGCACCCCCUACUCCCUCGCCUCCCUCGAGCUCCAGGCGAGCAAACCCAGAACCAGUCCGUAAUCUCUUUCUCGUCCUGAGAUGAAUGCUUACUUAGUUACUUUGGAUGCUGGAUGGACUAAUUCGAUCAGGAGAGGGACAUCACGACGAACUCGGAGUGGGAGCGGCUGUACCAGUACGAGAUCCCGGUGCUGGCCAAGGUGCUCCCCGACGGCACCGAGGUAUCCAUCGAUCCGCUCGCGAUUCACCCUUUCUUUGCCAUGUUUUCAGCUACGCAAUGUAAGCUUGCACAUAGCUAAAUUAUGAUACCAGCAUACAACAUCCAUCUGGUUGUAUAAAUGUCUCAAUUCGAUAAACGAAAGCAGACAGUGGCUAUGCUUCGCUGGUUCGCUGUAGUUGGUAUACUCGCCACAGAUGAUAAAAUCAUGGAGAACAUAAAAAGAAGAUGGUAUUGAUCGAAUCAUCUUAUUUUCAGGUAUAAUCAGGAUUCAUAAGAAAGAAGAAGAAUGACAUCUCUCUUCCCCUCAAUUACUUCUUUGUGUUGUUUGUUUCUUGUAUAUACUAUGAAGAAAUUGUAUGUUAUCCUGGAUAACUCAAUACUACAAUUUUUUAGUGUACAAAAAAUUUAGGUUUCACUUGGUUAAGCAACAUUUGAGACUAUUCUAACACUAUUAUGGAUUAUUUUCUAUAUUUCUUCUUUCCUAAUUAUCUUCCUUUUACUGAGGAUUGCAGCUAAAUGUGCUCUUUUUUACCGCAAGGGAAAUGAUCAUUUGAGUUAUAUUAUUUCAAUUAUAUUGUAAUAGAGCUUCCAGUGGUCCUCCUACAUGAUUGCAUCCGAUGUACUCUCAAAAUACCCGAUUAUCCUGAAAGAAAGCAUUAGAAAUUUAUAUAAAGAUAAAAAACAAAUGGGUGUAUUAUUUGAAGACGAAUACAAGUUUGACCUCUUUCCGUAAUAAACAAAUCCAGACACAUCAAUUGCAAAUGCUCAGGUUAGUGAAGUUUGUGAAGACGAUGUUCAUGGAGAAUCGAUGUUCAAAUCUGUUUGUAAUAUCAUCUACUUUCCAUACUUGUUUAUUGGCCUAGCGAAUCCAUAUGUACGGCUUGCAUUGCCAAUUAUUGUACUAUUUUUCUUGUUUAUGUAUGGUAUUUUCCGCAAAGAUUCACAUAUAUGCUGUGAGCUGAUUCUAAGUUUGGUAGAAAACCCAUAUAUAUGUUAAUGGUUAGAACUUCAGUCUAUUUUUCUACCUAUUCCUUUGUUUGUAGAGUUUAGUUCUGUUCGACCAUGUUUCGCUAGGAAUAAUGUUGAUUUGUAUUCCUUUUAGAGCCAACCUCCAGCCCUUCCACAUGACAAGAAGCCCAUAUCUUCCAUUACAUAAAUCAUUUAUUAAUGGUUUAGGAAGUUGAGACUCUCUCUUUAUUUUAUUUUAUUGGAAACUGCAUCAUAUCAUGUUCUGAGUAUUUAGUAUCAGGAUUAAGGUCUGAAUGACGAUACAUGCUCGUAAAUGAUAAGCUGGGUUGAAGUAUUAGGUUCUUUCCUUUGUUUCAUUCGUGGAAACAACACACACACACACACAUUCUAUUGUUCAUCGCCUUUGCGUGCAGAUUUUGUUGCAUAGUGCCUUUAGCUAUUUUUUUCCAUUUUUGUUCUUUGUGCAGCACAAGUGGUACUCAUCUCGAUGGCGAUUUUGUUCAUGCUCUUCUCGGUCCAGCGCUUUGGGGCCGACAAGGUCGGAUACACCUUUGUGCCAGUCAUCUCAGUGUGGUUCCUUCUAAUUGCCGGCAUCGAGAUCGGUGUUCUGCGGGCCUUCAGUCCGAUGUAUAUAGUGCAAUACUUCAUAAGGAAUGGGAAGAGUGGAUGGGUGUCACUUGGUGAGAUUAUCUUGUGUGUCACAGGUAACCUUAUUUGUACUUGAAAAUUUUGAAAUGACAAGCGGUUGCGUUGCAAACUAUAGCAUGUAGAACUGUAAUCUGAAUUAACUGACUGAUUGUCAUAUGUAACAGGCACAGAAGGUAUGUUUGCUGACCUAGGACAUUUCAACAUCAGGGUUGUUCAGGUAACCACAUUAAUUUUAGAUAUAAGCUUUCAGAAGUAACAUUUUUUUCCUGAGGCCCCCCUCAAGAGUUCGAAACAGAAGGAUCUCAUCUUACAAUAGUUUUUGUGCUUACAUUUGCAUCUCAACUUCAACGACAUCGUGUUCCCGUCGGUGGCACUGUGUUAUAUUGGGCAGGUGGUUUACCUGAGGAAAUUCCCACACAACGUUGCAAACACCUUCUACAGAUCCAUCCCAGGUACAAAGUUUUUUUUGUAAGACUGCACUUCUGCUGAAGAAGGGAGUAGAUGCAUGCAUUUGGUAAAUAUGGCAGAAGUAACUGAAUUGCUUCCUUGUGCAGCACCAAUGUUCUGGCCAGCCUUCAUCGUUACCAUUCUUGUUGGCAUCAUAGCAAGCCAAGCUAUGCUCUCCCGUGUGUUUGCCAUCCUCUCCAAGGCUCUCUCUCUCUCUCGGUUGCAUGCCAAGGGUUCGAGUGAUCUACACCUUGCACAAGUACGAGGGGCGGGUGUACAUUCCUGAAGUGAACUUCCUGAUGGGAUUGGCGAGCAUCCUCGUGACGGUCGCCUUCCGGAUGACCACCAGCAUCGGCCAUGCUUACGGUAAAUGGCUGGCCAAGGAUAAGGCGUUUGUGUUCCACUCAGGUUUUCACUUUUCAGUGGGAUGCUGUCAUGCUGAACAUAUUUAUUCAUCGAGCUGAUCGACCCGAUGUUGGUUAUGCGCAGGGAUCUGUGUGGUGACCACGUUGCUCUAUCAUGGAUGUUGAUUUCCAUUAAACAGUAUUCUGUAUUCACUCAGUUCGGCCUCACUUUCCUCACUAACUCGCUUAUGCUCCUGUCUGAUCAACGCCACUACUUCAUUUGUGCAGUUACUAGAGACACACAUGUUGUGCUGCAGCCGUGGUGCUCCAGUACACCCUAGGCCUCCGCUGAUCAAAUGCAUGAUGCUAAGGUUAAAUCCUAUACGCAGUUUAUUUCUACUUGCAGACAUCAAGUUCAGUUAAAUAUGUCAUGGUUAGCUGAAUGAAAAUAAAAUAAUUGAGAGAAGUGGUGUCCACGUGAACAAGCACUCUUUUGGCCGAGCCGGAAAUAUUGCCUGAACUUAUUGUUUCACUUGGUAUAAUGACUCUCCAAAAAGGUUAGGUAAAAUUAUGAAAGUAUAUGAUUAUGCUUUAACAACAUUACUUUAGAAUGAUACAUGGGCUGUAAUUUUACAAACCUCAAUAUGAUUGAUCCCACUUAAUAUCAAUCAUAGUUUGGACAACAUUCGGACAAUCAUAUUAGAUGAUUAAAUGGUUAUGUUUAUUGGUACGUACAAUAGUCUGACCGAUGCUCCUACUUAUAUUAAUUAAAUUCUGGAAAACAGACAAAUAAUGGAGGUAAUUAUAGGAUUAUGUGGCCAUUUACCCAUGAAACCACUAAUUUAUUACAAGCUAAUAUUAGACAUCUUCAACAAUAGUCAACAAUAAGAUGUGUGAAAAUCUGAUCCUAAAGAGGGGAUGGAAGAACAUGGGCUACAUUGAGUGGAUGAUAUCACUGCCAUUGCCUCACAAACACAAAUGUAUCACUGAACUUAUCCAAGAAAUAUUCUGUCCCAAAUUGCAUUUAUCUCAUUCACGGAUAAAUGAUGGAAGAUUUAUUUACCUUGCCAAAUGAGAAUAUAGCAGCUAAUAUGUACUAAAUAGUUUAUCUUAUUGACCAGAGGCUGUAGUAAAAUAGUUUAUCUCUUAAUAAAAGUAAAUAACUUUCAAUCUAUAGAAAAAGGUAAGUAGGUUUAGUAACCAGCAAUAAUCACAUUUUUGGACUCUUCUUAUGAAGUGUGAGCGUGCUGAGGAGACUUAACUACUCAAUCAUGGGUACUUCAAUCUGAGAAUUUUUUGCAUCCUUGUCGUUUCCUUUCUAUAUAUCCUCUGAAAUAACAAUCAAGAUGUACACCAUCAAAAUCAUGCUAAUCCAACUAUCCGGUGUGUAGGUCAUCAUUGUACGACUUCCAUUCUGCUCCAUACAAUAUUCAUUCUCCAUGAUUGAGUGGUAGUUUGUUACUGUUUCGAAGAGUCAAGGUAACUCAUGUGCUCGAAUCAUUCUCGCUCUCACAUAUAUGUUCAUGCUAUACUUUAUUGAUUUUUUGGGUCUAUUUUACAGGUUUGGAAUACAAUUUCAAUUGCCUUCAUUCAUGGUCAAGGCUUCGGAGUUAUUGCACACCUCCUUUAUAAUAUUGUAGUGAUUUAGUUAAUUUCAAUUGCAAUGCAUUCAGCAACAUUUAUAAUGGUUAUUCUAUGAAGUAUUGAAAAAUUAGACGCGAUCUUUUCUUCAAGAUGGUGCGGGUUAGUAUUGGUGUUGCGUUUCCAUCACAUGGGAAAAAUCAUUUUAAUAUAAUAUGAACAUUAUACCGAGUAACCAGUAUUGACGCGUAAGCCCUUAGCUGGUAUUGACACAGAUCGUCUGCCAAUAAAAGGCAUUAACAUUGAACCAUAUCCCUAUUACAACCAUGUAUUACAUAGAGCCUAGCAGGUGUCAGAUGCAUUAUCUGAAAUUCUAAAUACUUGCUUAAUACUAUGUGUAUGACCGCUAUCAUCAAGAUUAUAUUUUUCCUCUUAUAGAAUCCUUGUACAACACAAAUAUGAGAAAUUUCAUUUAUAUCUAACAUGAUACUUGUACUUCUGAUUUUGCACACACUUUAUUAUAUCACAGUCAACCAAGUAGUAGCAUGCCAGUAAGGCUCGGGGUGGUUCCGGACAAAGAGACCUCAUGUAUCCUUGGCCUAAAGAAAGAUUGGGUAUGUGGCAUUUUAGAAGAUCCAUAGUGGCGCUUAUCCCCGAUUUGUUGCUUUAGACUAAGGAAUGGUUGUGAGUGGUUGUACAGGUAACUUUUUCGCCAAUAAAUGCACCACCCAAGUAAGCUUUGAGAUUUGGAUGACACUCAUUUGUUCAGUUAGUUGGAUGGAGCGUAGCUUUCACCUGUUGUCCUGUCACUUUUUUAAUUGAUUAUUUCUUGAUAGUCUUCGCCUUUUUGUUUUGUUCUAUGGAAAUUCAUCACCAUACACAUGAAAAAAAAUUGUAUUGACACAUGGAGUUAUAUAGGUAACUUGAGUUAUUGUACCUUUUUUCCUUUAAUUCUUUUUGUUUGGAAUCAACAUUCAGUACAAAUGCUGCUGAAGUAUACCAAAUAGCACAACAACUUCUAAAGCAUUCAUCUAUUUCCCGUGCUUUAUCGGAUGUUCCAGCGAAACAAUGACAUGUAAUUAAUGUAUAUUGUUGUUCGGGAGAUUGUGUAUAUUUGAACAUUAUUGUUUUCUUGCAAUGAAGAUUAGCAAAAAAAUACACGUCAAGUUGUCAUCUUUGGAUAAGUUGUUGGACCACCGACAACAUGAAAUUAAUAAAGAUAGUGAUGAUCGCUUUAGUUUGUCCAUGUGGUCUUGUUUUUAUUUCAUCCCAACAAACGUUAUUAUUGGUUAUGAAACUUGUAUAAUAAUAAAAAAAACAUGUUUAAUAAUUAUUUGAUGUCGAUUAAGGCAAAUUUACUAGUCGUACCAAAUAAUUGAGUGAAGUUCAGCUAGCAGCAAUGCUCGUCGCCCAUUCCCUUUCUUUAUACUUCUGUUGACGAAACGACCGCGGUUGUUCCAUCAAACUAAUUUGUACUUGUACUCCCAAGAACAAUGCCACUAGAUUGUUACAGUACAAGUGGGAAAAGAAAAUACACAUGGUACAAGAUAUGGGUUUCAGCACAUAGGACCAGAUUCCUUUUGGCCUUUCAGCGGGGAUGGUUCUGGGACAUGCCAUGGGAAGUUCAGGUUCAGCUGUUUGAGGGCGUCAGUCAUGAAAAUCAUUUGUUGCCCGAGCGUGGGCGUGCAAGCCUGCCAUCCGUGGCUUGGAUUUCAGGUUUGAUGGCAAGAAGCUCUUGCCGAUUUUCCAAAAUAUCCUAAUUCAGAAACUGAAACCUUUUCUCUCGGUCCUCUGCUUCCACUGAAUUCUUUUUCAGGUUUGCAAAGAGUGAAAAUCAGACACAAACAUGAUCGUAACUACCACCAAAAAAAAAAUCCCGAUGAUUCUGGACAAGUUUAAAUCGCCUCUAAUAGAUUAUACACGCCACAUUAAAAUCUACAGUUCUCCAACACCAUGGCGGGCAGUGGCACGAAAUUGAACGGGGCACGAGUAAACAAAUAAACACCACUAGAGAAAUGGGACAGCUAAUCUGCAUUUGCAACAGCAACGAUUUAGGCAAGCAGACAGAAGGUCGGGACCUGAAACUGAGUCCAUACAACGAAAUAGACUUGCAAUGGCAUCACCAAAUCGCGUCCUGCAAGUUCAGAAUUCAUAAUCCAGCAGAGAAACUUUUCUGCCGGUUCAGAGUCGUUGUCUGCAGAGAAUUACAGAGAAGCACAAGCUUCCAUAACAGAUCGAACCAAGACAAAGUAACACGAACAGGAUCAUGGCAAGAACUGAAAGGGCUGUUGCUAUUUCUCCAGAUCAUAAGAUUUGAUCCCACAAACAAAGGUUACAUGACAACGGAGUCUGAACCAACAAUUACACAGCAACAUCGAUGCACCGGGAAGAAACUACUUAGGCAGAGGUGAACUUGGUGACGGCCUUGGUGCCCUCGGAGACGGCGUGCUUGGCGAGCUCGCCAGGGAGGACGAGGCGCACGGAGGUCUGGAUCUCCCGGGACGUGAUGGUGGGCUUCUUGUUGUACCGCGCCAGCUUGGCCGACUCGCCGGCGAGCUUCUCAAAGAUGU